rnacentral:lncRNA from 1 species
UCCCAUGUGAUGUUCACUGAGUCAAAACAAAUAACUUUGAAAUUUGAUCCAAAUACAGAUAUUUUAUCUCAAAUAUUGCCACAUAACACAUCUAGAUUCUUCCAUCAAACCAAUUUAUGUCUAUAAAUAGGAGAACUCCCAAGUGAAAAAAGUGGAAAGUUAUUUUGGUUGAGAAGAACCAAAACAACUUUUCCAGCAAAGAAAAAGUUAGCCCAGAAAAUCUAAAAAAAAAGAGGCAAAACAGAGAGUUCUAGGAAUUUUUCUUUAACAAGGGUGGUUGCCCCUCUCUUGUUUAGCCAAUGAUUUUUAUUUUUUAUUUUUCAGAAGCAACAACCCUUGGAUUCAUGUUAAUUUCUUGGAAAUGACUGGAUCAUUCAAAUGACAAUCAUACAUAUAUUCCACAACCUUUGGCAAUAAUCUUUUUUUUUGUGUCUCUAUUAAUCUAUCUACGGUAUGUAUGUGUGUUGUAUUAGAGGCGAUGAUGAUAAUGAUGAUGAUUUUUUCGAAUUCUGGGGUAACUGGAUUGGGGAUGGAGACUAUGUGAUUCAUAUCUUGGCUUGGCAAAUCAUCUUGAUUUUGCAGCCAUGGCGUGGUUGCCCUCUCUUUCGUCCUCAUCUCUUUGCAGAUCUGAGCCUCUAAAUUGUUAUCAACAACAUUUGAAAUAAUAUUUCAAAAACUGCUUUUCAUUUUUUUGAAAAUAUAAUAUAUUAUGUUCUUCUAUUAUCUAUCUAUCUGAUUUUUUAUUUAUUUAUUACCUUAAAAUCAUGAUGAACUUGAUGUAGAAAUUUCUAUAUUUUAGGUUUGUGAUUUUUCGAUGAAAUUUGUAAGUUUUUUUUUAAUAGUUGUGAUUUUUUCCACUGGUAUAAGAAAGAGUUGUGACUUUUUAGGGGUAUGAUUUCUCGGAAUGGUCAAGAAAAUGCUUGUUUAUGCAACUCUUUGUUGACUAUAGGCCUAAUUCAUCGGUGAUUCUUAAAAUUGAUUUUAAUUUUCAGUUAUAUACUCUAAUUAGAUUUUGUUGAUUUAUAUAUUUUAGGUAGGUUUUCACGAUAUUAUUUUGAUACUUUUUGCUUACAAGCAUAAUGAGUAUUAUACACGCUCACUGUUAAAAGUCUUAUUCACAAUUUUUUUUAAAAAAAUAUCUCUUUUUCUACAUUUUUUAGCUACAAUAUCCAAAACAUAUAUAAAAGUAUAUGAUAAAAUAAAUUUAGUAAUGUCACAAAUAAAAAGUAAAUUUUAGCUCAUAAAAUUUUUCAAAAGUUUAAAUUUUAACAUUAUGAAAUAAAAAUCUAAUUAUUUUUCCUAAAUCAUAAGAUUUGAAAAAAAAUUGCACUAUUAAUCAAUAACUUAAAAGUAAAGAAGAAAAUGUCAUACUUUUGUAAGAUAAUUUUUUCAAACUAAUUAAGUUCUUUUGGAAAUAUCUUUUGAAAAUUUGAUACGUAUAGAAACAAGACAGAAGUUGGAGUUGGUGGGGGCGGAGAGGAGGACUUGGUGACUGGUGGGGUGGAGGAAUGGUUGCGGUUGGGGUAGAGAGGAAGAUCUGAUGGCUAGUAGGAUGGAAGAGUUGUAGGGGUUGGGGUUGGGGUGGAGAAGGAGAAGGAAAUGGGUCGGGUGGGAUGAAAAAGACGACGAGGUUGGACUGGGGUAAUUAUUUUAUUCUUAUUGUUUGAGUUUAAAAUGACAUAUGUCAUAAAAUAUGAUUGUAUAAUAUUUAAUUAAAUAUUUUAUGAUAUAUUUAAAUUUAUCUCAAUGAUGACCUUGUAAUUCGAUGUUGAUGAUAAAAACUAAUAUAAUAUGAUAUGAUUAAAUAUAUAUUAACUACUUAAGUCUUUAAAAAAGGGUAAAAAUAUCUUGCAACUUUCCCUUGACAUUUUCAUUUUUUAUUAUACUAUCCCACUUGGAACAUUUACUAGAUGAGAUGCUUGUUUAAUAUUCAAUUUAUUAGACGUUUUAUAAUUUUUUAUUGAGUGGAGUGGCAUUGCAUAUACAUUGUUUUAUCAAUUAGGAAUUUUCAUAUUCUUCUAUUACAAGAAUUAUGAUUAUAAUUAAGUCAAAAACAAAAUAUUGUGUUUGAAUACUUAUAUUUUGAGUUGAAACUUAUGCUCUUAAAUUUGUUCGUAAUUAUCUCGAAUUCUUGGCUAACAUGGUGAUUUAAUAUAAGUUUUUCUUUACAUAUUAUUAUAGUCGUUUACUUUUAUGAACAAUUUUUUAUUCUCGCUCAACUUGCAUUUUUCUAACGGAAUCAUGGAUAAAUCACCAUUCAGCUUCUUAUAAAUAAUGUUAGGAUGGCCGAUUCAUUCUCAGAAUUUUUUUAAAAAAUGAUAGAACAGAGUCUCAACUCGUAAGUUCUUCAAUUAUACUAUUACAACCCUAGUAGCCAAGAGUUGAUAUUUCAUUCUAACUUAAGAUCCUUAUGUUUUUUAGUGCAAGAAAAUCAUGAAAUUGAGGGUUUUUAUGUCGACUCUUUGAUCUUACAAAAGUAAGGUUAUUUUCUUUCAAACGAUUUUAGUAAGUAUCAUUGGCACAAAUCCAUUUUAUUAAGUAAUUUAUUAAUAUUUUUUGUCAUCCUUAAAAUCUCAUUCUAGCCUAAGAUUCUUGUGGUUCUUGAGUGCAUGAGAAACAAGAACAGAAGGUUUUUGUCGAUUCGUUGAUCUGAAAAUUAGACAGUGAUUUCCAUUUCUAAUGAUUUUAGUAAGUACUAGUCUUGGACACGUGCAACACACGUGUAUCCUAUACUAAUUUAUAUAAAAUCAUUAGAACUAAUGAUAAAUGUAUUUUCUAAUAGAACAAAGUUUUACAAUUUAUAGAAAUUUCAUUUUGAUCUAUGAAAGAAUCCUUCCAUUGAAAACAUUUUUCUAACCUGAAGUUUUAGUUAGAGACUGAUUGGUUAAAGGCUAAAGGUGACAAGAAAAUUAAAAAUAAAAUAUGUUAUCAAUUCACGUUAACAUCCAGCGAAAUACAUGCAACAAGUAAUAAAAGUAGAAAAAUAUAAAAAUAACAACAAUGACCUACAUACUUGAUAACAAUCCAUAUGUUCUUUAUAGAAAAAAGAAGAUACAAAUAAGAAAUUAGAAAUAAUUGAGUUAGUAAAAAUUCUUGUUGGUAUAACAAUUUCUUCUUCUAUUAUUCAAAUCAGUUAACCUUAAAAAUAAAUUACUACACAUUGAGUUUUAGAUUGAAAACCAUCAUACAUUCAUAUAUAAAUUAUUUAAUAAAAAUAAUCAAACAUUGUGAAAAUAACAAGGAAUGUGGAAGGUUGUUAAAAACAAUUAUUAGGUUAGAAGAAGAAAAAUUAAAAUUAAUAUUAAUAAUUAGGUAAUUCAUAUGGUUAUAAAUGAAGUUUUUAGAGGCAAAACAUAUGUAUAAGUUACAUUAAAUAUGCUUAUAAUGGGUGAAAAAACAAAAUUGACUCAUUAAAGAAGAAAUUGUGCAACUUUUCAUUCGUGUAAGAAGUUACUUACAAAAGUACGUAAUGGACGGAUAAAUUAGUUUCACAGAUUUAGGGAGAAUUGAAUGUAGAGGGUUAAAAUAUGAUUGUUGAGAUUUCUGUUUACUCACUAUUUGUUAUUUAAUUUGAUUAUGAUUUAAUGAAGGACCACAAAUUUUGUAAUAUGAUCGUCUAAUAUUUAAUUAAAUAUUUUAUGAUAUUUUGAUUUAUCAUUGUUUAUCGCAAUGGUGAACUUGCAAUCCGACGUUAAUGUUAAAAGUUAAUACAGUAUGAUAUGAUUAAAUAAAGUCUUUAAAAAGGGGUAAAAAUGUUAAGUCAAGAACAAAAUAUCAUGUUUGAAUACUUAUUUUUUGAGUUGAACCUUUUUAUGAUUUUUUACAAAAUGAAGUUAAAGUCGAUUAUUUUUUAUUUAUUUUUUAAAAAGAACUAACAAAAUACUAAGGAUUUUUGUAAGUUAAAUAUAAUUUAUGAAAACAAAGAAACGCAUGUAAUAGAUAAAUGUUUGAUAAAAUGAAAAUUGUAUUAAUUUUCUACCUCUAAAUGAUGAAUACAAACAGAUAUGACAGUUUCACUAAUUUAUUUAUUUUUUUUGAGAAAAAAAGUCAUAAAUCAGAACUAAAAAAUCAUAUUUUGAGCUGAUACUUGUCAUGUUUUUUUAUAAAAAUGAAAUUAAUCUACUAAAUCUUAAAAAAGAAAAGAAGGGCAUAUAAAAAAUGUAUUUAUAUAAAUAAGGAAAUCUUUUUAGCCAGUGAGUAGGGGUGUUCGUGGUUUAGCUUGAAUCGAUUAUCAAUUAAAAUCUAAAUAAAAUCAAUCUAAUCGGUUUUUAAAAUUUCUAAAACAAAUAAAACCAAACGAAAAACAUAACCGUCGUUUUGAUUACUGACGUUUUGAUUCACUUUUUCUAGUUUUUUAGUUUGAAAGUAAUAAUCUUUUAGGACAUAUGUAUCUUGAUAGACUCAAAUACCUAGUAUAUAAAUAAUCCACUGAAAAGUUAUUGUUGGUUCAAUUAAGCAAUUAAACAAUACUAAAGUUAUUAAUACACGAAUAAAGUGUUUCAAUUAAGAGAAGGUGUAACUAUCUUAUGAAAUAUAUGGUAGAUAAAGACUAAAGUAAUGAAUUUGAUGCAGUUGGACUUAUGAUUGUAAUAUAUGGGCUAAAAUUUAUGUGUUGAGCUUGAGCAAAUUGUAAGUUAAAGACUUAUAUUACUUAAAAUUUAACAAAAUAUUUAUAUUUUAUUUAUGAAUAAUAUAUUUAUAAAAUUUAUUGGUUAGAUUUGAUUAUUUUUGCAGUUAUUUUUAAGUAAAACUAAAACCAAAUCAAAUAAUAUCAAUUUUUCAAAAUGCAAAAUCAAAUCUAGUCACAUCAAAUCAAAUAUCAUUUUUUAAAUUGGUUUGAUUCAGAAUGUGAUUCGAUUUGAUUUUUUAACCAUAACCAUGAACAACUCUACCGGUGAAUAUUAACAUAUAUGACAAUUUCAUUUAUUUAUAUAUUUUCUAAAAAUGGCAUACAUCUCAAGUAAAUAUAAUGUUGAGUUUAGAUUUUAUACAAGUUCAAAAAAUGAAGUCAAAUUUCAUUUGUCUAUUUGUUUUCUUAAUAAAAUUAUAAAUUAAAAGUAAAAUAUUAUCUUUUUAUUUAAAUUCUGAGUUGAUCCUUUUUGUGUUUAAAAAUAAUGAAGCUAGAAUUACUUAAUUUUUAAAAAAAAAAUAUUAAUAAGUUAUAUUUUAUAUCAUGAUAAUAAACUUAUGUUCUUAAAUUUAAUCGUAAUUAUCCCUUUGGCUAACCUUUUGGUGUUUAAAUAUAAGUUUUUCUUUACAUAUUAUUAGAGUCGUAUAUUUUUAUGAAUCAUUUUUUAUUCUCUCUACAGCUCUCACUCAACUUGCAUUUUUUAUGGACAUCAUGGAUAAAUCACCAUACAGGUUCUUAUAAAUAAUGUUAGGAUGGAUCGGUUCAUCCUCAUAAUUCAAAACAAAACGAUAGAACAAAGUCAUUUGAUUUUCAUGACACAUCUACUCGAUUCAUAAGUUCUCCGUUUAUUUCUAUCACAACCCUAGUAGCCAAGAGUUGAUAUCUUCUUCUAACUUAGGAUUCUUAUGAUUUUUGAGUUUAGAAGAAUCAUAAAUUGAGACUUUUUGUCGACUCUUUGAUCUUAGAAAGGGAAGGUUAUUUUCUUUCCAACGAUUUUAGUAAGUAUUAUUGGUACAAAUUCAUUUUAUUAAUUAAUUUAUUGAUAUUUUUAGUCAUAGUUAAAAUCUCAUUCUAACCAAAGAUUCUUGUGGUUCUUGAGUGCAUGAGAAACAAGAACGAUAGGUUCAUGUCGAUUCGUUGAUCUGAAAAAUGGACGGUGAUUUUCUUUUCUGAUAAUUUUAGUAAGUACUAGUCUUGGACACGUGCAACGCACGUAUACCAUACUAAUUUAUAUUGAAUCAUUAGAAUUAAUGAUCAGUGUAUAUUCUGAUAGAACAAAGAUUUAUAUAUAAUUAAUAGAAAUUUCAUUUUGAUCUAUGAAAGUAUUCUUCCAAUGAAAACAUUUUUCUAGCCUAAAAUUUUAAUUAGAAAACUGAUUGUUUAAAGGCUAAAGGUGACAAUACAAUUAAAAAUAAAAUAUGCUAAGAAAUCACGUGAACAUCUAGCAAAUAAAUGCAACAAGGAACAAAUGUAGCAAAAUAUAAUGAUAAUAACAAUGACCUACAUACUUGAUAACAACUCAUAUAUUCGUUAUAGAAAAAAGAAGAUUAAAAUAAAAAAAUAGAAAUAAUUGAGUUAGUCAAAAUUCUUAUUGGUACAGCAAUUUCUUCUUCUGCUAUCCAAAUCACUCCACCUUAAAAAAGGAAUUACUACACGUUGAGUUUUGGAUUGAAACCCCAUCAUGUAUCCAUAUAUGUGAGUUCUUUUCAUAAGUUCACAUGAAUAGUAAGCAAUAAAUAUAUCAAAUCAAUUUAAUCGGACUAACUUUUUAGUUUUCCUAAAAACUGUUACACUUCCAAAAAAUUUGCAUGUGAAGAAGCAUUUACUAUAAAUAAUUUAAUGAAAAUAAAUGAAAUAUUGUUAAAAUAAUAAGGAGUGCGGAAGGUUGUGAAAAACAAUUAAUAAGUGAGAAGAUGAAAAAAUUAAAAUAAUUACUAGUAAUAAUUGAGGUGUUGUUAUAAAUGAAGUAUUUUAGAGGCAACCCAUAUGUGUAAGUUACAUUACGCAUGCUCAUAAUAGGUGAAAAAAUAAAAUUGACUCAUUAAAGACGAAAUUGCGCAACUUCUCAUUUAGGUAAGAAUUUUCUUACAAAAAGUACGUAAUGAGCAAAUACAUUAGUUACACACAUAAAGGGAGAAUUGAAUGUGGAGGAUUAAAAUAUGAUUGUUGUUGUAAAACUAAACCAAACUAACAAUAUAAUGAUAAAGAAAAAAAGAAUAUGAGACAAGAGAUUUAGAAGAUGAAAACAAUAGAAAUAGAGAGACAAGAGAUGAGAGCUUUUCUUAUUAAUCAAAGUAUUUAUCAAAUCUUUAAGUGUAUACAAUAUGAACCCUUAAGCCUCUAUUUAUAGUGUAACAUAAAGGCAUAUAAAAGGUUAGUCAUAAACAUGACAUUAACAUGAAUAUAAUGGGGAGCUUAUGAAAGUGAAAUGUUACAAGAAUAAUUAUUAUAAAGGUAAAAGUUAUGGAGGUUAUGAUUAUCUUCAUAAUGAGGAAAAAGUGUAGAUAAUGGUGAGUAACUUCUUGGUGUAGUGGACAUCCACACUAUAUUAUUUUAUAACACUCCCUUGGAUGUCCAUAGAUAAUAUGCUUCGUGAAAACCUUACUAGGAAAAAACCUUGUGGGAAAAAAGUCCUAGUGAAAGAAAAAGAGUACACAUAUCUUUUAAUACGCUUGAAUGUUGCCUCGUUAAAAACCUUACCAGGAAUAUUCAUUUGCGACAAAACCAUGAUUAAGUAAAAGAGUAAAAUGCGCAUGUUUCUCCCCUGAUAAAAACUUUACUUAAUAUCUCGGAGACGAUGCAUUCCGAUCUUAUAUCACAACUUCUCAAAUAUUGAUGUUGGUAAUCCUUAGUGAAUAAGUUUACAAUAUUAUCAGUUGAACGAGCCUUUGAACGUCUAUAUCACCGUUGUGCUGAAUCGUGUGUGAAAAAGAUUUUAGGUGAUAUAUGUCGUGUCUGAUCUCCUUUGGUUGUAUCCUCCAUUCAAUUGAACUAUAAUUAUUUUCGUAUAUGGUGGCUGGAAUAUCCUUUGUCAAAGGAAAAUCACAUAUUCUAUGAAUAUGAUAUAUUAUGAUUCCAAUCCAACACACCCCUGACUUACUUCAUUGAUCUAUAUGAUUUGAAAAAGUGGUUACAAAUGUUUGUUGAAUGCCAAGAUAUUGUUGUGCCUCCAUAUGUAAGCAAAUAGCUCAUUUGCGAUCUAGCUUUAUGUAGAUCAAAUAAAUAUUUUGCAUCUGCAUAAUCAAACCAUUUUUUACUCAUUGGAGAUUGAUCAAUUUCGUUGAAACUCGUCUUUUCUUCUCAAAGAAAGUCACACAUCUUUUACCAUUUGCAUAACCAAUAAUUUGUAAGUGCACUAAUAGCACUAAUACAUUACAUUUUAAAUCAUUUUCUUGAGAUUGAAAAGAUCCUUUCUUUGUGUUAUGCAAUCUUAAAAUCAUUGAAUACUCAAUGGAAUUGCUUUAAGACCUUUUAAAUCCUUCAAGGAUUUUCAUAUAACCUUCAUUGUCUAGUUAGACAUAAUAAUCAUUGAUUAUGCAUAUUCAAGUAUUUCAUAACUUUCCAGACUGAAAAAAGUCUCAUUGCAUUCAAUAUUGAAGAAUAUAUCUCCAUUUAAUAAUGUCAGGACUUCUGCAAAAAUUCUUUAUGCCCCGAGGAACGAACAAUAUUUUAUAUCUUAUGGUUAAUAAUGUCAGGACUUCUGCGAAAAUUCUCCACUGAUAUAUAUUUUGAUCUAUAAACCAUAUUUUCAAAAAGUAUCACUUUUCUAAGUGAUACAAAAUAUAUUUGAAUAGUGUCAACCAUUUAUCCGUCUAUACUAUAUGACAAAUUCGAAUUUAAGAUCCUCGUAACCAUUUAUAGAACUGAGUGCUACAUCCAAUCAAAUAUAGCGUCGAUGAUUGUUUUGAUUUCAAUUCUAAAACGACAUAACUUAUCGAGAUAUCUUACUUUUUCAUCAUUUUCAAGUACCUGAACCUUUGUUAAGGUUUUAUAAAAUGUUAUGUCAUAGUGCUCUUUCAAAGCACUUACCUCAUUAUCAAUGACCAUUUUGAUAAUUUACUCAUCUCCCUCCUCAAGAAGUUUUACAUUUGGAAUCGAUUGGUCUAUCACGCUUUUGGCGUACCAUAAACUCGGUCCUUCAAGGACUAUUUAUUGAAGCAUUUGCAGCUUAAUAUUGGUCAGCAAAUUCAUCUGGCAAAUUACUUGCAACAUUUUGCAUAUGAAUUGUCUCUUGAACUUCAAGUUCACAUUUUUUUAACGGGGAUCUAGAUAAUUCACCUCACACAUAAUUUUCAGCUGCUACACAUAUCUCCCCCUAAUGUUAGGAAAUCUAACAUUCAGCCCAAAACCUCAAUUGGGUACCUAUAUUUGUGCAUGGUGGAGCAAUAAAAUAAUAUGUGAACAUGUCAAAAUUUUAGAUGGAAAUUAUUGGUUCCUGAUCCUGAACCAAUUGUGUUGGGAAAACCUUGUUGGCUUGAUGCAUACAUGUUAAAUAAACAUAUCUCAUACCAAAUUUUAUUUGAGAGACUUGUUCUCAUAAUCAAUGGUCUAGCAAUAGUUGGAGGCAUACAAUUUCUGCUAAACCAAUCAGCAUUAUCAACAUGACUUUAAGUUUGAAAAUAUGCUCUUAAUUUGAUAAUUUGAGCAAACAACCUUACAAAAAUCAAUUUGUAAGUUGAUACAAAUGCACAUGUGACCAUACCAUAGAUACAUCUAUUAAAUCAUAAUUGUAAACGGUCCACAUGGCAGGUGAACAGACCCAUAUCCACCUUUUUAUAUGUUUCAAAUAAUUUUAGGGGAUACAGUCUCAAUCAAAGCUGGUACAAUGAUCAUUUUAUCACGAGAACAAGCUUCAAAGGAGAAAUCUUGAGGAAUAUUUUAUUUCUUCAACAUAUAGCCACGUGAGUUCUCAAUUUGUCUUGCAUCACAUUUGAAUCAGAAUGACCAACCUAUUAUGACAAAUGAUAUUUAUUCAAGUAAGCUUCUAGUUUACUUUUGCGUGUGAUUCCAUCACCAUGCUCGUAUUUGUAUACAACAAACAACGGGUAAAAAAUAAAUUAUCUUAUACUUACAUAUAUAUUACCCACUUUGAUUGUAGUAAUUGAAGAUUUGAAAUCCUCCCAUAAUUUAUAGUCUCAAUAUAAUAAUUUGUUUUUAAUUCUUCUUAAACUUAAAAAAGUUUCUUUUGAGACUUACUACAACAACAAUAUUAUGAAUAAUUUUAUCCCUCCAAAUAGUAACAAUUAGCCCUUUCGAAAUUAUCAAUUAAUUUUGUGUACUACCACAAUUUUCACAAUGUCAUUUUAUGGUGACCAUCUCCUUCAAGGAGAAAAUUUUUACUAUUGUCAUGAUUAAAAUUAUUACAUUCAAGACUUAUUUCUUGGUAAUCAAUAACAAAUUUGUGUUUCCACACAACAACAUUUAUUUUGAUCAUGUCCACAACCUUUACAUAAAAGAUUUAUUCUUUCUUUUGUCUCGUUUUAAAAUAUACCACAAUAUUUGUGUAGUAUUCAAAGUAUAUAUAUGACCAAAAUGACUAUUUAUGUCAAAAGAUUUUCUUUCAUCUCUCAAACCUUCCGUAGAGGUGAGAUGUGACAUUCAUCCAAUAAUACAUGAACAUGUUUUUAUCUAUACGAAAACAAGUCACAUUUUCUUAAAAAAAAAUGGACCAUAAUCAUUUGUACAUGUUCCAUAUGUUUUUAUUAGAAACUCAUUGUCAUGUUUUGACAUUAUGUAUCUAUAACAUUCCGGAAAAUUACAUGUCUAGUAAAGAGCCCAAUAGGUCUUUAAGAAUGCGUAUUGGGGAUACAUAGGCAUUCCAAUGCCCAAUAUUGAGAAAUAUUAGGCAUAUUAUAGAAAAUUAGCUAAGGGGUAUAAGCUAAUUUUUAUAUAAUAUUCAAAUAACUAAAAUAUUGGGCAUAUUAUAAAAUAUUGGUUUAAAGGGUGUUAGCCAUUUUUUCUAAGUAUUAAUGAGGUUGUUCAAGAAAUGUACCUGCAAUGAAGAUCCUAAGCUAAAAACAUAUAUUUUCCAACAUUUACACAUUAGGUGCAAGGCAUCCAUGUGUCAAGCCAAGGCACCAUAGCACAUGACCAAUUAAAUUGGGCAUGUAGAUUAAGCAAUGCCCAAGGACAUAGUAAGGAUCCAUGGGACAAUAAGUAAACAUUCCCAAUGAACCAUCAAGAAUAGUUAGUUAGGAAAGUACAAGCAACACAUGUAGAAAAAUGUCCAAGGGAGGGGACCAUCCUAACCGAAUUCGGUUAGGAUAGUUAGGGAGGGGACCAUCCUAAUCACUCUCAAACGCAAAACAGUAAACAAAUGAAAGAAAAAUAGAAAAGUUUCUCUCGAUUUAUCUUAGGAGAUUUUAAGGUUUUCUUCAAGGUUUCGUGAAGGUGAUCUUUGUAGAUUUAAUUCUGCAUAAGGUAUGAAUAUUAUCUCAUGGAAUUCUUUCUCCAUGUGACUUUUCAAACGUUUGAAUUCAUGAACUUUGAAACUAAGUUGUACCCAGAUUAUAUUGUUGAACGUUCAUCUCCCUAGUUAUCCUUAUUUUCGGUUCUUUAAGCAUAUAGAUGUAAUCUUGGACAUAUUGUUGGUAUGUGGUGCUAACUGAUUUUAUAAGUUCUUGAUUUGUUAAUGACUAAUGAAGUUUAUAGAUUGGAAUCAAAUGAUUUGAGUGUUAAUUAUACGAAUUAAGGAAUGAUAUAAUGCUUACUUGUGUUUCAAGAAUAUGAAGUUACUAUGAAUCGGCUAUGGAAUUUAGUUACUGUUAAAAUGUUCAGUUUUGACUGAUUCAUGUUGGGGAAUCACUAUAUUACAUUCAUGAAAUUAUUUGAUGUGGUUAGUGAUAACAUAAUGAAUGUUGUUUAAGUGAAAGUUUUGUUUAUGCCUAUAAAAUGGCUAACAAUGUCUUGCCCAAAAAGUUGAAUGACAUUGGCUUACAAUAUUGCUUUCAAAGAAUGAUGGAAAGAGUGUCUAAUGUAAACCCAACUAAGCAUGACUAAAGUAACUUUGAAUUCAUAACCAAGGUUAUGUCAAUCAUUGGUAUAAGUCGCAACAUACCCUUUCCAAAUGAACUAUGAACAUAGUAACAACAUUGAACAAAGUUCUUAACGUUUAUAAAGAAUGAUAUAAAAAUACCGAAAGACAUGAAAUGAGUUAGGGUGAGUAAUAACAUAAUUAAGUCUUUAAAUUAUGAAGGUGAUUAGUAUGGGGUGUUAAAGGAAGUGAGACAAGUCUCACUUACACCUAAGAUAGCUAUGUUAAAUAUACUCACAAAAGCUGGUGUUAAUAAUCGUGAAACAAGUCUCAUUAACACCAAGAUGAUAAUGUAAGGUUGAAUUUCACAUUUCAUCAAGUAAAUAAAGGAAUGACAAGUUAUCUAAAGAGUUAAGUAAACAUUAUAACUAGAAGCAAGCUUCCAUAAUGUUUGAUUCAACUCUAAAAGAUGUGAAGUAAAAGAAAUUGAGCAAAGUAACGAUAGACUAGCAAUGAGCUUGUUCCAGCACAUGUAAGUCUCAUGAGAUGAGGCUACCACCAAGGUGGAUAAGUAGUCUCCACAGGUAUCCUAGUCUUCGAACUAUGUUUCCACCAUAGGAACUUGCCAGUGGAUCCACCUAAGGGAGCUAGGUAUGAUGCGGUUUCACUUUGACCGUGAAACCACCCCUUUCGGUGUGGGGCAGACAUUGAAUUUCAUGCUUAGCUCACAUAAUCUAUGUCUGUUAAAUGCUCAAAGAAAGUAUUCUAUUCACUUUAUCCGUGAACCACCUAUUUUCAGUGUGGAGAAGACAAUGGACCUGAUUUCACUUUAGCUGGUGAACUACCCUUUUUCGGUGUGGGAUAGACAAUGGAAUUCACGUUAGCUCACAUGAUCUAGAUUCACUUUGAUCGUUGAAUCACCCCUUUUCGAUUUCUGACAGACACUGAAUUUCAUGUUAGCUCGCAUGAUCUUAAUUCUAAAGUUGUCCUUAAGAAAGAAAGAAAGAAGAAGUGAUGUAUGUUCAAUGUGAGCUAACGAAGUAAGAGCUUAAGAAUAUCAAUCUUCAGUGUUUGAUAAGAAUGAAGUUUUCAGCAAGUAAUGGGCAUAGUCAAAUAAAAUUGGCUUAUAAUAACUUCUUAUAUUAUGUCAAUAAAGGGGAGUAAAAGGUAAUGCCUAAUCAAUGCCUCAUAACCUCCAUAAUAUGAAAUUGAUGAAAUAAGUGGCCUAGCCAAUAAAGAUUCGCUUGUAAAGAGUCCAUGCAAAAUCUAACAAGAAUGAAAAGAAUAACUUGUUGUAAGGAUAGCCAAAUCAAUUCCUAAGUCCUUUGAAUUACUUACUUGAUUCAUUGUAGGUAUGAGACUACAAUGAAUCAUUGCACUUGAAAUUAAAAUAUAGGAUCAAAGGAGAUUGUUGAACUACACAACAAAAAGAAGAAAAGACUAAAAAAAAAUAAGUUCAGAAAAAGGUGCUCUCGGGUUUGGGGGAUCAAUUUUUAGAAUUUUCAUUCGAGUUGUUCUACAAUAAUGUUAAUGAUUCUAGGGUCUUAUGUUCAUAUAGAAAAUGAGUUGUGUGCUUUGAAUGCAUUAAAAUACGUCAUAUUCAUACCACAAUUCACAAAUAACUAAGUAGGAAAGUCUAGUGAUGUCACUUUCCAAAAAUGGCAUGUUGUUAUAGGAAGAGCUUUCCUUGAUCAUGUAUAGUCAUUAUGUGUAUGUGUACAUACACCAUACUUAGUAUAAGUGUGUACUAAUCCUAUAUUAUUAUUAUCUUUAUAGGUGCAGGUCAGAGAGAAGGUUGAAGAUUCAUCGAAGCUGUUUGGAUUCUCGAUCUACAGACUUUGGUAGAUCCUCUUGAUGUUCAAGGAUGCUACACUUAUCUAUCUAGCUUCGUACUUUAGACAUAGCUAUUGGAUGUUGUCCCUACAACAAAUUAUUCUUUUCAUUCUUUAACAAUUACCUUUACAUUUGAAGGACAUUGUACUUAAGAUGGUCCUUCAAAUGUAAAGGUAAUUGUUAAAGACAAUUUUUAUCCAUCAAAGUGGUAGAUGGUUGUUUUAAUUUGAGCUUAGUAGAAUAUUAAUCUAUGUAGAAAAUAUAUGAAGUCUAUGUAUACUUCAUUAUGUUUAAAAGUUUUAAAUUUUCCGCAAAUUUAACUAUAUGAAUGUGAUGAAAGCUAAGAAGAGGCUUGUCUGCGACCUUUGAGAGGUUAACAACGCCGGUUGCAUUCGGAUUUCAGAAUCCAGGUGUGACAGUAACUCACCUCAACAUCACUUUGAGAGUUCAAAUGUACCAAAUGUAUUACCACUUUGUAUUCAUUUAUUUUGAUGGAGGAUUUACAAAACUUUUUAAAUUGGGUUUCACCAACAACAAUGUGCCCAACAUCUCAUACCACUUUGAUGGAUAAAAAUUGUCUUUAACAAUUACCUUUACAUUUGAAGGACCAUCUUAAGUACAAUGUCUAAUAACCUUUUAUACAAUUUUAAUGGAAAAAAUUGUCUUCAAAUUUGAAGGAACAUCUUAAGAACCCAUAAUGUUCUUCCUUUUAAUUACCACAAUGAUGACCAUUAACAUUUCACCAUAUCCAUAUUCAUACAUUCAACCACUUGUCAUUUUUUAAAUAUAUUAAUACACUGCUACUGCAUUCACAUAAGGGAAUGAAGCAAAUUAAUUGGGUAAAUUUCAUGAUUUUCGGUCAAAAGUAUAAAUCUUUAUGUUAGUCAUCAUCAUAUCAUCACUAUAAUGCAUUAGGACUUCAACCCAAUGUCUUACCCAUAUAAAGACACCUUUGGUCAUAAAUCAAUAGGACUUCAUGGUGCCCAAUUGACUUUAACUCGAUGUCUUAGCACUUGGUGCGGUGAAACCUGAGUUCACCGUCUUAACCUCAACCAUUGCCUUAACAAACCAAAUGAAUUACCAAAAAUAUAAUUAUCGAAAAUCAUAAAUAUAAUCUGAACUUGACUUGAUAUACAAGAAAAAUGAACAAAUAAAUUAAUUAGAACAUGUUAGCAUCAUCUAAAAGCCCCAAGUUAAAAUAAAUUCAAACAUUUUAAUAGUCCCUCUCAACAUUGUUAUGAAGGUUAUUAUAAUUUACUAACCAUUUUAGAAUAACUACAAAACAAGCUUUGUUAGUACAAAUAAUAUUUUAAUAACUCAACAAGUAAAUGUUCAAAUGAAGAAAAAUAAAGAGGUGCAAAAGUAAACAACAACAAUAAUCCAAUAAAAGAAGAUCAUAAAGAACAAUUUCUUUACAAAUUGUUAACUUACAAACUAAAUUUACUUUUUAAAUAUAUAAGUGAACAAAUUAAAAGUUUACUAAAAGUAAAAGCAACUUGUUGGACUCAUAUGAUUUGGAGAUGGUAAGAAAAAUAAUGAUGCAAAAUCAAAAGUAAAAUAUAAAAUAAAUUAUAUAGAAAUUUACCUUGAGAGAAAAAUAAACACAAAUAUUUUUACCUUCUUUAUGUUGUAUUUGCUUCAAUCCUUCAAUAGUAGAACAAUUGUGUUGAUAACGUGUUGUAAAAAUAAUCCAAACUAACAAUAUAAAGAUAAAGAAAAGAAGAAUAUAAGACAAGAAAUAUAGUAGAUGAAAACAAUAAAAAUAUGGACACAAGAGAUGAUAGCUUUUCUUAUUCAUCAAAGUAUUCAUCAAAUCUUCAAGUGUAUACAAUGUGAACCCUUAUGCCUCUAUUUAUAGUGUAACAUAGAGGCAUACAAAAGGUUAGUCAUAAAAAUGACAUUAACAUGAAUAUAAUGGGAGAUUAUGAAAGUGAAAUGUUACAAGCAUAAUGAUUAUAAAGGUGGAGGUUAUGGAGGUUAUGAUCAUCUUCAUAAUGAGGAAAACAUUUGAGAUAAUGGUGAAUAACUUCUUGGUGUAGUGGAAAUCCACACUAUGAUAUUUUAUAACAAUUGUUGAGUUCUCUACAUACUCACUAUUUAUGUUAUUUAAACGUUACUAUUUAAUUUGAUUUAAAUUCAAUGAAGGAUCGCAAAUUUUUUAUUAUGGUGAACUAGCUUUCAACCUUUAAGUAAUAAAAAUAUGAUUGUAUAAUAUUUAAUUAAAUAUUUUAUGAUAUUUUGAUUUAUCCCAUGGUUACCUUGUAAUUCGACAUUGAUGAUAAAAGCUAAUACGAUAUGAUAUGAUUAAGUAUAUAAUAACUAAUUAAGUCUUUAAAAAAGGGUAAAAAUUGAUCAAGUAUAUAAUAACUAAUUAAGUCUUUAAAAAGGGGUAAAAAUUGAUUAAGUAUAUAUGUCACGACCCAAAACGAGCCGCGAGUGGCACCCACACUUAUCCUACUAUAUGAGUGAACCAACCAAUCUAAACCCCAACAUUUCAACCAUAAGAAACAGAAUAUAAUGCGGAAGACUUAAAACUCAUUAAUAAACAUCGAUUAAAUAACUUCUAAAACUCAAUACUUAUUAUUCCCAAAAUCUGGAAGUCAUCACCACAAGAACAUUCUAUCCUCAAAUUACUAAAUCUAAGAGUAUCUAGGAAGCUAAAAUAAGUAAACAGAUGGUCCAUGUCCGAACUUCAAGGACAUCAAGACAUGAAUGAGAGAGAAUCCAGUCCGAGCUAGGAACAAUAGCUCACCCAGAAAUCUGACGUGAUGAAGACUAGCUAGAGUUGAGGACGAGUUGAAGUCGAUGGUACGUUUGCUUCACUCCACAAAUAACAAAGAAGAAAAUUACAAGUAGGGGUCAGUACAAGGCACAAGUACUGAGUAGGUAUCAUCGACCAACUCAAAAUAGAAAGCAAUAUAUAUCAGAUAAUAACAUAAAAUUGACUACCAUACUCAACUGGUGACAACAACAAGUACCAUAACCAUUGGCCACAACCCAAGCACAUCUAUGAGGACUGAAGCCUCCACACCAUACUCAUUUGGGGAAUAGGUUCUUUAAAUUUGAGUAUAUUAACAUAAUUAAAGAUUCAUUCUCUUUAUUAUCCUGGUGUCAAAACGUGACACUCUGAUCCCCUACUACUACAUGUCGGUUCGUGACACCCGAUCCCCUAAUUCUAUGUGUCGGUUCGUUACACCUAAUCCCCUAAUUCCUGGUGUCGGUACGUGACACCUGAUCCCCUAAUUCUACGUGUCGGUUCGUGAUACCCGAUCCACUAAUCUCAUUCCUUUAGUUCAUCAAACCUUCUUUUAUACCAAGGCAUCAUCAUUAACAAAUUGGAUUUAAGGUUUUUAAGAUUCCACAGUAUCAUCAUUAUAAUCCAUCACCAUUUACAUAAUCACAACAUGCAACAACACAAUUAAGCAUAUAGAAGACUUUACAAUACCACUCAACACAUAUCAUUCGCUAUUAAGAUUUCACUAUGAAAUAGCAUAAACCAUAACCUACCUCCAUCGAAGAAUCGUGAUCAAGCAAUCUACUUCUCCAAUGCUUUUUGCUUUCUCUUCGUUCUUCUUUCUCUCUCGCUCGUUCUCUCUUCUUUUCUUUUUAAUUUUCUCCUCUUUCAAAUUCCCUUUGUUUUACCCUAAUUACCAUAUAAUUAAGUAUAAAAGAUGAUAAAAGUAACCCACUAUUUAUUUUAAGGUUAUCUCCUUUAACCCUCAAGUAAAUAAGUUAUUAAACUUACCCACUAAUUUCAUACAGUUUGACAUAAAUAGUCCAAAACACCCCUUUAAAACUUUAGGAGAAAUCUGACCCAGUCAAGGUUACGCAGCUCGUGACGGCCCAUCGUGCCUGCUACUGUCCGUCCUUCUAUUUCCGUCACAAAGUUCAGAGAGUCGAAUUCAUUAAAGAGUCUGUGACGGUCCGUCGUGCCUACGAUGGUCCAUGCUGCUCUUCCAUCGCGAAGUUCAGAGAGUUGUUUCCCCGUACCCAAAUUUCAGAGUUUAAGUGUUUUGGGAUGGAGACCCUCAACGAUCCGUCGUGUGGUCCGUCGACACAGUCAGUUAUUUUCAAAACUAAACUUUACUACUCGAAAUGACUAAACAGGUUGUUACAAUAGAUACCAAUUUACCCAUCGUUCGUCCUCGAACGAUUACAAGAAGAAAAACAAGGGCAAGAAAGAGUACCUGAAUCUGUGAAAAGGUGUGGAUAUCUUUCUUGCAUAUCAGCCUCCUUCUUCCAAGUGGACUCUUCAACUGGCCGAUUCUUCCAUUGAACCUUGAUGGAUGCAAUCUCGCUUGAUCUCAACUUGCGGACUUCUCUAUCUAAAAUGGCAAAAGGCUCCUCCUCAUAAGACAAAUUCUCAUCAAGAAGAACUGAAUCCCAACGAAUGAUGUAGUUUCCAUCCCAAUGGUAUCUUUUCAGCAUAGACACAUGAAAUACCGGGUGCACUCCAAAGAGUCCUAGGGGCAAGGCUAAUUCAUAAGCUACCUCCCCCACGCGGUUUAGAACUUCAAAUGGACCAAUGUACCUCAGACUCGCUUACCUCGCUUACCGAACCGCAUCACCCAUUUCAUGGGUGAAACCUUCAGCAAGACUUGUUCACCCUUCAUAAAAUCCAAGUCUCUAACCUUUCGAUCUGCAUAUUCUUUCUGUCUACUUUGAGCCGCUAAAAGCUUUUCUUGAGUGCAUUUCACUUUAUCUAACGAUUCCCUCAGAAGGUCAGUACCCCAAGGUCUAACCUCAAAUGCAUCAAACCACCGAAUGGGAGACCUACAUCUUCUCCCAUAUAGUGCCUUAAAUGGGGCCAUAUCAAUACUUGAGUGAUAGCUAUUGUUGUAUGAGAAUUCUUCUAAGGGUAAGAAGUUAUCCCAAUGACCACCAAAUUCUAUCACACAUGCACGAAGCAUAUCCUCCAAAACCUGAAUUGUUCACUCAGACUGACCAUCAGCCUGAGGGUAAAAUGCAAUACUAAGGUCUAACCUAGUACCUAAUUCAGCAUGCAAUUUUCUCCAAAACUUAGAAGUAAACUGCGUACCUCUAUCUGAUAUGAUGGAAAGUGGAACUCCGUGCAAUCGAACAAUUUCUGAGAUAUAAAGUUUGGCUAACUUCUCUGCAUUGUAAGUCACCUUAACCGGAAUGAAGUGAACAGACUUAGUUAAUCUGUCAACAAUCACCCAAAUAGAGUCAUACUUACCCAUUGUCUUUGGAAGACCAACCACGAAGUCCAUUGCAAUUCUCUCCCACUUCCAUUCAGGGAUGGGCAUUCUCUGAAGUGUCCCUCCAGGCUUCUGGUGUUCAUACUUUACCUGCUGACAAUUCAGGCUUUGAGCAACAAAAUCAACAAUGUCACGCUUCAUCCUAAACCACCAAAAAUAUUACUUUAGGUCAAGAUACAUCUUGGUUGCACCAGGAUGUAUAGAAUACCUUGAACUAUAAGCCUCUGUAAGAAUAGUGUAAAUCAAAUCAUUGACGCGGGGUACACAUACCCUUCCCUUAAUUCUCAAAACACCUUCCUCAUCGAUUUUUGCUUCUUUAGCCUCUCCUCGCGAUACCUUAUCUCGAAUCCGGAUCAGUUUCUCAUCAAUAAACUGUUUUCCCUUAAUCUUGUCAAGAAAGGAAGAUCUUGCCUCCACACAGGCCAAAAAUCCUCCUUUCUCUAGUACUUCCAGCCUCAUAAAGUCAUUAGCCAGAGUCUGAACCUCUCUAGACAAUGGGCGUCUAGAAACCUGCAAGUGAGCUAGACUUCCCAUGCUUCCUGUCUUUCUACUUAAAGCAUCUGCCACAACAUUAGCUUUUCCCGGAUGAUACAAGAUAGUGAUAUCAUAGUCCUUCAGUAGUUCCAUCCAUCUCCUCUGUCUCAAAUUCAAAUCUUUCUGAGUAAAGACAUACCUGUAAACUACGAUGAUCCGUAUAGACUUCACACUUAACCCCAUAUAGAUAAUGUCUCCAUUGCUUUAAUGCAAACACUACUGCAGCCAACUCCAAAUUAUGGGUCGGAUAAUUACGUUCAUGCACCUUUAAUUGCCUCGAAGCAUUAGCAAUUACAUUCUUCUCUUGCAUUAGCACUGCACCCAAACCAGAAUAGGAUGCAUCACAGUAAACAAUGAAAUUGUUACCUUCCACUUGCAGGGUAAGAAUUGGUGCAGUAGUCAACAAAGUCUUGAGCUUCUGAAAGCUUUCUUCACACUCGUCCGACCAUACAAAUGGAACACUCUGCUUAGUCAAGUUUGUCAAUUGGGAAGCAACAGAAGAAAAUCCCUUGACAAAUCGAUGGUAGUAGCUAGCUAAACCAACGAAGCUCCUUACCUCUGUAACAUUAGUAGGUCUCACCCAACUCUUCACUGCUUUGAUCUUAGAAGGAUCCACCAUUACUCCAUCCUUAGAAACUACGUGCCCCAAGAAGGACACUGAAUCUAGACAAAACUCACACUUGGAGAAUUUGGCAUAAAACUUUUUCUCCCUGAACAUUUCCAAUACAAUUCUCAAGUGCUCCUCAUGUUCUUUCUUGCUCUUGGAGUAUACCAGUAUAUCAUUAAUGAAUACAAUGACAAAGAGAUCCAGAUAUGGCUUAAAAAUCCUGUUCAUCAAGCUCAUGAAAGCAGCAGGGGCAUUCGUAAGCCCAAAAGACAUUACUAAGAACUCAUAAUGUUCAUACCUGGUCCGGAAAGCAGUUUUUGGCACAUCUGUUGCCCGUAUUUUCAAUUGAUGAUAACCAGAUCUCAAAUCGAUUUUUGACAAGGUACAAGCACCUUGUAACUGAUCGAACAAAUCAUCGAUGCGAGGAAUAGGAUACUUAUUCUUAAUAGUUACCUUAUUCAGUUGUCUGUAGUCUAUGAACAUCCGAAAACUUCCAUCCUUCUUCUUCACAAACAAAACAGUAGCACCCCAAGGGGAAGCGCUUGUUCUAAUGAAGCAUUUUCCUAACAACUCUUGAAGUUGGGCCUUUAACUCCCUUAACUCAGCGGGAGCCAUUCUAUAAGGGGGUAUGGAAAUGGGGCAAGUACCCGGCUCCAGAUCAAUGCAAAAUUCAAUAUCCCUAUCCGGUGGCAUACCAGGAAGGUCUGCAGGAAACACAUCCAAAAACUCAUGGACUAUCGAAAUCGACUCAAUUGAAGGUACUUAGGUAGUAUCAUCCCUGAUGUGUGCCAAGAAAGCUAAACACCCUUUACUAACCAUUCUCUUAGCACGAAGAAAGGAGAUGAUACGAACUAGAGUGGAAGUGUAGUCACCCUCCCAUACUAACGGAUCUGUCCCAGGCUUGGCCAACAUUACAGUUUUAGCAUUACAAUCUAAGAUUGCAAAAUUUGGAGAAAGCCAAGUCAUACCCAGAAUUACAUCAAAGUCAACCAUUUCUAGGAUAACCAAGUCUACAUGAGUAUUGCUCCCCACAAAAGCCACAAGACAAGACCUAUACAUCUUUUCAACUAUCACAGACUCACCCACCGAAGUAGAAACACGAAUAGGCAUGUCAAGCAAAUCACAAUGUAAAUCAAAACCAGUAGCAAAUGAGGAAGAUACAUAUGAAAAUGUGGAGCCAGGAUCAAAUAAUACAGAAGUUAUGCAAUCACAAACCAAAAGAUUACCUGUGAUAACAACAUCAGAUGUCUCCGCUUCAGACCUCCCAGGGAAAGCAUAACAAUGGGCCCUAUCACCUGUCUGCCCAUUGCCCCUACCAUGUUGCGCUGCAGUAGUUCCACUUUGCCCGCCACCCCGGUUGAUUUGGUGACCUCCAUUACCUUGGCCACCCCGUCCUCCAGAAUAGCGGCCUCUUCCAUGACCACCUCUACCUCUAAAUAUUGGGGGUCUAUAGCUCUGUUUUGGACAAUACCUCCUAAUAUGUCCAGUCUCCCCACAUCCAUAACACUCUCUGGGUUCAAGCAUAGGUCUCUGUGAGAACGACGGAGUCUGGGGAUAACCCCCAAACUCAGAGAAGUGUUGACCAGUCUGCGGUGGACCCCCAGUUACAGCCUGCAGUGAGGACUGAAUAGGUCGGGCUGGGUAACCUCCUAAACUCUGCCCUCUGGAGUAAGACCCACCAAACUCACCUCCCUUACAAAACUUCUUAGGUGUCGAUGCCAUGGUGAAGUCGUCUUGCUUCACUCCCUCCACUUCUAUCAAAAAAUCUACCACCUCCUGAAAGGAUUUUGCUACAGUAGCUACCUGUAAGGCUGGAAUCUACAAAUCUGACCUCAAUCCCUUUACAAAACGGCGAAUCCGCUCUUGUGGACUGAAGCAAAGCUGGGUGGCAUACCUGGAUAAUGCACGAAACUUAGCCUCAUAAGUAGUAACCGACAUCCUGCCUUGUUCUAGGCUCAGGAAUUCAUCCCUCCUCCUAUCCCUCAAGGUCCGGGGUAUAUACUUCUCUAUAAACAAGCUAGAGAAUGAUGCCCAAGUCAUAGGUGGUGCAUGUGCUUGUUGACACUCAACAUACGAUCGUCACCACAUUUUCACAUUUCCCUGAAACUGAUAGGUUACAAACUCAACAUCGAAUCGUUCCACUAUGCCCAUCUUAUGUAGCAGCUCAUGACAAUCAACCAGAAAAUCAUAGGCAUCCUCAGAUUCAGCACCCUUGAAGACUGGAGGUUUCAAUUUCAAGAACUUCGUGAAAAGUUUGUCCUGAUCACUCGUCAUUAUAGGCCCUGUAGUCAAUCGAGGAAACGUGCCUAUUUCCAAUGAGGCAUCCAUGUGGGGAGCCACAGCAGCUGCAUGUUGUACUCCCGGAACCUGCGGUGCUGGUGAAGAAAACACCAGAGGCGUUUGGCCUUGAUCGGAUAACCCGCUAAGAUAAGCAAGAACCUGGUUAAUCAUCUCUGGGGUAGGUUGGGGUGGUAAUUCAUCAUUCUGCACUUGCUCAUUCUCCCCUUCCUCACCCUCUCUUACUACUUCCUCAGUCGGUGGAGGAGUCACCGCCCUAGUACUAGAUGGGCCAGGUGCUUGUCCUCUUCCUAUAGAAGACGUCCUCCCGCGACCUCUACCACGGCCUCUUGCCACUGCUCCUCUUCGAGCUACAGCCUCAGUGGCUGGCUCAGAUGCAUCCUGUCUUGCCAGUGUUGGUGUUGGCGCGGUUGUUGCUCUAGUUCUAACCAUCUGGGAAAUAGAGUGGAGAUGGUCAGAUACCAAUUUGUAUCACCUAGAUACCAAUUGGAUCCAAGUAAUAGCAUGAAAGAAAGAAAGAACGGAAUUUUUCUAAAGUCCUAUAGCCUCUCAGAGAAAAGUAAAGGCGUCCCCCUACCGUUCCUCAAGACUCUACUAGACUCGUUCUUGUGUGAUGAGACCAACGAACCUAAUGCUCUGAUACCAAGUUUGUCAUGACCCAAAACGAGCCCCGAGUGGCACCCACACUUAUCCUACUAUGUGAGCGAACCAACCAAUCUAAACCCCAACAUUUCAACCAUAAGAAACAGAAUAUAAUGCGGGAGAAUUAAAACUCAUUAAUAAACAUCGAUUUAAUAACUUCUAAAACUCAAUACUUAUUAUUCUCAAAAUCUGGAAGUCAUCACCACAAGAACAUUCUAUCCUCAAAUUACUAAAUCUAAGAGUAUCUAGGAAACUAAAAUAAGUAAACAGAUGGUCCAUGUCCGAACUUCAAGGACAUCAAGACAUGAAUGAGAGAGAAUCCAGUCCGAGCUAGGAACAAUAGCUCACCUAGAAAUCUGACGUGAUGAAGACUGGCUAGAGUUGAGGACGAGUUGAAGUCGAUGGCACGUUUGCUUCACUCCACAAAUAACAAAGAAGAAAAUUACAAGUAGGGGUCAGUACAAGGCACAAGUACUGAGUAGGUAUCAUCGACCAACUCAAAAUAGAAAGCAAUAUAUAUCAGAUAAUAACAUAAAAUCGACUACCAUACUCAACUGGUGACAACAACAAGUACCAUAACCAUUGGCCACAACCCAAGCACAUCUAUGAGGACUCAAGCCUCUACACCAUACUCAUUUGGGGAAUAGGUUCUUUAAAUUUGAUUAUAUUAACAUAAUUCAAGAUACAUUCUCUUUAUUAUCCUGGUGUCGGAACGUGACACUCCGAUCCCCUACUACUACAUGUCGGUUCGUGACACCUGAUUCCCUAAUUCUACGUGUCGGUUUGUGACACCCGAUCCCCUAAUUCCUGGUGUCAGUACGUGACACCCGAUCCCCUAAUUCUACGUGUCGGUUCGUGACACCUGAUCCCCUAAUCUCAUUCCUUUAGUUCAUCAAGCCUUAUUUUUACCAAGGCAUCAUCAUUAACAAAGUGGAUUUAAGGUUUUUAAGAUUCCACAGUAUCAUCAUUAUAAUCCAUCACCAUUUACAUAAUCACAACAUGCAACAACACAAUUAAGCAUAUAGAUGACUUUACAAUACCACCCAACACAUAUCAUUCGCUAUUAAGAGUUCACUUGAAAUAGCAUAAACCAUAACCUACCUCCACCGAAGAAUCGUGAUCAAGCAAUCUACUUCUCCAAUGUUUUUUGCUUUCUCUUCGUUCUUCUUUUUCUCUCGCUCGUUGUCUCUUCUUUUAUUUUUAAUUUUCUCCUCUUUCAAAUUCCCUUUAUUUUACCCUAAUUACCAUAUAAUUAAGUAUAAAAGAUGAUAAAAGUAACCCACUAUUUAUUUUAAGGUUAUCUCUUUUAACCCUCAAGUAAAUAAGUUAUUAAACUUACCCACUAAUUUCAUACAGUUUGACAUAAAUAGUCCAAAACACCCCUUUAAAACUUUAGCAGAAAUUCGACCCAGUCAAGGUUACGCAGCUCGUGAUGGCCCAUCGUGCCUGCGACGGUCCGUCCUGCUAUUUCCGUCACAAAGUUCAGAGAGUCGAAUUCAUUAAAGAGUCUGUGACGGUCCGUCGUGCCUACGACGGUCCGUGCUGCUCUUCCGUCGCGAAGUUCAGAGAUUUGUUUCCCCAUACCCAAAUUUCAGAGUUUAAGUGUUUUGGGACGGAGACCCUCGAUGAUCCGUCAUGACCUCGACGAUCCGUCGUGACUACGACAGUCCGUCGUGUGGUCCGUCGACACAGUCAGUUAUUUUCAAAACUAAAGUGUACUGCUCGAAACGACUAAACAGGUCGUUACAAUAUAAUAACUAAUUAAGUCUUUAAAAAAGGUUAAAAAAGUCUAGCAACUUUCUCUUGAUAUUUUCGUCUUUCAUUUUUGAUUUAAUACUAUCCCACUUUCAACAUUUACUAUAUGAUAUUCUUGUUAUUUAAUAUUCAAUUAAUUAGAUGAUUUAUUAUUUUUUAUUGAGUGGAGGAGACAUAUAUAUAUAUAUAUAUAUAUAUAUACACACACACGCACACACACACACACACAUUGUUUUAUCAAUUAAAACUUUUCACAUCUUUCCUUACGAGAAUUAUGAUUAUAAUUAAGUCAAGAACAAAGUAUCAUGUUUGAAUACUUAUUUUUUAUGUUGAAACUUAUGCUCUUAAAUUUGUUUGUAAUUAUCUCUCAUUCUCGGCUAGCCAUUUGGUGUUUUAAUAUAAGUUUUUCUUUACAUAUUUAUUAGAGUCGUUUGUUUUUAUGAAUCAUUUUUUAUUCUCGCUCAACUUGCAUUUUUUAGGGCAUCAUGGGAAAAUCACCAUUUAGAUUCUUAUAAAUAAUGUAAGGAUGGGUCGGCUCAUCCUCAGAAUUUAAAAAAAAUGAUAGAACAAAGUCACUUGAUUUUCGUAACACAUUGGUUCGACUCGUAAAUUCGUCGAUUAUUCUAUCACAACCCUAGUAGCCAAGUGUUGAUAUUUCAUUCUAACUUAAAAUUCUUAUCAUUUUUGAGUGCAAUAUAAUCAUGAAUUAAGGGCUUUUGUCGACUCUCUGAUCUUAGAAAAGAAAGGUUAUUUUGUUUCCAACGAUUUUAGUAAGUAUCAUUGGUACAAAUCCAUUUUAUUAAUUGAUUUGUUGAUAUUUUUGGCCAUCUUUUAAAUCUCAUUCUAACCUAAGAUUCUUGUGGUUCUUGAGGACAUGAGAAACAAGAUCAGAAACUUUUUGUCGAUUCGUUGAUCUGAAAAAUGGAUAGUGAUUUUCAUUUCUAAUGAUUUUAGUAAGUACUAGUCUUGCACACGUAUAACACACGUGUAUCUCAUCCUAAUUUUAUAUAAUCAUUAGAAUUAAUGAUAAAUGUAUUUUUCAAUAGAACAAAGUUUUACAAUUAAUAGAAAUUUCAUUUUGACCUAUGAAAGUAUCCUUGCAAUGAAAAAGAAAUUCUAGCCUGAAGUUUUUGUUAGAGAACUGAUUGGUUAAAGACCAAAGGUGAUAAGAAAAGUCAAAAUAAAAUAUGCUAUCAAAUCACGUUAACAUUCAGUGAAAUCCAUGCAACAAGUAAUAAAAGUAGCAAAAUAUAAAGAUAAUGUAAUUUUUUUCUUAAGUUUAUUUUAAAGAUAGUUUUUUAAAAUUUUUACUUAUUAAGUUUACAAGUUAAGUCUAUAAGUUUUCAAGAUUUGAAUCUUUUGAAGUUUAUAAGCUAUUACUUAUUAAUAUGUUAUAAAUUUGUAAUUUUAAAAAAAUAAAUAAAUAUAAGAAUAAAAAAUUACACAAAUUAAAAAAUAUAAUAUAAAAAAUAUAAACUAUAAACUAUAAUAUAGGUUAAUUAAUAAAUAAUAAUUAAUCGGAAACCGAACCGACACCGAACUGGACCGGCAUCGAACCAGACCGGAUCGGGAUCUGGAUAAAUCGAUACAGGUACACCGGUAUCAAAUCACGAUUACAUUCGUUUCGUUUACCGAUUCAUGGUGUCUCGUUCCGUCUCGUAGGCAAUCAAAUCGGUGCAAACUGAAACGGUAUAGAUCCGUUGCCCAGUCUUACUUAAGAGUAACUUAACAAAAAACUUUCUGUUAAUAAUUAGGUUUAUUUAUAUGACCCAUUGGUGACAUUUAUGAAUAUGAAUUUUGGAUAUAACUCAAUCCAAAAGUAAGAAUGAUUUUUCAAAAAUCUGAAGUAUUCCUUAACGGGAGCAUGCACAAUAUACCAUGGAGUUCAAUAAUAAAUCAAAACUAUUUUAACAGACUUUGAUACCAAGUAAAUAUAUAGAAAAAGAAAAUUUAUCUAUAUACUCCCUCUAUCGCUAAUUACUUGUUCAUAUUUUCUCUUCCUCUUUAGAUGUUCCCAUUUACUUGUCCAUUUUGACAAAUCAAGAAAGAACAAAAAAUAAAUUCUAUUGUAUCCUUAUUUAAAUUUUUUAAAAAUUUCUAAGUUUUAAUUUAUGUUUUUUGAAAUCAUAUUUAAUAAAGGUAAAAUUAUAAUUUUACUAUAUUAACUAUUAUUAUCUUAAUAUGUGUGUCUCUUCUAAAGUGAACAGCUAAAUAGGCACAGAGAAAGUAUAUAUAACUUAUAAGGAUAUCAACUUUUUUUUUAAAUGUUGCAAUUAAUUCUCAUGGCUCUAUAUAUAAGGAUAUCAACUUUUUUUUUUAAAAUGGUGCACUUAAUUCUCAUGGCUCUAUAUAUAAGGAUAUCAACUUUUUUUUAAUGUUGCACUUAAUUCUCAUGUCCCACAUAAUGUUCACUGAGUCAAACAAUUAACUUUGAAAUUUGAUCCAAAUACAGAAAUUUUAUCUCAAAUAUUGCCACACAACACAUCUAGAUUCUUCCAUUAAACAACUUUAUGCCUAUAAAAAGGAAAACUCCCAAAUGAAAAAAGUGGAAAGUUAUUUUGGUUGAGAAGAACCAAAACAACUUUUCCAGCAAAGAAAAAGUUAGCCCAGAAAACCUAAAAAGGAAAAAAAGAGGCAAAACAGAGAGUUUUAGGAAUUUUUCUUUAACAAGGGUGGUUGCCCCUCUCUUGUUUAGCCAAUGAUUUUUAUUUUUAUUUUUCAGAAGCAACAACCCUUGGAUUCAUGUUAAUUUCUUGGAAAUGACUGGAUCAUUCAAAGGGCAAUUAUACUAUAUUCCACCACUCUUGCAAAUAAUCUUGGUUCUUUUUUUAUUUUUUUUGUUGUUACUCUCUCUACGGUAUGUAUGUGUGUUGUAUUAGAGGCGAUGAUGAUGAUGAUAAUAAUAAUUUUUCGAAUUCUAGGCUAACUGGAUUGGGGAUGGAGACUAUGCGAUCCGUAUCUUGGCUUGGCAAAUCAUCUUGAUUUUGCAGCCAUGGCGUGGUUGCCUCUCUUUCGUCCUCAUCUCUUUGCAGAUCUGAGCCUCCAAAUUGUUAUCAACAACAUUUGAAUUUCUUGAAAUAGUAAUUCAAAAAUUGUUUUUCAUUUUUUUGAAAAAAUAAUAUAUUAUGAUCUUUUAUUAUCUAUCAAUCUGAUUUUUUUUAUUUAUUUAUUACCUUAAAAUCAUAAUGAACUUGAUGUAGAAAUUUCUCGAUUUUAGGUUUGUGACUUUUUGAUGAAAUUUACAAGUUGUGUUUUUUUUAAUAGUUGUGAUUUUUCCCACUGGUAUAAGAAAUAGUUGUGGUAUAUAAUAAAGAGUUGGACUUUUUAGGAGUAUGAUUUUUUGGAAUGGUCCAGAAAAUGCUUGUUUAUGCAACUCUUUGUUGAAUAUAGGCCUAAUUCAUCGGUGGUUCUUAAAAUUGAUUUUAACUUUCAAUUAGAUACUCUAAUUAGAUUUUGUUGAUUUAUAUUUUAAGGUAGGUUUUCACGAUAUUAUUUUGAUAUGUUUUGCUUACAAGGUAUAAUGAGUAUUGUACACACUCACUAUGCGUAAAAGUCUUAUUCACAAUUUUAUUAAAAAAAACUCUUUUUCUUCAUUUUCUAGCUACAAUGUCCGAAACGUAUUAUAAAAAUCUAUGAUAAAAUAAAUUUCGUAAUAUCACAAAUAAAAAAGUAAAUUUCAGCUCAUAAAAUUUUUCAAAAGUUUAAAUUUUAUAUUAUGAAAUAAUAAUUAAUUUCUUUUUCAUGAAUCACAAUAUUUGAAAAAAAAUAUAUAUUACAUUAUUAAUCAAUAACUUAAAAGAAAAGAAGAAAAUAUCAUAUUUUUUAAGAUAAUUUUUUCAAACUAAUUAAGUUCUUUUAAAAGUAUCUUUUGAAAAUUUGAUAUGAGAAGAAACGGGAUACAAGUUGGAGUUGGUGAGGGCGGAGAGGAGGAUCUGGUGACUGGUGGGGUGAAGGAAUGAUUGCGGUUGCGGUGGAGAGGAAGAUCUGAUGGCUGGUAGGGUGGAAGAGUUGUAGGGGUUGGGGUUGGGGUGGGUGUGGGUGGAGAAGGAAACUGGGUCGGGUGGGUGAAGAAGACGACGGGGUUGAGCUGGAAUAAUUAUUUCAUUCUUAUUAUUGAGUUUAAAAUGACAUACGUCAUCAAAUUUUUGGCUUUUUUUCUACUCAAAAGUCAUUAUACAUAUAUAUAUAUAUAUAUAUAUAUAUAUAUAUAUAUAUAUAUAUAUAUAUAUGUUACGUGUCUUUAUUUGAUUCAUCACUUUGACAAAUUAUCAACAAGUGUAUUAUAUACACUUGUAUAUUUGAGUGAUUGUAAAAAAAGUGUCAAAAAGCCAUAAUAUAACCUUACAUAAAGUGUCUAAAAUGAAAAAAAGUUUAGUUAAAGUGUCUAAGAAAGUUAUUGUCAAUUUUAGGGGGUCAUCGAUGGGUUAGGCCUUGACUAUAAAUAGAGAAGUUUAUCUAUUCUUUUUCUUGCAUUUUAUUUUUUUUAAAAUUUAAUUAUGGAUAGUCCAAUAACUAUAUUUGAUUUGUGUAAACAUUAAUUUAGGGAACGUGUAUUCCGUACUAAUUAAUAUAGAAUCAUUAGAAUUAAUAAAUAAUUUUCUAAUAGAACAAAGUUUUAUAAUUAAUAGAAAUUUCAUUUUGUACUAUGAAAGUAUCUUUGCUGAAAAAUAUUUUUCUAGCCUGAAGAUUUAGUUAGAGAACUGAUUGGUUAAAGACUAUAUGUGGCAACAAAAUUAAAAAUAAAUAGGCUAAGCAAUCACGUGAAUAUCUAGCAAAAUACAUGCAACAAGGAAUAGAAAUAACAAAAUAUAAAGAUAAUAACAAUGACCUACAUACUUGAUAACAAUUCAUAUGUUCUUUAUAUAAAAAAGAAGAUAAAAAAUAAAAAUUAGAAGUAAUUGAAGUAGUCAACAUCAUUACAGAUAUGAUAAUUUCUUCUUCUACUAUCUAAAUCAAUUUGCCUUAAAAAAUAAAUUACUACACAUUGAGUUUUGAAUUGCAACCCCAUUACAUAUCCAUAUUAUGUGAGUUUUUAAUAAGUUAACAUUAAAAAUAAACAAUAAAUAUGUCAAAUCACUUUAUUUGAACUAACUUUUUAGUUUCUGAAAACUUUUUACACUUCCCAAAAAUGUGCACAAGCAGAAAUAUUUAUUGUAGAUCAUUUAAUGAUAAUAAAUCAAAUAUUGUGAAAUAACAAUGAAUGUGAAGUUCGUUAAAAUUAAUUAAUAGAUGAAAAGAAGAAAAAAUUAAAAUAAUUAGUAGUAAUAAUUGAGAUAAUUCAUAUUGUUAUAAAUGAAGUAUUUUAGAGGCAACUCAUAUGUGUAAGUUAUAUUACGUAUGCACAUAAUAGGUGAAAAAAAAUUAACUGAUUAAAAAAGAUAUUGUUCAACUUUUCAUUUAUGUAAGAAUUUAGGGAAAAUACCCAAGUACCCCCUCGACCUAUGCCCGAAAUUCCAGAGACACACUUAUAUUAUACUAAGGUCCUAUUACCCCCCUGAACUUAUUUUAUAUGUAAUUUUCUACCCCUUUUUAGCCUACGUGGCACUAGUUCGAAAAAAAAAGUCAACCAUCGUUGGGCCCACAAGAUAGUGCCACGUAAGCUAAAAAGGGGUAAAAAAUUAUUAAUAAAAUAAGUUCAGGGGGGUAAUAGGACCUUAGUAUAGUAUAAGUGUGUCUCUGAGAUUUCGGGCAUAGGUUGAGGGGGUACUUGGGCAUUAUCCCAAGAAUUUACUUACAAAAGUACGUAAUGAGCGAAUAAAUUAGUUUCAUACAUAUAGGGAGAAUUGAAUAUGGAGGGUUAAAAUAUAAUUGUUGAGUUUUCAACAUACUAGCUAUUUGUGUUAUUUAAACAUUACUAUUUGAUUUGAUUUUAAUUCAAUGAAGGACCGAAAAUUUUGUCCAGUAGUAAACUUGCAUUCAACCUUCAAGUAAUUAAAAUAUGAUUGUAUAAUAUUUAAUUAAAUAUUUUAUGACAUAUUUAAAUUUAUCUCAAUGAUAACCUUGUAAUUCGAUGUUGAUUAUAAAAACUAAUAUAAUAUGAUACGAUUAAAUAUAUAAUAACUAAUUAAGUCUUUAAAAAAGGGUAAAAAACCUUGCAACUUUCCCUUGACAUUUUCAUCUUUCAUUAUACUAUCUCACUUUGAACAUUUACUAGAUGAGAUGCUUGUUUUUUAAUAUUCAAUUUAUUAGAUGUUUUAUAAUUUUUUAUUGAGUGGAGUGACAUUGCGUAUACAUUGUUUUAUCAAUUAGAAAUUUUCGUAUUCUUCUGUUACGAGAAUUAUGAUUAUAAUUAACUCAAAAACAAUAUAUCGUGUUUGAAUACUUAUAUUUUGAGUUGAAAAUUAUGUUCUUAAAUUUGUUCAUAAUUAUCUCAAAUUCUUGGCUAACCUGGUGAUUUAAUAUAAGUUUUUCAUUACAUACUAUUAUAGUCGUAUACUUUUAUGAACCAUUUUUUAUUCUCGCUCAACUUGCAUUUUUCUAAGGGCAUCAUGGAUAAAUCACCAUUCAGCUUCUUAUAAAUAAUGUUAGGAUGGGUCGAUUCAUUCUCGGAAUUUUCUUAAAAAAUGAUAGAACAAAGUCUCAACUCGUAAGUUCUUCGAUUAUACUAUCACAACCCUAGUAGCCAAGAGUUGAUAUUUCAUUCUAACUUAAGAUUUUUAUGGUUUUUUAAUGCAAGAAAAUCAUGAAUUGAGGGUUUUUAUGUCGACUCUUUGACCUUACAAAAGAAAGGUUAUAUUGUUUCCAACGAUUUUAGUAAGUAUCAUUGGCACAAAUCCAUUUUAUUAAGUAAUUUAUUGAUAUUUUUGUCAUCGUUAAAAUCUCAUUCUAGCCUAAGAUUCUUGUGGUUCUUGAGUGCAUGAGAAACAAGAACAGAAGGUUUUUGUCGAUUCGUUGAUCUGAAAAUUAGACAAUGAUUUUCAUUUCUAAUGAUUUUAGUAAGUAAUAGUCUUGGACACGUGCAACAUACGUGUAUCCUAUACUAAUUUAUAUAAAAUUAUUAGAACUAAUGAUAAAUGUAUUUUUUUAAUAGAACAAAGUUUUACAAUUAAUAGAAAUUUUUUUUUGACCUAUGAAAGUAUCCUUGCAAUGAAAACAUUUUUCUAACCUGAAGAUUUAGUUAGAGAACUGGUUGGUUAAAGUCUUAAGGUGACAAAAAAAUUAAAAAUAAAAUAUGUUAUCAAUUAACGUUAACAUCCAGCGAAAUACAUGCAACAAGUAAUAAAAGUAGCAAAAUAUAAAAAUAACAACAAUGACCUACAUACUUGAUAACAAUCCGUAUGUUCUUUGUAGAAAAAAGAAAAUACAAAUAAAAAAUUAGAAAUAAUUGAGUUAGUAAAAAUUCUUGUUGGUAUAAUAAUUUCUUCUUCCGUUAUUCAAAUCACUCCACCGUAAAAAUAAAUCACUACACGUUGACUUUUAGAUUUAAAAUCAUCAUACAUUCAUAUAUGUAAGUUUUUUUCUAUAAAUUUACAUUAACGGUAAAUAAUAAAUAUAUAAAAUCAGUUUAAUUGAACUUACUUUUUAGUUUUCCAAUGAACUAUUACACUUUCAAAAGUUGUGCAUAUGCAUGUCCAUGUGCAGAAGAAUUUACUAUAAAUUUUUUAAUGAAAAUAAUCAAAUAUUGUGAAAAUAACAAGAAAAGUGGAAGGUUGUCAAAAACAAUUAUUAGGUUAGAAGAAGAAAAAUUAAAAUAAUUAAUAUUAAUAAUUAGGUAAUUCAUAUGGUUAUAAAUGAAGUUUUUAGAGGCAAAACAUAUGUAUAAGGUACAUUACAUAUACUCAUAAUGGCUGAAAAAAUAAACUUGACUCAUUGAAAUUGUGCCACUUGUCAUUUCUGUAAGAAGUUACUUACAAAAGUACGUAAUGGACGAAAAAAUUUGUUUCACAGAUUUAGGGAGAAUUGAAUGUAGAGGGUUAAAAUAUGAUUGUUGAGAUUUCUAUUUACUCACUAUUUGUUAUUUAAUUUAAUUAUGAUUUAAUGAAGGACCGCAAAUUUUGUAAUGUGAUGAAGUUACAUUCAAUCUUUAAGUAAUUAAAAUAUGAUCGUAUAAUAUUCAAUUAAAUAUUUUAUGAUAUUUUUAUUUAUCAUUAAUUAUCACAAUGAUGUACUUGCAAUCCGACGUUAAUUCUAAAAGUUAAUACAGUAUGAUAUGAUUAAAUAAAGUCUUUAAAAAGGGACAAAAAUGUUAACUCAAGAACAAAAUAUCAUGUUUGAAUACUUAUUUUUUGAGUUGAACCUUUGUUAUGAUUUUCUACAAAAUGAAGUUAAAGUCAAUUAAUUUUAUUUUUAUUUUUAAAAACAACUAACAAAAUACUAAGAAUUGUUAUAAGUAAAAUAUAAUUUAUGAAAACAAAGAAACGCAUGUAAUAGAUAAUGUUUGAUAAAAUGACAAUUUUAUUUAUUUUCUACCUCUAAAUGAUGAAUAAAAACAAUAUGACAAUUUCACCUAUUUUUAAAAAAAAUUAUAAAAAAGUCAUAAAUCAGAACUAAAACAAAAAUCAUAUUUUGAGCUGAUACUUGUCAUCUUUUUUUUAAAAAAAAAAUGAAAUUAAUCUACUUAAUCUUAAAAAAGAAAAGAAAGACAUAUAAAAAAUGUAUUUAUACAAAUAAGGAAAUAUUUAUAGCCAAUGAGUAGGGGUGUUCGUGGUUCAGUUUGGAUCGGUAAUCAGUUAAAAUCAAAAUGAAAUCAAUCUAGUCGGUUUUUAAAAUUUAUAAAACCAAAUCAAAUCAAAAGAAAAACAUAACCGUCGGUUUGAUUACUGACUGUUUGAUUCACUUUUUCUAAUUUUUUAGUUUGAAAGUAAUAAUCUUUAAGGACAUAUGUAUCUUGAUAGGCUCAAAUACCUAUUAUAUGAAUUAUCCACUGAAAAGAUAUUGUUGGUUCCAUUAAGCAAUUAAACAAUACUAAAGUUAUUAAUACAUGAAUAAAGUGUUUGAAUUAAGAAAAGGUGUAACUAUCUUAUGAAAUAUAUGGUAGAUAAAGACUAAAGUAAUGAAUUUUGAUGCAGUUGAACUUAUGAUUGUAAUAUAUGGGCUAAAAUUUAUAUGUUGAGCUUGAGAAAAUUGCAAGUUAAAGACUUAUAUUACUUAAAAUUUAACAAAAUAUUUAUAUUUUAUUUAUGAACAAUAUAUUUAUAAAAUUUAUUGGUUCGAUUUGGUUAUUUUUACAGUUAUUUUUUAGUAAAAUUAAAGUCAAAUCAAAUAGUAUCGAUUUUCCAAAAUGCAAAAUCAAAUCUAAUCACAUCAAAUCAAAUAUCGUUUUUUUAAAAAAUUGGUUUGAUUCAUAUUGUGAUUCGACUUUAUUUCUUAACCCUAAUCAUGAACAACCCUACCGGUGAAUAUUAACAAAUAUGACAAUUUCAUUUAUUUAUAUAUUUUCUAAAAAUGGCACACAUCCCAAGUAAAUAUAAUGAUGAGUUUAUCAUUUAUAUAAUUUUAAAAAAAUGAAGUCAAAUUUCAUUUGUCUAUUUGUUUUCUAAAUAAAAUUAUAAAUUAAAAGUAAAAUAAUAUCUUUUUAUUUAAAUUCUUAGUUUAUCCUUUUUAUAUUUAAAAAUAAUGAAGUUGGAAUUACUUAAUUUUAAACAUAGAAAUAAUAAAAUAUUAAUAAGUUAUAUUUUAUAUCAUGAUAAUAAACUUAUGUUCUUAAAUUUGAUCGUAAUUAUCUCUAAUUCUUGGCUAACCUUUUGGAGUUUAAAUAUAGGGAAAAUACCCAAGUACCCCCUCAACCUAUGCCCGAAAUUCCAGAGACACACUUAUACUACACUAAUGUCUUAUUAUCCCCCUGAACUUAUUUUAUAUGUAAUUUUCUACCACUUUUUAGCCUACGUGGCACUAGUUCGAAAAAAAAAGUCAACCAUCGUUGGGCCCACAAGAUAGUGUCACGUAAGCUAAAAAGGGGUAAAAAAUUAUUAAUAAAAUAAGUUCAGGGGGGUAAUAGGACCUUAGUAUAGUAUAAGAAUGUCUCUGAGAUUUCGGGCAUAGGUUGAGCGGGUACUUGGGCAUUAUCACUUAAAAUAUAAGUUUUUCUAUACAUAUUAUUAGAGUCGUAUAUUUUUAUGAAUCAUUUUUUAUUUUCUCUACAAUUCUUAUAAAUAAUGUUAGGAUGGGUAUGCUCAUCCUCAUAAUUCAAAAAAAAUGACAGAACAAAGUUAUUUGAUUUUCAUGACACAUCUACUCGACUUGUAAGUUCUCCGAUUAUUUCUAUCACAACCUUAGAAGCCAAGAGUUGAUAUCUUAUUCUAACUUAAGAUUCUUAUGGUUUUUGAGUGCAGGAGAAUCAUGAAUUGAGGCUUUUUGUCGACUCUUUGAUCCUAGAAAGGGAAGGUUAUUUUCUUUCCAACGAUUUUAGUAAGUAUCAUUGGUAAAAAUCAUUUUAUUAAUUAAUUUAUUGAUAUUUUUAGUCAUUGUUAAAAUCUCAUUCUAACCUAAUACUCUUGUGGUUCUUGAGUUCAUGAGAAACAAGAACAGUAGGUUCUUGUCGAUUCGUUGAUCUGAAAAAUGGACGGUGAUUUUCUUUUCUGAUAAUUUUAGUAAGUACUAGUCUUGGACACGUGCAACGCACGUAUACCAUACUAAUUUAUAUUGAAUCAUUAGAAUUAAUGAUCAGUGUAUUUCUGAUAGAAUAAAGUUUUAUAUAUAACUAAUAGAAAUUUCAUUUUGAUCUAUGAAAGUAUUCUUGCAAUGAAAACAUUUUUCUAGCCUAAAGUUUUUAGUUAGAGAACUGACUGGUUAAAGGCUAAAGGUGACAAUAAAAUUAAAAAUAAAACAUGCUAAGAAAUCACGUGAACAUCCAACAAAUAAAUGCAACAAGGAAUAAAUAUAGAAAAAUAUAAAGAUAACAAGAGUGACCUACAUACUUGAUAACAGUCCAUAUAUUCAUUAUACAAAAAAAAUUAGAAAUAAUUGAGUUCGUCAAAAUUCUUAUUGGUAAAACAAUUUCUUCUUCUGCUAUCCAAAUCACUCCACCAUAAAAAAGGAAUUACUACACGUUGAGUUUUGGAUUGAAACCCCAUUACGUAUCCAUAUAUGUGAGUUUUUUUUAUAAGUUCACAUGAAUAGUAAACAAUAAAUAUAUCAAAUCAGUUUAAUCGGACUAACUUUUUAGUUUCCCUAAAAAUUGUUACACUUUCAAAAAAAUUGCAUGUCAAAAAGCAUUUACUAUAAUAAUUUAAUGAAAAUAAAUGAAAUAUUGUUAAAAUAAUAAGAAAUGCGGAAGGUUGUAAAAAACAAUUAAUAGGUGAGAAGAAGAAAAAAUUAAAAUAAUUAGUAGUAAUAAUUGAGGUAAUUCAUAUUGUUAUAAAUGAAGUAUUUUAGAGGCAACCCAUAUGUGUAAGUUACACUACGUAUGCUCAUAACAGGUGAAAAAAUAAAAUUGACUCAUUAAAGACGAAAUUGUGCAACUUCUCAUUUAUGUAAGAAGUUACUUACAAAAGUACGUAAUGAGUGAAUAAAUUAGUUUCACACAUAAAGGGAGAAUUGAAUGUGGACGAUUAAAAUAUGAUUGUUGUUGUAAAACUAAAUCAAACUAACAAUAUAAAGAUAAAGAAAAAAAUAAUAUGAGACAAGAGAUUUAGAAGAUGAAAACAAUAGAAAUAGAGAGACAAGAGAUGAGAGUUUUUCUUAUUAAUCAAAGUAUUUAUCAAAUCUUCAAGUGUAUACAAUAUGAACCCUGAAGCCUCUGUUUAUAGUGUAACAUAAAGGCAUAUAAAAGGUUAGUCAUAAACAUGACAUUAACAUAAAUAUAAUGGUGAGGUUAUGAAAGUGAAAUGUUACAAGAAUAAUGAUUAUAAAGGUGGAAGUUAUGGAGGUUAUGAUCAUCUUCAUAAUGAGGAAAAUAGUGGAGAUAAUGGGUGAGUAACUUCUUGGUAUAGUGGACAUCCACACUAUAAUAUUUUAUAACACUCCCCCUUGGAUGUACAUAGAUAAUAUGCUUCGUUAAAAUCUUACUAGGAAAAAAAAACUUGUGGGAAAAAAUCCUAGUGAAAGAAAAAUAGUACACAUAUAUUUUAAUACGCUUGAAUGUUGCAUCGUUAAAACCCUUACCAGGAAAACUCAUUUGGGACAAAACCAUUAUUAUGGAAAAGAGUACAACGCGCAUUUUUCUCCCAUGAUAAAAACUUUACUUAAUAUCUCGGAGACGAUGCAUUCCGAUCUUAUAUCAGAACUUCUCAAAUAUUGAUGUUGGUAAUUCUUAGUGAAUAAGUUUACAAGAUUAUCACUUGAAUGAUCCUUUGAACGUCUAUCUCAUUGUUUUGUUGAAGAUCGUGUGUGAAAAAGACUUUAGGUGAAAUAUGUUGUGUCUGAUCUCCUUUGGUUGUAUCCUCCAUUCAAUUAAACUAUAAUUUUUUUCGUAUAUAGUGGCUGGAAUAUCCUUUGUCAAAGGAAAAUUUCAUAUUUUCUGAAUAUGAUAGAUUAUGAUUCCAAUCCAACACACCCCUGACUUACUUCAUUGAUCUAUAUGACUUGAAAAAGUGGUUACAAAUGUUUGUUGAAUGCCAAGAUAUUGUUGUGCCUUCAUAUGUAAGCAAAUAGCUCAUUUACAAUCGAGCUUUAUGAAGAUAAAAUAAAUAUUUUGCUGCAUAAUCAAACCAUUUUUUACUCAUUGGAGCUUGAUCAAUUUCGAAGAAACUCGUCUUUCUUCUCAAAGACAGUCAUACAUCUUCAACCAUUUGCAUAACCAACAAUUUGUAAGUGCACUAAUAGCACUAAUACAUAACAUUUUAAAUCAUUUUCUUGAAAUUAAAAGAUCCUUUAUUUGUGUUAUGCAAUCUCAAAAUCACUGAAUACUCAAUGGAAUUGCUUUAAGACCUUUUAAAUCCUUCAAGGAUUUUCAUAUAACCUUCAUCGUUUAGUUAGACAUAAUAAUCAUUCAUUAUGCAUAUUCAAGUAUUUCAUAACUUGCCAGAUUGAAGCAAGUAUCAUUGCAUUCAACAUUGGAGAAUAUAUCUCCAUUUAAUAAUGUCAGGACUUCUGCGAAAAUUCUUCAUGCCCCGAGGCAUGAACAAUACUUUAUAUCUUACAGUUAUACUUUCGCACAAUGAUUCAUUUGUACCCCCAAUGAUAUAUAUUUUUAUCUAUAGACCAUAUUUUCAAAAGUAUCACUUUUCUAAGUGAAACAAAAUAUAUUUGAAUAGUGUCAACCAUUUAUCCGUCCAUACUAUAUGACAGAUUUGAAUUUAAGAUCCUUGUAACCAUUUAUAGCAUUGAGUGCUACAUCAUAUCAAAUAUACUUUCGACGAUCGUUUUGAUUUCAAUUCUAAUACGACAUAACUUAUCGAGAUAUCUUCAUUUUUCAUCAUUUUCAGGUAUCUGAACCUUAGUUAAGAUUUUAUGAAAUGGUAUGUCAUAGUGCUCUUUCAAAGCACUUACCUCAUUAUCAAUGACCAUUUUGAUAAUUUACUCAUCUCCUUCCACAAGAAGUUUUACAUUUGGAAUCGAUUGGUAAAUCACGCUUUUGGCGUACCAUUGACUCGGUCCUUUAAGGACUAUUUAUUGGAGCAUUUACAACAUACUUAAAAUAUUGGAUCAGCAAAUACAUCUGGCAAAUUACUUGCAACAUUUUGCAUAUGAAUUGUCUCUUGAACUUCAAGUUCACAUUUUUUUCAGCGAGGGUAGAGAUAAUUCACCUCACACAUAAUUUUAAGCUGCUACACAUAUCUCCCCCUAAUGUUAGAAAAUCUAACAUUCACCCUCAACCUCAAUUGGGUACCCAUCUUUAUGCAUGGUGGAGCAAUAAAAUCAUAUGUGCACAUGUCAAAUUUUUAGAUGGAAAUUAUUGGUUCCUAACCCUGAACCAAUUGUGUUGAGAAAACAUUGUUGGCUUGAUGCUACAUGUUACAUAAACAUAUCUCAUACCAAAUUUUAUUUGAGAGAUUUGUUCUCAUAAUCAAUGGUCUAGCAAUAAUUGGAGGCAUACAAUUUCUGCUAAACCAAUCAGUAUUAUCAACAUGACGUUAUAGUUUGAAAAUGUGUUCUUAAUAAUUUGAGCGAACAUUCUAACAAAAAUCAAUUUGUAAGUUGAUUCAAAUGCACAUGUGAUAAUACCAUAGAUGCAUCUAUUAAAUCAUAAUAGUAAACGGUCCACAUGGCAGGUGAACGGGCCCAUAUUCACCUUUUUAUAUGUUCCAAAUAAUUUUAGGGGACACAGUCUCAACCUUAGGUGGUACAAUGAUCAUUUUAUCACGAGAACAAUAUGCAAAAGAGAAAUCUUGAAGAAUCUUUUAUUUCUUCAACAUAUAGCCACGUGAAUUCUCAAUUCUCUUGUAUCACAUUUGAAUCGGAAUGACCAACCUACUAUGCCAACUGGUAUUUAUUCAAGUAAACUUCUAGUUUACUUUUGCAUGUGAUUCCAUCACCAUGCUCGUAUUUGUAUACAACAAACAACAGGGGAAAAUGGAUAAUCUUAUACGUGAAUAUUUAUUACCCACUUUGAUUGUAGUAAUUGAAGAUAUGAAAUCUUUCCAUAAUUUAUAGUCUCAAUACAAUAAUUUGUUUUUAAUUCUUCUUAAACUUAAAAAGUUUCUUUUGAGACUUACUACAACCCCAAUAUUAUGAAUAAUUUUAUUCCUCCAAAUGGUAACAAUUAGCCCUUUCGAAAUUAUCAAUUAAUUUUGUGUACUACCAUAAUUUUCACAAUGUCAUUCUUAUGGUGACCAUCUCCUUCAAAGAGAAAAUUUUUAUUAUUGUCGUGAUUAAAAUUAUUACAUUUAAGACUUAUUUCUUGAUAACCAAUCACAAAUUUGUGUUGCCACACAACAACAUUUAUUUUGAUCAUGGCCACAACGUUUAUAGAAAAAGAUUUAUUCUUUCUUUUGUCUCAUUUUAAAAUAUACGACAAUAUUUGUGUAGUAUUCAAAGUAUAUAUAUGACCAAAAUGACUAUUUAUGUCAAAAUAUUUUCUUUCAUCUCUCAAACUUCCCGUAGAGGUGAGAUGUGACAUUCAUCAAACAAUACAUGAACAUGUUUUUAUCCAUACGAAAACAAGUCACAUUUCUUUACAAAAUGGACCAUAAUCAUUUGUACAUGUUCCAUAAGUUUUUAUUAGAAACUCAUUGUCAUGUUUUGACAUUAUGUAUAUGUAACAUUCCGGAAAAUUACAUGUCUAGUGAAGAUCCCAAUAGGUCUUUAAGAGUGCGUAUUGGGGAUACAUAGGCAUUCCAAUGCCCAAUAUUGAGAAAUAUUAGGCAUAGUAUAGAAAAUUGGCUAAGGGGUAUUAGGCAAUUUUUAUAUAAUAUCCAAGUAAGCAAAAUAUUGAGCAUAUUAAAAAAUAUUGGCUUAAAGGGUGUUAGCCAUUUUUUUCUUAAUAUUAAUGAGCAACUUUUAUCAUACUGUGCUCUCCAAAGAGCAACUCUUCUCAAAAUCUCACUCAAAGGGUGCUGAGAAAUGUACCUGCAAUGAAGAUCCUAAGCUAAAAACAUAGAUUUUCCAACAUUUACACAUUAGGUGUGAGGCAUUCAUGUGUCAAGCCAAGGCACCAUAGCACAUGACCAUUUAAAAUGGGCAUGUAGAUUAAGCAGUUCUCAAGGACAUAUUGAAAAUCCUUGGGACAAUAAGUACACAUUCCAAAUGAACCAUCAAGAAUAGUUAGUUAGGAAAGUACAAGCAACACAUGUGAAAAAAUGGCAAACGGAGGAGUAGUUAGGGGGCAGGCGUGCACAAGGGUUCCAACAUGUGGGGCCCAGAUCUCUAACAAACUCUACACUUUAACUAACUGACCUUACUAGCUAACUAAACUAGGAAAAACAAAAAUAAAUUAUCUAGUACACUCGACAACCUAAGACCUAAUUGGAAGACACUAACCUAGUAACUAGUUAAAGAGACAACCUAGUACCUAACCUAGGAUAGUCCAAAGGGUUAGCUAUGAUCCUAACGACUUAAGGGUACUUUAGUAAUUACCCUAGGUCACCUAAUUAAUUAAAUUAGUGUUAGUGAAAAAACUUAAAAGAUAAUAAAAUUGCAAGAUUACAAUUGAAAAUAAAAUAAAGAAAGUAAUCUCUUCAGGCUGAGGCGCGGAUAUCUCGCUCUCUUUAAGGAGAUUCAAGCCCACUGCAACAAAUGUUUUCACUGGUCCAGCAGUAGUCCUCUUUGACUUGUACCCUCCAGGAUACAACAGCCUUCACAAAGUAUAACUCAACAACUCUGGACAAGAGUUGAGUCCAAAGCUCCACAAAAAAGAACACCUCCCUUCAACUAAUAAGAACUAUCUUUUAGGCUAACUCUUUCAUUCUUUGUUUUCUCUUGUGUUUUGUGUGUCUCUAAAACCAAAUGAAGACUACCACUAUUUAUAGUACAAGAAGUCUUCCUAGCAAUGAAUAGUAAGAUAAUGGAGGUAGUAAAUAGUGAAGAUAAUGACCUUAGGAGUUUCAUAGGUUACAAUGGGAGUUAUAUAGGUUACAAUGGGAGUUACAUAGGUUACAUAAGUUACAAUAGGAGUUACAUAGGUUACAAAGAUUAAUGGAGGAAUUAAGAAUGAAAUACAUUGAUGGAUAACCAAUGCUAAUGGAUAAUGUAGAAGUUAUCCAUUCCAAUGUUCAUUCUUAUAACUCCAAAAUAAAGCAAUUUAAUAUGUUAAAUAUUAAUAUUAAAAUGCUAAUAACCUAACAAUCCCCCACUCAUUUUAAUAUUUAGAUAAAAGAGUAUAUCAGUUGAAGGAAGACUACUAUGCAUAAUGAAGGUGUGCUCUGCAUUGAACCUCCACUUAGUGAAACAGUAACUUUUACUCCAGAGUCGUAGUGGUCUCAGACUUGAACUAUGACUGCUUAAGAGAAAUAAAAUAUCACUGCUCACACAUAAUAAUCAAGGUGUUGAUAUGAGCUUUAACAGCCAGCACGUUAUGGCCAUGUGUUAUCCCAGUUUCAUGAGUGCAUUUGAGAAUAAGCCCCAUUCUCAUAGGAAGCGAUCUACUUCCACACAUCACAUAGGUGAAAUCUGUCGAGAGUGCUCCGCUAAGAUUAACACACUCCACCCAUACGGGCUACAGAUACUCAUUAAGUGUUUUAUCAACUCAACCUUCACAAACUACAGGAAAUAAUGCACUCACAUCAUAGGGAGGGGAAAAAAUAGUGCAUUUUUCACAACAAGUCAACAUAUGAUUAGUUUUUCUCUUUGAAACUGGUUAUAGGAUCUCUAGUCCCCAGGUUAGGUUUCCUCAUAUAUGACUCAAGGAUUUGUAGGCUUCAAUCCCAUCCCCCUCGAUGUGCUCCAGACCUUUUCUCUUGUUAAGGCCUUCGUAAGAGGAUCUGCAAGAUUAUCACAAGAUUUGGCAUAAUCAACAUUUAUGGUACCAUUUGUCAAAUACGAUCUUGCAUUACUGUGUUUCCUUCUUAUAGGUCUGGAUUUACCAUUGUAAUAACGGUUUUGAACUCUACCAAUUUCAGCGGUGCUAUCACAAUGAAUUAAAAUAGGAGGAAUUGGUUUUUCAAAAUAAGGAAUUUGAAACAAUAAAUCUCUUAACCAAUUCGCUUCCUCAGUAGCUGAAGCUAAAGCAAAUAGUUCAGCCUCCAUGGUAGAGUUAGCAAUUAUAGUUUGCUUUUUUGAUCUCCAACAAACAGCACCACCACCUAAAGUAAAGACAUAACCAAUGGUAGAACAGGAAUCACCUGCCAAAGUGUUCCAAUCGGCAUCACAAAAGCCUUCAAGUACAGCAGGAUAUUUUUUAUAGAACAAACCACAAUUUUUCGUUCCAAUUAAAUAUCUCAUAACUCUUGUUAUAGCAUGCCAAUGUUCAUUGCCUGGCUUGCUUGUAAACCUGCCAAGUACUCCUACUGCAUAUGCAAUAUCAGGCCUAGUGCAAUCAGUCACAUAUCUCAAACUUUCGAUUAUACUAGCAUAUUCCUUUUGAUUUAUUACAUCAUUUUCACUUUCAACAGGAAAUAAGUGAACACUUGAAUCAAACGGAGUAGCAACAUGCUUGCAAUCAUGAAAGUUAUAUUUUUUAAAAAUUUUCUCAAAAUAAUGUGACUAGUCAAGGAAAAUCCCCUCACAUGUUCUUGUUAUUUUUAUUCCAAGAAUAAAAUUUGCCUCACCAAGAUCUUUCAUAUCAAAAUGGCUUCUAAGAACAUUUUUAGCUUCAUCAAUAACAUUCAUGUUAGAGCCAAAGAUCAACAAAUCAUCAACAUAUAGGCAAAUAAUCACAUGGGAAUUAUUCCAAGACUUAUGGUAUAUGCACUUAUCACACUCAUUUGUUUUAUAGCCAUUUUCAAUCAUGCAGGAAUCAAACUUUUCAUGCCAUUGCUUUGGUGCCUUUUUCAAGCCAUAUAGGGAUUUAGUAAGUUUACAUACUUUACUUUCUUGGCCUGCUUCAACAAAACACUCGGGUUGGUCCAUAUAAAUUUCUUCAUUUAAGUCUCCAUUUAGAAAAGCAGUUUUUACAUCCAUUUGAUGAAUUUGCAAAUCAAAAAUUGCAGCCAUAGCAACUUAAAGUCUAAUGGAUGUAAUUCUUGUUACCGGAGAAAAAGUAUCAAAAAAUUCUAGGCCUUCUAGUUGUUUAAAAUCUUUUGCAACUAGCCUAGCUUCGUAUUUAUCAAUAGAUCCAUCCGGUUUCAACUUUUUCCGUAAGACACAUUUACAACCAAUUGUUUUACAACCCGGUGGUAAAUCAACUAAUUUCUAAGUUUUAUUAGAAAUUAGAGAUUCCAUUUCAUCAUUUACAUCCUCUUUCCAAAAAAUAGAAUCAUGUGAAGAUAAUGCUUCUUUCAAAGUUAGAGUGUCAUUUUCAACAUUAAACACAUAAAAAUCAGGACCAAAAUCUUUUUCUACUCUAGCUCUUUUACUUCUUCUUAACUCAAAAUCAACAACUUCUUUAUUUUUCAAAGUUGAAGUAGAAGAACUAGGUAGUAACAAAAUAUUUUGUUCAAUCCUUUGACCCCCACUAUUUUUAAUAUCAAAAGGAAAUUUAUUUUCAUGAAAAAUAGCAUCACCAGAUUCUAUUACAAUAUUAUCUUCAAGAUUAAAAAAUCUAUAGGCUGUACUAUUUGAAGCAUAACCAAGAGAAAGCACAAGUAGUAACUUUCUUACGCAACUUUGUAAUCUUGGGAUCCAUUAGCCUCACAAAGGCUAGACAACCCGAAACUCUUAGAUAUCCCAAACUUGGCUUGUAACCUUUCCACAAUUCAAAAGGUGUCAAUUUAGACUUUUUAUGAGGCACACGAUUCAACACAUAACAAGCAGUUAAGAUAGCUUCACCCCAAAAAUUUAAAGGUGCAUGUGAUUCAAUAAGCAUGGCGUUAGUCAAUUCAACCAAAGUUCUAUUUUUCCUUUCCGCUACUCCAUUAGACGAAGGAGAGUAAGGAUGAGUAGUUUCAUGAAUUAUUCCCAAUGAUCUAAUAAAAGAAUUAAACUCAUUUGAUUCAUAUUCACGGCCUCUAUCACUUCUAAUUCUUUUUAUUUUUCUUCCAAACUGAUUUUCAACCUCAUUUAGAUAAGUUUUGAAAUUUUCAAAAGCAUCACUUUUAUUUUUCAUCAAGUAAACAUAUGUAAACUUAGAAAAAUCAUUAAUUAAAGUGAUAAAAUAUCUAUUACCUCCACAAGUUAGAAUUCCACCAAGUUCACAAAUAUCAGUAUGAACUAAUUCUAACAAAUCAGUUUUUCUUUCAACUUGAAAAUGAGGCCUUUUAGUGAUCUUGGCUUUACUACAAGCCUCACACUUUUCAAAAUUCUUUUUAACCAUUGGGAUUAAUCCUAAACUACUCAUGAUUCCAACAUAACGAUCAUUAAUAUGACACAAACGAGCAUGCCAAAAAUUAGUAGAAGAAAGCAUAUAAACAAAAGUAGAAGUUUUAUUCAUUUCAACAUUCAACUUAAACAUCUCAUCACAUGCAUACCCCUUCCCCACAAAAAUACCUUUCUUCACUAUUACAUAUUGAUCAGAUUCAAUAAUCUGUUUAAAGCCUGCUUUAUUAAGAAGAAAACUAGACAUCAAAUUUUUUUCUCAUAGAAGGAGUAUAAAGUACAUCUUUCAAUGUUAAUAUCCUUCUAGAAGUAAAACACAAUUCAACAUCUCCCUUUCCAAGCACUUGAGUAGUGUGAGCAUCACCAAGCAUGAUGGUUUUGGGCUCCUCAAAAUGAGUAUAUUUUUUAAACCAGUCUUUGUCAUAACAGACAUGACGGUUUGCACCAGAAUCAGCCCACCAUCCAUCAACAUUCUCAACCAUGUUUUUAUCGGUAAUCACCGCCACAAAAGGUUCUUCGGUAACGUUUGCCUGAGGAUUAGGACCACGUUUCUGGAAUUUGUAAAAUCGAGCAAUAUGCCCACUCUUGCCACAAACAAAGCAUGGUCCCUUUUCUUGAACUUGUUGAUUUUGUGCUUGGUGAUUUUCACCAUUAUUUUUCUUGAUAGGUCUACCAUUAUUUUUCUUGAAUUUUUUCUUCUUAGGAUUUAAAGAAGUAUUUUUAUGAGUUUCAGGAUUAGCAUUAUUCAAAGUUAUUAAAUUUACCUUCGAUGUGAUGUUGUUCUCUUCUGUUUGUAAAAGUGCAUCUUGGCCUCUUGCUUCUUUUUCCAUGCGAAUUUUCAUUAUCAAGGUUUCAAGAAAGGUUUCCUUUUGUUUAUGGCGCAUAGUUUUUUGAAAUUCCUUCCAAGAAGGUGAAAGUUUAUCCACUAUGCCACAAACAAUAAGGUUAUCUCCAAUUUUAACCUCUUCGGACCUAAGCUCUCCAACAAUCAUGACGAAGUCUUGAGCUUGAUCUACCACUGAUUUGUUGUCCACCAUUUGGACACGAAAAAAUCUACUAGCUGCAUAUUUUUUCGCUCCAGCCUCUUCGGUAUCAUACUUACUCUGCAAAGCCUUCCAAAUUUUCUUUGCACUAGAGUAAGUUCUAUCAUAAUAAUCAUAAAAAUUAUCAGAUAGACAAUUAAGAAGAUAAUACCGACACUUAUAGGAAUCACCAUCGUACUUUUCCACUUUCUCUAGAUGAGAAAUAGUUUCAUCAUCAUUCAUAGUGGUGAUGUCUUCUUUAUUUGGAUUCUUCUCGGUUAAAACGUAAGAAACAUUGAGAAGACUUGAGUAGAAAAGUACUUUACCCUUCCAUCUCUUGAAAUGGUUACUAUUGAACCGAAAUGGCUUGUUAAGAUCUCCCAUAUUGACAUCCGCGGUUUUUUCAACUGUAGCCAUCUUUGAAUCUCCUUAAAAUUGUUGGUGAAUAAACUUACAAGAAAAUAAAAUUGCAAGAUUACAAUUGAAAAUAAAAUGAAGAAAGUAAUAUCUUCAGGCUGAGGCGCGGAUAUCUCUCUCUCUUUAAGGAGAUUCAAGCCCACUGCAACAAAUGUUUUCACCUGUCCAGCAGUAGUCCUCUUUGACUUGUCUCCUCCGGGAUACAACAGCCUUCACAAAGUAUAACUCAACAACUCUGGACAAGAGUUGAGUCCAAAGCUCCAUAAAAAAGAACACCUCCCUUCAACUAAUAAGAACUCUCUUUUAGGCUAACUCUUUCACUCUUUGUUUUCUCUUGUGUUUUGUGUGUCUCUAAAACCAAAUGAAGACUACCACUAUUUAUACUACAGGAAGUCUUCCUAGCAAUGAAUAGUAAGAUAAUGGAGGAAGUAAAAAGUGAAGAUAAUGACCUUAGGAGUUUCAUAGGUUACAAUGGGAGUUACAUAGGUUACAAUGGGAGUUACAUAGAUUACAUAAGUUACAACGGGAGUUACAUAGGUUACAAAGAGUAAUGGAGGAAUUAAGAAUGAAAUACAUUGAUGGAUAACCAAUGCUAAUGGAUGAUGUAGAAGUUAUCCAUUCCAAUGUUUAUUCUUAUAACUCCAAAAUAAAGCAAUUUAAUAUGUUAAAUAUUAAUAUUAAAAUGCUAAUAACCUAACAAUUAGUAAUUUAAUUAAUUAAUUUAAAUGGUCAAAUCGAAAUCCUUACACUAGACAAGGAACUAACUAAGAAACAUCCUAGUACCUAAUCUAGGAUGGUCCAAAAGGGUUAGUUAUGGUCCCAAUGACUUAGGGGUAUUUUAUUAAUUACCCUACGUCCCUUGAUUAAUUAAAUUAAAUGAUUAAUUUAAGAAAAAUUUCCAAGUAAGGCCGAAAUUCUUUGAAAAAAUUUCAGAUAUGACUUAUUAAAUAUUUUCUUAUUUCUAGUCCCUCGAUUUCUCUUAGGAGAUUUCAAGGUUUUCUUCAAGAUUUCGUGCAAGGUGAUCUUCGUAGAUUUAAUUCUACAUAAGUUAUGGGUUUUAUCUCAUUUAAUUCUUUUUCCAAGAGACUUUUCAAACGUUUGAAUUCAUGAACUUCGAAACUAAGGUUGUACCCCAAUGAUAUUGUUGAACGUUCAUCUCCCUAGUUAUCCUUGUUUUCGAUUCUUUAAGUAUAUAGAUGUAUCUUGAACAUGUUGUUGGUAUGUGGUGCUAACUGAUUUUAUAAGUUCUUGAAUUGUUAAUGACUAACGAGGUCUAUAGAUUGGAUUCAAAUGAUUUGAGUGUUAGUUACACGAAUUAAGGAAUGAUAUAAUGCUUACUUGUGUUUCGAGAAUAUGAAGUUACUAUGAAUCGGCUAUGGAAUUUAGUUAUUGUUAAAAUGUUAAGUUUUCGACUGAUUCAUGUUGGGGAAUCAUUAUAUUACAUUCAUGAUAUUAAUUGAUUUUUUUAGUGAUAACAUAAUGAAUGUUGUUUAAGUGAAAGUUUGAUUUAUGCUAAUAAAAUGGCUAACAAUGUCUUGCCCAAAAAGUUGAAUGAAAUUGGCUUGCAAUAUUGCUUUCAGAAAGAGUGGCUAAUGUAAACCCAACUAAGCAUGACUAAUGUAACUUUGAUUUCAUAACCAAGGGUAUGUCAAUCAUUGGGAUAAGUCCCAACAUACCCUUUCCAAAUGAAAUAUGAACAUAGUAACUACAUUGAACAAAGAUCUUAACGUUUAUAAAGAAUGAUAUAAAGCUAUCAAAAGACAUGAAACGAGUUAAGGUGAGUAAUAACAUAAUUAAAAGUCUUUAAAUUACGAAGGUGACCAGAAUGAGUUGUUAAAGAAAGUGAGACAAGUCUCACGCCUGCCCCCUAACUACUUUAAAAAAGAAAAGAAGGACAUAUAAAAAAUGUAUUUAUGCAAAUAAGGAAAUACUUAUAGCCGGUGAAUAAGGGUGUUCGUGGUUCAGUUUGGAUCGGUUAUUGGUUAAAAUUAAAAUGAAAUCAAUCUAGUCGGUUUUUAAAAUUUCUAAAAUCAAACCAAAUAUGCCCUUUAACUGGCUUCGAAUCAUAUUUGUGUCUUUCAAGUUUGGGUGUGCACAAGUAGACAAUUAAACUUGUAUAAAGUUGAAAAAAAAGACACACAUAUCUCGUACAUGUCAUUUUUUGUCUUACACGGUGUUUUACGCGUAUUUUGUCAUGUAGGACUCAUGUGUUUAUUUAUUUAAAAGUUGAAUAGUUAAAUUGUCUGUUUGUGCAUUAUGAAAGGUAGAGGACAAAGUUAAAAUUUGAAGCCAAGUUUAUGAUCUAAUAUAUGUAUUAUGCUAAUAACUUUUGAAGACAUAUGUAUCUUGAUAGACACAAGUACCUAGUAUAUGAAUAAUUCAAUGCAAAGUUAUUGUUGGUUCAAUUAAGCAAUUAAACAAUACUAAAGUUAUUAAUACACGAAUAAAGUGUUUCAAUUAAGAGAAGGUGUAACUAUCUUUAAAGAAAUGUGAUUUGCCGGAAUAAUCAUGACUUUUCACAUGGUAUACAAAAUAUACUUCUUCGUGGUACUCUUUGUUGACUAUAAACUACUCUUCUUUUUCUUGCAUUUUAAUUUUUUUUUGUUAAAUAUAGACAAUCAAAUAACUAUCUUUGAUUUUGUGUACAUAAGCAAUUGAAAAGUCAAAUAUGAGAGCCAACAACAAAAAUAUCAUGUACUAUUUUAUAACUUAUAAAAUAAAAAUUAAUUUGUACCAAAAAUAGUUUUAAAAAAUAAUACAUAGCUACUAUCUUAACAUGUUCAUAUGACAUUUAAACAAUCUGACAUGAAAAAAAACGUAUAAGACACAUUUUGUUAGAUGACAAGAAAAAUGCACAACAAAUAUCGUCUAUAAGGUACUAUUAUUGAAAUACGACUAAUUACAAGAUUGAGCCUAAACAUAAACAUUAUUGUAUUUAACUAAUAAAAAAUUUCAUAAGUUCGCAUAAAUAAGAUAUAUAUAUAUAUAUAUAUAUUGAAUACGUGUUGUACAAGUUUGACCCAAAAACUCUUUCACAAGUGUUGACCAACUCGAUCAUUUGAAUAUACUUAAAUAGAACUAUAAAUCAUAUUUCCUCCGAUCUAUUUUAUGUGAUAUUUUUUGAAUUUUAAAAUUUAAAUAAAUUUAUUUUUAUUCAUAAAUUUUUUGUAAAUUUUUUAAAUAUUUUAAAUUAUCAAUAUUAUAAAUUAUAGUAUUUUAUUUACGUAGUUUAUAAAUAUAUAAAUUUAAUUUUAGAAAAUAAAAAUUGUAUGAGUAAAUUUUCGAUCAAACUUAAAUUGUUCUCUAAAAAUAAAAAAUAAAACAUAAAUUAAAACAAAGAGAGUGAAUAAUUAAAAAUCCCGCUAGAAAUAGCAAAAGUUAAAGCUAAGAGUUGUAAGAAAUGAGUAAUAAAGAAAAAUCCCUAUUGGAUCUUCCAUCUCCAAUCUUAUUACAAAUUCUCUCAACAUUACCUCCUACCACACUCUUAUACGUCAAAAUCGUCUCCAAAACUCUUCUAAACCUAAUCUUAGAUUCCGAAUUUUUAAAAUUGUCACGUUCAGUAUCUCCAGCUACCAUUAUCAUCCACCAAUUUAACUCUAAUAGGACCAACACGUUAAAGAUUUUGAAAUUCGCAGUCGAUUAUAACUUUGAUCAUGAUUCAAAUGUUCACCUUGAUCUGCAACUUUACUUUCCUGUUGAUCUAGUUUUCCUAGUUGGAUCUGUUCAUGGAUUUGUCUGUUUUAAUUACUUUUUCGGUAAUGUUGAUGGUAUUUACAUCCUCAAUCCAACAACAAGAGAAUAUAUCAUCCUUCCUGAACCACAACGGGUAAGAAAGUGGCCUAAUUUAGUUACUUAUGGCUUUGGUUUCGAUCCUGUUAGGUUCGAGUACAAAGUGGUCAGAAUUUACCAAGAGGAGAUUCGCGAUAGUGAUACUAAUGGUUUUCGUUAUUAUAAGUCUGAAGCACAAUUUUACACAAUUGGGAAAUGGUAUUGGAGAAGUAGUGUAGAACAUGUCAUGUUCUGUUUUGGAUGCAGGGCAUAUGGGGUGAAUCUAUAUGGAAGGAUUCAUUGGUUGGUUUCUGAUGCUAAUGGAAAUGAGUUAAUAUGUUCGUUUAAUUUGGAGAAUGACUUGUUUGAAUCAUUCCCAACUGCUCCAGGUUACACAUGACUUGUUUAUGUGUGUGUGAUAAUAAUGCGGAUACUCAUUUUGGGAGUUUUUGGACGUUGUUUAUGGGUGAUGUUACUGAUUCAUGGGCUAAAGAGAUUGUGAUAAACAUAACUCCUGAAUACAACGAUUGGUUGUGCUAUGAAAUGAUUAAUGUGUUGAAAGUUUUUGAAGAUGGAGAGGUGUUGUUCUUGUGGCGCAAUGAUUUCUUAUUCUUGCACCAUCCUGUGAAGAAAACUUUAAAAUCGCUGGAUAUCCGUGAAGGGAACUUGUUGGCAUGUGGGCAUGUAUCAAGUUCUUUAUCUCUCAAGAAUUUCGAAGCAGAAGUUGUGAAUGUCUUCUAGAUUAUUGUCAAAGGUGUGUACUGUACAACUUGAGUAUACUUUUUUUUUGUUACUAUUCUAUGUUGUGAAGGUCUUUUAGAAGCAUGUAUUUUGUACUACUAAAAUAGAGUAUAUUUGAUGGGAAAGUUGUGCAUACAAAUCUGCAAGUAAUAUAUGAUAGUUAAACUAUUUCUUAACAGUUCAGUUUAUUUAUAUGACCGCACUAAAACCAAGUAGCAAAACUGUGUUUUCCUCUGUCUGUUUCUCUGUGUAGGACUGUAAGUAUAUUAGUUAGAAUUUAUUUAAUUGAUAGUUGAAUUAUUAAAUACAACUAACUGUUUAUGGGUUUGUGUUAAUAGUUUAUUAAUCAUACACAAGAAAUUAAAAAUUGAUUCAUUUAAAAGAGGGGGAAAUAGACAAUAAUUCAUUUGUAAGAAAUGGGUGAUGAAGAAAAAUCACUGAUGGAUCUUCCAUCCCCAAUCUUGUUACAAAUCAAAACCCUCUCCAAAUCUUAUCUAAAUUAACCUUAGAUUCCGAAUUUUUAAAACUAUCACGUUCAGCAUCUCCAACUAGCAUCAUCAUCAACCAAUUCAACUCUUUUUGGAUUAACAGCUUAAAGUUGUUGAGAUUCGAUUGUGUCGAUAAUAAUUGUGAUCAUGAUCCACAUGUUGACCUUCAUCUGCGACUUUCCUUUCCAAUAGAUCCAUUUUUCCUCAUUGGAUCGUAAUAACAGAUAGUAUUAAAUAAAUAGUAUUAUAUAAUAUUAGUUUUUACUGUGUACUAAUUCAAGUCCUAUUAGGAUUAGUACUCCUUAAUCCUAGUCCUAUUAGGAUUAGUACUCCGUCCUAUGUCUCCUAUAUAUAUCUCUCAUGUAUUCCCUUAUUAGGUUAAUAGUUCAAUACAAUCAAUAUUUCUUCAUGGUAUCAAGAUCCAGAAAACCUAGAUCUUCUUUUCUCUAGGUUUUUUUUUUUCUCUCUUUAGGGCACCGAUCGUUCCCGCUCUUCUCUUGGGCGGCGGCAACCAUGACAACCGAGGUGGAUCCUCUCGAUUCACUUCCUUUUGGCAUUAAACUCCUCUCAGGCAUCUUCAUGCCCUCAUUCCCGAAAAAUUAUCAGACAUAAAUUACCCUACAUGGAAAAUCACCGUUCUUACAGCCCUUGAGGCCAAUUGCCUUCUCAAAUACGUCGAUGGAAGCACAGAACCGCCGCCGGCAGUCAUCACCGCCACGGACAAAUAAAAAAAACAAUCCGGCCCAUGCCGCCUGGAAAGUUGUGGAUGGCCAGAUCUGAUCAUGUUUUAUUGUGGUCAUCUCUCCCACGGUUCAGAAACACGUCCGAUCCUACAUAACUGCUUCAGCCCUGUGGACGGCCCUAGCAACACGCUAUGCAUCAAUUUCCCACUCUCAUAUUUUUCAAUUGCGUGAUCGUCUCCACACAAUUACCAAAGGCACGAAAACUAUGGCGAAGUAUUUAGACGAGGUCUCCACCAUCAUCACAGCCCUUGACACCGUGAACAAAAUCAUUCCCGAAAAAGAUCUUGUCAUGUGCGUCAUUCGGGGGCUUCUAUCAGCUUACUCCUCCAUUAAACAGGCGGUUUGCAUCAGUCCAAUGCCCGUUGACCUGGCUACUCUCUCCUCGUGGCUAAAAAGUGAAGAAAUUAACGUGGAUCUGGAGAGCAAACUUCUUCUUCGAGAAGCCGCUGUUAUGGAGCCGGCCACCGCCCUCACCGCAAGCCAGAACUAUCACGGGGGGCGUGGUGGCGGCCGGCUAUGGAAGAAACAGCGAAGGCCGCGGGCGCGGCGGUCGGCAGGGCAGUCGUCCGAUGUACGACGGUCAGCAGCACGACAGCAAUAACAGCCUGCACUCCUUCGGCAGCGGUGGGCAGUCAUCUUCCAGCGGCGGGCAGGGCACUUACGAGCGGGAUUGUCCAACUUGUCAAAUCUGUCAGAAAAUAUGACACACCGCUGCUAGUUGCUGGUUUCGGUAUGAGGAGAGUCGAAAUAGUGAUAACCGUGCCAAUUAUGCAUCUCAAGCCGGCCCUUACUCUGAAUGGCUGUUGGAUACUGGGGCCAACAUGCACGUUACUUCUGAUCUAUCCAAGCUUAACGCUCCAAAUCCAUAUCAUGGCUCCAAUGGUAUUACUGUUGGAAACAGUGAGUCCCUUAAUAUUUCUCACACUGGCACGGGUACCAUUAAAACCCCCACCGCUAUCUUUCACCUAGGUAACCUUACCCACGUCCCUUCUAUUAAAACCAAUCUCCUUUCAGUUCACCAAUUCACAAAAGACAAUAAUUGCUCACUCUUGUUCACCUCUAAUAAUUUUCACAUCCUAGACAAUACUACCAAGAGGUUGAUUUUUCAGGGCCCCUGUGAGCAUGGUCUGUACGUUCUUCCUGGCACAAGUUUGUCUGCCCACCCAGUUUUAGAAAGCGUUCUUGUGGUUCCGGUGGCUCUUUCGGCUGAUGGCCACAGUCUGUUGUGGCACAGUCGUCUGGGUCACCCGUUUACUCAAAUAAUAAAUUCUUUAAUGUCUCAAUUAGGUUUUUCUUCCAUUCAUGUAAACAAUUGUGACUCCUGUUCAAUUGCUAAAUCUUAUAAAUUACCUUUUACUUUAUCUGAGAAGCGUACAACUGCACCUUUUCAACUUAUUCAUUCUGACCUAUAAGGUCCUACUGCUGUUCCUUCAUUUACUGGUUUUCGCUAUUAUAUUUGUUUUGUGGUUGAUUUUACAAAAUACACUUGGUUGUACCCACUAAAACACAAAUCACAGGCAUACACCACCUUUGUCACUUUUGAAAAAAUGGUCAAAACACAAUUCAAUUCUCAUGUUAAACUUUUUCGAAGUGACAAUGGAAAGGAAUAUGUAAAUAACAUAUUUGGCCAGUUUCUGCAAUCCCUUGGAAUUAUACAUCCAACCUCUUGUCCAUACACUCCCGAACAGAAUGGGGUGGCUGAGCGUAAGCAUCGCCAUCUCAUUGAAAAGGUGGUUACUCUUCUACAUUAAUUUCAUCUCCCUGUCUCCUUUUCGGUAGAAGCUCUAGCCACCGCAAACUACCUCAUUAACAGAAUGCCCAGUCACACCCUCUCCAACAAAUCACCCUAUCAACUCCUUUACCAAGAACUUCCCAAUUAUACCAACCUCUACGUCUUUGGGUGCCUUGCCUACCCUUGGCUACGCCCUUAUAUUACUCACAAAUUACAACCCCGAUCCCAUCCUUGUAUUUUUUUGGGCUAUCAUCCUACCUCCAAGGGUUAUCGCUGUCUUGACCCACAAACUCAUAAAGUCUACAUAUCUCAUCAUGUCAAAUUUGCCGAAAAUGAGUUUACGUACGAGUCUAUUUCCUCCUCCACAAAUACAUCAUUCAUUGGCGUCUUUCCUCUUUUUCCAACAUACUCACAGGGUCCCUCACCACCUUUCCCCACACCUCCACCCACCACCCAACCACCCUUCAUCACCCCUUCGACCGUCACCCACAAUACACCCGCAACCACCACCCACACUCACAACCAACCCGAACCACCCCAUACCCACAACAUCUCCAGCCCGAUCCGUUUUGGGUCCUUCCCAGCCACCCCCGAAUCACCACCACCCGUGCCACCCCCACUACUCAUCCCAUGUUAACUUGUGGCAAAGUCGGUAUCUUUAAACCCAAAACAUUUCAUGCUACCAUACUACCAAAUACACCCCUUCCCGAUAGUGAAUCAACAACCUACUCUGUUGCCUCAAAAAAUGCUUAUUGGCGUCAUGCUUUGGAUGAAGAGUUUAAGGCUUUGACUGAUCAGAAAACUUGGGUUCUUGUACCUAAGCCCCAUGGGCUGUAAAUGGGUGUACAAAAUUAAACACAAUGCAGAUGGCAGUAUUUCCAGGUACAAGGCUCGUUUGGUUGCUAAAGGCUACAAUCAGGAGUAUGGGCUUGAUUACUCCAAGACAUUCAGUCCUGUUAUUCGGCAGAAAACCAUUCGCCUGGUACUGUCACUCGCCGUGCGCAACAAUUGGCUCAUCAAUCAGUUGGAUGUUUCCAAUGCUUUUCUUCAUGGCAUGCUUGAUGAAACUAUCUACAUGACGCAACCACCGGGCUAUGUUGAUCCCCGCUUCCCUCAACAUGUUUGCAAACUCCGGAAGUCUCUGUAUGGGCUCAAGCAAGCCCCCGUGCUUGGUACACACGUCUAAAAAUGUUCCUCGAGGGACUCGGCUUCACGUGUUGCGUACACGACAGGAGUCUGUUUACUCGACAUUCAGCACACGGUACAGUCAUUCUUCUUGUCUAUGUAGAUGAUAUCAUUAUUACAGGCUCUACUGCAACUCUCAUUCAGGAUGUCACUCGAACUAUGCAUAUUACCUUCAAAAUGAAGGACCUUGGCCCGUUACAUUAUUUCCUAGGAAUAGAGGUUUCUCGGAAUGGCAGCGGCUUGUUUCUUCAUCAGUCAAAAUAUGCUCGAGAUCUGUUGCAGAAAGCUGGACUGGAAAAAUGCACCAGUCAACCAACACCGAUGGCAGUCUCUUCGUCUACAAAUGGAGCCGACACCCCCUUUGCCGAUAUCACCCACUUCCGCAGCCUCAUUGGGGCUCUACAGUAUCUGGCCAUUACCCGUCCUGACAUCCAGUUUGCUGUCAACCGAGUUGCUCAGCGCAUGCAUAAACCAAGUGAACAUGAUUACCAUUGUCUAAAAUGCAUUCUUAGGUACAUAUUUGGCAUUCUUGGUCGUGGUUUACUCAUUCGACGCGGGGACUUGGAGCUUCGGGGUUUCUCAGAUUCAGAUUGGGCGAAUGAUAAAAAUAACAGAAAAUCUACAUCGGGGUUUCUCGUUUUUUUGGGGCCGAACCUGAUCUUCUGGUGUACAAAAAAACAACCCAAGGUCUCUCGGUCCUCGACUGAAGCUGAAUACCGCGCCCUUGCUCUUCUUGCUGCUGAGACCAUGUGUGUCACAUAUAUUCUUCGCGAACUCCGCGCCACUCACACUGUUCAUGCUCUCUAUUGUGACAACAAAUCAACCAUCUGUGUGGCCAAGAAUUCCGUCCUACACACCAGAAUGAAGCAUGUUGAUACCGAUUGUCUCUUUGUUCGUGAUGAAGUUCAGGCCGGCACCAUGACUGUGCAGUAUGUACCCACUGAAGACCAACCGGCUGAUAUUCUCACCAAGCCUCUCCCGAGCCGACAUCACCAUUACCUCAGUUCCAAGCUUCCGUUCGCUUCCGCUCAGCUCAGCUUGAGGGGGGAUAAUAACAGAUAAUAUUAAAUAAAUAGUAUUACAUAAUAUUAGUAUUUACUGUGUACUAAUACAAGUCCUAUUAGGAUUAGUACUCCUUAAUCCUAGUCCUAUUAGGAUUAGUACUCCUUCCUAUAUCUCCUAUAUAUAUCUCCCAUGUAUUCCCUUAUUAGGUUAAUAGUUCAAUACACUCAAUAUUCCUUCAGAUCGGUUCAUGGUUUUGUUUGUUUUAAUAGCUUUGUCGGUGAUGUUGAUAGUAUCUAAAUACUCAAUCCAACAAUAAGACAAUAUAUCAUCCUUCCUCAGCCAAGCCACAAGGGGUAAGAAAUUGGCCUAAUUUGGUUGCUUAUGGCUUUGGCUUCGAUCCUGUUAGGUUACAGUACAAAGUGGUUAGUUAUCGACAGGAGAUUCACGAUGAUUUUCAUAAUUACAAGUCUGAAUAUUGGAGAAGUAUUGACCAUUUCAUGUUCCAUUUUAGAUGCAGCGGAUAUGGGGUGAAUUUAUAUGGAAAGAUUCAUUGGUUGGUUUCUGAUGCUAAUCGAAAUGAGUUAAUAUGUUCAUUUAAUUUGGAGAGUGAGUUGUUUGAAUCAUUCCCAACUUCUCUAGGAUACACUAAAGAAAAUUGUCCAAAUUUAUGAAGUUUGGGAGUUUUUGGACGUUUUUUUGUGUGUGUGUGUGUGAUAAUAAUGCAGAUGCUCAUUUUGAGGUAUGGGUGAUGAAAGAAUACGGAGUUACUGAUUCAUGGGUUAAACAGAUUGUCAUAAACAUAACUCCUGAAUGCAACAAUUAUUGGUUGUGCUAUGAAAUGUUUAAUCUGGUGAAAGUUUUGGAUGAUAGAGAAGUGUUGUUCUUGUGGCGCGAUGAUUUCUUGUUCUUGCACCAUCCUGUGAAGAACACAUUGAAAAGGGUUGAUGUCUGUGAUGGAAACUUUGUAGCAUCUAUGAAUGUAUCAAACUCUUUAUCUCUCAAGAUUUUUAAAGUAAAGGUUGUAAAUGUCUUUAAGAUAUCUUGUACUACUAGAGUAUUGUGUAUUUUUAGCUUUGUGUUUUACAUCCUUGGCUAACAAUAACAUACCAUCAUGUUAUUUGAGGGGAAAGUUGUUUGUACAAAUCUGCAAGUAAUAUAUGAUAUUUAAUCUAAUCAAAGACAUACCAAAAACAAAAAAUAUCUGAUAGCAUUGUAGACUGAACAUCGGGUGCGUGGACAAUUCGAGCAACAUUAAAACAAAAGAGUUGGAAUUUUAAGAAAAUAAGAAAGGCUGAGAGAGAAAUACUGCAAUGUAAACAAAGGAAAAUAUUCAAAAGGUAAUGUAAUGAAUGAGUUUUGCUUGUAAGCUUCUAAUAUUCUCUCCUUAUUUGGUACUCUUGUUAUUUUAGAUUACAAAAAAUCCCAAAUAUAUCAUUGAGUUUUUAGAAAGAAAAAAAAACUGAACGAAAUGCCUGUUGGUGCCACUUUCGGAAGAUAAGUUUGGAUCUAACUCAAUUUUAAAAUUAGUUGAUGAAUCUUGAGAAUUACUUAAUCUCGAAAACUAUUUGUAAUUCGAUUUUGUUCUAUUCCAUUAUAUAUUAAGAUGGAAUUGGAAUGGAACGGGAUGAGAUAAACGGGACGACAUUUUUAGUUAUUUCAAAAUCGAUUAAAUUUUUUUAGUUAUUGUGAUUUUUCAAACCAAAUAUGAAUAUUUUUUUUAUUUGUCUAAGUUUAAAUUAUUAGUUUUUAAAUUUAUAAUGUAAUUUUUAACUUAAGUUUAUUUUAAAGAUAGUUUAUUUUUUAAUUUUUACUUAUUAAAUUUACAAGUUAAGUCAAUAAGGUUUCAAGAUUUGAAUCUUUUGAAGUUUAUAAGCUAUUACUUAUUAAUAUGUCAUAACUUAAGGUUAUAUUAAUAAAUUGUGAUUUAAAUAACUUUAAUUUGUAAUUUUAAAAAAUUAAAUAAAUAUAAGAAUAAAAAAUUACACAAAUUAAAAAAUAUAAAAUAUCAACUAUAAUAUAUAAUAUAAAUUAAUUAAUAAAUAAUAAUUAAUCGAAAACCGAACUGACACCGAACUGGAUCGAGAUCCGGAUAAAUCGAUACCGGUACACCGAUAUCAAAUCACGAUUACAUUACGUUUCGUGUACCAAUUCAUGGUGUCUCGUUCCGUCUCGUAGGCAAUCGAAUCGGUGUGAACUGAAACGGUAUAGAUCCGUUGCCCAAUCUUACUUAAGAGUAACUUAACAAAAAACUUUCUGUUAAUAAUUAGGUUUAUUUAUAUGACCCAUUGGUGCCAGUUAUGAAUAUGAAUUUUGGAUAUAACUCAAUCUCAAAAAUAAGAAUGAUUUUUCAAAAAUCUGAAGUAUUCCUUAACGGAAGCAUGCACAAUAUACCAUGGAGUUCAAUAAUAAAUCAAAACUACUUUAACGGACUUUGAUACCAAGUAAAUAUAUAGAAAAAGAAAAUUUAUCUAAAUACUCUCUCUGUUUCUAUUUACUUGUCCAUAUUUUCUCUUUAGAUGUCUCUAUUUACUUGUCCAUUUGACAAAUCAAGAAAGAACAAAAAAAAUCUAUUAUACCCUCAUUUAAACUUCUUGAAAAAAAUUUUUAAAAAUUUUUAAUUCAUCUUUUUUAAAAUCAUAUUUAAUAAUGGUAAAGUUGUAACUACACUAUGUUAAUUGUUAUUAGCUUAGUAUGUUUGUCUUUUCUAAAGUGUACAACUAAACAAGUAUAGAGGGAGUAUAUAUAAGGAUAUUAACUUUCUAUUUUUUUUUUUAAUGUUGCACUUAAUUCUCAUGUCCCAUGUGAUGUUCACUGAGUCAAAACAAAUAACUUUGAAAUUUGAUCUAAAUACAGAUAUUUUAUCUCAAACAUUGCCACAUAACACAUCUAGAUUCUUCCACCAAACCAAUUUAUGCCUAUAAAUAGGAGAACUCCCAAGUGAAAAAAGUGGAAAGUUAUUUUGGUCGAGAAGAACCAAAACAACUUUUCCAGCAAAGAAAAAGUUAGCUCAGAAAACCUAAAAAAGAAGAGGCAAAAUAGAGAGUUUUAGGAAUUUUUCUUUAACAAGGGUGGUUGCCCCUCUCUUGUUUAUCCAAUGAUUUUUAUUUUUUAUUUUUCAGAAGCAACAACCCUUGGAUUCAUGUUAAUUUCUUGGAAAUGACUGGAUCAUUCAAAUGGCAAAUAUACAUAUAUUUCACAACCUUUGGCAAUAAUCUUUUUUUUUUGUGUCUCUGAUAAUCUAUCUACGGUAUGUAUGUGUGUUGUAUUAGAGGCGAUGAUGAUAAUGAUGAUGAUUUUUUUGAAUUCUGAGCUAACUGGAUUGGGGAUGGAGACUAAACGAUCCGUAUCUUGGCUUGGCAAAUCAUCUUGAUUUUGCAGCCAUGGCGUGGUUGCCCUCUCUUUCGUCCUCAUCUCUUUGCAGAUCAGAGCCUCAAAAUUGUUAUCAACAACAUUUGAAAUAAUAAUUCAAAAACUAUUUUUCAUUUUUUUGAAAAUAUAAUAUAUUAUGCUCUUCUAUUAUCUAUCUAUCUGAUUUUUAUUUAUUUAUUACCUUAAAAUCAUGAUGCACUUAAUGUAGAAAUUUCUAUAUUUUAGGUUUGUGAUUUUUCGAUGAAAUUUGUAAGUUCUUUUUUUUUUAAUAGUUGUGAUUUUUUCCACUGGUAUAAGAAAGAGUUGUGACUUUUUAGGGGUAUGAUUUCUCGGAAUGGUCAACAAAAUGCUUGUUUAUGCAACUCUUUGUUGACUAUAGGCCUAAUUCAUCGGUGAUUCUUAAAAUUGAUUUUAAUUUUCAGUUAGAUACUCUAAUUAAAUUUUGUUGAUUUAUAUAUUAUAGGUAGGUUUUCACGAUAUUAUUUUGAUACUUUUUGCUUACAAGCAUAUUGAGUAUUAUACAUGCUCGCUGUUAAAAGUCUUAUUCACAAUUUUUUUUUAAAAAAAUCUCUUUUUCUAUAUUUUUUAGCUACAAUAUCCGAAACAUAUAUAAAAGUCUAUGAUAAAAUAAAUUUAGUAAUGUCACAAAUAAAAAAGUAAAUUUUAGAUCAUAAAAUUUUUCAAAAGUUUAAAUUUUAACAUUAUGAAAUAAAAAUCUAAUUAUUUUUCAUGAAUCAUAAGAUUUGAAAAAAAAAUUGCACUAUUAAUCAAUAACUUAAAAGUAAAGAAGAAAAUGUCAUACUUUUAUAAGAUAAUUUUUUCAAACUAAUUAAGUUCUUUUGAAAGUAUCUUUUGAAAAUUUGAUACGAAUAGAAACAAGACAGAAGUUGGAGUUGCUGGGGGCGGAGAGGAGGAUUUGAUGACUGGUGGGGUGGAGGAAUGGUUGCGGUUGGGGUAGAGAGGAAGAUCUGAUGGCUAGUAGGAUGGAAGAGUUGUAGGGGUUGGGGUUGGGGUUGGGGUGGAGAAGGAGAAGGAAAUGGGUCGGGUGGGAUGAAAAAGACGACAAGGUUGGGCUGGGGUAAUUAUUUUAUUCUUAUUGUUUGAGUUUAAAAUGACAUAUGUCAUAAAAUAUGAUUGUAUUAUAUUUAAUUAAAUAUUUUAUGAUAUAUUUAAAUUUAUCUCAAUGAUGACCUUGUGAUUCGAUGUUGAUGAUAAAAACUAAUAUAAUAUGAUAUGAUUAAAUAUAUAUUAACUAAUUUAGUCUUUAAAAAAGGGUAAAAAUAUCUUGCAACUUUCCCUUGACAUUUUCAUCUUUUAUUAUACUAUCCCACUUUGAACAUUUACUAGAUGAGAUGCUUGUUGUUUAAUAUUCAAUUUAUUAGAUGUUUUAUAAUAUUUUAUUGAGUGGAGUGGCAUUGCACAUACAUUGUUUUAUCAAUUAGGAAUUUUCAUAUUCUUCUAUUACAAGAAUUAUGAUUAUAAUUAAGUCAAAAAUAAAAUAUCGUGUUUGAAUACUUAUAUUUUUGAGUUGAAACUUAUUCUCUUAAAUUUGAUCGUAAUUUUCUCGAAUUCUUGGCUAACAUGGUGAUUUAAUAUAAGUUUUUCUUUACAUAUUAUUACAGUCAUUUACUUUUAUGAACCAUUUUUUAUUCUCGCUCAACUUGUAUUUUUCUAAGGGCAUCAUGGAUAAAUCACCAUUCAACUUCUUAUAAAUAAUGUUAGGAUGGGCCGAUUCAUACUCAGAAUUUUUUUUAAAAAAUGAUAAAACAAAGUCUCGACUCGUAAGUUCUUCGAUUAUACUAUCACAACCCUAGUAGCCAAGAGUUGAUAUUUCAUUCUAACUUAAGAUUCUUAUGUUUUUUAGUGCAAGAAAAUCAUGAAUUGAGGGUUUUUAUGUCGACUCUUUGAUCUUACAAAAGAAAGGUUAUUUUCUUUCCAAUGAUUUUAGUACGUAUCAUUGGCACAAAUCCAUUUUAUUAAGUCAUUUAUUGAUAUUUUUUUGUCAUCGUUAAAAUCUCAUUUUAGCCUAAGAUCCUUGUGGUUCUUGAGUGCAUGAGAAACAAGAAUAGAAGGUUUUUGUCGAUUCGUUGAUCUGAAAAUUAGACAGUGAUUUUCAUUUCUAAUGAUUUUAGUAAGUACUAGUCUUGGACACGUGCAAGACACGUGUAUCCUAUACUAAUUUAUAUGAAAUCAUUAGAACUAAUGAUAUAUGUAUUUUCUAAUAUAACAAAGUUUUACAAUUAAUAGAAAUUUCAUUUUGACCUAUGAAAGUAUCCUUGCAAUGAAAACAUUUUUCUAACCUGAAGUUUUAGUUAGAGAACUGAUUGGUAAAGGCUAAAAGUGACAAGAAAAUUAAAAAUAAAAUAUGUUAUCAAUUCACGUUAACAUCCAGCGAAAUACAUGCAACAAGUAACAAAAAUAGAAAAAUAUAAAAAUAACAACAAUGACCUACAUACUUGAUAGCAAUCCAUAUGUUCUUUAUAGAAAAAAGAAGAUACAAAUAAGAAAUUAGAAAUAAUUGAGUUAGUAAAAAAUUCUUGUUGGUAUAACAAUUUCUUCUUCUGUUAUACAAAUCACUCCACCUUAAAAAUAAAUUACUACACAUUGAGUUUUAGAUUGAAAACCAUCACACAUUCAUAUAUGUGAGUUUUUUUCUAUAAAUUUACGUUAAUGGUAAAUAAUAAAUAUAUCAAAUCAGCUUAAUUGGACUUACUUUAUAGUUUUCAAAGAAGUGUUACACUUUAAAAAUGUGUGCAUGUGCAGAAGAAUUUACUAUAAAUUAUUUAAUGAAAAUAAUCAAAUAUUGUAAAAAUAACAAGGAAUGUGGAAGGUUGUUAAAACAAUUAUUAGGUCAGAAGAAGAAAAAUUAAAAUAAUUAUAUUAAUAAUUAGGUAAUUCAUAUGGUUAUAAAUGAAAUUUUUAGAGGCAAAACAUAUGUAUAAGUUACAUUAAAUAUGCUUAUAAUGGGUGAAAAAAUAAAAUUGACUAAUUACAGAAGAAAUUGUGCAACUUUUCAUUUGUGUAAGAAGUUACUUAUAAAAGUACGUAAUGGACGAAUAAAUUAGUUUCACAGAUUUUGGGAGAAUUAAAUGUAGAGGGUUAAAAUAUGAUUGUUGAGAUUUCUAUUUACUCACUAUUUGUUAUUUAAUUUGAUUAUGAUUUAAUAAAGGACCGCAAAUUUUGUAAUGUAAUGAAGUUACAUUCAAUCUUUAAGUAAUUAAAUAUAUGAUCGUAUAAUAUUUAAUAAAAUAUUUUAUGAUAUUUUGAUUUAUCAUUGUUUAUCGCAAUGGUGAACUUGCAAUCCGACGUUAACGCUAAAAGUUAAUACAGUAUGAUAUGAUUAAAUAAAGUCUUUAAAAAGGGGUAAAAAUGUUAAGUCAAGAACAAAAUAUCAUGUUUGAAUACUUAUUUUUUGAGUUGAACCUUUUUAUGAUUUUUCACAAAUUGAAGUUAAAGUCAAUUAAUUUUAUUUUUUUUUAAAAAGAACUAAAAAAAUACUAAGGAUUGUUAUAAGUUAAAUAUAAUUUAUGAAAACAAAGAAACACAUGUAAUAGAUAAUGUUUGAUAAAAUGACAAUUUUAUUUAUUUUCUACCUCUAAAUGAUGGAAAAAAACAGAUAUGACAAUUUCACCUAUUUAUUUAUUUAUUUAAAAAAAUUCAUAAAUCAGAUCUAAAAAAAAAUCAUAUGUUGAGAUGAUACUUGUCAUAUUUUUUUAAAAAAAUGAAAUUAAUCUACUUAAUCAUAAAAAAGAAAAGGACAUAUAAAAAAUGUAUUUAUAAAAAUAAGGAAAUAUCUAUAGCUAGUGAGUAGGGGUGUUCGUGGUUUAGUUUGGAUCGGUUAUCAGUUAAAAUCAAAAUGAAAUCAAUCUAGUCGAUUUUUAAAAUUUAUAAAACCAAAUCAAACCAAACGAAAAACAUAAUCGUCGGUUGGAUUACUGACGGUUUAGUUCACUUUUCUAGUUUUUUCAGUUUGAAUGUAAUAAUUUUUUAGAACAUAUGUAUCUUGAUAGACUCAAAUACCUAUUAUAUGAAUAAUCCACUGAAAAGUUAUUGUUGGUUCAAUUAAGCAUUUAAACAAUACUAAAGUUAUUAAUACACGAAUAAAGUGUUUCAAUUAAGAGAAGGUGUAACUAUCUUAUGAAAUAUAUGGUAGAUAAAGACUAAAGUAAUGAAUUUUGAUGCAGUUGGAUUUAUGAUUGUAACAUAUGGGCCAAAAUUUAUGUGUUGGGCUUGAGAAAAUUGUAAGUUAAAGACUUAUAUUACUUAAAAUUCAACAAAAUAUUUAUAUUUUAUUUAUGAACGAUAUCUUUAUAGAAUUUAUUGGUUCGAUUUGGUUAUUUUUGCAGUUAUUUUUUAGUAAAAUCAAAGUCAAAUCAAAUAGUAUCGAUUUUUCAAAAUGCAAAAUCAAAUCUAAUCACAUCAAAUCAAAUAUCAUUUUUUUUAAAUUGGUUUGAUUCAGAUUGUGAUUUGAUUUCAUUUUUUAACUAUAACCAUGAACAACCCUACCGGUGAAUAUUAACAUAUAUGACAAUUUCAUUUAUUUAUACAUUUUCUAAAAAUGGCAAACAUCCCAUGUAAAUAUAAUGUUGAGUUUAUCAUUUAUAUAAUUUUAAAAAAUGAAGUCAAAUUUCAUUUGUCUAUUUGUUUUCUAAAUAAAAUUAUAAAUUAAAAGUAAAAUAAUAUCUUUUUAUUUAAAUUCUGAGUUGAUCCUUUUUAUAUUUAAAAAUAAUGAAGUUGGAAUUACUUAAUUUUAAAAAUAGAAAUAAUAAAAUAUUAAUAAGUUAUAUUUAUAUCAUGGUAAUAAACUUAUGUUCUUAAAUUUGAUCGUAAUUAUCUCUAUUUCUUGGCUAACCUUUUGGUGUUUAAAUAUAAGUUUUUCUUUACAUAUUAUUAGAGUCGUAUAUUUUUAUGAAUCAUUUUUUAUUCUCUCUACAGUUCUCGCUCAACUUGCAUUUUUUAUGGACAUUACGGAUACAUAACCAAUCAGAUUCUUAUAAAUAAUGUUAGGAUGGGUAGACUCAUCCUCAUAAUUAAAAAAAUGACAGAACAAAGUCAUUUGAUUUUGAUGACACAUCUACUCGACUCGUAAGUUCUCCAAUUAUUUUUAUCACAGCCUUAGUAGCCAAGAGUUGAUAUCUCAUUCUAACUUAUGAUUCUUAUGAUUUUUGAGUGCUAAAGAAUCAUGAAUUGAGGCUUUUUGUCGACUCUUUGAUCUUACAAAGGGAAGAUUAUUUUCUUUCCAAAGAUUUUAGUAAGUAUUAUUGGUACAAAUUCAUUUUAUUAAUUAAUUUAUUGAUAUUUUUUGUCGUAGUUAAAAUCUCAUUCUAACGUAAUAUUCUUGUGGUUCUUGAGUGCAUGAGAAACAAGAACGGUAGGUUCUUGUCGAUUCGUUGAUCUGGAAAUGGACGGUGAUUUUCUUUCCUGAUAAUUUUAAUAAGUAUUAGUCUUGGACACGUGCAACGCACAUAUACCAUAGUUGAAUCAUUAGAAUUAAUGAUCAGUGUAUUUUCUGAUAGAAUAAAGUUUUAUAUAUAAUUAUUAGAAAUUUCAUUUUGAUCUAUGAAAGUAUUCUUGCAAUGAAAACAUUUUUCUAGCCUAAAGUUUUAGUUAGAGAACUGAUUGGUUAAAGGCUAAAGGUGACAAUAAAAUUAAAAAUAAAAUAUGCUAAGAAAUCACGUGAACAUCCAGCAAAUAAAUGCAACAAGGAACAAAAAUAGCAAAAUAUAAAGAUAACAACAGUGACCUACAUACUUGAUAACAGUCCAUAUAUUCAUUAUACAAAAAAAUUUAGAAAUAAUUGAGUUAGUCAAAAUUCUUAUUGGUAAAACAAGUUCUUCUUCUGCUAUGCAAAUCACUCCACCACAAAAAAAGAAUUACUACACGUUGAGAUUGAAACCCCAUCACGUAUCCAUAUAUGUGAGUUUUUUUUCAUAAGUUCACAUGACUAGUAAACAAUAAAUAUAUGUUGUGUCUGAUCUCCUUUGGUUGUAUCCUCCAUUCUAUUGAACUAUAAUUAUUUUCGUAUAUGGUGGCUGGAAUAUCCUUUGUCAAAGGAAAAUAUCAUAUUUUCUAAAUAUGAUAGAUUAUGAUUCCAAUCCAACACACUCCUUAAUUACUUCUUUGAUCUAUAUGAUUUGAAAAGGUGGUUACAAAUAUUUGUAGAAUGUCAAGAUAUUGUUGUGCCUCAUAUGUAAGCAAAUAGCUCAUUUGCGAUCGAGCUUUAUGUAGAUCAAAUAAAUAUUUUGCAUAUGCAUAAUCAAACUAUUAUUUACUCAUUAGAGCUUGAUCAAUUUUUAUUAUUGUCAUGAUUAAAAUUAUUACAUUCAAGACUUAUUUCUUGAUAACCAAUGACAAAUUUGUGUUGCCACACAACAACAUUUAUUUUGAUCAUGGCCACAACCUUUACAGAAAAGAUUUAUUCUUUCUUUUGUCUUAUUUUAAAAUAUACCACAAUAUUUGUGUAGUAUUCAAAGUUUAUAUAUGACCAAAUGGCUAUUUAUGUCAAAAGAUUUUCUUUCAUCUCUCAAAACCUCCUGUAGAGGUGAGAUGUGACAUUCAUCCAACAAUACAUGAACAUGUUUUUAUCCAUACGAAAACAAGUCACUUUUUCUUAAAAACAAAUGGACCAUAAUCAUUUGUACAUGUUCAAUAAGUUUUUAUUAGAAACUCAUUGUCAUGCUUUGACAUUAUGUAUAUGUAACAUUCCGAAAAAUUACAUGUCUAGUGAAGAGCCCAAUAGGUCUUUAAGAAUGCAUAUUGGGGAUACAUAGGCAUUCCAAUGCCCAAUAUUGAGAAAUAUUAGGCAUAGUAUAGAAAAUUGGCUAAGGGGUAUUAGCCAAUUUUUAUAUAAUAUCCAAAUAAGCAAAAUAUUGGGCAAAUUAAAAAAUAUUGGCUUAAAGGGUGUUAGCCAAUUUUUCUAAGUAUUAAUGAGCUUGUUCAAGAAAUGUACCUACAGUGACGAUCCUAAGCUAAAAACAUAGAUUUUCCAACAUUUACACAUUAGGUGUGAGGCAUUCAUGUGUCAAGCCAAGGCACCAUAGCACAUGACCAUUUAAAAUGGGCAUGUAGAUUAAAUAGUGCCCAAGGACAUAGUGAAAAGUUCUUGGGACAAUAAAUACACAUUCCAAAUUAAACAUCAAAAAUAGUUAGUUAGGAAAGUACAAGAAACACAUGUGCAAGCACAUGUGGAAAAAUGUCCAAGGGAGGAGACCAUCCUAACCGAAUUCAGUUAAAGUAGUUAGGGGGCAGGCGUGCACAAGGGUUACACCAUGUGGGCCUAGAUCUCUAACAAACUCUACACUCUAACUAACUGACCUAACUAGCUAACUAAACUAGGACAAACAAAAAUAAAUUAUCUAGUACACCCGAUAACCUAAGACCUAAUUGGAUGACACUAACCUAGUAACUAGUUAAAGAGACAACCUAGUACCUAACCUAGGAUAGUCCAAAGGGUUAGCUAUGGUCCUAACGACUUAAGGGUACUUUAGUAAUUACCCUAGGUCACCUAAUUAAUUAAAUUAGCAAUUUAAUUAAUUAAUUUAAAUGGUCAAAUCAAAAUCCUUACACUAGACAAGGAACUAACUAAGAAACAUCCUAGUACCUAAUCUAGGAUGGUCGAAAUGGGUUAGUUAUGGUCCCAAUUACUUAGGGGUAUUUUAUUAAUUACCCUAGGUCCCUUAAUUAAUUAAAUUAAGUGAUUAAUUAAUUAAGAAAAAUUUCCAAGUAAGGCCAAAAUUCUUAGGAAAAAAUUUCAGAUUUGACUAAUUAAAUAUUUUCCUAUUUCUAGUCAAUCUAGGAGAAAAUUUUUAGUAAUUAACUGAUUAAUUUACUUAAUUAGCCUAAGUUGAAUGAGUGAAGAUCAGUUCCUAAGACUUAGCACGUUCAAACACAUAGAAAUUCAUGACACAAAACUAUAAAUGGACGAAAGAAAAACAGAAAAGUUUCUCUCGAUUUCUCUUAGGCGAUUUCAAGAUUUUCUUUAAGAUUUCGUGCAAGGUGAUCUUCGUAGAUUUAAUACUACAUAAGGUAUGGGUUUUAUCUCAUUGAAUGCUUUCUCCAAGAGACUUUUCAAACGUUUGAAUUCAUGGACUUCGAAACUAAGGUUGUUCCCCAAUGAUAUUGUUGAACAUUCAUCUCCCUAGUUAUCCUUGUUUUUGAUUCUUUAAGUAUAUAGAUAUAUCUUGAACAUGUUGUUGGUAUGUGGUGCUAACUGAUUUUAUAAGUUCUUGAUUUGUUAAUGACUAAUGAGGUUUAUAGAUUGGAUUCAAAUUAUUUGUGUGUUAGUUAAACAAAUUAAGGAAUGAUAUAAUGCUUACUUGUGUUUCGAGAAUAUGAACUUACUAUGAAUCGGCUAUGGAAUUUAGUUGCUGUUAAAAUGUUAAGUUUUCGACUGAUUCAUGUUGGGGAAUCACUAUAUUACAUUCAUGAUAUUAAUUGAUGUUGUUAGUGAUAACAUAAUGAAUGUUGUUUAAGUGAGUUUGAUUUAUGCCAAUAAAAUGACUAACAAUGUCUUGCCCAAAAAUUUGAAUGAAAUUGGCUUACAAUAUUACUUUCAAAGAAUGAUGGAAAGAGUGAAUAAUGUAAACCAAACUAAGCAUGACUAAUGUAACUUUGAUUUCAUAACCAAGGGUAUGUCAAUCAUUGGGAUAAGUCAUAACAUACCCUUUCCAAAUGAACUAUGAACAUAGUAAAUACAUUGAACAAAGUUCUUAACGUUUAUAAAGAAUGGUAUAAAGCUACCAAAAGACAUGAAACGAGUUAAGGUGAGUAAUAACAUAAUUAAAAGUAUUUAAAUUAUGAAGGUGACCAGAAUGGGUUGUUAAAGAAAGUGAGACAAGUCUCACUUACACCUAAGAUAACUAUUUUAAAGAUACUCACAAAAGCUAGUAUUAAUAAUCGUAAUACAAGUCUCAUUAACACCAAGAUGAUAAUGUAAGGUUAAAUUUCACAUUUCAUCAAGUAAAUAAAGGGAUGACCGGUUAUCCAAAGAGUUAAGUAAACAUCAUAACUAGAAGCAAGCUUCCAUAAUGUUUGAUUCAAUUCUAAAAGAUGUAGAGAAAAAGAAGUUGAGCAAAGCACCGAUAGACUUGGAAUGAGUUUGUGCCAGCACAUGUAAGCCUCAUGAGAUGAGGCUACCACCAAGGUAAAUAAGUAGUCUCCAUGUUUCUCCUAGUCUUCGAACUAUGUUGUCAGCAUAGGAACUAGCCAAUGGAUUCCACCUAAGUGAGCUAGGUAUGAUGCAAUUUCACUUUGGCCGGUGAAACCACCCCUUUUCAGUGUGGGCAGACACUGAAUUUCAUGCUUAGAUCACAUGAUCUAUGUUUAAAUGCUCAGAGAAAGUAUUCUGUUCACUUUAUCCAUGAACCACCUCUUUUCGGUGUGGGAAAGACAUUAAACUUGGUUUCACUUUAGCCGGUGAACCACCCCUUUUCGGUGUUGGGCAGACAAUGGAUUUCAUGUUAGCUCACAUGAUCUAGAUUCACUUUGAUCGUUGAAUCACCCCUUUUCGGUGUAGGACAUACAAUGAAUUUCAUGUUAGCUCGCAUGAUCUUAAUUCUAAAGAUGUCCUUAAGAAAGCAAGAAAGAAAGAAGAAGAUAUGUAUGUUCAAAGUGAGCUAAGGAAGUAAGAGCUUAAGAAUAUCAAUCGUCAAUGUUUGAUAAGAAUGAAGUUUUCAGGAAAUAAUAGGCAUAGCCAAAUAAAAUUGGCUUAUAAUGACUUCUUAUAUUAUGUCAAUAAAGGGGAGUAAAAUGUAAAGGCUAAUCAAUAAAUCAUAACCUUCAUAAUAUGAAAAUGAUGAAAUAAGUGGCCUAGCCAAUAAAGAUUGACUUAUAAAGAGUCCAUGCCCAAUCUAACAAGAAUGGAAAGAAUAACUUGUUGUAAGGAUAGCCAAAUCAUUUCCUUAGUCCUUUGGAUUACUUACUUGAUUCAUUGUAGGUAUGGGACUACAAUGAAUCAUUGCACUUGUAAGUAAAAUAUAGGAUCAAAGAAGAUCAUUGAACUACAUAACAAAAAGAAGAAAAGACUGAAAAAAAUAAGUACAGAAAAAAGUGCUCUCGGGUUUGGGGGAUCAAUUUUUAGAAUUUUCAUUCGAGUUGUUCUAAAAUUAUGUUAAUGAUUCUAAGGUCUUAUUUUCAUAUAGAUAAUGAUUUGUGUGCUUUAAAUGCUUUAAAAUACAUCAUAUUCAUACAAAAAUUCACAAAUAAUGAAUUAGGAAAGUCUAGUAGUGUCACUUUCCAAAAAUGGCAUGUUGUUAUACGAAGAGCUUUCCUUGAUCAUGCAUAGUCCUUAUCUGUUUGUGUACGUACACCAUACUUAGUACAAGUGUGUACUAAUCCUAUAUUAUUAUUAUCUUUAUAGGUGCAGGUCAGAGAGAAGGUUGAAGAUUCAUCGAAGCUGUUUGGAUUGUCGAUCUCCAGACUUUGGUAGGUCCUCUUUUUUCUAUAAAGACUUUGUAGAAGAAGAAAUUGUUGUACCAGUAAGAAUUUUGACUAACUCAAUUAUUUUUAAUUUUUUAUUUUUAUCUUCUUUUUUGUAUAAAGAACAUAUGGAUUGUUAUCAAGUAUGUAGGUCAUUGUUGUUAUCUUUAUAUUGUGCUACUUUUAUUAUUUGUUGCAUGGAUUUCACUGGAUGUUAACGUGAUUUGAUAGCAUAUUUUAUUUUCAGUUUUCUUUGUCACCUUUAGCCUUUAACCAAUCAGUUCUCUAACAAAAACUUAAGGCUAGAAAAAACAUUUCAUUGCAAGGAUACUUUCAUAGGUCAAAAUGAAAUUUCUAUUAAUUAUAAAAUUUUGGUCUAUUAGAAAUACAUUUAUCAUUAAUUCUAAUGAUUCUAUAAAAUUAGUAUGGGAUACACGUGUUUUAUACGUGUCCAAGACUAGUACUUACUAAAAUCAUUAGAAAUGAUAAUCACUGUCCAUUUUUCAGAUCAAUGAAUCGACAAAAACCUUCAGAUCUUGUUUCUCAUGCCCUCAAGAACCACAAGAAUCUUAUGUUAGAAUGAGAUUUUAACUAUGGCUAAAAAUAUCAACAAAUCAAUUAAUAAAAUAGAUUUUUUUAAAGUUACCUAAAUUUAUUUUUAUUUUAAAAAAGAACUAACAAAAUACUAAGGAUUGUUAUUUGUAAAUAUAAUUUAUGAAAACAAAGAAAUAGCAUGUAAUAGAUAAAUGUUUUGAUAAAAUGACAAUUUUAUUUAUUUUCUACCUCUAAAUGAGGAAUACAAACAUAUAUGACUAUUUCACCUAAUUAUUUAUUUUUAAAAAAACUUCAUAAAUCAAAAAUUUUAAAUAUAAUAUUUUGAGCUGAUACUUGUCAUGAUUUUUUCUAAAAAAUGAAAUUAAAACUACUUAAUCUUAAAAAAGAAAAGGACAUAUAAAAAAUGUAUUUAUGCAAAUAAGAAAAUACUUAUAGCCGGUGAAUAGGGGUAUUCGUGGUUCAAUUUGGAUCGGUUAUUGGUUAAAAUUAAAAUGAAAUCAAUCUAAUCGUUUUUAAAAUUUCUAAAAUCAAACCAUAUAUGCCCUUUAACUUGGCUUCGGAUAACAUUUAUGUUCUUCAACUUUGGGUGUGCACUAAGUACACAGUUAAACAUGUAUAAAGUUGAACAAAUAGACACACAUGUCCUACAUGUCAUUUUUUGUCUUAGGUAGUGUCUUACGCGUAUUUUGUCAUGUAGGACUCAUGUGUUUAUUUAUUUAAAAGUUGAAUAGUUAAAGUGUCUGUCUGUGCAUUAUGAAAGUUGGAGGGCAAAGUUAAAAUUUGAAGUCAAGUUUAGGGUCUAAUAUAUGUAUUAUCCUAAUAACUUUUGAGGACAUAUGUAUCUUGAUAGACACAAGUACCUAGUAUAUGAAUAAUACAAUGAAAAGUCAUUAUUGGUUCAAUUAAGCAAUUAAAUAAUACUUAAGUUAUUAAUACACAAAUAAAAUGUUUCAAUUAAGAGAAGGUGUAACAAUCUUUAAAGGAAUGUGAUUUGUCGAAAUAAUCAUGACUUUUCACAUGGUAUACAAAAUAUAUUUGUUCAUAGUACUCUUUGUUGACUAUAAACUAUUCUUCUUCUUCUUGCAUUUUAAAUAUUUUUUUUGUUAAUUAUAGACAAUCAGAUAACUAUCUUUGAUUUAUGUACACAAGCAACUGAGAAGUCAAAUAUGAGAGCCAACAACAAAAAUAUCAUGUACUAUUUUAUAACUUAUGAAAUAAAAAUUAAUGUGUACGAAAAAUAGAUUUAAAAAAUAAAAUAUAGCUAUUGUCUUAACAUGUUCAUAUGACAUUUAAACAAUCUGACAUGGAAGAAACGUACAAAACACAUUUGGUUAAAUGACAAGAAAAAUGCACAACAAAUAUCUUCUAUAAGGUAAUAUUAUUGAAAUACGACUAAUUACGAGAUUGAACCUAAAUAUAAAUAUUAUUGCAUUUAACUAAUAAAAAAUUUCAUAAGUUCGCGUAAAUCAGACAUAUAUAUAUAUAUAUAUAUAUGACGAUCCACCUUAAAUAAUUACAAAAUAAUUUGUAAUGUUAUUUUGUGCAAAGUGUAUUAUUCAAGUCUUCGCUUAAAUAAAUAAUAUUAUUUAUAAUAUAUAUAUAUUGAAUUGAUAAUCAUGUGUAAUACACGUAUAGAAAAACUUGUAAUACUCCCUCCUUCCCAUUUUAUGUGGCACCAUUUCCUUUUGGUCAGUCCCAAAAAAAAUGUCACUUUUCCUUAUAUAGUAAGUAAAUAAAGGUGCAAUUCCUCUUUUAUCCUUGUUAGUCCCACUUAAUUUUAAUGAUAACACUUCAAUACAUUUAUUAGUAGAGACAAAAAUGAGUCUACUUUUUUACUUUUUUAAACGGCAAUUUGUUAAAAUUUCAAAGUCUUCAUUUAUUUCUUAAACUCUGUGCUCGAUCAAAUAUUGCCACAUAAAAUGAGACGGAGAGAGUAAUAAAUAAAAAUAAUGUAUAUAUAAAACAUUAAAAAUUAUGUAAUUAUAUAUCUUCUCGUUAAUAAAAUCACAUCCAAAUUAUAUACAUUAGUCCAUUGAAAUAUAUUUUAUCGUGCGCAAUUAAUGUGAAACAAAAUCGGAUUGAGAAUGAAUCGAUGGACUUCGAAAAGCUUCCUUUUUAUAUUUUGCUCUCACUCAAAGACGUUUUAAAAAAAUUAUUUUAUAGGAAAAUUGGAAAACAACAGGAAAAGAGUGUAAUACAUUGACAUGCAUCUAACUUGGCGUUAUGACCUUUAACUUUGGAUGUGCUCAAGUAGACACUUAAACUUGUAUGAAAUUGAACAAAUAAAUACAUUCAUCCUACAUGACACCCUACGUGGUAAUUUCGUGUCCAAUAUGACGUUUUACGUGUAUUAUGUAAUGUAGAACACAUGUGUCUACAUGUUUAAUUUUAUACAAAUUUAAAUAUUUACUUGUGUUAUAAGUAUCCGCUAAAGCUAAGUUACGAGUUAUGUUUACGUAUUAUAUCUUUUUUUUAGGCAUAAUACAUAUAUUGGAUCCUAAUUUUUGCUUUAAAUUUUAACUUUGACCUCUAGCUUUCAUAAUGCACAAACAGACAAUUUAACUAUCCAGCUUUUAAAUAAAUAAACACAUGAGUCCUACAUGGCAAAAUACAGUAGGACACCACGUAGGACAAAAGUGACAUGUAGGAUUACAUGUAGGACAUGUGUGUCUAUUUGUUCAACUUUAUACAAGUUUUAGUGUCUACUUGUGCACGCCCAAAGUUAAAGGACAUAAAUAUAAUUCAAAGUCAAGUAACAGGCAUAUUUAUAUAUUAUGCCUUUUUUUUAAUAGCUUGGUACAUUCCCUUACCUGAACCUACUGGAUCUUCCAUCUCCAAUCUUAUUACAAAUUCUCUCAACAUUACCUCCUACCACACUCUUAUACGUCAAAAUCGUCUCCAAAACUCUUCUAAACCUAACCUAAGAUUCCGAAUUUUUAAACUUGUCACGUUCAGUAUCUCCAGCUACCAUUAUCAUCCACUAGUUCAACUCUAAUAGGACCAACACGUUAAAGUUUUUGAAAUUCGUAGUCGAUUAUAACUUUGAUCAUGAUUCAAAUGUUCACCUUGAUCUGCAACUUUACUUUCCUGUUGAUCCAGUUUUCCUAGUUGGAUCUGUUCAUGGAUUUGUCUGUUUUAAUUAUUUUUUCGGUAAUGUUGAUGGUAUUUACAUCCUCAAUCCAACAACAAGAGAAUAUAUCAUCCUUCCUGAGCCACAACGGGUAAGAAAAUGGCUUUGGUUUCGAUCCUGUUAGGUUCGAGUACAAAGUGGUCAGAAUAUACCAAGAGGAGAUUCGCGAUAAUGAUAAUAAUGGUUUUCAUUAUUAUAAGUCUGAAGCACAAUUUUACACAAUUGGGAAAGGGUAUUGGAGAAGUAGUGUAGAACAUGUCAUGUUCUGUUUUGGAUGCAGGGCAUAUGGGGUGAAUCUAUAUGGAAGGAUUCAUUGGUUGGUUUCUGAUGCUAAUGGAAAUGAGUUAAUAUGUUCGUUUAAUUUGGAGAAUGACUUGUUUAAUUUGGAGUUAAUAUGUUGUAAGAAAUGAGUAUUGAUGAAGCAACAUCACUGAUGGAUCUCCCAUCCCCAAUCUUGUUAGAAAUUCUCUCUAGGUUACCUCCCACCACACUCUUAUACUUCAAAACCGUCUCUAAAUCUUUUCUAAACCUAACCUUAGAUUCCGAAUUCUUAAAACUAUCACGUUCAACAUCUCCAGCCAGCAUCAUAAUCAACCAAUUCAGCUCUGAUGAGACUUCUAGUACCAACACUUUAAAGUUCUUGAAAUUCAAAGAUGAGGAUACUCAUUCUUAUUGUCAUGAUCCAAAACUUGACCUUGAUCUACAACAUUACUUCCCUAUUGAUCCAUUUUGGAUGGUUAGAUCGGUUCAUGGUUUCAUUUGUUUUAGUUACUUCCCUGAUUAUGUUGAAACUGUCUACAUCCUCAACCCAAGAACCAGGGAGUAUAUCAUUCUUCCAGAGGCUGGAGGGAUAAGAGAGUGGCCCAAUGAUGUCAUGUAUACCUUUGGUUUCGAUCCUGUUAGGUUCGAGUACAAAGUGGUUAGAAUUUACCAAGAAGAAAUUUAUGAUGAUAAUACUAGUUAUUACAAGUCUAAAUGUCAAGUCUACAUAAUUGGCAAAGGGUUUUGGAGAAAUGCAGGACAUGUUAUGUUUUCCUUCAAGUCAUAUGGGGCGAACCUCUACGCGAAGAUUCAUUGGUUGGUUUAUGAUGCUAAAGGGAAUGAGUCAAUAUGUUCAUUUUAUUUGGAGAAUGAGUUGUUUGAAUCUUUCCCCACAGCUCCAAUGUACAACAAGAAAAGGUAUUGGUAUUCGCGAAGUUUGGGAGUCUUUGGACGUUGUCUAUGUGUGUGUGACAAUUAUGCAGAUACUCAUUUUGAGGUAUGGGUGAUGAAAGAAUACGGAGUUACUGAUUCAUCGGUUAAACAGAUUGUUAUAGACAUUUCUCCUGAAUGCAACGAUUGGUUGGGCAAUGAAAUAAUUUAUAUGUUGAAAGUUUUGGAGGAUGGAGAGGUGUUGUUCUUGUGGCGUGACGAUUUCUUGUUCUUGCACCAUCCUGUGAAGAAAACAUUGAAAAAGCUUGAUGUCUGUACUGGGAAUAUCUUAGCAUCUAGCCAUGUAUCAAGUUCCUUUUCUCUCAAGAGUUUUGAAGGAGAGGUUGUGAAUGUCUUUUAGAUUGUCAUUUUGGUGACUGUGAUGUGAGUUCUUGCUUUGGGUUAAAGACUUUGUAUUCUGACUUUGUAUAAUACAUAAACGUGUUCUUUAACUUGGCUUCAUAAAAAAUUAUGUUCUUCAACCUUGGAGUUCUAUUUGGGCUAAUCCUCCCACUUUUUCCUUUCAUCUUUUCUUUCACCAUGACCAAAUCUACAAUAUUUUUUCUUUCAUUUUCAGUGCUACUUCACAAUGUUACUGCAUCAAAUGAUAUUAAGUGCUUGCAAGGACUGAAGGACUCAUUUAAGGAUCCUAAUGGAAAUUUGUAUUCUUGCAACUUCUCAAACUACUUCAUGGGGUUUAUCUGCAAGUUCGUUGGUGUCAUUUGCUGGAACAACCUCGAGAACCGGAUGAUCAGCCUCUCACUUUCAAACAUGAAUCUCAGUGGACAGCUCCCAGAUGCCUUCAAAUAUUGCUCAUCUUUGGCUACUCUUCAUCUCUCUGGUAACAGGUUCUGCGGUCCCAUUCCUUCAGAGAUUUGUAGUUGGACUCCAUAUUUAGUAAAACUCGACUUGUCAGUUUCUCUGGCUCUAUACCUGCUGAACUUAGAAACUGCACCUACUUGACCAAGUUGAUUCUCAAUAACAACAAACUAUCUGGAAAUAUUCCACCAGAAAUCUCUCAAUUAACAAGGCUCAAGGUGCUCUCCUUGGCUAACAAUAAUCUUUCUGGUAACACACCACCAUUCUCAGGUUGAAGAUGGCAGAUAGUUAGCCGAGUUUUGGCUAAAUGUAUCUGACAUUUCAUAUUUGUAUUGUAUGGUGAAAAUGUCUGCAAUUCCAUGCUUCCAGUUAACAAAUGCAACAUCAACUUCUUUCUGUGUCUAUUCGACAAAGUUUUUGUACACAACACAAAGGAACAGAAAGUGUUGAUACUCUAACUAUCUUUUGUUUAUAAGUAAGGGUAUAUAUGAGUCACUUUCAUAACGUGGGGUAUAUCAGCUCUAAAUGACAAAGUUGAGAGGUAUAUCAGACCCUUUUCCCUUAAAAAUAACUAGGCUAAGAAAUCAUGUGAAUAUCCAGCUAAAUACAUGCAACAACGAAUAAAAAUAGCAAAAUAUAAAGAUAAUAACAAUGACCUACAUACUUGAUAACAAUUCAUAUGUUCUUUAUACAAAAAAGAAGAUAAAAAUUAAAAAUUAGAGGUAAUUGAGUUAGUCAAAAUUAUUAUUGAUAUGGCAAUUUCUUCUUCUGCUAUCCAAAUCAAUCUGCCUUGAAAAAUAAAUUACUACACGUUGAGUUUUGAAUUGAAACCCCAUCACGUAUCCAUAUAUAUUAAUUUUUAGUAAGUUUACAUAAAUAAUAAACAAUAAAUAUAUCAAAUCACUUUAUUUGAACUACCUUUUUAGUUUCUCAAAACUUGUUACACUUCCAAAAAAUGUACAUAUGCAGAAAUAUUUACUCUAGAUCAUUUAAUGAAAAUAAAUCAAAUAUUGUGAAAUAACAACGAAUGUGGUAGUUAAAUUAAUAGGUAAAAAGAAGAAAAAAUCAAAAUAAUUAGUAGUAAUAAUUGAGAUAAUUUAUAUUGUUAUAAAUGAAGUAUUUUAGAGGCAACUCAUAUGUGUAAGUUACAUUACGUAUGCUCAUAAUGGGUGAACAAAUAAAAUUGUCUCAUUAAAAAAGAAAUUGUGCAACUUCUCAUUUAUGUAAGAAAUUACUUACAAAAAUAUGUAAUGAGCGAAUAAAUUAGUUUUACACAUAUAGAGAGAACUGAAUGUGGAGGGUUAAAAUAUAAUUGUUGAGUUUUCAAUGUACUAGCUAUUUGUGUUAUUUAAACAUUACUAUUUAAUUUGAUUUUAAUUCAAUCAAGGACCAAAAAUUUUGUCCAGUAGUGAACUUGCAUUCAACUUUCAAGUAAUUAAAAUAUGAUUGUAUAAUAUUUAAUUAAAUAUUUUAUAAUAUUCAAAUUUAUCUCAAUGGUGACUUUGUAAUUCGACGUUGAUGAUAAAAACUAAUUAAGACUUUAAAAAAGGGUAAAAAUCUUGCAACUUUCCCUUGACAUUUUCAUCUUUCAUUAUACUAUCCCACUUUGAACAUUUACUAGAUGAGAUGCUUGUUGUUUAAUAUUCAAUUUAAUAGAUGUUUUAUAAUUUUUUAUUGAGUGGAGGAGCAUUGCAUAUACAUUGUUUUAUCAAUUAGAAUUUUUCGUAUUCUUCUGUCACGAGAAUUAUGAUUAUAAUUAAGUCAAGCACAAAAUAUUGUGUUUGAAUACUUAUAUUUUGAGUUGAAACUUAUGCUCUUAAAUUUGUUCGUAAUUAGCUCGAACUCUAGGCUAAUUUGGUGAUUUAAUAUAAGUUUUUCUUUACAUAUUAUUAGAGUCGUUUAUUUUUAUGAACCAUUUUUUAUUCUCACCCAACUUGCAUUUUUUUAAGGGCAUCAUAAGUAAAAUCACCAUUCAGCUUCUUAGAAAUAAUGUUAGGACGGGUCGCUUAGAAUUUUAAAAAAAUGAUAACAAAGUCAUUUGAUUUUCGUGACACAUUGUCUCGACUCGUAAGUUCUUCGAUUAUACUAUCACAACCCUAGUAGCCAAGAGUUGAUAUUUCAUUCUAACUUAAUAUUCUUAUGAUUUUUUAGUGCAAGAAAAUCAUGAAUUGAGGGUUUUUAUGUCGACUCUUUGAUGUUACAAAAGAAAAGGUUAUUUUUCUCCAACGAUUUUAAUAACUAUCAUUGGCACAAAUUUAUUUUAUUAUGUAAUUUAUUGAUAUUUUUAGUCAUCGUUAAAAUCUCAUUCUAGCCUAAGAUUCUUGUGGUUCUUGAGUGCAUGAGAAACAAGAACAGAAAGUUUUUGUCGAUUCGUUGAUCUGAAAAUUAGACUGUGAUUUUCAUUUCUAAUGAUUUUAGUAAGUACUAGUCUUGGACACGUGCAACACACGUGUAUCCUAUACUAAUUUAUGUAAAAUCAUUAGAACUAAUGAUAAAUGUAUUUUCUAAUAGAACAAAGUUUUACAAUUAAUACAAAAUUCAUUUGACCUAUGAAAGUAUCCUUGCAAUGAAAACAUUAUUCUAACGUGAAGUUUUAGUUAGAGAACUGAUUGGUUAAAGGCUAAAGGUGACAAGAAAAUUUAAAAUAAAAUAUGUUAUCAAUUCACGUUAACAUCCAGCGAAAUACAUGCAACAAGUAAUAAAAGUAGCAAAAUAUAAAAAUAACAACAAUGACCUACAUACUUGAUAACAAUUCAUAUGUUCUUUAUAGAAAAAAGAAGAUACAAAUAAAAAAUUAGAAAUAAUUUAGGUAAUUCAUAUGGUUAUAAAUGAAGUUUUUAGAGGUAAAACAUAUAUAUAAAUUACAUUACAUAUGCUUAUAAUAGGUGAAAAAACAAAAUAGACUCAUUAAAGAAGAAAUUGUGCAACUUGUCAUUUGUGUAAGAAGUUACUUACAAAAGUACGUAAUGGACAAAUAAAUUAGUUUCACAUAUUUAGGUAGAAUUAAAUGUAGAGGGUUAAAAUAUGAUUGUUGAGAUUUCUAUUUACUCACUAUUCAUGUUAUUUAAUUUAAUUUUGAUUUAAUGAAGGACCGCAAAAUUUUGUAAUGUGAUGAAGUUACAUUCAACCUUUAACUAAUUAAAAUAUGAUCGUAUAAUAUUUAAUUAAAUAUUUUAUGAUAUUUUGAUUUAUCAUUGUUUAUCGCAAUGAUGAACUUGCAAUUCGACGUUAAUGCUAAAAGUUAAUACAAUAUGAUAUGAUUCAAUAAAGUCUUUAAAAAGGGAUAAAAAUAUCUAGAACUUUCUAUGGAUAUUUUCGUCUUUUAUUUUUUAAUUUUAUAUAUAUAAAGCUUUUAAUAUUCUUUCUAUCAAUUAAAGCUUUUAAUAUUCUUUCAAAAGGUCAUUUUUGGAAAUUUUGAAUAUUUGCUUAACUUGAAUUAAUUAAUCGAUAGUUUAUGGGCUAAAGUGAUAAUUUAUUUAAGACCCUAUACUCUUUAGCCUAUAUUUAAUUAAAUAUGUGGGUAAAACCUAUCACUUUUAGUACUUAAAUAAUUCAGAAAAAAAAAGAAGAAGGGGCGAAGGGUUUCUCUCUUGCGGCUACGAGAGGGUGAGUUUCUUUUCCUUUAGCUUCUUAUUUUCUGCACAUAGAUGUGCAUACAUAUCAAUUUUUAUAUUGUUAAUUAUAUUAUAUAUAUGUAUAACAAGGAAUGAAGAUUAAACAAAACAAUUAAAGAAAAAGACAAAAAAACAACAACAAAUGGCAUGCAUGCUGUAAUGUGAAGAAAUUAGGGGUGUUCAACGUGGCAACGUGGGUUCUGGAAAAAGAUUUUGAAACUAGAAUUUAAUGCAAAUAUAUAUAUAUAUCUAUAUAUCUAUAUCUAUAUAUAUAUAUAUAUAUAUAUAUAUAUAUAUAUAUAGGUAAUGAUUGCUAUAUUAUGUGUGGUUAGUAGAUAAUUUAAUUUAAUUUCUUAUUCUUAUCACAUUAUGGGUUAAGUUUUGGAAUAUUAAAUAAAGUAAUUAAAUAUUAGAUAUAUUAUAUUAUAUAAAUACCAAUCAAAUUAUGAUAGUUGAAAUGUUAAUUGACAUCGAGAAUUACAAAUUUGAUUAUAAAUUUGGGGUGUAUUUUUAGGUCAAGAUUAAACACACAAAAGUGUGAGUGUUGUUAGUUUUGAAACCUUAUUGUGAAUAUAUAUACUUGCAUAGAUUGCAUCGAUUUGGAAGCUCAACAGAAAGGGAAGGCUCAAGUCCCAGAGUGAUUAUUAGAGUGAUUGAGGCAAGUGGAUUUCUAAACCCUUGUUAAGCGUACGAAAUUCGUGUAUUUCUUUGUGUGAUGUUGAGAAUGAUUUGGAGACUUGUUGCUUAAUUGUUGGUGUUGUAUUUCUUGUUGCAAAUUGUGCUUUGUUAUCAAAUGGUUAUCUCCUCCUUUUCAUUUGAGCAUGUCAUUUGCAUUGUAUCUAAGACAUGGUUGUGGUAAGAGGAUGUACUAUUUUCGAGGGUCGUAUCGCGCGCCGCGAUGGAUAUUAUAUUUCAAGGGACGUAUCGCGCGUAGCGAAGGUUACUAUUAUCGAGGGUCGUGUCGUGCGCCGCGACAGAUGCAUGGACAGAUAUGUCCCCCAUGGGUCCCGGACUGAGAGACAGCGGGUGUGUAUCGUUAGGGAAGACAUGCAUCACUAUACUUGACAUUGCAUCUCAUGGCAUUACACAUUUGAUUAUUGAUGAACUUGAACACGUGUUUUGUUGAUCUUGUGAGUGUUUCUCUGUGAAGCUUGUGACUGUUGAAUAUUGAGGUGUUAUUGAGAAUGUGUAAACUGAUAGAGUGUGGUUAUUGAGUUGUGUGUUUGGUAAACUGUAAACUAUUAGACUGUAGCGCGGAGGUUUAGACAUGGUGUAAGAAGUGCACGUAUUUUGUUCACUUAACUUGUGUUUAGAGGUUUGCUUGUUGGGUACCGCGUGGUUUGGUACUCACCCCUUGCUUCUACAAAUUUUUGUAGGAUACGAGCCUUGAUCUUCAUGAUACCUGUCAUUCUUUUCGUUUCCGAGGCAUCUUGUGGAGGAUUGUGAGGUAGCUGCUUGUCAUCUCAGCAAACUUUCCUACUCUAGUUUAUGACUUUGUUUUUACUUGAAAGACAACUUCAUGUUAGACUUCUAUUUUAUUUCAAUUCUAAUAUUUACAUUCGAGGCUUGUGCACGUGACAACCUGAUUUUGGGGAUAGGAUUAAUAUGACUUGUUUUCAUAAUAGGAUUUGUUGUUGGAUUGUCAUUUACUUCCGCACUUUGUUAGAUAUUUGGUUUUAGGCUGACUUGUCUUGGUGGGAUAAGACGAGUUCCAUCACACCCAUUUUUGGGUCGUGACAAAAUGGUAUCAGAGCCCCAUGUUCAUAGGUCUCACGUGUAUACAAGCCGAGUCUACGUAGAGUCUCAAGGAUCAGUACGGAGACGUCUCUACUCAUCUCUGAGAGAAUAUAAAGAUUACUAGGAAACUUCCUUUUGUUCAUUCUUUCUCAUCGUGCGUAGUUACCUUCGUUAGUACUGAGUUGUUGUAUACUCUUUUGACAGAUGAUGAGGACUAGAACUAAUGUUACUGGUGGUAGAGGGGAGGCACUUCCCGAGGCAGUUGUUGAGGCCCCAGCUAGGGGUAGGGGUAGAUCUCGAGCUAGAGGUCGUGCUAGUAGUACACAGUAGCCAGAGGUCGUGGACGUGGAGCAGCACCAGUGAGAGGUCGUGCUAGAGAGGUCUCUACAGAACCUCAGAUUGAUGGCAGGGAGGACCAGGUUCCUCCAGAUCCUGUAGUCACACCUUUACUUCAGGAUACACUAUUGAGGGUGUUAAGUGUGCUUGAGGGCUUUUCUCAGGGUGGUGGUGCGACUACCACACCACAUGACUCUCGUACUAGAGAGGGGGCUCAGACCCAAGAGCAGCAAGAGGCUCCAGUUGUUCAAGAUGAGGUGGGGCAACUACCAGUAGAUCCCGCGGUUCAGAAUGAUGUUGCACCAGCAGUUGGGGGUCAAGUUGCAUCGAUGGUUGUUCUGACAGAGUAUGAGCAGCGUAGGUAUGAGAGAUUUCAAAAGAUGGACCCACCUCAGUUUUAGGGUGGGAAGAGCGAGGGCGCUCAUGAGUUUCUAACUACCUGCCGACAGUUACUAGAGGUGGUUGGAUUAGCUGAGUCACAUGGGGUUAGAUAUACUACACUCCAACUUCGUGGACCAGCGAGAGACUGGUAGAGGACUUAUUCGGGGGUUUUGACAGUUGGAUCUCCUACAGUGACUUGGGAGUAGUUUGCUAGUGCAUUCCAAGAUCGUUUUAUCCCAUGGAGCGUGAGAGAGGAGAGUCGCUUGAGGUUUGAGAGUCUGAGACAGGAUGGUUUAUCGGUUACAGAGUAUGAGGCGCGUUUUUGCCAGUUGUCUAGGCAUGCGUUGGCCAUUAUUCCAAAUGAGACAAAGAGGAUCCGCAGAUUUGUGAGGGGAUUGACUUUCUCUAUCAGGUCAGCUGUGUUUCGGACAUCUAGGGCGGGGACUUCUUUCCAAUCCAUUGCGAGCACCGCAAAGAGGCGGAAUUGAUGGAGAGAGAGGAGUUUGGGGACUCUAAAAGAUCCCGUAUAUCAGGACAGUUUCAUGGUGCCUCAUCUGGAGGUAGGGGAUCACAGAGAAUGAGUGGUUCUUUUCAGCAGCGGGGACCUAUUCAUGCAUCUAUGCCGACAUUUGAGGGUGCCCAGACAUCUAGGGGUUCUUAUAGCUUGGGUCAGAGCUCGUACGAUUCACAGCAGCGACCUACAGGGCGAGGAAAUUAUAGUGGGUUUUCAGGGUCCACACAACAGUUCCCAGGUCAGAGAUUUUGUUUUACUUGUGGAGAUCCCGGUCAUCUAAUGCGGCAGUGUACUUCUCAAAGGGGUCGUGGUGGUCCUCGACCUAAUUCUUCAUUCCAGACUAGACCACCAGCUCCACAGGGUAGAGGUCGUGGCAGAGUUCAGUCAGGUAGAGGUAACAGAGUUUCUAGUAGUGGUGUUGCAGCUCAGCAGAGUGGGGGUAGAGGUACCACCCAGGCUGGUGGUGGACGAGGAGCCCACUGGUAUGCUUUCCCCGGGAGACCUGAGGCGGAGACCUCUGAUGUAGUUAUUACAGGUAUCAUCCCAGUAUGCCAUCGACCUGCGUCUGUGUUGUUUGAUCCAGGUUCUACAUUCUCUUAUGUGUCUACAUAUUUUGCUGCUAAAUUUGAUAUGAUAUGAGAUAGCAUGACUGUACCUAUUCGUGUUUCUACACCCGUGGGUAAGCCCUUAGUGGUGGAUCGAGUGUAUCGAUCCUGUCUUGUUUCUUUGGCUGGGUAUGACACUUGGGUAGACUUAAGCAUUCUGGGGAUGGUGGACUUUGAUGUUAUCUUGGGUAUGGGCUAACUUGAAUUAAUUAAUCGAUAGUUUAUGGGCUAAAGUGAUAAUUUAUUUAAGACCCUAUACUCUUUAGCCUAUAUUUAAUUAAAUAUGUGGGUAAAACCUAUCACUUUUAGUACUUAAAUAAUUCAGAAAAAAAAGAAGAAGGGGCGAAGGGUUUCUUUCUUGCGGCUACGAGAAGGUGAGUUUCUUUUCCUUUAGCUUCUUAUUUUCUGCACAUAGAUGUGCAUACAUAUCAAUUUUUAUAUAGUUAAUUAUAUUAUAUAUAUGUAUAACAAGGAAUGAAGAUUAAACAAAACAAUUAAAGAAAAAGACAAAAAAAAAAACAAAUGGCAUGCAUGUUGUAAUGUGAAGAAAUUAGGGGUGUUCAAUGUGGCAACGUGGGUUUUGGAAAAAUAUUUUGAAACUAGAAUUUAAUGCAAAUAUAUAUAUAUAUAUAUAUAUAUAUAUAUAUAUAUAUAUAUAUAGGUAAUGAUUGCUAUAUUAUGUGUGGUUAGUAGAUAAUUUAAUUUAAUUUCUUAUUCUUAUCACAUUAUGGGUUAAGUUUUGGAAUAUUAAAUUAAGUAAUUAAAUAUUAGAUAUAUCAUAUUAUAUAAAUAUCAAUCGAAUUAUGAUAGUUGAAAUGUUAAUUGACAUCGAGAGUUACAAAUUUGAUUAUAAAUUUGGGGUGUAUUUUUAGGUCAAGAUUAAACACACAAAAGUGUGAGUGUUGUUAGUUCUGAAACCUUAUUGUGAAUAUAUAUACUUGCAUAGAUUGCAUCGAUUUGGAAGCUCAACGGAAAGGGAAGGCUCAAGUCCUAGAGUGAUUAUUAGAGUGAUUGAGGCAAGCGGAUUUCUAAACCCUUGUUAAGCGUACGAAAUUCGUGUAUUUCCUUGUGUGAUGUUGAGAAUGAUUUGGAGACUUGUUGCUUAAUUGUUGGUGUUGUAUUUCUUGUUGCAAAUUGUGCUUUGUUAUCAAAUGGUUAUCUCCUCCUUUUCAUUUGAGCAUGUCAUUUGCAUUGUAUCUGAGACAUGGUUGUGGUAAGAGGAUGUACUAUUUUCGAGGGUCGUAUCACGCGCCGCGAUGAAUAUUAUAUUUUGAGGGACAUAUCGCGCGCCGCGAAGGUUACUAUUAUCGAGGGUCGUGUCGUGCGCCGCGACAGAUGCAUGGACAGAUAUGUCCCCCAUGGGUCCCGGACUGAGAGACAGCGGGUGUGUAUCGUUAGGGAAGACAUGCAUCACUAUACUUGACAUUGCAUCUCAUGGCAUUACACAUUUGAUUAUUGAUGAACUUGAACACGUGUUUUGUUGAUCUUGUGAGUGUUUCUCUGUGAAGCUUGUGACUGUUGAAUAUUGAGUUGUUAUUGAGAAUGUGUAAACUGAUAGAGUGUGGUUAUUGAGUUGUGUGUUUGGUAAACUGUAAACUAUUAGACUGUAGCGCGGAGGUUUAGAUAUGGUGUAAGAAGUGCUCGUAUUUUGUUCACUUAACUUGUGUUUUGAGGUUUUCUUGUUGGGUACCGCGUGGUUUGGUACUCACCCCUUGCUUCUACAAAUUUUUGUAGGAUACGAGACUGGAUAUUCGUGAUACCUGUCAUUCUUUUCGUUUCCGAGGCAUCUUGUGGAGGAUUGUGAGGUAGCUGCUUGUCAUCUCAGCAAACUUUCCUACUCUAGUUUAUGACUUUGUUUUUACUUGAAAGACAACUUCAUGUUAGACUUCUAUUUUAUUUCAAUUCUAAUAUUUACAUUAGAGGCUUGUGCACGUGACAACCUGAUUUUGGGGAUUGGAUUAGUAUGACUUGUUUUCAUAAUAGGAAUUGUUGUUGGAUUGUCAUUUACUUCCGCACUUUGUUAGAUAUUUGGUUUUAGGCUGACUUGUCCUGGUGGGAUAAGACGAGUGCCAUCACACCCAUUUUUGGGUCGUGACAAUUAUGAUCAUGAUUUACUCAAGAACAAAAUAUCAUGUUUGAAUAUUUAUUUUUUGAGUUGAACGUUUUUAUGAGUUUUUACAAAAUGAAGUUAAAGUCGAUUAUUUUUUAUUUAUUUUUAAAAAGAACUAACAAAAUACUAAUGAUUUUUGUAAGUUAAAUAUAAUUUAUGAAAACAAAGAAACGCAUGUAAUAGAUAAAUGUUUGAUAAAAUGACAAUUAUAUUAAUUUUCUACCUCUAAAUGAUGAAUACAAACAGAUAUGACAGUUUCACCUAUUUAUUUUUUUUAUAAAAAAAAGUCAUAAAUCAGAACUAAAAAAUCAUAUUUUGAGCUUAUACUUGUCAUGUUUUUUUUUAAAAUGAAAUUAAUCUAUUAAAUCUUAAAAAUGAAAAGAAGGGCAUAUAAAAAAUGUAUUUAUAUAAAUAAGGAAAUCUUUAUAGCCAGUGAGUAGGGGUGUUCGUGGUUUAGCUUUAAUCGAUUAACAGUUAAACAACAAAUCAAACCAAACGAAAAACAUAACGGUCGUUUUGAUUACUGACGUUUUGGUUCACUUUUUUUAGUUUUUUAGUUUGAAAGUAAUAAUCUUUUAGGACAUAUGUAUCUUGAUAGACUCAAAUACCUAGUAUAUGAAUAAUCCACUGAAAAGUUAUUGUUGGUUCAAUUAAGUAAUUAAAAAAUGCUAAAGUUAUUAAUACACGAAUAAAGUGUUUCAAUUAAGAGAAGGUGUAACUAUCUUAUGAAAUAUAUGGUAGAUAAAGACUAAAAUAAUGAAUUUGAUGCAGUUGGACUUAUGAUUGUAAUAUAUGGGCUAAAAUUUAUGUGUUGAGCUUGAGCAAAUUGUAAGUUAAAGAGUUAUAUUACUAAAAAUUUAACAAAAUAUUUAUAUUUUAUUUAUGAAUAAUAUAUUUAUAAAACUGAUUGGUUCGAUUUGAUUAUUUUUGCAGUUAUUUUUUUAGUAAAACUAAAACCAAAUCAAAUAAUAUCAAUUUUUCAAAAUGCAAAAUCAAAUCUAGUCACAUCAAAUCAAAUAUCAUUUUUGAAAUUGGUUUGAUUCAGAUUGUAAUUCGAUUUGAUUUUUUAACCGUAACCAUGAACAACUCUACCGGUAAAUAUUAACAUAUAUGACAAUUUCAUUUAUUUAUAUAUUUUCUAAAAAUGGCAUACAUCUCAAGUAAAUAUAAUGUUGAGUUUAUCAUUUAUAUAAGUUCAAAAAAUAGUCAAAUUUUAUUUGUCUAUUUGUUUUCUAAAUAAAAUUAUAAAUUAAAAGUAAAAUAUUAUCUUUUUAUUUAAAUUCUGAGUUUAUCCUUUUUAUGUUUAAAAAUAAUGAAGCUGGAAUUACUUAAUUUUAAAAAAAUAUAUAUUAAUAAGUUAUAUUUUAUAUCAUGAUAAUAAACUUAAGUUCUUAAAUUUGAUCGUAAUUAUCUCUAAUUUUUGGCUAACCUUUUGGUGUUUAAAUAUAAGUUUUUCUUUACAUAUUAUUAGAGUCAUAUAUUUUUAUGAAUCAUUUUAUAUUCUCUCUACAGCUCUCGCUCAACUUGCAUUUUUUAUGGACAUCACGGAUAAAUCACCAUACAGGUUCUUAUAAAUAAUGUUAGGAUGGAUCGGCUCAUCCUCAUAAUUCAAAACAAAAUGAUAGAAUAAAGUCAUUUGAUUUUCAUGACACAUCUACUCGAUUCAUAAGUUCUCCGAUUAUUUCUAUCAUAACCCUAGUAGCCAAGAGUUGAUAUCUUCUUCUAACUUAGGAUUCUUAUGAUUUUUGAUUUUAGAAGAAUCAUGAAUUGAGGCAUUUUGUCGACUCUUUGAUCUUAGAAAGGGAAGGUUAUUUUCUUUCCAACGAUUUUAGUAAGUAUCAUUGGUACAAAUCCAUUUUAUUAAUUAAUUUAUUGAUAUUUUUAGUCAUAGUUAAAAUCUCAUUCUAACCUAAGAUUCUUGUGGUUCUUGAGUGCAUGAGAAACAAGAACGGUAGGUUCAUGUCGAUUCGUUGAUUUGAAAAAUGGACGGUGAUUUUCUUUUCUGAUAAUUUUAGUAAGUACUAGUCUUGGACACGUGCAACGCACGUAUACCAUACUAAUUUAUAUUGAAUCAUUAGAAUUAAUGAUCAGAGUAUUUUCUGAUAGAACAAAGUUUUAUAUAUAAUUAAUAGAAAUUUCAUUUUGAUCUAUGAAAGUAUUCUUCCAAUGAAAACAUUUUUCUACCCUAAAGUUUUAGUUAGAGAACUGAUUGGUUAAAGGCUAAAGGUCACAAUACAAUUAAAAAUAAAAUAUGCUAAGAAAUUACGUGAACAUCCCGCAAAUAAAUGCAACAAGGAACAAAUGUAGCAAAAUAUAAAGAUAACAACAAUGACCUACAUACUUGAUAACAAUUCAUAUAUUCGUUAUAGAAAAAAGAAGAUUAAAAUAAAAAAAUAGAAAUAAUUGAGUUAGUCAAAAUUCUUAUUGGUACAACAAUUUCUUCUUCUGCUAUCCAAAUCACUCCACCUUAAAAAAGGAAUUACUACACGUUGAGUUUUGGAUUGAAACCCCAUCACGUAUCCAUAUAUGUGAGUUCUUUUCAUAAGUUCACAUGAAUAGUAAACAAUAGAUAUAACAAAUCAGUUUAAUCGGACUAACUUUUUAGUUUUCCUAAAAACUGUUACACUUCCAAAAAAUUUGCAUGUGAAGAAGCAUUUACUAUAAAUAAUUUAAUGAGAAUAAAUGAAAUAUUGUUAAAAUAAUAAGGAGUGCGGAAGGUUGUGAAAAACAAUUAAUAAGCGAGAAGAUGAAAAAAUUAAAAUAAUUACUAGUAAUAAUUGAGGUAUUGUUAUAAAUGAAGUAUUUUAGAGGCAACUCAUAUGUGUAAGUUACAUUACGUAUGCUCAUAAUAGGUGAAAAAAUAAAAUUGACUCAUUAAAGACGAAAUUGCGCAACUUCUCAUUUAGGUAAGAAUUUUCUUACAAAAGUAUGUAAUGAGCAAAUAAAUUAGUUUCACAUAUAAAGGGAGAAUUGAAUGUGGAGGAUUAAAAAAUGAUUGUUGUUGUAAAACUAAACCAAACUAACAAUAUAAAGAUAAAGAAAAAUAUGAGACAAGACAUUUAGAAGAUGAAAACAAUAGAAAUAGAGAGACAAGAGAUGAGAGCUUUUCUUAUUAAUCAAAGUAUUUAUCAAAUCUUCAAGUGUAUACAAUAUGAACCCUUAAGCCUCUAUUUAUAGUGUAACAUAAAGGCAUAUAAAAGGUUAGUCAUAAACAUGACAUUAACAUGAAUAUAAUGCGGAGCUUAUGAAAGUGAAAUGUUACAAGAAUAAUGAUUAUAAAGGUGAAAGCUAUGGAGGUUAUGAUUAUCUUCAUAAUGAGGAAAAUAGUGUAGAUAAUGGUGAGUAACUUCUUGGUGUAGUGGACAUCCACACUAUAAUAUUUUAUAACACUCCCUUGGAUGUCCAUAGAUAAUAUGCUUCGUGAAAACGUUACUAGGAAAAAACCUUGUGGGCAAAAAUCAUAGUGAAAGAAAAAGAGUACACAUAUCUUUUAAUACGCUUGAAUGUUUCCUCGUUAAAAACCUUCCCAGAAAAAUUCAUUUGGGACAAAACCAUGGUUAAGGAAAAGAGUAAAAUGCGCAUUUUUCUCCCCUGAUAAAAACUUUACUUAAUAUCUCGGAGACGAUGCAUUCCGAUCUUAUAUCACAAUUUCUCAAAUAUUGAUGUUGGUAAUCCUUAGUGAAUAAGUUUACAAGAUUAUUAGUUGAACGAGCCUUUGAACGUCUAUCUCACCGUUGUGCUGAAGAUCGUGUGUGAAAAAGAUUUUAGGUGAAAUAUGUCGUGUCUGAUCUCCUUAAGUUGUAUCCUCCAUUCAAUUGAACUAUAAUUAUUUUCGUAUAUGGUGGCUGGAAUAUCCUUUGUCAAAGGAAAAUCACAUAUUCUAUGAAUAUGAUAUAUUAUGAUUCCAAUCCAACACAUCCCUGACGUACUUCAUUGAUCUAUAUGAUUUGAAAAAGUGGUUACAAAUGUUUGUUGAAUGCCAAGAUAUUGUUGUGCCUCCAUAUGUAAGCAAAUAGCUCAUUUGCGAUCGAGCUUUAUGUAGAUCAAAUAAAUAUUUUGCAUCUGCAUAAUCAAACCAUUUUUUACUCAUUAGAGAUUGAUCAAUUUCGUUGAAACUCGUCUUUUCUUCUAAAAAAAAGUCACACAUCUUUUACCAUUUGCAUAACCAACAAUUUAUAAGUGCACUAAUAGCACUAAUACAUAACAUUUCAAAUCAUUUUCUUGAGAUUGAAACGAUCCUUUCUUUGUGUUAUGCAAUCUCAAAAUCAUUGAAUACUCAAUGGAAUUGCUUUAAGACCUUUUAUAUCCUUCAAGGAUUUUCAUAUAACCUUCAUCGUCUAUUUAGACAUAAUAAUCAUUGAUUAUGCAUAUUCAAGUAUUUCAUAACUUGCCAGACUGAAACAAGUCUCAUUGCAUUCAAUAUUGAAGAAUAUAUCUCCAUUUAAUAAUGUCAGGACUUCUGCGAAAAUUCUUUAUGCCCCGAGGAACGAACAAUACUUUAUAUCUUAUGGUUAUACUUUCGCACAAUGAUUCAUUGUAUCCCCACUGAUAUAUAUUUUGAUCUAUAAACCAUAUUUUUCGAAAGUAUCACUUUUCUAAGUGAUACAAAAUAUAUUUGAAUAGUGUCAAUCAUUAAUCCGUCCAUACUAUAUGACAAAUUCGAAUUUAAGAUCCUCGUAACCAUUUAUAAAACUGAGUUCUACAUCCAAUCAAAUAUACCGUCAACAAUUAUUUUGAUUUCAAUUCUAAUAUGACAUAAUUUAUCGAGAUAUCUUACUUUUUCAUCAUUUUCAAGUACCUGAACCUUUGUUAAGGUUUUAUAAAAUGUUAUGUCAUAGUGCUCUUUCAAAGCACUUACCUCAUUAUCAAUGACCAUUUUGAUAAUUUACUCAUCUCCUUCCUCAAGAAGUUUUACAUUUGAAAUUGGUCUAUCACGCUUUUGGCGUACCAUAGACUCUGUCCUUCAAGGACUAUUUAUUGAAGCAUUUGCAGCUUAAUUCAAAUAUUGGUCAGCAAAUACAUCUGGAAAAUUACUUGCAACAUUUUGCAUAUGAAUUGUCUCUUGAACUUCAAGUUCACAUUUUUUUAACGAGGAUCUAGAUAAUUCACCUCACACAUAAUUUUCAGCUGCUACACAUAUCUCCCCCUAAUGUUAGGAAAUCUAACAUUCACCCCAAAACCUCAAUUGGGUACCCAUCUUUGUGCAUGGUGGAGCAAUAAAAUAAUAUGUGAACAUGUCAAAAUUUUAGAUGGAAAUUAUUGGUUCCUGACCGUGAAACAAUUGUGUUGGGAAAACCUUGUAGGCUUGAUGCAUACAUGUUAAAUAAACAUAUCUCAUACCAAAUUUUAUUUGAGAGACUUGUUCUCAUAAUCAAUGGUCUAGCAAUAGUUGGAGGCAUACAAUUUCUGCUAAACCAAUCAACAUUAUCAACAUGACUUUAAGUUUGAAAAUAUGCUCUUAAUUUGAUAAUUUGAGCAAACAACCUUACAAAAAUCAAUUUGUAAGUUGAUACAAAUGCAAAUGUGACCAUACCAUAGAUACAUCUAUUAAAUCAUAAUUGUAAACGGUCCAUAUGGCAGACGAACGGGCCCAUAUCCACCUUUUUAAUGUUUCAAAUAAUUUUAGGGGAUACAGUCUCAACCAUAGUUGGUACAAUUAUCAUUUUAUCACGAGAACAAGCUUCAAAAGAGAAAUCUUGAAGAAUAUUUUAUUUCUUCAACAUAUAGCCACGUGAGUUCUCAAUUUCUCUUGCAUCACAUUUGAAUCGAAAUGACCAACCUAUUAUGACAACUGAUAUUUAUUCAAGUAAACUUCUAGUUUACUUUUGCGUGUGAUUCCAUCACCAUGCUCUUAUUUGUAUACAACAAACAACGGGGGAAAAAUAAUCUUAUACUUAAAUAUAUAUUACCCACCCACUUUGAUUGUAGUAAUUGAAGAUUUGAAAUCUUCCCAUAAUUUAUAGUCUCAAUAUAAUAAUUUGUUUUUAAUUCUUCUUAAACUUAAAAAAGUUUCUUUUGAGACUUAUUACAACAACAAUAUUAUGAAUAAUUUUAUCCCUCCAAAUAAUAACAAUUAGCCCUUUCGAAAUUAUCAAUUAAUUUUGUGUACUACCACAAUUUUCACAAUGCCAUUUUAUGGUGACCAUCUCUUUCGAGGAUAAAUUUUUUAUUAUUGUCAUGAUUAAAAUUAUUACAUUCAAGACUUAUUUCUUGAUAACCAAUGACAAAUUUGUGUUGCCACACAACAACAUUCAUUUUGAUCAUGGCCACAACCUUUACAGAAAAGAUUUAUUCAUUCUUUUGUCUCGUUUUAAAAUAUACCACAAUAUUUGUGUAGUAUUCAAAGUAUAUAUAUGACCAAAAUGACUAUUUAUGUCAAAAGAUUUUCUUUCAUCUCUCAAACCUUCCGUAGAGGGGAGAUGUGACAUUCGUCCAAUAAUACAUGAACAUGUUUUUAUCUAUACGAAAACAAGUCAUAUUUUCUUUAAAAAAAAUGGACCAUAAUCAUUUGUACAUGUUCCAUAUGUUUUUAUUAGAAACUCAUUGUCAUGUUUUGACAUUAUGUAUCUAUAACAUUUUGGAAAAUUACAUGUCUAGUAAAGAGCCCAAUAGGUCUUUAAGAAUGCGUAUUGGGAAUACAUAGGCAUUCCAAUGCCCAAUAUUGAGAAAUAUCAUAUUAUAGAAAAUUAGUAAGGGUUAUAAGCUAAUUUUUAUAUAAUAUUCAAAUAACUAAAAUAUUGGGCAUAUUAGAAAAUAUUGGUUUAAAGGGUGUUAGCCAUUUUUUCUAAGUAUUAAUGAGGUUGUUCAAGAAAUGUACCUGCAAUGAAGAUCCUAAGUUAAAAACAUAUAUUUUCCAACAUUUACGCAUUAGGUGUGAGGCAUCCAUGUGUCAAGCCAAGGCACCAUAGCGCAUGACCAAUUAAAUUGGGCAUGGAGAUUAAGCAAUGCCCAAGGACAUAGUAAGGAUCCAUGGACAAUAAGUAAACAUUCUGUAAUGACCUGUUUAGUCGUUUCGAGCAGUAGAAUCAUUUGUGAUAAAAGCUGACUGGGUCGAUGGAUCACGCGACGGACCAUCAUGGUCAUGACGGACCGUCAUGGACUCCAUCGUCCCACACUUGUGUAAUUUUCCUAUGGAUUAUGGGAUCAACUCUCUGAACUUCACAACGGAAGUGCAGCACGAACCGUUGUAGACACGACGGAUCGUCACAAACAUCCUUACUGAAUUUGGCUCUCUGAACUUUGUGACGGACCUGCAGGACGGACCCUCGCAGGUACGACGGGCCGUCACGAGCGGCGUAACCUCGACUGGGUCGGAUUCUGCUAAAAAUUUGAAGGGGUGUUUUGGACUAUUCAUGACAAAUUGUAUGAAAUUAGUGGGUAAGUUUAAUAACUUAUUUACUUAGGGGUUAAAGGAGGUAACUUAAAAUAAAUAAUGAGUUACUUUUAUCAUAAGGAAUUAUAUGAUAAUUAGGGUAAAAGAAAAAGAAUUUGGAGAAGGAAAAAGAGAGGGAGAACGAGCGAGACAAAGAGAGAAGCGAAGAAGAAAGCAAAGACAUUGAGAAGUAGCUUGCUUGAUCACGAUUCCUCGGUGGAGGUAGGUUAUGAUUUAUGCUAUUUCAUAAAAAACUCUUAAUAGCGAUUGAUAUGUAUUGGGUGGUAUUGUAAAGUCUUCUAUAUGCUUGAUUGUGGGUUUGUAUGUUGUAAUUGUGUAAUUGUGGUGGAUUAGAAUGUUGAUACUGUUGAAUCUUUAAUCUUGAAUCCUCUCUAGUAAGAUGACGCCUUGACAUAAAGAAGGCUUGAUGAAAUAAAAUCAUGAGAUAAAUGGAUCGGAGUGUCACGUACUGACACAUAGUAUUAAGGGAUCGGGUGUCACGUUCUGACACGUAGUAUUAGGGGAUCAGAGUGUCACGUUCCGACACGUAGUAUUAGGAGAUCGGGUGUCACGUUCCGAGACGUAGUAUUAGGGGAUCGGAGUGUCACGUUCCGACACGGUAAUGAUAAGAGGAUGAAUAUUGAAUUAUGUUAAUUUACUCAAAUUCAAAGAACCUAUUUCCCAAAUGAGUAUGGUGUGGAGGCUUGAGUCCUCAUAGGUGCGCUUGGUGUUGUUGCCAAUGGUUCUUGUACUUGUUGUUGCUACCUGUUGAGUAUUGUAGUUGAUUUUAUAAUAUUAUUUGAUAUAUAUUGCUUUUUAUUUUGAGUUGGCCGAUGAUACCUACUCAGUACUUGUUCCUUGUACUGACCCCUACUUGUAAUUUUCUUCUUUGUUAUUUGUGGAGUGCAGCAAGCGUGCCAUCGACUUCGACUCGUCCUCAACUCUAGCCAGUCUUCAGUAUAUCAGAAUUCAGGGUGAGCUACUAUUUCUAGCUCGGACUGGACUAUCUCCUUCACGUCUUGAUGUCUUGAAGUUCGGACAUGGACCAUCUCUUUUACUUAUUUUAGCUUCUUAAAUACUCUUAGAAUUAGAAAUUUGAGGAUAGAUGUUCUUGGUGUGAUGACUUCCAGAUUUUGGGAAUAAUAAGUAUUGAGUUUUAGAAGUUAUUUAAUUGAUUUUUCGUUAAUGAGUUUUGAGUCUUCCGCAUUAUAUUUUGUUCACUAUGGUUGAAAUAUUGGUAAAUGAUGGGGUUUAGAUUUGUUGGUUCACUCACAUAGGAGUAUAAGUGUGGGUGCCACUCGCGGCUCGUUUUGGGUGGUGACACAUUCCCAAUGAACCAUCAAGAAUAGUUAGUUAGGAAAGUACAAGCAACAUAUGUGGAAAAACGUCCAAGGGAGGGGACCAUCCUAACCGAAUUCGGUUAGGGUAGUUAGGGGGCAGGCGUGCACAAGUGUUCCACCAUGUGGGGCCUAGUUCUCUAACUAACUCUAUAAUAGAACUAACUAACCUAAAUAUCUAACUAAACUAGGAAAAAAAAUAAAUUAUCUAGUACACCCGACAACCUAAGACUUAACUGGGUGACACUAACCUAGUAACUAGUUAAAGAGACAACCUAGUACCUAACCUAGGAUGUUCCAAAGGGUUAGAUCUGGCCCUAACAACUUAACAGUACUUUAGUAAUUACCCUAGGUCACCUAAUUAAUUUAAUUAGCAAUUUAAUUUAUUAAUUUAAAUGGUCAAACCGAAAUUCUUACACUAGACAAGGAACUAACUAAGAAAUAUUUUCGUACCUAACCUAGGAUGGUCCAAAAGGGUUAGUUAUGGUCCCAAUGACUUAGGGGUAUUUUAGUAAUUAUUCUAGGUCCCUUAGUUAAUUAAAUUAAGUGAUUAAUUAAUUUUAAAAAAUUCUCAAGUAAGGCUGAAAUUCUUAGGAAAAAAUUUCAUAUUUGAUUAAUUAAAUGUUUUCCUAUUUCUAGUCAAUCUAGGAGGGACUUUUUAGUAAUUAACUAAUUAAUUUAUUUAAUUUACUUAAUUAACCUAAGUUGAAUGAGUCAAUAUUAGUUCCUAAGACUUAUAAUCACUUUCAAACACUAAGAUAUUCACGACACAAAAUAGUAAACGAACGAAAGAAAAAUAGAAAAGUUUCUCUCGAUUUCUCUUUGGAGAUUUCAAGGUUUUCUUCAAGGUUUCGUGCAAGGUGAUCUUCGUAGAUUUAGUUCUGCAUAAGGUAUGAAUUUUAUCUCAUGGAAUUCUUUCUCCGUGUGACUUUUCAAACGUUUGAAUUCAUGAACUUCGAAACUAAGUUGUACCCCAAUGAUAUUGUUGAACGUUCAUCUCUCUAGUUAUCCUUAUUUUCGGUUCUUUAAGAAUAUAGAUGUAAUCUUGUACAUAUUGUUGGUAUGUGGUGCUAACUGAUUUUAUAAGUUCUUGAUUUGUUAAUGACUAACGAGGUUUAUAGAUUGGAUUCAAAUGAUUUGAGUGUUAGUUACACGAAUUAAGGAAUAAUAUUUGUGUUUCGAGAAUAUGAAGUUACUAUGAAUCGGCUAUGGAAUUUAGGUACUGUUAAAAUGUUAAGUUUUCGACUGAUUCAUGUUGGGGAAUCACUAUAUUACAUUCGUGAAAUUAUUUGAUGUGGUUAGUGAUAACAUAAUGAAUGUUGUUUAAGUGAAAGUUUGGUUUAUGCCUAUAAAAUGGCUAACAAUGUCUUACCCAAAAAGUUGAAUGACAUUGGCUUACAAUAUUGCUUUCAAAGAAUGAUGGAAAGAGUGUCUAAUGUAAACCCAACUAAGCAUUACUAAUGUAACUUUGAAUUCAUAAACAAGGGUAUGUCAAUCAUUGGGAUAAGUCCCAACAUACCCUUUCCAAAUGAACUAUGAACAUAGUAACUACAUUGAACAAAGUUCUUAACGUUUAUAAAGAAUGAUUUAAAAAUACCAAAAGACAUGAAACGAGUUAAGGUGAGUAAUAACAUAAUUAAAAGUCUUUAAAUUAUGAAGGUGAUUAGUAUGGGGUGUUAAAGGAAGUGAGACAAGUCUCGCUUACACCUAAGAUAACUAUGUUAAAUAUACUCACAAAAGCUGGUGUUAAUAAUCGUGAGACAAGUCUCAUUAACACCAAGAUGAUAAUGUAAGGUUAAAUUUCACAUUUCAUCAAGUAAAUAAAGGAAUUACCAAUUAUCCAAAGAGUUAAGUAAACAUUAUAACUAGAAUCAAGUUUCCAUAAUGUUUGAUUCAACUCUAAAAGAUGUAAAGUAAAAGAAAUUGAGCAAAGUACCGAUAGACUAGCAAUGAGCUUGUGCCAGCACAUGUAAGCUUCAUGAGAUGAGGCUACCACCAAGGUGGAUAAGUAGUCUCCAUAGGUAUCCUAGUCUUCUAACUAUGUUUCCAGCAUAGGAACUUGCCAGUGGAUUCCACCUAAGGGGGCUAGGUAUGAUGCGGUUUCACUUUGACCGGUUAAACCACACCUUUCAGUGCGGGGCAGACAUUGAAUUUAAUGCUUAGCUCACAUAAUCUAUGUCUGUUAAAUGCUCAAAGAAAGUAUUCUGUUCACUUUAUCUGUGAACCACCUCUUUUCGGUGUGGGGAAGACAAUGGACUUGAUUUCACUUUAGCCGGUGAACUAUCCUUUUUCGGUGUGGGAAAGACAAUGGAUUUCAUGUUAGCUCACAUGAUCUAGAUUCACUUUGAUGGUUGAAUCACCCCUUUUCGGUUUCUGACAGACACUGAAUUUCAUGUUAGCUCGCAUGAUCUUAAUUCUAAAGAUGUCCUUAAGAAAGAAAGAAAGAAAGAAAAAAAGAAAGAAAGAAAGAAAGAAGGAAGAAGAGAUGUAUGUUCAAAGUGAGCUAUCGAAGUAAGAGCUUAAGAAUAUCAAUCUUCAGUGUUUGAUAAGAAUGAAGUUUUCAGCAAAUAGUGGGCAUAGUCAAAUAAAAUUGGCUUAUAAUGACUUCUUAUAUUAUGUUAAUAAAGGGGAGUAAAAUGUAAUGCCUAACCAAUGCCUCAUAACCUCCAUGAUAUGAAAAUGAUGAAAUAAGUGGCCUAGACAAUAAAGAUUCGCUUAUAAAGAGUCCAUCCACAAUCUAACAAGAAUGAAAAGAAUAACUUGUUGUAAGGAUAGCGAAAUCAUUUCCUUAGUCCUUUGGAUUACUUACUUGAUUCAUUGUAGGUAUGGGACUAAAAUGAAUCAUUGCACUUUCAAUUAAAAUAUAGGAUCAAAGGAGAUCGUUGAACUACAACAAAAAAGAAGAAAAGACUGAAAAAAAUAAGUUCAGAAAAAGGUGCUCUCGGGUUUGGGGGAUCAAUUUUUAGAAUUUUCGUUCGAGUUGUUCUACAAUUAUGUUAAUGAUUCUAGGGUCUUAUGUUCAUAUAAAAAAUGAGUUGUGUUCUUUGAAUGCAUUAAAAUACGUCAUAUUUAUACCACAAUUCACAAAUAACUAAGUAGAAAAGUCUAGUGAUGUCAUUUCCAAAAAAUGGCAUGUUGUUAUAGGAAGAGCUUUCCUUGAUCAUGUAUAGUCAUUAUGUGUAUGUGUACAUACACCAUACUUAGUAUAAGUGUGUACUAACCCUAUAUUAUUAUUAUCUUUAUUGGUGCAGGUCAGAGAGAAGGUUGAAGAUUCAUCGAAGCUGUUUGGAUUGUCGAUCUCCAGACUUUGGUAGAUCCUCUUGAUGUUCGAGGAUGCUAUACUUAUCUAUCUAGCUUCGUACUUUAGACAUAGCUAUUGGAUGUUGUCCCUAGCGUUUUUUUGAGAAGUUUAUUUUGAAUCUUUGUAUUAAAGACGUUUUGGCAAACUAUUACAUUAUAUAUUGAUCUUUUGAUUUGAAUUGAUUCAUCAAUUGUAGAUGGUUGUUUUAAUUUGAGCUUAGUAUAAUAUUAAUCUAUGUAGAAAAUAUAUGAAGUCUAUGUAUCUUCAUUAUGUUUAAAAGUUUUAAAUUUUCCGCAAAUUUAACUAUAUGAAUGUGAUGAAAGCUAAGAACAGGCUUGUCUGCGACCUUUGAGAGGUUAACAACGCCGGUUGCAUUCGGAUUUCAGAAUCCAGGUGUGACAGUAACUCACCUCAACAUCGCUUUGAGAGUUCAAAUGUACCAAAUGUAUUACCACUUUGUAUUCAUUUAUUUUGAUGGAGGAUUUACAAAACUUUUUAAAUUGGGUUGCACCAACAACAAUGUGCCCAACAUCUCAUACCACUUUGAUGGAUAAAAGUUGUCUUUAACAAUUACCUUCACAUUUGAAGGACCGUCUUAAGUACAAUAUGUCUAAUAACCUUUUAUACAAUUUUAAUGGACAAAAUUGUCUUCAAAUUUGAAGGAACAUCUUAAGAACCCAUAAUGUUCUUCCUUUUAAUUACCAUAAUGAUGACCAUUAACAUUUCACCAUACCCAUAUUCAUACAUUCAACCACUUGUCAUUUUUUAAAUAUGUUAAUACACUGCUACCACAUUCACAUAAGGGAAUGAAGCAAAUUAAUUGGGUAAAUUUCAUGAUUUUCAGUCAAAAGUAUAAAACUUUAUGUUAGUCAUCAUCAUAUCAUCACUAUAAUGCAUUAGGACUUUAACCCAAUGUCUUACCCAUAUAAAGACACCUUUGGUCAAAAAUCAAUAGGACUUCAUGGUGCACCAAUUGACUUUAACUCGAUGUCUUAGCACUUGGUGCGGUGAAACCUGAGUUCACUGUCUUAACCUCAACCAUUGCCUUAACAAACCAAAUGAAUUACCAAACAUAUAAUUAUCGAAAAUCAUAAAUAUAAUCUGAACUUGACUUGAUAUACAAGAAAAAUGAACAAAAUAAAUUAAUUAGAACAUGUUAGCAUCAUCUAAAAGCCCCAAGUUAAAAUAAAUUCAAACAUUUUAAUAGUCCCUCUCAACAUUGUUAUGAAGAUUAUUAUAAUUUACUAACCAUUUUAGAAUAACUACAAAACAAGCUUUGUUAGUACAAAUAAUAUGUUAAUAACUCAACAAGUAAAUGUUCAAAUGAAGAAAAAUAAAGAGGUGCAAAAGUAACCAACAAUAAUAAUCCAAUCAAUAUGUAUAUGUCACACAACUCAAUAAAAGAAGAUCAUAGAGAACAAUUUCUUUACAAAUUGUUAACUUACAAACUAAAUUUACUUUUUAAAUAUAUAUGUGAACAAAUUAAAAGUUUGCUAAAAGUAAAAGCAACUUGUUGGACUCAUAUGAUUUUGAGAUGGUAAGAAAAUUAAUGAUGCAAAAUCAAAAGUAAAAUAUAAAUUAAAUUAUAUAGCAAUUUACCUUGAGAUAAAAAUAAACACAAAUAUUUUUACCUUUUUUAUAUUGUAUUUGCUUCAAUCCUUCAAUAGUAGAACAAUUGUGUUGAUAACGUGUUGUAAAAAUAAUCCAAACUAACAAUAUAAAUAUAAAGAAAAGAAGAAUAUAAGACAAGAGAUAUAGUAGAAGAAAACAAUAGAAAUAUGGAGACAAGAGAUGAUAGCUUUUCUUAUUCAUCAAUGCAUUCAUCAAAUCUUCAAGUGUAUACAAUGUGAACCCUUAUGCCUCUACUUAUAGUGUAACAUAGAGGCAUACAAAAGGUUAGUCAUAAAAAUGACAUUAACAUGAAUAUAAUGGGAGAUUAUGAAAGUGAAAUGUUACAAGCAUAAUGAUUAUAAAGGUGGAGGUUAUGGAGGUUAUGAUCAUCUUCAAAAUGCGGAAAACAUUGGAGAUAAUGGUGAAUAACUUCUUGGUGUAGUGGACAUCCACACUAUUAUAUUUUAUAACGACUGUUGAGUUCUCUACAUACUCACUAUUUAUGUUAUUUAAACGUUACUAUUUAAUUUGAUUUAAAUUCAAUAAAGGAUCACAAAUUUUGUAUUGUGGUGAACUAGCUUUCAACCUUUAUGUAAUAAAAAUAUGAUUGUAUAGUAUUUAAUUAAAUAUUUUAUGAUAUUUUGAUUUAUCCCAUGGUGACCUUGUAAUUCGACAUUGAUGAUAAAAGCGAAUACGAUAUGAUAUGAUUAAGUAUAUAAUAACUAAAUAAGUCUUUAAAAAAGGGUAAAAAUUGAUUAAGUAUAUAAUAACUAAUUAAGUCUUUAAAAAAGGGUAAAAAAGUCUAGCAACUUUCUCUUGAUAUUUUCGUCUUUCAUUUUUUGAUUUAAUACUAUCCCACUUUCAACAUUUACUAUAUGAUAUUCUUGUUAUUUAAUAUUCAAUUAAUUAGAUGAUUUAUUAUUUUUUAUUGAGUUGAGGAUAUAUAUAUAUAUAUAUAUAUAUAUAUAUAUAUAUAUAUAUAUACACGCACACACAUUGUUUUAUCAAUUAUAACUUUUCACAUCUUCCCUUACGAGAAUUAUGAUUAUAAUUAAGUCAAGAACAAAAUAUCAUGUUUGAAUACUUAUUUUUUGUGUUGAAACUUAUGCUCUUAAAUUUGUUUGUAAUUAUCUCUCAUUCUCGGCUAACCUUUUGGUGUUUUCAUAUAAGUUUUUCUUUACAUAUUUAUUAGAGUCGUUUGUUUUUAUGAAUCAUUUUUUAUUCUCGCUCAACUUGCAUUUUUUUAAGGCAUCAUGGGUAAAUCACCAUUUAGAUUCUUAUAAAUAAUUUAGAUUCUUAUAAAUAAUUUUAGGAUGGGUCGGCUCAUCCUCAGAAUUUUAAAAAAAUGAUAGAACAAAGUCACUUGAUUUUCGUAACACAUUGGCUCGACUCAUAAAUUCGUCGAUUAUUCUAUCACAACCCUAGUAGCCAAGUGUUGAUAUUUCAUUCUAACUUAAAAUUCUUAUCAUUUUUUAGUGCAAUAAAAUCAUGAAUUAACGGCUUUUGUCGACUCUCUGAUCUUAGAAAAGAAAGCUUAUUUUGUUUCCAACGAUUUUAGUGAGUAUCAUUGGUACAAAUCAAUUUUAUUAAUUGAUUUGUUGAUAUUUUUGGGCAUCUUUAAAAUCUCAUUCUAACCUAAGAUUCUUGUGGUUCUUGAGAAUAUGAGAAACAAGAUCAGAAAGUUUUUGUCGAUUCAUUGAUCUGAAAAAUGGACAGUGAUUUUCAUUUCUAAUGAUAUUAGUAAGUACUAGUCUUGGACACGUAUAACACACGUGUAUAUCAUGCUAAAUUUAUAUAAUCAUUUGAAUUAAUGAUAAAUGUAUUUUUCAAUAGAACAAAGUUUUACAAUUAAUAAAAAUUUCAUUUUGACCUAUGAAAGUAUCCUUGCAUUGAAAAAGAAAUUCUAGCCUGAAGUUUUUGUUAGAGAACUGAUUGGUUAAAGACUAAAGGUGAUAAGAAAAGUGAAAAUAAAAUAUGCUAUCAAAUCACGUUAACAUCCAGUUAAAUCCAUGCAACAAGUAAUAAAAGUAGCAAAAUAUAAAGAUAACAAUAAUGACCUACAUACUUGAUAAAAAUCCAUAUGUUCUUUAUAGAAAAAAGAAGAUAAAAAUAAAAAAUUAAAAAUAAUUAAGUUAGUCAAAAUUCUUACUUGUACGCUAAUUUCUUCUUCUGCUAUCUAAAUCACUCUAUCUUAAGAAAUGAAUUACUACACGUUGUGCUAUGAAAUGAUUAAUGUGUUGAAUGUUUUGGAUGAUAGAGAGGUGUUGUUCUUGUGGCGCGGUGAUUUCUUAUUCUUGCAUUAUCCUGUGAAGAAAACUUUGAAAUCACUUGAUAUCUGUGAAGGGAACUUGUUGGCUUGUGGGCAUGUAUCAAGCUCUUUAUCUCUCAAGAAUUUCGAAGGAGAAAUUGUAAAUGUCUUUUAGAUAUCUUGUACUACUAGAGUAUUGUAUAUUUUUAGCUUUGUAUUUUCUAUUCUUCGCUAACAAUAACAUACCAUCAUGUUAUUUGAGGAGAAAGUUGUUUGUACAAAUAUGCAAGUAAUAUAUGGUAUUUAAUCUAAUCAAAGGCAUGCCAAAAACAAAAAAUAUCUGAUAGCAACAUCGGGUGCGUGGACAAUUUGAGCAACAUUGAAAAAAAGAGUUGAAAUUUUCAGAAAAUAACAAAGUAAUGCUGAGAGAGAAAUACUGCAAUGUAAUCAAAGGAAAAUAUUCAAAGGGUAAUGUAAUGAAUGAGUUUUGCUUGUAAGUUGCUAAUAUUCUCUCCUUAUUUGGUACUCUUGUUAUUUUAGAUUACAAAAAAUCCCAAAUAUAUCAUUGAGUUUUUAGAGAGAAAAAAACUGACGAAAUGCCUAUUGGUGCCACUUUCGGAAGAUGAGUUUGGAUCUAACUCAAUUUUAAAAUUAGUUGAUGAAUCUUGAGAAUUACUUAAUCUCAAAAACUAUUUGUAAAUAAUUAUGUUCAUUUAUAUGACCGACACUAAAUCAAAGUGCCCGUUGUUGCCAGUUGUGAAUAUAGAUUUUGGAUAUAACUCAAUCUCAAAAGUAAAAAUAAUUUUUCAAAAUUCUCGAAACUCCUAAGGGAGCAUGGACAAUAUACCAUGGAACUCAACAAUAAAUUUAAAUUACUAUAAUUAACUCUCAUACCAAGUAAAUAUAUAUUGCGAAAAACUCAAAUUCAAAUACUAACUCACGAAGUGAAAAAUUAUUCAAAUUCAUAUAACAAGAUCAAUUUUUCAAUCCUUCUUAGAAUGUAAACUUCUUUAACACCACUUACCUCAAAAAUCAAUAAAAUUAAUAAUGGGGGACAACUUCUCAUGUCCCACAUGCUGUUCACUGAGUCAGAUAAAUAGCUUUGAAAUUUGACCGGUAUCAAGAUGAACUCGAUUGGAAAUAUCGAAAUGAAUAUUUGGUUUUCUUCUAUUUUAUUAUAUAUAAUAAUGGAAUCGAAACGAAUCGGAAUGAAACAAGAUGAGAUAAAAGGGACGACACAUUUAGUUAUUUUAAAAUUGAUUAAUUUUUUUUAGUUAUUUUGAUUUUUUAAAAUAUGAAUAAGUUUAAAUUAUUAGUUUUUAAAUUUAUAAUGUAAUUUUUCUUAAGUUUAUUUUAAAGAUAGUUUUUUAAAAUUUUUACUUAUUAAGUUUCCAAGUUAAUUCUAUAAGUUUUCACGAUUUGAAUCUUUUGAAGUUUAUAAGCUAUUACUUAUUAAUAUGUUAUAACUUAUAGGCUAUAUUUAUAACUUGUGAUUUAAAUAACUUAAAUUUGUAAUUUUAAAAAAAUAAAUAAAUAUAAGAAUAAAAAAUUACACAAAUUAAAAAAUAAAAAAUAAAAAAUAUAAACUAUAAACUAUAAUAUAAGUUAAUUAAUAAAUAAUAAUUAAUCAGAAACCGAACCGACACCGAACUGGACCGGCACCGAACCAGACCGGAUCGGAAUUCGGAUAAAUCGAUACAGGUACACCGGUAUCAAAUCACGAUUACAUUCGUUUUGUUUACCGAUUCAUGGUGUCUCGUUCCGUCUCGUAGGCAAUAAAAUCGGUGCAAACUGAAACAGUAUAGAUCCGUUGCCCAGUCUUACUUAAGAGUAACUUAACAAAAAUCUUUCUGUUAAUAAUUAGGUUUAUUUAUAUGACCCAUUGAUGACAGUUAUGAAUAUGGAUUUUGGAUAUAACUCAAUCCAAAAGUAAGAAUGAUUUUUCAAAAAUCUGAAGUAUUCCUUAACGGAAGCAUGCACAAUAGACCAUGGAGUUCAAUAAUAAAUCAAAACUAUUUUAACAGACUUUGAUACCAAGUAAAUAUAUAGAAAAAGAAAAUUUAUCUAAAUACUCCCUCUGUCUCUAUUUACUUGUUCAUAUUUUCUCUUCCUCUUUAGAUGUUCCCAUUUACUCGUCCAUUUUGACAAAUCAAGAAAGAACAAAAAAUAAAUUCUAUUAUAUUCUUAUUUAAAUUUUUUGAAAAUUUCUAAGUUUUAAUAUAUGUUUUUUGAAUUAUAUUUAAUAAAGGUAAAAUUUUAAUUUUACUAUAUUAACUAUUAUUAUCUUAAUAUGUGUGUCUCUUCUAAAGUGAACAGCUAAAUAGGCACAGAGAAAGUAUAUAUAACUUAUAAGGAUAUCAACUUUUUUUUUAAAUGUUGCACUUAAUUCUCAUGGCUCUAUAUAUAAGGAUAUCAACUUUUUUUUAAUGUUGCACUUAAUUCUCAUGGCUCUAUAUAUAAGGAUAUCAACUUUUUUUUAAUGUUGCACUUAAUUCUCAUGUCCCAUAUGAUGUUCACUGAGUCAAACAAUUAACUUUGAAAUUUAAUCCAAAUACAGAUAUUUUAUCUCAAAUAUUGCCACAUAACACAUCUAGAUUCUUCCAUUAAACCACUUUAUGCCUAUAAAAAUGAAAAACUCCCAAGUGAAAAAAGUGGAAAGUUAUUUUGGUUGAGAAGAACCAAAACAACUUUUCCAGCAAAGAAAAAGUUAGCCCAGAAAACCUAAAAAGAAAAAAAGAGGCAAAACAGAGAGUUUUAGGAAUUUUUCUUUAACAAAGGUGGUUGCCCCUCUCUUGUUUAGCCAGUGAUUUUUAUUUUUAUUUUUGAGAAGCAACAACCCUUGGAUUCAUGUUAAUUUCUUGGAAAUGACUGGAUCAUUCAAAGGGCAAUUAUACUAUAUUCCACAACUCUUGCCAAUAAUCUUGGUUCUUUUUUUAUUUUUUAUUUUGCUGUUACUCUCUCUACGGUAUAUAUGUGUGUUCUAUUAGAGACGAUGAUGAUUUUUUCAAAUUCUGGGCUAACUGGAUUGGGGAUGGAGACUAUGCGAUCCGUAUCUUGGCUUGGCAAAUCAUCUUGAUUUUGCAGCCAUGACGUGGUUGCCUCUCUUUCGUCCUCAUCUCUUUGCAGAUCUGAGCCUCCAAAUUGUUAUCAACAACAUUUGUAUUUCUUGAAAUAGUAAUUCAAAAAUUGUUUUUCAUUUUUUUGAAAAAAUAAUAUACUAUGAUCUUUUAUUAUCUAUCAAUCUGAUUUUUUUUAUUUAUUACCUUAAAAUCAUAAUGAACUUGAUGUAGAAAUUUCUCGAUUUUAGGUUUGUGACUUUUCGAUGAAAUUUACAAGUUGUUUUUUUUAAUAGUUGUGAUUUUUCCCACUGGUAUAAGAAAUAGUUGUGGUAUAUAAUAAAGAGUUGGACUUUUUAGGGGUAUGAUUUUUCGGAAUGGUCCAGAAAAUGCAAUGCUUAUGCAACUCUUUUGUUGAUUUAUAUAUUUAAGGUAGGUUUUCACGAUAUUAUUUUGAUAUGUUUUGCUUACAAGGUAUAAUGAGUAUUGUACAGGCUGUGCCUAAAAGUCUUAUUCACAAUUUUUUUUUUAAAAAAAAAUCUUUUUCUUCAUUUUCUAGCUACAAUGUCCAAAACAUAUUAUAAAAAUCUAUGAUAAAAUAAAUUUCGUAAUGUCACAAAUAAAAAAGUAAAUUUCAGCUCAUAAAUUUUUUCAAAAAUUUAAAUUUUAUAUUAUGAAAUAAUAAUCAAUUUCUUUUUGAUGAAUCACAAGAUUUGAAAAAAAAUAUAUUUUACAUUAUUAAUCAAUAACUUAAAAGUAAAGAAGAAAAUAUCAUAUUUUUUAAGAUAAUUUUUUCAAACUAAUUAAGUUCUUUUAAAAGUAUCUUUUGAAAAUUUGAUAAGAGAAGAGACGGGAUAGAAGUUGGAGUUGGUGAGGGCGGAGAGGAGGAUCUGGUGACUGGUGGGGUGAAGGAAUAAUUGCGGUUGUGGUGGAGAGAAAGAUCUGAUGGCUGGUAGGGUGAAAGAGUUGUAGGGGUUGGGGUGGGUGUGGGUGGAGAAGGAAACUGGGUCGGGAAGGGUGAAGAAGACGACGGGGUUGAGCUGGAAUAAUUAUUUCAUUCUUAUUAUUGAGUUUAAAAUGACAUAUGUCAUCAAAUUUGUGGCUUUUUUCUACUCAAAAGUCAAUAUAUAUAUAUAUAUAUAUAUAUAUAUAUAUAUAUAUAUAUAUAUAUAUAUAUUACGUGUUUUUAUUUGAUUCAUCACUUUGACAAAUUAUCAACAAGUGUAUUAUAUACACUUGUAUAUUUGGGUGAUUGUAAAAAAAGUGUCAAAAAAGCCAUAAUAUAACCUUACAUAAAGUGUGUAAGAUGAAAAAAAGUUUAGUUAAAGUGUCUAAGAAAGUUAUUGUCAAUUUAAGGGGGUCAUCGAUGGGUUAGGCCUUGACUAUAAAUAGAGAAGUUUAUCUAUUCUUUUUCUUGCAUUUUAUUUUUUAAAAAAUUUAAUUAUGGAUAGUCCAAUAACUAUAUUUGAUUUGUGUAAACAUUAAUUUAGGGCACGUGUAUUCCGUACUAAUUAAUAUAGAGUCAUUAGAAUUAAUAAAUAAUUUUCUAAUAGAACAAAGUUUUAUAAUUAAUAGAAAUUUCAUUUUGUCCUAUGAAAGUAUCUUUGCUGAAAAAUAUUUUUCUAGCCUGAAGAUUUAGUUAGAGAACUGAUUGGUUAAAGACUAUAUGUGGCAAGAAAAUUAAAAAUAAAUAAGCUAAGCAAUCACGUGAAUAUCUAGCAAAAUACAUGCAACAAAGAAUAAAAAUAACAAAAUAUAAAGAUAAUAACAAUGACCUACAUACUUGAUAACAAUUCAUAUGUUCUUUAUAUAAAAAAGAAGAUAAAAAAUAAAAAUUAGAAGUAAUUGAAGUAGUCAACAUCAUUACAGAUAUGAUAAUUUCUUAUUCUACUAUCUAAAUCAAUUUGCCUUAAAAAAUAAAUUACUACACAUUAAGUUUUGUAUUGAAACCCCAUCACAUAUCCAUAUAUGUGAGUUUUUAAUAAUUUAACAUUAAUAAUAAACAAUAAAUAUGUCAAAUCACUUUAUUUGAACUAACUUUUUAGUUUCUCAAAACUUUUUACACUUCCAAAAAAUGUGCACAAGCAAAAAUAUUUAUUGUAGAUCAUUUAAUGAUAAUAAAUCAAAUAUUGUGAAAUAACAACGAAUAUGGAAGUUUGUUAAAAUUAAUUAAUAGAUAAAAAGAAGAAAAAUUAAAAUAAUUAGUAGUAAUAAUUGAGAUAAUUCAUAUUGUUAUAAAUGAAGUAUUUUAAAGGCAACUCAUAUGUGUAAGUUAUAUUACGUAUGCACAUAAUAGGUGAAAAAAAUUGACUGAUUAAAAAAGAUAUUGUUCAACUUUUCAUUUAUGUAAGAAGUUACUUACAAAAGUACGUAAUGAGCGAAUAAAUUAGUUUCAUACAUAUAGGGAGAAUUGAAUGUGGAGCGUUAAACUAUAAUUGUUAUAGCUAUUUGUGUCAUUUAAACAUUACUAUUUGAUUUGAUUUUAAUUCAAUGAAGGACCGAAAAUUUUGUCCAGUAGUAAACUUGCAUGCAACCUUCAAGUAAUUAAAAUAUGAUUUUAUAAUAUUUAAUUAAAUAUUUUAUGACAUAUUUAAAUUUAUCUCAAUGAUGACCUUGUAAUUCGAUGUUGAUUAUAAAAACUAAUAUAAUAUGAUAUGAUUAAAUAUAUAAUAACUAAUUAAGUCUUUAAAAAAGGGUAAAAAUCCUUGCAACUUUCCCUUGACAUUUUCAUCUUUCAUUAUACUAUCCCACUUUGAACUUUUACUAGAUGAUAUGCUUGUUUUUUAAUAUUCAAUUUAUUAGAUGUUUUAUAAUUUUUUAUUGAGUGGAGUGGCAUUGAGUAUACAUUGUUUUAUCAAUUAGAAUUUUUCUUAUUCUUCUGUUACGAGAAUUAUGAUUAUAAUUAAGUCAAAAACAAUAUAUCGUGUUUGAAUACUUAUAUUUUGAGUUGAAAAUUAUGCUCUUAAAUUUGUUCGUAAUUAUCUCAAAUUCUUGGCUAACCUGGUGAUUUAAUAUAAGUUUUUCAUUACAUAUUAUUAGAGUCGUAUACUUUUAUGAACCAUUUUUUAUUCUCGCUCAACUUGCAUUUUUCUAAGAGCAUCAUGGAUAAAUCACCAUUCAGCUUCUUAUAAAUAAUGUUAGGAUGGGUCGAUUCAUUCUCAGAAUUUUUUAAAAAAAUGAUAGAAUAAAGUCUCGACUCGUAAGUUCUUCGAUUAUACUAUCACAAUCCUAAUAGCCAAGAGUUGAUAUUUCAUUCUAACUUAAGAUUCUAAUGGUUUUUUAACGCAAGAAAAUCAUGAAUUGAGGGUUUUUAUGUCGACUUUUUGAUCUUACAAAAGAAAGGUUAUUUUCUUUCCAACGAUUUUAGUAAGUAUCAUUGGCGCAAUCCAUUUUAUUAAGUAAUUUAUUUAUAUUUUUGUCAUCGUUAAAAUCUCAUUCUAGCCUAAGAUUCUUGUGGUUCUUGAUUGCACGAGAAACAAGAACAGAAGGUUUUUGUCGAUUCGUUGAUCUGAAAAUUAGACAGUGAUUUUCAUUUCUAAUGAUUUUAUUAGUACUAGUCUUGGACACGUGCAACAUACGCGUAUCCUAUACUAAUUUAUAUAAAAUUAUUAGAACUAAUGAUAAAUGUAUUUUUUAAUAGAACAAAGUUUUACAAUUAAUAAAAAUUUUAUUUUGACCUAUGAAAGUAUCCUUGCAAUGAAAACAUUUUUCUAACCUGAAGAUUUAGUUAGAGAACUGGUUGGUUUUAUGCUAAAGGUGACAAGAAAAUUAAAAAUAAAAUAUGUUAUCAAUUAACAUUAACAUCCAGCGAAAUACAUGCAACAAGUAAUAAAAGUAGCAAAAUAUAAAAAUAACAACAAUGACCUACAUACUUGAUAACAAUCCAUAUGUUCUUUAUAGAAAAAAGAAAAUACAAAUAAAAAAUUAGAAAUAAUUGAGUUAGUAAAAAUUCUUGUUGGUAUAACAAUUUCUUCUUCUGUUAUUCAAAUCACUCCACCGUAAAAAUAAAUCACUACACAUUGAGUUUUAGAUUGAAAAUCAUCAUACAUUCAUAUAUGUGAGUUUUUUUCUAUAAAUUUACAUUAACGGUAAAUAUUAAAGAUAUAAAAUCAGUUUAAUUGAACUUACUUUUUAGUUUUCCAAAGAACUAUUACACUUUCAAAAAGUGUGCAUGUGUAAUGACCCGAAAGGUCAUUUUUGGAAAUUUUGAAUAUUUGCUUAACUUGAAUUAAUUAAUCGAUAGUUUAUGGGCUAAAGUGAUAAUUUAUUUAAGACCCUAUACUCUUUAGCCUAUAUUUAAUUAAAUAUGUGGGUAAAACCUAUCACUUUUAGUACUUAAAUAAUUCAGAAAAAAAAGAAGAAGGGGCGAAGGGUUUCUCUCUUGCGGCUACGAGAAGGUGAGUUUCUUUUCCUUUAGCUUCUUAUUUUCUGCACAUAGAUGUGCAUACAUAUGAAUUUUUAUAUAGUUAAUUAUAUUAUAUAUAUGUAUAACAAGGAAUGAAGAUUAAACAAAACAAUUAAAGAAAAAGACAAAAAAAAAAAACAAAUGGCAUGCAUGCUGUAAUGUGAAGAAAUUAGGGGUGUUCAACGUGGCAACGUGGGUUCUGGAAAAAGAUUUUGAAACUAGAAUUUAAUGCAAAUAUAUAUAUAUAUAUAUAUAUAUAUAUAUAUAGGUAAUGAUUGCUAUAUUAUGUGUGGUUAGUAGAUAAUUUAAUUUAAUUUCUUAUUCUUAUCACAUUAUGGGUUAAGUUUUGGAAUAUUAAAUUAAGUAAUUAAAUAUUAGAUAUAUCAUAUUAUAUAAAUACCAAUCGAAUUGUGAUAGUUGAAAUGUUAAUUGACAUCGAGAAUUACAAAUUUGAUUAUAAAUUUGGGGUGUAUUUUUAGGUCAAGAUUAAACACACAAAAUUGUGAGUGUUGUUAGUUCUGAAACCUUAUUGUGAAUAUAUAUACUUGCAUAGAUUGCAUCGAUUUGGAAGCUCAACGGAAAGGGAAGGCUCAAGUCCCAGAGUGAUUAUUAGAGUGAUUGAGGCAAGUGGAUUUCUAAACCCUUGUUAAGCGUACGAAAUUCGUGUAUUUCCUUGUGUGAUGUUGAGAAUUAUUUGGAGACUUGUUGCUUAAUUGUUGGUGUUGUAUUUCUUGUUGCAAAUUGUGCUUUGUUAUCAAAUGGUUAUCUCCUCCUUUUCAUUUGAGCAUGUCAUUUGCAUUGUAUCUGAGACAUGGUUGUGGUAAGAGGAUGUACUAUUUUUGAGGGUCGUAUCGCGCGCCGCGAUGGAUAUUAUAUUUCGAGGGACGUAUCGCGCGCCGCGAAGGUUACUAUUAUCGAGGAUCGUGUCAUGCGCCGCGACAGAUGCAUGGACAGAUAUGUCCCCCAUGGGUCCCGGACUGAGAGACAGCGGAUGUGUAUCGUUAGGGAAGACAUGCAUCACUAUACUUGACAUUGAAUCUCAUGGCAUUACACAUUUGAUUAUUGAUGAACUUGAACACGUGUUUUGUUGAUCUUGUGGGUGUUUCUCUGUGAAGCUUGUGACUGUUGAAUAUUGAGUUGUUAUUAAGAAUGUGUAAACUGGUAGAGUGUGGUUAUUGAGUUGUGUGUUUGGUAAACAGUAAACUAUUAGACUGUAGCGCGGAGGUUUAGAUAUGGUGUAAGAAGUGCCCGUAUUUUGUUCACUUAACUUGUGUUUAGAGGUUUGCUUGUUGGGUACCGCGUGGUUUGGUACUCACCCCUUGCUUCUACAAAUUUUUGUAGGAUACGAGCCUGGAUCUUCGUGAUACCUGUCAUUCUUUUCGUUUCCGAGGCAUCUUGUGGAGGAUUGUGAGAUAGCUGCUUGUCAUCUCAGCGAACUUUCCUACUCCAGUUUAUGACUUUGUUUUUACUUGAAAGACAACUUCAUGUUAGACUUCUAUUUUAUUUCAAUUCUAAUAUUUACAUUAGAGGCUUGUGCACGUGACAACCUGAUUUUGGGGAUUGGAUUAAUAUGACUUGUUUUCAUAAUAGGAAUUGUUGUUGGAUUGUCAUUUACUUCCGCACUUUGUUAGAUAUUUGGUUUUAGGCUGACUUGUCUUGGUGGGAUAAGACGAGUGCCAUCACACCCAUUUUUGGGUCGUGACAAAAUGGUAUCAGAGCCACAGCUUCAUAGGUCUCACGUGUAUACAAGCCGAGUCUACGUAGAGUCUCAAGGAUCAGUACGGAGACGUCUGUACUCAUCUCUGAGAGGCUAUAAAGAUUACUAGGAAACUUCCUUUUGUUCAUUCUUUCUCAUCGUGCGUAGUUACCUUCGUUAGUACUGAGUUGUUGUAUACUCUUUUGACAUAUGACGAGGACUAGAACUAAUGUUACUGGUGGUAGAGGGGAGGCACUUCUCGAGGCAUUUGUUGAGGCCCCAGCUAGGGGUAGGGGUAGAUCUCGAGCUAGAGGUCGUGCUAGUAGUACGACAGUAGCCAGAGGUCGUGGACGUGGAGCAGCACCAGUGAGAGGUCGUGCUAGAGAGGUCUCUACAGAACCUCAGAUUGAUGGCAGGGAGGACCAGGUUCCUCCAGAUCCUGUAGUCACACCUUUACUUCAGGAUACACUAUUGAGGGUGUUAAUUGUGCUUGAGGGCUUUUCUCAUGGUGGUGGUGCGACUACCACACCACAUGACUCUCGUACUAGAGAGGGGGCUCAGACCCAAGAGCAGCAACAGGCUCCAGUUGUUCAGGAUGCGGUGAGGCAACUACCAGUAGAUCCCGCGGUUCAGAAUGAUGUAGUGCACCAGCAGUUGGGGGUCAAGUUGCAUCGAUGGUUGUUCUGACAGAGGAUGAGCAGCGUAGGUAUGAGAGAUUUCGAAAGAUGGGCCCACCUCAGUUUCAGGGUGGGAAGAGCGAGGACGCUCAUGAGUUUCUAACUACUUGUCGAGAGUUACUAGAGGCGGUUGGAUUAGCUGAGUCACAUGGGGUUAGAUAUGCUACACUCCAGCUUCGUGGACCAGCGAGAGACUGGUGGAGGACUUAUUCGGGGGUUUUGCCAGUUGGAUUUCCUACAGUGACUUGGGAGCAGUUUGCUAGUGCAUUCCAAGAUCGUUUUAUCCCAUGGAGCGUGAGAGAGGAGCGUCGCUUGAGGUUUGAGAGUCUGACACAGGAUGGUUUAUCAGUUACAGAGUAUGAGGCACGUUUUUGCCAGUUGUCUAGGCAUGCGUUGGCCAUUAUUUCAAAUGAGACAGAGAGGAUCCGCAGAUUUGUGAGAGGAUUGACUUUCUCUAUCAGGUCAGCUGUGUUUCGGAUAUCUAGGGAGGGGACUUCUUUCCAGUCCAUUUUGAGCGCCGCCAAAGAGGCGGAAUUGAUAGAGAGAGAGGAGUUUGGGGACCCUAAAAGAGCCCGUAUAUCAGGACAGUUUCAUGGUGCCUCAUCUGGAGGUAGGGGAUCACAGAGAGUGAGUGGUUCUUUUCAGCAACGGGGACCUAUUCAUGCAUCUAUGCCGACAUUUGAGGGUGCCCGGACAUCUAGGGGUUCUUAUAGCUCGGGUCAGAGCUCGUACGAUUCACAGUAACGACCUACAGGGCGAAGAAUUUAUAGUGGGUUUUCAGGGUCCACACAACAGUUCCCAGGUCAGAGAUUUUUUUUACUUGUGGAGAUGCCGAUCAUCUAAUGCGGCAGUGUACUUAUCAAAGGGGUCGUGGUGGUCCUCGACCUAAUUCUUCAUUCCAGACUAGACCACCAGCUCCACAGGGUAGAGGUCGUGGCAGAGUUCAGUCAGGUAGAGGUGACAGAGUUUCUAGUAGUGGUGUUGCAGCUCAGCAGAGUGGGGGUAGAGGUACCACCUAGGCUGGAGGUGGACGAGGAGCCCACUGCUAUGCUUUCCCCGGGAGACCUGAGGCAGAGACCUCUGAUGCAGUUAUUACAGGUAUCAUCCCAGUAUGCCAUCGACCUGCGUCUGUGUUGUUUGAUCCAGGUUCUGCAUUCUCUUAUGUGUCUACGUAUUUUGCUGCUAAAUUUGAUAUGAUAUGUGAUAGCAUGACUGUACCUAUUCGUGUUUCUACACCCGUGGGUAAGCCCUUAGUGGUGGAUCGAGUGUAUCGAUCCUGUCUUGUUUCUUUUGCUGGGUAUGACACUUGGGUAGACUUAAUCAUUCUGGGGAUGGUGGACGUUGAUGUUAUCUUGGGUAUGGAUUGGCUUUCUCCUUAUCAUGCUGUCCUUGAUUGUAAUGCUAAGACUGUGACUUUAGCAAUGCCUGGUGUUCCGAGGGUUCAGUGGAAGAGUGUUAGUGGUUCUUAUCCUAGAAAGGCCAUCUCUUUUAUCCGUGCUCAGAGAUUGGUGGAGAGGGGGUGUUUGUCUUACUUAGCUUUUAUUCGGGAUACUAGUGUUGAACCACCUUCCAUGGACUCUGUUCCCGUUGUUCAGGAGUUUCUCGAUGUAUUUCCUUCUGAUCUUCCAGGUGUUCCUCCCGAUAGGGAUAUCGAUUUUGCUAUUGAUUUGGAGCCGGGCACUAAGCCUAUUUCUAUACCUCUAUAUCGUGUGGCCCCAGCAGAGUUGAAAGAAUUGAAGGAUCAGUUGCAAGAUUUAUUGAGUAAGGGUUUUAUUCGCCCUAGUGUAUCACCUUGGGGUUCUCCUGUAUUGUUUGUGAAGAAGAAGGAUGGGACUAUGAGAAUGUGUAUUGAUUACAGACAGUUGAACAAGGUAACAGUUAAGAAUAAGUAUCCUCUUCCGCGUAUUGAUGACUUAUUUGAUCAGUUACAGGGAGCAUCAUUGUUCUCUAAGAUUGAUUUGAGGUCUGGGUAUCAUCAGUUGAAGAUUAGGGCGUCAGAUAUCCCUAAGACAGCUUUUCGGACCCGGUAUGGGAAUUAUGAGUUUCUAGUGAUGUCCUUCGGAUUGACUAAUGCCCCUGCAGCAUUCAUGGAGUUGAUGAAUGGGGUGUUUUGACAUACCUUGAUUCUUUUGUGAUUGUUUUCAUUGAUGACAUCUUGGUUUACUCUAAGACUGAGGAGGACCAUGUCCGACACCUGAGGAUUGUACUUCAGAGGUUGAGAGAAGAGAAGUUGUAUGCCAAGUUCUCAAAGUGUGAGUUCUGGCUUACUUAUGUGACAUUCUUGGGACACGUGGUGUCCUAGGAGGGUAUUAGAGUAGAUCCGGCCAAGAUUGAGGCAGUUAGAGGCUGGACGCGACCUACUUCACCUACUGAGAUUAGGAGUUUUGUGGGAUUGGCAGGCUAUUAUCGAUGAUUUGUUCAGAGUUUCUCUACUAUUGCAGCUCCAUUGACUAGAUUGACUCGACAGGAUGUGGGUUUUCAGUGGUCUGAUGAGUGUGAGGAGAGCUUUCAAAAGCUCAAGACUUUGUUGACUUAUGCUCCUGUGUUGACUCUACCUGAGGAGGGUGUAGACUUUUCUGUGUAUUGUGAUGCUUCAGGAGUUGGUUUGGGUGGUGUGUUGAUGCAGAAGGGGAAAGUAAUUUCUUAUGCUUCUAGGCAGUUGAAAUCCCAUGAGAAGAACUACCCUACUCAUGAUUUGGAGUUGGCGGUUGUGGUAUUUGUACUUAAGUUAUGGCGUCAUUAUUUGUAUGGGGUGCAUUGUGAGAUCUUCAUUGAUCAUCGGAGUCUUCAGUAUAUCUUUAGCCAGAGGGAUUUGAACUUGAGGCAAUGAAGAUGGCUUGAGUUGCUGAAAGACUAUGAUGUGACCAUUCUGUAUCAUCCAGGAAAGGCCAAUGUUGUGGCCGAUGCUCUGAGUAGGAAGACUCCUAGCAUGGGGAGUCUUGUAGCGCUUAGUAUUAUGGAGAGACCAUUGCCUAGAGAUGUGCAGAUAUUAGCUAACAAGCUUGUCCGCUUGCAGAUUUCAGAAGAGAGUGAUGGGAUGAUUGCUUUUAUUGAGGCUCAGUCUUCUUUAGUCGAGCAAAUCCGUGCACACCGGUUUGAUGAAGAAAAAUUAUGUCUCAUUCGAGACAAAGUAUUGAGAGGGGAAGCUAAGGAGGCUGUCCUUGAUUCUGAUGGUGUAUUGCGGAUCGGAGGCAGAAUUUGUGUGCCUAGGACAGGCGAUUUGAUUAGAUUGAUUCUUGAAGAGGCCCAUUGUUCUCGAUAUUCCAUCCAUCCGGGAGCGGCGAAGAUGUAUCAUGAUCUGAGUCAACAUUAUUGGUGGUGUAGGAUGAAGAGAGAUAUUUCAGACUUUGUUUCGAGGUGUUUGACUUGCCAGCAGGUCAAGUGUGAGCACCAGCGGCCCGGGGGUGUAUCUCAGAGGAUGCCUAUUCCUACUUGGAAGUGGGAGCGGAUUACUAUGGACUUUGUUGUGGGUUUGCCUACCAUAGUGGGUGGUUAUGACUCUAUUUGGGUUGUUGUUGAUAGGCUGACCAAGUCUGCCCACUUUAUCCCGGUUCGGGUGAAGUAUACAGCAGAAAAGUUAGCUGAGCUAUAUAUCAGUCAGAUUGUGCGACUACAUGGAGUUCCUAUUUCUAUUAUAUCAGAUCGAGGUUCACUAUUUACUUCUCACUUAUGGAAGGCAUUACAACAUGGUCUGGGUACUCAGUUAGAUAUGAGUACGGCAUUUCACCCUCAGACAGAUGGUCAAUCUGAGCGGACCAUUCAGGUAUUGGAAGAUAUGCUUCGAGCGUGUGUGAUCGAUUUUGGUGCAAGAUGGGAUCGACAUUUACCCUUAGUGGAGUUUGCCUAUAAUAACAGUUAUCACUCUAUUAUUCAAAUGGCCCCAUUUGAGGCAUUGUAUGGUAGACGGUGUAGAUCUCCGAUUGUUGGUUUGAUUUGGCGGAGAUGGACUCUUUGGAUACAGACUUGCUUAGAGAUGCUAUGGAACAAGUUCGUGUGAUUCAGUAUAGACUGUUGACAGCCCAGAGUCGACAGAAGAGUUAUGCAGACCGGAGAGUUAGAGCCUUAGUGUUUAUGGAGGGUGAUCAUGUUUGGCUCCGAGUAUCACCCAUGAAGGGCGUGAUGAGGUUUGGAAAGAAGGGCAAGCUUAGCCCUAGGUUCAUUGGAACUUUUGAGAUUUUGAGCCGAGUGGGAGAAGUGGCUUAUAAGUUGGCGUUGCCACCUAGUUUGUCAGCAGUUCAUCCUAUUUUCCAUGUCUCUAUGCUUCAGAAGUAUAUUCCGGAUGAAUCUCAUGUGAUUUCACUCGAUUCUGUGGAGCUGGGUCCAGACUUGACAUUUGAGGAGGAGCCUAUAGCUAUUUUGGAUAGGCAAAUUCGAAAGCUUAGGACCAAAGAGAUUUCUUCAGUGAAGGUGCAAUGGAAGCACCGAUCAGUGGGAGAGGCAACUUGGGAGACUGAGUCUGACAUGCGUGCCAGAUAUCCUCAAAUUUUUGAAGCUUCAGGUAAUUACUUUUACUCUAUGUUCGAGGACGAACAUGAUUUUUAGUGGUGGAUAAUGUAAUGACCCGAAAGGUCAUUUUUGGAAAUUUUGAAUAUUUGCUUAACUUGAAUUAAUUAAUCGAUAGUUUAUGGGCUUAAGUAAUAAUUUAUUUAAGACCCUAUACUCUUUAGCCUAUAUUUAAUUAAAUAUAUGGGUAAAACCUAUCACUUUUAGUACUUAAAUAAUUCAAAAAAAAAAGGGGCGAAGGGUUUUUCUCUUGCAGCUACGAGAAGGUGAGUUUCUUUUCCUUUAGCUUCUUAUUUUCUGCACAUAGAUGUGCAUACAUAUCAAUUUUUAUAUAGUUAAUUAUAUUAUAUUAUAUAUAUAUAUAUAUAUAUAUAUAUAUAUAUAUAUAUAUAUAUAUAUAUAUAUAUAUAUAUAUAUAUAUAUAUAUAUAUAUAUAUAUAUAUAUAACAAGGAAUGAAGAUUAAACAAAACAAUUAAAGAAAAAGACAAAAAAAAAACAAAUGGCAUGCAUGCUGUAAUAUGAAGAAAUUAGGGGUGUUCAACGUGGCAACGUGGGUUCUGGAAAAAGAUUUUGAAACUAGAAUUUAAUGCAAAUAUAUAUAUAUAUAUAUAGGUAAUGAUUGCUAUAUUAUGUGUGGUUAGUAGAUAAUUUAAUUUAAUUUCUUAUUCUUAUCACAUUAUGGGUUAAGUUUUGGAAUAUUAAAUUACGUAAUUAAAUAUUAGAUAUAUCAUAUUAUAUAAAUACCAAUCGAAUUGUGAUAGUUGAAAUGUUAAUUGACAUCUAGAAUUACAAAUUUGAUUAUAAAUUUGGGGUGUAUUUUUAGGUCAAGAUUAAACACACAAAAGUGUGAGUGUUGUUAGUUCUGAAACCUUAUUGUGAAUAUAUAUACUUGCAUAGAUUGCAUCGAUUUGGAAGCUCAACGGAAAGGGAAGGCUCAAGUCCCAGAGUGAUUAUUUGAGUGAUUGAGGCAAGUAGAUUUCUAAACCCUUGUUAAGCGUACGAAAUUCGUGUAUUUCCUUGUGUGAUGUUGAGAAUGAUUUGGAGACUUGUUGCUUAAUUGUUGGUGUUGUACUUCUUGUUGCAAAUUGUGCUUUGUUAUCAAAUGGUUAUCUCCUCCUUUUCAUUUGAGCAUGUCAUUUGCAUUGUAUCUGAGACAUGGUUGUGGUAAGAGGAUGUACUAUUUUCGAGGGUCGUAUCGCGUGCCGCGAUAGAUAUUAUAUUUCGAGGGACGUAUCGCGCGCCACGAAGGUUACUAUUAUCGAGGGUCGUGUCGUGCGCCGCCAUAGAUGCAUGGACAGAUAUGUCCCCCAUGGGUCCCGGACUGAGAGACAGCGGGUGUGUAUCGUUAGGGAAGACAUGCAUCACUAUACUUGACAUUGCAUCUCAUGGCAUUACACAUUUGAUUAUUGAUGAACUUGAACACGUGUUUUGUUGAUCUUGUGAGUGUUUCUCGUUGAAGCUUGUGACUGUUGAAUAUUGAGUUGUUAUUGAGAAUGUGUAAACUGAUAGAGUGUGGUUAUUGAGUUGUAUGUUUGGUAAACUGUAAACUAUUAGACUGUAGCGCGGAGGUUUAGAUAUGGUGUAAGAAGUGCCCGUAUUUUGUUCACUUAACUUGUGUUUAGAGGUUUGCUUGUUGGGUACCGCGUGGUUUGGUACUCACCCUUUGCUUCUACAAAUUUUUGUAGGAUACGAGCCUGGAUCUUCGUGAUACCUGUCAUUCUUUUCGUUUCCGAGGCAUCUUGUGUAGGAUUGUGAGGUAGCUGCUUGUCAUCUCAGCGAACUUUCCUACUCCAGUUUAUGACUUUGUUUUUACUUGAAAGACAACUUCAUGUUAGACUUCUAUUUUAUUUCAAUUCUAAUAUUUACAUUAGAGGCUUGUGCACGCGACAACCUGAUUUGGGGGAUUGGAUUAAUAUGACUUGUUUUCAUAAUAGAAAUUGUUGUUGGAUUGUCAUUUACUUCCACACUUUGUUAGAUAUUUGGUUUUAGGCUGACUUGUCUUGGUGGGAUAAGACGAGUGCCAUCACACCCAUUUUUGGGUCGUGACAGCAUGUCCAUGUGCAGAAGAAUUUAUUAUAAAUUAUUUAAUAAAAAUAAUCAAAUAUUGUGAAAAUAACAAGGAAUGUGGAAGGUUGUUAAAAACAAUUAUUAAGUUAGAAGAAGAAAAAUUAAAAUAAUUAAUAUUAAUAAUUAGGUAAUUCAUAUGGUUAUAAAUGAAGUUUUUAGAGGCAAAACAUAUGUAUAAUUUACAUUAUGCUUAUAAUGGCUCAAAAAACAAACUGGACUCAUUAAAGAAGAAAUUGUGCCACUAGUCAUUUGUGUAAGAAGUUACUUACAAAAGUACGUAAUGGACGAAUAAAAUUUGUUUCAAAAAUUUAGGGAGAAUUGAAUGUAGAGGGUUAAAAUAUGAUUGUUGAGAUUUCUAUUUACUUACUAUUUGUUAUUUAAUUUAAUUAUGAUUUAAUGAAGGACCGCAAAUUUUGUAAUGUGAUGAAGUUACAUUCAAUCUUUAAAUAAUUAAAAUAUGAUCGUAUAAUAUUUAAUUAAAUAUUUUAUGAUAUUUUUAUUUAUCAUUGUUUAUCGCAAUGGUGAACUUGCAAUCCGACGUUAAUUCUAAAAGUUAAUACAGUAUGAUAUGAUUAAAUAAAGUCUUUAAAAAGGGACAAAAAUGUUAAGUCAAGAAUAAAAUAUCAUGUUUGAAUACUUAUUUUUUGAGUUGAACCUUUUUAUGAGUAAAGUCAAUUAAUUUUAUUUUUAUUUUUAAAAACAACUAACAAAAUACUAAGAAUUGUUAUAAGUUAAAUAUAAUUUAUGAAAACAAAGAAACGCAUGUAAUAGAUAAUGUUUUAUAAAAUGACAAUUUUAUUUAUUUUCUACCUCUAAAUGAUGAAUAAAAACAAUAUGACAAUUUCACCUAUUUUUUUUUUAAAAAAAGAGUCAUAAAUCAGAACUAAAACGAAAAUCAUAUUUUGAGCUGAUACUUGUCAUGUUUUUUAAAAAAAAUGAAAUUAAUCUACUUAAUCUUAAAAAAGAAAAGAAGGACAUAUAAAAAAAUGUAUUUAUACAAAUAAGGAAAUAUUAGCCCGUAAGUAGGGUUGUUCGUGGUUCAGUUUAGACCGGUUAUCAGUUAAAAUCAAAAUGAAAUCAAUCUAGUCGAUUUUUAAAAUUUAUAAAACCAAAUAAAACCAAACGAAAAACAUAACCAUCGGUUUGAUUAUUGACUGUUUAGUUCACUUUUUCUAGUUUUUUAGUUUGAAAGUAAUAAUCUUUUAGGACAUAUGUAUCUUGAUAGACUCAAAUAUGUAACGACCUGUUUAGUCGUUUUGAGCAGCAGAUUUUAUUUCUGGAAAAUUGGCUGAAACAACGGAACCCACGACGGACCGUCACAGGCAUGACGGUCCGUCACAGAUGUCACGUUUCAAUAUACUUAGGAAUUUGGAAAUUGGGUACUGAAAAAUCGACUCUCUGAACUUCGUAACGGACUUGCAGGACGGACCGUCACAGGUGUGACGGACCGUCACAGUGUCCUUGGUGAAAAUAAAGUCCUGGCCCUCACGACGACCUGAGUGACGAACCGUCGCAGUCACGACGGCCCGUCACAGGUUACGCAAUCCAAGUUAGAAUCGGAUUUCUUUACACGUUUUAAGGGACGUUUUGGACUAUUCUUCCCUUAAUUAUAGAUUUCGUGGGUUUAUAUUAAUAACUCAAAUUCUUGGGGGUUAAAAGGAGGUGACCCUAAGUUAAUUAGUGGGGUAUUAUUACCAUCUUUUACACUUAGUUAUAUGUUAAUUAGGGCAAAGAAAGAGGGUUUUGAAUAAGAAAAGAGAAAAGAAAAGAGGGAGAUAGAUUGAUCGAUUGAGAGAGAGAAUCGAACGAGGAAGAAGAAUAUCAAAGCUUGGGAGAUUGCUUGUUGAUUCCAAUUCUUCGGUGGAGGUAGGUUAUGGUUAUUUCAUGCUAUUCGUAGUAAACUCUUAAUAGCGAAUGAUAUGCGUUAGUAGUAUUGUAAACCUUCUAUAUGCUUAAUUGUAUGCUUGCAUGAAUGAUGUGAUUAUGUAAUUGUGAAUAAAUAAGCAUGAUGAAGCUAUUGAAUCUCAAAUCUUGAAAAGAAACCCUAAUCUACUUUGUUAAUGAUGAAGCCUUGAUAUAAAAGAAGGCUUGAUGAACGAAAGUGGUGAGAUUAGGGGAUCGGGUGCCACGUUCCGGUACCAGGAUAGAAUCUGGAUCGGGUGUCAUGUUCCGACACCAGGAUAGAAUAUGGAUCGGGUGCCACGUUCCGGUACCAGGAUAGAAUAUGGAUUGGGUGCCACGUUCCGGUACCAGGAUAGAAUAUGGAUCGGGUGUCACGUUCCGACACCAGGAUAGAAUAUGAAUCGGGAGCCACGUUCCGGUACCAGGAUAGUAUAUGAGGAUCGGAGUGUCACGUUCCGACACCAGGAUAGAAUAUGGAUCGGGUGCCACGUUACGGUAAUAGGAUAGAAUGAGGAUCGGAGUGUCACGUUCCGACACCAGGAUAGUAUAUUGAGGAGCGGAGUGUCACGUACCGACACGAGGGGAAUAAAGAUAAUGAAUCUUGAAAUAUGAUAAUAUGUCCAAUCUAAUGAACUAAAUUCUCAAAUGAGUAUGAUGAGGAGGUGUGAGUCCUCAUUGAUGUGCUUGGUGUUGUAACCAAGGGUUAUGGUAACUAUAAAUGCUGCAUGCUAAGGAUAUUAGUUGAUUUUAUGAUAUUGCCUAAUACAUAGUGUUUUCUAUUUUGAGUUGGCCGAUGAUAUCUACUCAGUACCCGUGUUUUGUACUUACCCUUACUUUUAUGUUUGUCUUCUUGUUAUUUGUGGAGUGCAGCAAAUGUGCCGUCAUCUUUGACUCAACAGUAAUUCAAGCCAGUCUUCGUCACACCGGAUCUUCAGGGUGAGCUAACGCUUCUAGCUUGGACUGGAUGUUCUCCUUCAUAUCUUGAUGCCUUGAACCUCCGGUAUGGACUAGCUUCUUAUGUAUUUUUAGCUUUUAGAAAACUCUUAGAAUUAGUAAUUUAAAGUAGAUGUUCUUGUGAUGAUGACUUCCAGGUUUUGGGAAUAAUAGAUGUUGAAUAUUGAUAGUUAUUGAAUUGGUUUUUAUUAAUGAGUUUAAGUCUUCCGCAUUAUUUUCUGUUGAUGUUACAUUGAAAUGUUAAGGUUUAGAUUGGUUGGUUCGCUCACAUAAGAGGGUAAGUGUGGGUGCCAGUCGCGGCCCGGAUUUGGGUCGUGACAAACUUGGUAUCAGAGCAUUAGGUUCGUUGGUCUCAUCACACAAGAACAGGUCUAGUAGAGUCUUAAGGAACGGUAGGUGGACGCCUUUACUUUUCCUUGAGAGGCUAUAAGACUUUAGGAAAUUUUCACUCUUUCAUUCUUUCUUUCGUGCUACUACCUGGAUCCAAUUGGUAUCUAGGUGAUACAAAUUGGUAUCUGACCAUCUUCACUCUAUUUCGCAGAUGGUUAGAACUAGAGCAACGACCGCGCCAGCAGCGACAAUGGCAAGACAAGAAACGUCUGAGCCAGCCACUAGGGUUGUAGCUCGUAGCGGAGUAGCGGCAAGAGGCCGUGGAAGAGGUCGUGGGAGGACGUCCUCUAGAGGGAGAGGACAAGCACCUAGCCCAUCUGGUACUAGGGCGGUGACUCCUCCACCGACUGAGGAAGUGAUAAGAGUGGGUGAGGAAGGGGAUACUGAACAAGUGCAGAAUGAGGAAUUGCCACCCCAACCUACCCCAGAGAUGAUCAAUCAGGUUCUUGCUUAUCUUAGCGGGUUAUCUGAUCAGGGUCAGACACCUCCAGUGUUUUCUACACCAGCACCUCAGGCUCCGGAGGUACAACAUGCGGCUACUAUGGCUCCCCGCAUGGAUGUUCCAUUUGAAAUAAGCACAUUUCCUCGUCUGACUACAGGGCCUGUAAUGACAAAUGAUCAGCAUGAACUUUUCAGUAAGUUCUUGAAAUUGAAACCUCCAGUCUUCAAGGGUGUUGAAUCGGAGGAUGCUUAUGAUUUUCUGGUUGACUGUCAUGAGCUACUACACAAGAUGGGUAUAGUAGAACGGUUUGGUGUUGAGUUUGUGACUUAUCUGUUUCAAGGGAACGCCAAAAUGUGGUGGCGGUCACAUGUUGAGUGUCAACCAACAGAGGCACCACCUAUGACUUGGGCAAACUGGAGCCACUACAUCACAACAUGGUAGGGGCAACGGACAGACAGGUGAGAGGGCCCAUUGUUAUGCUUUUCCCGGGUGGUCAGAUAAUGAGAUUUAGUGUUGCAUUCUCAUUGAGAAACCAACUAGUUUAUUACUAGAGGAACUAAGAUUGAGCAUUAUUUUGAAGGAAAAUUUUAGUGGUUGAGCAUUAUUUUAAAGAAAAUCUUUAGUGGUGGAUCUUUGGUACAAUAUUAAUACAUUUAGCUUGUGAAAUGUAUCUUGAGGGUUCUGAAUGAGUACUGACGAUUUUAUCUUAAUCUUCAAAAGGUAGAUUGAUACUAAAAUAACAAACUUAUAGGGAAAGAAAGUCCUACUGGAUAUACUUGGGUGAAGUAAAUUGAAGAUUUAGCAAGAAAGUGCAUAUAAAUUGGGUUAGUCCCUUGAAUUUGAUUGGUAUACCUAAGUUUAAGGUGUUAGAUCGAGGAAAAGAUUCACUUCAUGGUGAUAAAAGGGUAUAACAGAAUUUUGCACCAUGAGAAGAAUUUGAGAAAAGUGAAGGAAUAAGACCUCUUGUAUAAACCCAUGGGGUAUAGUUGAUGGUUGUAUUGAUUUUUGCGUAUGAGUUUAGAUAUGACUUUGGGAGGGUGACUACACUUCCAAUCCGGUCCGCAUCGUCUCCUUUCUUCGUGCUAAGAAAAUGAUUAGUAAAGGGUGUUUAGCUUUCUUGGCACAUCUCAAGGAUGACACUACCCAAGUACCUUCGAUUGAGUCGGUUUCAGUGGUUCGUGAGUUUCUGGAUGUGUUCCCUGCAGAUCUUCCUGGUAUGCCACCGGAUAGGGAUAUUGACUUCUGUAUUGAUCUUGAACCCGGUACUCACCCCAUUUCUAUACCCCCUUAUAGAAUGGCUCCCGCGGAGUUAAGAGAGUUAAAGGUACAACUUCAAGAGUUAUUGAACAAAGGCUUCAUUAGACCAAGUGCAUCCCCUUGGGGUGCUCCGGUUUUGUUUGUAAAGAAGAAGGAUGGGAGUUUUCGAAUGUGUAUAGACUACAGACAACUAAACAAGGUAACCAUAAAGAACAAGUAUCCUCUUCCCCGCAUUGAUGACUUGUUCGAUCAGUUAGAAGGUGCUUGUGUCUUCUCUAAGAUUGACUUGAGAUCCAGUUAUCAUCAAUUGAAAAUACGGGCAACGGAUGUGCCAAAGACUGCUUUUCGAACGAGGUAUGGGCAUUACGAAUUCGUAGUGAUGUCCUUUGGUCUUACGAAUGCCCCUACUGCGUUCAUGAGCUUGAUGAACGGGAUUUUUAAGCCAUAUUUGGACCUCUUCGUGAUCGUAUUUAUUGAUGAUAUAUUGGUAUACUCAAAGAGCAAGAAGGAACAUGAAGAGCAUUUGAGAUUGGCAUUGGAAAUGUUAAGGGAGAAAAAGCUUUAUGUCAAGUUCUCUAAGUGUGAGUUUUGGCUAGAUGCAGUGUCCUUCUUGGGGCACGUGGUGUCUAAGGAAGGAGUGAUGGUGGAUCCUUCUAAGAUUGAAAUAGUGAAGAAUUGGGUAAGACCCACUAAUGUGUCAGAAAUAAGGAGCUUUGUUGGGUUAGCUAGCUACUACCGCCGAUUUGCCAAGGGAUUCUCUUCUAUUGCUUCCCAAUUGAUGAACUUGACUAAGCAGAAUGUUCCAUUUGUAUGGUCGGACGAAUGUGAGGAAAGCUUUCAGAAGCUCAAGACUUUGUUGACUACCGCACCUAUCCUUACCUUGCCAGUAGAGGGUAAGAACUUCAUUGUUUAUUGCGAUGCAUCCUAUUCUGGUUUGGGUGCAGUACUAAUGCAAGAGAAGAGUGCGAUUGCUUAUGCUUCAAGGCAACUAAAGGUGCAUGAACGUAACUAUCCAACUCAUGAUUUGGAAUUGGCUGCGGUAGUGUUUGCAUUAAAGCAAUGGAGACACUAUUUAUAUGGGGUUAAGUGUGAGGUCUACACGGAUCAUCGUAGCCUUCAGUAUGUCUUUACUCAAAAAGAUUUGAACCUAAGACAGAGGAGAUGGAUGGAGUUACUAAAGGACUACGAUAUCACUAUCUUGUAUCAUCCGGGGAAGGCGAAUGUUGUAGCGGAUGCUUUAAGUAGAAAAGCGGGAAGCAUGGGAAGUCUAGCUCACUUGCAAGCCUCUAGACGCCCAUUAGCUAGAGAGGUUCAGACUCUAGCUAACGACUUGAUGAGAUUAGAAGUAAAUGAGAAGGGAGGAUUGUUGGCUUGUGUGGAGUCAAGAUCUUCUUUUCUUGACAAAAUUAAGGGAAAACAGUUUGAUGAUGAGAAACUAACAAGAAUUCAAGAUAAAGUAUUGCGAGGGGAGGCUAAGGAAGCACAAAUCGAUGAGGAAGGUGUUUUGAGAAUCAAGGGAAGGGUAUGUGUACCCCGCGUCGAUGAUUUGAUCAACACUAUUCUGAUAGAGGCUCAUAGUUCAAGGUAUUCUAUACAUCCGGGUGCAACCAAGAUGUAUCGUGACCUAAAACAACACUUUUGGUGGAGUAGAAUGAAGCGUGACAUUGUGAAUUUUAUUGCCAAAUGUCCAAACUGUCAACAAGUAAAGUAUGAACACCAAAGGCCCGGAGGAACACUUCAGAGAAUGCCCAUUCCGGAAUGGAAGUGGGAAAGAAUUGCAAUGGAUUUUGUGGUUGGUCUUCCGAAGACAAUGGGUAAGUAUGACUCCAUUUGGGUGAUUGUUGACAGGUUAACUAAAUCUGCUCAUUUUAUUCCGGUUAAGGUGACUUACAAUGCCGAGAAGUUAGCCAAGAUCUAUAUCUCAGAAAUCGUUCGAUUGCAUGGGGUUUCACUAUCCAUCAUAUCAGACAGAGGUACGCAGUUUACUUCUAUGUUUUGGAAAACAUUGCAUGCGGAAUUGGGUACUAGGUUGGACCUUAGUACUGCGUUCCAUCCUCAGACCGAUGGUCAGUCUGAGCGAACGAUUCAAGUGUUGGAGGAUAUGCUUCGUGCGUGUGUGAUAGAGUUUGGUGGUCAUUGGGAUAGCUUCCUACCCUUAGCGGAGUUUUCAUACAAUAAUAGCUAUCACUCAAGCAUUGACAUGGCUCCAUUCGAAGCCUUGUAUGGUAGGAGAUGCAGGUCUCCUAUUGGUUGGUUUGACGCAUUUGAGGUUAGGCCUUGGGGUACUGACCUUUUGAGGGAUUCGAUAGAGGAAGUGAAGUCUAUUCAAGACAAGCUUCUAGCGGCGCAAAGUAGACAAAAAGAAUAUGCAGAUCGAAAGGUUAGAGACUUAGAGUUCAUGGAAGGUGAACAAGUCUUGUUGAAAGUUUCGCCCAUGAAAGGGGUGAUGCAGUUUGGAAAAAGGGGUAAGCUAAGUCCAAGGUAUAUUGGACCAUUUGAAGUACUUUAGCAAAUAGGGGAGGUGGCUUAUGAGUUAGCCUUGCCCCCAGGGCUUUCCAGAGUGCAUCCGGUAUUCCAUGUGUCUAUGUUGAAAAGAUAUCAUGGGGAUGGAAAUUAUAUUAUCCGUUGGGAUUCAAUUUUGCUUGAUGAGAACUUGUCUUAUGAGGAGGAGCCUGUUUCUAUCUUAGAUAGAGAAGUUCGCAAGUUGAGGUCAAGAGAGAUUGCAUCCAUCAAGGUGCAAUGGAAGAAUCGACCGGUUGAAGAAGCCACUUGGGAGAAGGAGGCAGAUAUGCAAGAAAGAUACCCACAUCUGUUUACAGAUUCAGGUACUCCUUUUCUCCCUUGUUUUCCUUCUUGUGAUCGUUCGGGGACGAACAAUGGGUAAAUUGGUAUCUAUUGUAACGACCUGUUUAGUCGUUUUGAGCAGCAAAUUUUAUUUCUGGAAAAUUGGCUGAAACAACGGAACCCACAACGGACCGUCACAGGCACGACGGUCUGUCACAGAUGUCUCGUUUCAAUAUACUUAGGAACUCUUAAAUUGGGUACUGAAAAAUCGAAUCUCUGAACUUCGUAACGGACUUGCAGGACGGACUGUCACAGGUGUGACGGACCGUCACAGGUGUGACGGACCGUUACAGUGUCCUUAGUGAAAAUAAAGUCCUGGCCCUCACGACGACCUGAGUGACGAACCGUCGCAGUCACGACGGCCCAUCACAGGUUACGCAAUCCCAGUUAGAAUCGGAUUUCUUUACACGUUUUAAGGGACGUUUUGGACUAUUCUUCCCUUAAUUAUAGAUUUCGUGGGUUUAUAUUAAUAACUCAAAUUCUUGGGGGUUAAAAGGAGGUAACCCUAAGUUAAUUAGUGGGGUAUUAUUACCAUCUUUUACACUUAGUUAUAUGUUAAUUAGGGCAAAGAAAGAGGGUUUUGAAUAAGAAAAGAGAAAAGAAAAGAGGGAGAUAGAUUGAUCGAUUGAGAGAGAGAGUCGAACGAGGAAGAAGAAUAUCAAAGCUUGGGAGAUUGCUUGUUGAUUCCAAUUCUUCGGUGGAGGUAGGUUAUGGUUAUUUCAUGCUAUUCGUAGUAAACUCUUAAUAGCGAAUGAUAUGCGUUAGUAGUAUUGUAAACCUUCUAUAUGCUUAAUUGUAUGCUUGCAUGAAUGAUGUAAUUAUGUAAUUGUGAAUAAAUAAGCAUGAUGAAGCUAUUGAAUCUCAAAUCUUGAAAAGAAACCCUAAUCUACUUUGUUAAUGAUGAUGCCUUGGUAUAAAAGAAGGCUUGAUGAACGAAAGUGGUGAGAUUAGGGGAUCGGGUGCCACGUUCCGGUACCAGGAUAGAAUAUGGAUCGGGUGUCACGUUCCGACACAAGGAUAGAAUAUGGAUCGGGUGCCACGUUCCGGUACAAGGAUAGAAUAUGGAAUGGGUGCCACGUUCCGAUACCAGGAUAGAAUAUGGAUCGGGUGUCACGUUCCGACACCAGGAUAGAAUAUGGAUUGGGUGCCACGUUCCGGUACCAGGAUAGUAUAUGAGGAUCGGAGUGUCACGUUCCGACACCAGGAUAGAAUAUGGAUCGGGUGCCACGUUCCGGUACCAGGAUAGAAUGAGGAUCGGAGUGUCACGUUCCGACACCAGGAUAGUAUAUUGAGGAGCGGAGUGUCACGUACCGACACGAGGAGAAUAAAGAUAAUGAAUCUUGAAAUAUGUUAAUAUAUCCAAUCUAAUGAACUAAAUUCCCAAAUGAGUAUGAUGAGGAGGUGUGAGUCCUCAUUGAUGUGCUUGGUGUUGUAACCAAGGGUUAUGGUAACUAUAAAUGCUGCAUGCUAAGGAUAUUAGUUGAUUUUAUGAUAUUGCCUAAUACAUACUGUUUUCUAUUUUGAGUUGGCCGAUGAUAUCUACUCAGUACCCGUGUUUUGUACUGACCCCUACUUUUAUGUUUUUCUUCUUGUUAUUUGUGGAGUGCAGCAAACGUGCCGUCAUCUUUGACUCAACAGUAAUUUAAGCCAGUCUUCGUCACACCGGAUCUUCAGGGUGAGCUAACGCUUCUAGCUUGGACUGGAUCUUCUCCUUCAUGUCUUGAUGCCUUGAACCUCCGGCAUGGACUAGCUUCUUAUGUAUUUUUAGCUUUUACAAAACUCUUACAAUUAGUAAUUUAAAGUAGAUGUUCCUGUGAUGACGACUUCCAGGUUUUGGGAAUAAUAGAUGUUGAAUAUUGAUAGUUAUUGAAUUGGUUUUUAUUAAUGAGUUUAAGUCUUCCGCAUUAUUUUCUGUUGAUGUUACAUUGAAAUGUUAAGGUUUAGAUUAGUUGGUUCGCUCACAUAGGAGGGUAAGUGUGGGUGCCAGUCGCGGCCCGGAUUUGGGUCGUGACAAAAUACCUAUUAUAUCAAUAAUCCACUAAAAAGUUAUUGUUGGUUCAAUUAAGAAAUUAAACAAUACUAAAGUUAUUAAUACAUGAAUAAAGUGUUUCAAUUAAGAAAAAGGUGUAACUAUCUUAUGAAAUAUAUGGCAGAUAAAGACUAAAGUAAAGAAUUUUGAUGCAGUUGAACUUAUGAUUGUAAUAUAUGGGCUAAAAUUUAUAUGUUGAGCUUGAGCAAAUUGUAAGUUAAACACUUAUAUUACUUAAAAUUUAACAAAAUAUUUAUAUUUUAUUUAUGAACAAUAUCGUUAUAAAAUUUAUUGGUUCGAUUUGGUUAUUUUUGCAGUUAUUUUUUAAUAAAAUUAAAGUCAAAUCAAAUAGUAUCGAUUUGUCAAAAUGCAAAAUCAAAUAUAAUCACAUCAAAUCAAAUAUCGUUUUUUUAAAUUGGUUUGAUUCAUAUUGUGAUUCGAUUUUAUUUUUUAACCCUAACCAUGAACAACCCUACUGGUGAAUAUUAACUUAUUUGACAAUUUAAUUUAUUUAUAUAUUUUCUAAAAAUGGCACACAUCCCAAGUAAAUAUAAUUUUGAGUUUAUCAUUUAUAUAAUUUUAAAAAAUGAAGUCAAAUUUCAUUUGUCUAUUUGUUUUCUAAAUAAAAUUAUAAAUUAAAAGUAAAAUAAUAUCUUUUUAUUUAAAUUGUGAGUUGAUCCUUUUUAUAUUUAAAAAUAAUGAAGUUGGAAUUACUUAAUUUUAAAAAUAGAAAUAAUAAAAUAUUAUAAGUUAUAUUUUAUAUCACGAUAAUAAACUUAUGUUCUUAAAUUUGAUCGUAAUUAUUUCUAAUUCUUGGCUAACCUUUUGGUGUUUAAAUAUAAGUUUUUCUUUACAUAUUAUUAGAGUCAUAUAUUUUUAUGAAUCAUUUUUUAUUCUCUCUACAAUUCUUAUAAAUAGUGUUAGGAUGGGUAUUCUCAUCCUCAUAUUUCAAAAAAAAUGUCAGAACAAAGUCAUUUGAUUUUCAUGACACAUCUACUCGACUUGUAUGUUCUCCGAUUAUUUCUAUCACAACCUUAGAAGCCAAGAGUUGAUAUCUCAUUCUAACUUAAGAUUCUUAUGGUUUUUGAGUGCAGGAGAAUCAUGAAUGGAGGCUUUUUGUCGACUCUUUGAUCUUAGAAAGGGAAGGUUAUUUUCUUUCCAACGAUUUUAGUAAGUAUCAUUGGUAAAAAAUCAUUUUAAUAAUUAAUUUAUUGAAAUUUUUAGUCAUAGUUAAAAUCUCAUUCUAACCUAAUAUUCUUGUGGUUCUUAAGUGCAUGAGAAACAAGAACGGUAGGUUCUUGUCGAUUCGUUGAUAUGAAAAAUGAACGGUGAUUUUCUUUUCUGAUAAUUUUAGUAAGUACUAGUCUUGGACACGUGCAACGCACGUAUACCAUACUAAUUUAUAUUGAAUCAUUAGAAUUAAUGAUCAAUGUAUUUCUGAUAGAAUAAAGUUUUAUAUAUAACUAAUAGAAAUUUCAUUUUGAUCUAUGAAAGUAUUCUUGCAAUGAAAACAUUUUUCUAGCCUAAAGUUUUAGUUAGAGAACUGAUUGGUUAAAGGCUUAAGGUGACAAUAAAAUUAAAAAAUAAAAUAUGCUAAGAAAUCACGUGAACAUCCAGCAAAUAAAUGCAACAAGAAACAAAUAUAGAAAAAUAUAAAGAUAAUAACAGUGACCUACAUACUUGAUAACAUUCCAUAUAUUCAUUAUACAAAAAAAAAAUAGAAAUAAUUGAGUUAGUCAAAAUUCUUAUUGGUAAAACAAUUUCUUCUUCUGCUAUUCAACUCACUCCACCAUAAAAAAGGAAUUACUACACGUUGAGUUUUGGAUUGAAACCCUAUCACGUAUCCAUAUGUGUGAAUGUUUUCCAUAAGUUCACAUGAAUAGUAAACAAUAAAUAUAUCAAAUCAGUUUAAUUGAACUAACUUUUUAGUUUCCCUAAAAAUUGUUACACUUCCAAAUAAUUUUAGGGGCAACACUGCACACUCGUAUAGUUCGAUCAUCAAAUGUAUAUAAAAGAUAUGAAUUAGACUAAGUGUUUUACUUAACAUCAAUUUGUGAUUUAAUACUAUAUUCACAUCUCAUAGGAGGGACGCAAUCGUUUAAUAAUAAAUACAUAAUGAACAUAUGAUUAGUUGUUAUACAUAUAUGAACCUAGUUCAUCCGAUCUCCAAUUACAUAAAUUGGAUUUUUAUCAUUGUUAAUUUUCUCAAAUUAAAAAAAAUCACAAUAGCUCUUGGAUGUUUCGUUAGUCUUUGAAUUAAUCUGAAAAUUUUGAUGUAAGUCCAAGCACACUUAUGAAAAUAGAAAAUAUUUGUUACUGUAGUGUUAAUAACGAUAUAAGUAAAUAAGUUACUUUUUGUUUUUUGUGUUUUUUAUGAGAACAAUUAGGUUUAUAGUCAAAUUUUGCAUCAUUUCUACUUUGUUUUAAUUUGCAAAAUAAAAUACAAUUAGUUGAAUUAAUUUGCCUUUUCAAUUUACCUCGGUGUGUUCUAUAUGACAAGGAAAAAGAAAACUAAUUACAAAUUUUCUAACCUAAUGAAGGUAUAUGUAUUGAUGUUUGUGGUAAGCAAAUGAAUUAAUGGGCACCAUAUUCUUAUUUUAAUUAAUUGAUACUAAUUUACAUGAAGAGUGCCUACAAAUUAAAUAUGAGAAAAUUACUGCCCAUAAAUAAACUAGACGCAAUAUUACGAAACUUCUGAUACUUUUUAAUCUUUAAUAAAUAUAAUUAUAUAUUACAAAAUAUAGCAAAGUGCAAUAAAUUAGAAAGUGGAGCCUUUUUCUAGAUUUUAGACUUUACAUAUGGGCUAAAUUUGGUUCCGAUAAUCUCGUGAUCUUUCAUUAUUAUCAAUGAUUUCCUUCAAAUAUUUUAUCAAUCAAUUCUUCAUCAAAGUUUUAGUCUUUCAUCAAAAAUUUUAUUAUUUGAUGUUCCUCUCUUGUCAUAUAUAGUUUAUUUUUUGGCCAAUACUAGCUUAUAGACUUAAAAAAUUACGCUUCUUUCUUCCCUAACCAUGUCUUGAGAAAAUGUAAAGGGAAAACAAAUAAUAAUCACAAUUUUUAUCUUGCACUUAACACAUAAGCAUCGAAUGUUAUCAAUAUGUAUCCUCAUUGUCUAAACAACUCAUUCUUCGCGUUGAAGAUUUUCAUUCUUGAUUUCUGAGUGAAUUAGGUGCAAAUACUAAUAUUCUGAUUAUCAUCUAUCUAACUUUCUUUCUAUUUUUAGAAUAUCAAAUUGAAAAUACUACUUAUUUCGGUGCCUACCAUUUAUGAGGUUUUUCGUUUUUCUCCUUUUUCUAAAAUGAAGUGUUUAGUUGUAAUGACCUGUUUAGUCGUUUUGAGCAGCAGAUUUUAUUUCUGGAAAAACAGGCUGAGACGACGGAACCCACGACGAAACGUCAUGGGCACGACGGACCGUCGAGGGUGUCUCGUCCCAAAACACUUAGAAAUUCUGAAAUUUGGGUGCUGAAAUCGACUCUCUGAACUUUGUAACGAAAUGGCAGGACGGACCGUCACAGGUGUGACGGACCGUCACCGGUGUGACGGACCGUCACCGGUGUGACGGACUGUCACAAGCCCUUGGUGGAAAUUUGGGUCUCUGAACUUUGCGACGACCUACAGGACGGACCGUCGCAGGCGCGACGGACCGUCACAGCUUGCGUAAUCCCAGUUGGAGUCAGAUUUCUGGUUAAGUUUUAAGGGACGUUUUUGACUAUUCUUGCCUUAAUUAUAAAGUUAGUGGGUUAAUGUCAAUAAGUCUAAUUACUUGGGGGUUAAAAGAGGUAACCUUAAGUUAAUUAGUGGGGCAUUACUGCCAUCUUUUAUCCUUAAUUAUACACUAAUUAGGGUAAAAGAAAGAGGGUUUGAAUAAAGAAAAUAGAAAGAACAAGAGAAAGAGAGAGAAAGUUGAACGAGAAAGAGGAGAAACGAAGAGGACACAAAGCUUUGGGAAUUUGCUUGCUUGAUUUCUAAUCUUCGGUGGAGGUAGGUUAUGGUUUUCAUGCUAUUCGUAGUAAACUCUUAAUAGUGAAUGAUAUGCAUUAGUAGUAUUGUAAACCCUUCUAUAUGCUUAAUUGUAUGCUUGCAUGAAUGAUGUGAUUAUGUAAUUAUGAAUAAAUAAGCAUGAUGAAGCUAUUGAAUCCCAAAUCUUGAAAAGAAACCCUAAUCUACUUUGUUAAUGAUAAUGCCUUGGUAUAAAAGAAGGUUUGAUGAAUGAAAGUAGUGAGAUUAGGGGAUCGGGUGCCACGUUCCGGUACCAGGAUAGAAUAUGGAUCGGGUGUCACGUUCCGACACCAGGAUAGAAUAUGGAUCGGGUGCCACGUUCCGACACCAGGAUAGAAUAUGGAUCGGGUGCCACGUUCCGAUACCAGGAUAGAAUAUGGAUCGGGUGUCACGUUCCGACACCAGGAUAGAAUAUGGAUCGGGUGCCACAUUCCGGUACCAGGAUAGAAUGAGGAUCGGAGUGUCACGUUCUGACACCAGGAUAGUAUAUUGAGGAGCGGAGUGUCACGUACCGACACGAGGGGAAUAAAGAUAAUGAAUCUUGAAAUAUGUUAAUAUAUCCAAUCUAAUGAACUAAAUUCCUGAAUGAGUAUGAUGAGGAGGUGUAAGUCCUCAUUGAUGUGCUUGGUGUUGUAACCAAGGGUUAUGGUACCUGUAAAUGUUGCAUGCUAAGGAUAUUAGUUGAUUUUAUGAUAUUGCUUUAUACAUACUGUUUUCUAGUUUGAGUUGGCCGAUGAUAUCUACUCAGUACCCAUGUUUUGUACUGACCCCUACUUUUAUUGCUUUCUUCUUGUUUAUUUGUGGAGUGCAGCAAACGUGCCAUCGUCUUCAACUCAACAGUAAUUCAAGCCAGUCUUACUACAUCGGAAAUUCAGGGUGAGCUAAUGCUUCUAGCUUGGACUGGAUCUUCUUCUUCAAGUCUUGAUGCCUUGAACUUCCGGCAUGGACUAGCUUCUUAUGUAUUUUUAGCUUUUAGAAUACUCUUAGUUUAGUCGUUUGAUCGUAGAUGUUCUUGUGAUGAUGACUUCCAGGUUUUGGGGAAUAAUAGAUGUUGAAUUUUAGAAGUUAAUGAAUUGGUCUUUAUUUAAUGAGUUUAAGUCUUCCGCAUUACUUUCUAUUGAUAUUAUAUUGAAAUGUUAAGGUUAGAUUGGUUGGUUCGCUCACAUAGGAGGGUAAGUGUGGGUGUCAGUCGCGGCCCGGAUUUGGGUCGUGACAAACUUGGUAUCAGAGCAUUAGGUUCGUUGGUCUCAUCACACAAGAACAGGUCUAGUAGAGUCUUAAGGAACGGUAGGGGGACGCCUUUACUUUUCCUUGAAAGGCUAUAAGACUUUAGGAAAAUUUUACUCUCUCACUCUUUCUUUCGUGCUACUACUUGAGUCCAAUUGGUAUCUAGGCGAUACGAAUUGGUAUCUGACUAUCUUCUCUCUCUUUCGCAGAUGGUUAGAACUAGAGCAACGACUACGCCAACACCAACACCGGCCAGACAAGAAACAACUGAGCCGGCCACUGGGGCUGUGGCUCGUGGAAGAACAGCGGCAAGGGUCCGUGGUAGAGGUCGUGGGAGGACGUCCUCUAGGGGAAGAGGACGAGCGCCUAGCCCAUCUGAUACUAGGGCAGUGACUCCUCCACCGACUGAGAAAGUAAUAAGAGAAGGGGAGGAUGGGGAAACUGAACAAGUGCAGAAUGAAGGAUUGCCACCCAAACCUACCCUAGAGAUGAUCAAUCAGGUUCUGGCUUAUCUUAGCGGGUUAUCUGAUCAGGGCCAGACACCCCCAGUGUUUUCUGCACCAGCACCUCAGGCUCCGGAGGUAUAACAUGCGGCUACUAUGGCUCCCCACAUGGAUGUUCCAUUGGAAAUAGGCACGUUUCCAUGUCUGACUACUGAGCCUAUAAUGACAAAUGAUCAGCAUGAACUUUUUCAGUAAGUUCUUGAAAUUGAAACCUCCAGUCUUCAAGGGUGCAGAAUCUGAGGAUGCUUACGAUUUUCUGGUUGACUGUCAUGAGCUACUACACAAGAUGGGUAUAGUAGAACGGUUUGGUGUUGAGUUCGUGAGUUAUCAGUUUCAAGGGAACGCCAAAAUGUGGUGGCGGUCACAUAUUGAGUGUCAACUAACAGAGGCACCACCUAUGACUUGGGCCUCAUUCUCUAGCUUGUUUAUGGAGAAGUAUAUCCCCCGAACUUUGAGGGAUAGGAAAAGGGAUGAGUUCUUGAGCCUAGAGCAAGGUAGGAUGUCGGUCAAUGCAUAUGAGGCUAAGUUUCGUGCAUUAUCCCGGUAUGCCACCCAACUGUGUUUUAGUCCACAAGAGCGAAUUCGCCGGUUUGUGAAGGGGUUGAGGUCAGAAUUGCGGUUUUCGGUCUUACAAAUAGCCGCAACGGCAAAAUCCUUCCAAGAGGUGGUAGACUUUGUGAUAAAAGUGGAAGGAGUGAAGCCAGAUGACUUCACCCCGACAUUGACAUCAAAAAGGUUUCGAAAGGGAGGUGAGUUUAAUGGUGCUUACACUAGAGGACAGGGUUCGGGAAGUUACUCAGUCUGACCAAUUCAGUCUUCACUACAGACUGUAGUUGGGGGUCCAUCUCCGACCGGUCAACCCUUCUCUGAGACACCUAUGCAUGAACCCAGAGAGUGCUAUGGAUGUGGGAAGAUUGGACAUAUUAAGAGAUAUUGUCCAAAAUAGAGUUACAGACCUCCAAAUGUUAGAGGUAGAGGUGGUCAUGGCAGAGGCCGUUAUUCUGGAGGAAGUGGUGGUCGAGGAAAUGGUGGUCACCAAAACGGUCGAGGUGAUGGGCAAACUGGAGCCACUACAUCACAACAUGGUAGGGGCAACGGACAGACGAACGAUAGGGCCCAUUGUUACGCUUUCCCUGGGCGGUCUGAAGCGGAGGCAUCUGAUGCUGUCAUCACAGGUAAUCUUCUGGUUUGUGAUUGCAUGGCCUCUGUAUUGUGUGAUCCUGGAUCCACAUUUUCUUAUGUAUCUUCCUCAUUUGCUAAUGGUCUAACUUUACAUUGUGAAUUACUUGAUAUGCCUAUUCGUGUUUCUACUCCGGUGGGUGAGUCUGUGGUAGUUGAAAAGGUAUAUAGGUCUUGUUUGGUGAAAUUUGUGGGGAGCAACACUUAUGUAGAUUUGGUUAUCUUAGAAAUGGAUGAUUUUGAUGUAAUUCUGGGUAUGACUUGGCUUUCUCCGCAAUUUGCGAUUUUGGAUUGUAAUGCUAAAACGGUGACGAUAGCCAAGCCUAGGACAGAUCCGUUAGUUUGGGAGGGUGACUACACUUCCAAUCCGGUGCGUAUAAUCUCCUUUCUUCGUGCUAAGAAGAUGGUUAGUAAAGGGUGUUUAGAUUUCUUGGCACAUCUCAAGGAUGACACUACCCAAGUACCCUCGAUUGAGUCGGUUUCGGUGGUCCGUGAGUUUCUGGAUGUGUUCCCUGCAGAUCUUCCUGGUAUGCCACCAGAUAGGGAUAUUGAUUUUUGUAUUGACCUUGAACCGGGUACUCGCCCCAUUUCGAUACCCCCUUAUUGAAUGGCUCCCGCGGAGUUAAGAGAGUUAAAAGCCCAACUUCAAGAGUUGUUAAACAAAGGUUUUAUUAGACCAAGUGCAUCUCCUUGGGGUGCUCCGGUUUUGUUUGUAAAGAAGAAGGAUGGGAGUUUUCGAAUGUGUAUAGACUACAGACAACUAAACAAGGUAACCAUAAAGAAAAAGUAUCCUCUUCCCCGCAUUGAUGACUUGUUCGAUCAAUUACAAGGUGCUUGUGUCUUCUCUAAGAUUGACUUGAGAUCCGGUUGUCAUCAAUUGAAAAUACGGGCAACGGAUGUGCCAAAGACUGCUUUUCGAACGAGGUACGGGCAUUACGAAUUUGUAGUGAUGUCUUUUGGUCUAACGAAUGCCUCUGCUGCGUUCAUGAGCUUGAUGAACGAGAUUUUUAAGCCUUAUUUGGACCUCUUCGUGAUCGUAUUUAUUGAUGAUAUAUUGGUACACUCAAAGAGCAAGAAGGAACAUGAAGAGCAUUUGAGAAUGGUAUUGGAAAUGUUGAGGGAGAAAAAGCUUUAUGCCAAGUUCUUUCAGUGUGAGUUUUGGCUAGAUGCAGUGUCCUUCUUGGGGCACGUGGUUUCUAAGGAUGGAGUGAUGGUAGAUCCUUCUAAGAUUGAGACAGUGAAGAAUUGGGUAAGACCCACUAACGUGUCAGAAAUAAGGAGCUUUGUUGGGUUAGCUAGUUACUACCGCCGAUUUGUCAAGGGAUUCUCUUCUAUUGCUUCCCAAUUGACGAACUUGACUAAGCAGAAUGUUCCAUUUGUAUGGUCGGACGAAUGUGAGGAAAGCUUUCAGAAGCUCAAGACUUUGUUGACUACCGCACCUAUCCUUACCUUGCCAGUAGAGGGUAAGAACUUCAUUGUUUAUUGUGAUGCAUCCUAUUCUGGUUUGGGUGCAGUACUAAUGCAAGAGAAGAGUGUGAUUGCUUAUGCUUCAAGGCAACUAAAGGUGCAUGAACGUAACUAUCCGACCCACGAUUUGGAAUUGGCUGCGGUGGUGUUUGCAUUAAAGCAAUGGAGACACUAUUUAUAUGGGGUUAAGUGUGAGAUCUAUACGGAUCAUCGUAGCCUACAGUAUGUCUUUACUCAGAAAGAUUUGAACUUGAGACAGAGGAGAUGGAUGGAACUACUAAAGGACUACGACAUCACUAUUUUGUAUCAUCCGGGGAAGGCGAAUGUUGUAGCGGAUGCUUUAAGUAGAAAGGUGGGAAGCAUGGAAGUCUAGCUCACUUGCAAGCUUCUAGACGCCCUUUGUCUAGAGAGGUUCAGACUCUAGCUAAUGACUUGAUGAGAUUAGAAGUAAAUGAGAAAGGAGGAUUGUUGGCUAGUGUGGAGUCAAGAUCUUCUUUUCUUGACAAGAUUAAGGGAAAACAGUUUGAUGACGAGAAACUAAGAAGAAUCCAAGAUAAGGUAUUGCGAGGAGAGGCUAAGGAAGUACAAAUCGAUGAGGAAGGUGUUUUUAAAAUCAAGGGAAGGGUAUGUGUACCCCGCGUCGAUGAUUUGAUCAACACUAUUCUGACGAAGGCUCAUAGUUCAAGGUAUUCUAUACAUCCGGGUGCAACCAAGAUGUAUCGUGACCUAAAAUAACACUUUUGGUGGAGUAGAAUGAAGCGUGAUAUUGUUGACUUUAUUGCCAAGUGUCCAAACUGUCAACAAGUAAAGUAUGAACACCAAAGGCCCGGAGGAACACUUCAGAGAAUGCCCAUUCCGGAAUGGAAGUGGGAAAGAAUUGCAAUGGACUUUGUGGUUGGUCUUCAAAAGACAAUGGGGAAGUAUGACUCCAUUUGGGUGAUUGUUGAUAGGUUAACUAAAUCUGCUCAUUUCAUUCCGGUAAAGAUGACUUACAAUACAGAGAAGUUAGCCAAGAUCUAUAUCUCAGAAAUCAUUCGAUUACAUGGGGUUCCACUAUCCAUCAUAUCAGAUAGAGGUACGCAGUUUACUUCUAAGUUUUGGAAAACAUUGCAUGCGGAGUUGGGUACUAGGUUGGACUUUAAGACUGCGUUCCAUCCUCAGACCGAUGGUCAGUCUGAAAGGACGAUUCAAGUGUUGGAGGAUAUGCUUCGUGCAUGUGUGAUAGAGUUUGGUGGCCAUUGGGAUAGCUUCCUACCCUUAGCGGAGUUUUCAUACAAUAAUAGCUAUCACUCAAGUAUUGAUAUGGCCCCAUUUGAAGCAUUGUAUGGGAGGAGAUGUAGGUCUCCCAUUGAUUGGUUUAAUGCAUUCGAGGUUAGACCUUGGGGUACUGACCUUUUGAGGGAUUCGAUAGAGAAAGUGAAGUCUAUUCAAGAAAAGCUUCUAGCGGCGCAAAGUAGACAAAAAGAAUAUGCAGAUCGAAAGGUUAGAGACUUAGAGUUCAUGGAAGGUGAACAAGUCUUGUUGAAGGUUUCGCCAAUGAAAGGGGUGAUGCGAUUUGGUAAGCGAGGUAAACUUAGCCCAAGGUAUAUUGGUCCAUUUGAAGUACUUAAGCGAGUAGGGGAGGUGGCUUAUGAGUUAGCCUUGCCUCCAGGGCUGUCCGGAGUGCAUCCGGUAUUCCAUGUGUAUGUUGAAAAGAUAUCAUGGGGAUGGAAAUUACAUUAUCCGUUGGGAUUCAGUUUUGCUUGAUGAGAAUUUGUCUUAUGAGGAGGAGCCUGUUGCUAUUUUAGAUAGAGAAGUUCGCAAGUUGAGGUCAAGAGAGAUUGCAUCCAUCAAAGUUCAAUGGAAGAAUCGACCCGUUGAAGAAGCCACUUGGGAGAAGGAGGCGGAUAUGCGAGAAAAAUACCCAUAUCUGUUUACAGAUUCAGGUACUCCUUUUCGCCCUUGUUUUCCUUCUUGUGAUCGUUCGGGGACGAACGGUGGGUAAAUUGGUAUCUAAUGUAAUGACCUAUUUAGUCGUUUUAAGCAGCAGAUUUUAUUUCUGGAAAAACAGGCUGAGACGACGGAACCCACGAUGAAACGUCAUGGGCACGACGGACCGUCGAGGGUGUCUCGUCCCAAAACACUUAGAAAUUCUGAAAUUUGGGUGCUGAAAUCGACUCUCUGAACUUUGUAACGAAAUGGCAGGACGGACCGUCACAGGUGUGACAGACCGUCACAGGCCCUUGGUGGAAAUUUGGGUCUCUGAACUUUGCGACGACCUGCAGGACGGACCGUCGCAGGCGCGACGGCCCGUCACAGCUUGCGUAAUCCCAGUUGGAGUCGGAUUUCUGGUUAAGUUUUAAGGGACGUUUUUGACUAUUCUUGCCUUAAUUAUAAAGUUAGUGGGUUAAUGUCAAUAAGUCUAAUUACUUGGGGGUUAAAAGAGGUAACCUUAAGUUAAUUAGUGGGGCAUUACUGCCAUCUUUUAUCCUUAAUUAUACACUAAUUAGGGUAAAAAAAAGAGGGUUUGAAUAAAGAAAAUAGAAAGAACAAGAGAAAGAGAGAGAAAGUUGAACGAGAAAGAGGAGAAACGAAGAGGACACAAAGCUUUGGGAAUUUGCUUGCUUGAUUUCUAAUCUUCGGUGGAGGUACCAGGAUAGAAUAUGGAUCGGGUGUCACGUUCCGACACCAGGAUAGAAUAUGGAUCGGGUGUCACGUUCCGACACCAGGAUAGAAUAUGGAUCGGGUGCCACGUUCCGACACCAGGAUAGAAUAUGGAUCGGGUGCCACGUUCCGGUACCUGGAUAGAAUAUGGGUCGGGUGUCACGUUCCGACACCAGGAUAGAAUAUGGAUCGGGUGCCACGUUCCGGUACCAGGAUAGAAUGAGGAUCGGAGUGUCACAUUCCGACACCAGGAUAGUAUAUUGAGGAGCGGAGUGUCACGUACCGACACGAGGGGAAUAAAGAUAAUGAAUCUUGAAAUAUGUUAAUAUAUCCAAUCUAAUGAACUAAAUUCCCGAAUGAGUAUGAUGAGGAGGUGUGAGUCCUCAUUGAUGUGCUUGGUGUUGUAACCAAGGGUUAUGGUACCUGUAAAUGCUGCAUGCUAAGGAAAUUAGUAGAUUUUAUGAUAUUGCUUAAUACAUACUGUUUUCUACUGACCCCUACUUUUAUUGCUUUCUUCUUGUUUAUUUGUGGAGUGCAGCAAACGUGCCAUCGUCUUCAACUCAAUAGUAAUUCAAGCCAGUCUUACUACAUCGGAAAUUCAGGGUGAGCUAAUGCUUCUAGCUUGGACUGGAUCUUCUUCUUCAAGUCUUGAUGCCUUGAACUUCCGGCAUCGACUAGCUUCUUAUGUAUUAUUAGCUUUUAGAAUACUCUUAGUUUAGUCGUUUGAUCGUAGAUGUUCUUGUGAUGAUGACUUCCAGGUUUUGGGGAAUAAUAGAUGUUGAAUUUUAGAAGUUAAUGAAUUGGUCUUUAUUUAAUGAGUUUAAGUCUUCCGCAUUACUUUCUAUUGAUAUUAUAUUGAAAUGUUAAGGUUAGAUUGGUUGGUUCGCUCACAUAGGAGGGUAAGUGUGGGUGCCAGUCGCGCCCCGGAUUUGGGUCGUGACAUUAGUGUUUGUUCUCUUCAAAACUUUCAACUAACCAAUAACAAUGAAGCUAAUCGUGUUAUGUUUUAAUAAUUGAUAUAUGAUUAUAACCAUGUUUUGUUACUGCUGAACAUAGAGUUGGGCUAUAUAUCAGUACAACAAUUUUUCUUGCUAACUUUUCUUCAAUCUUUUAAAUCUUACGCUGAGAAAUUUUAUGAAUUAAAGAUUAAAAUUAUAAUUCCUUAUAUAGAUAGAAAUCGGAUCAUAUUGACUUCAAUAUAAUAUUAAAUCUAGUUUCAAUUUAGUUAAUUUUGAUUUUCUUACUAAAACAACAUACAAGUGAAUGAGGGUAAAAAUUUAGAUGUUGAACAUUUUGUCAAUUGGUUUUAGGGGUGGGCAUUCGGUAAUUCGGUUCGGUUUCGGUUUUUUAAUUUUCGGUUCUUGUACAAUGUGUACUGAACACCGAACCAAAAUAAUUAUUUUGGUUCGACUUUGUUAUUUCGGUUUUUUUUAAUGGGCCUACUUAGUUGGGUUUUAAAAAUUUACAAAUUUUUUUGUUUGAUUUUCAGCUUAAUGGGCUAAAAGUAGUUACAUCAAAAAGUGUCUUUUACUUUUUAUCUUUUUAUUUUAAAUUAUAAUAUUUAUUAUUUAACAUUAAUAAUUAAUAUAAUAUAAAUAUAUAUUAUAAUAUAUUAUAUUUCGGUAAACCGAAAUACAGAAUAACACAAAAUUACAUAUCAAAAACCGAAUCGGAAUAUCAAAAAAUACAAAAACACAUAUCGAAUACUAAACCGAAAACCGAAAAAUCAAAAUCGAAAUACCAAAAAAGUUCAGUUCGGUACGGUUUUUUGGUUUUCCGGUGUUUAUGGUCAGCCCUAAUUGGUUUUUCUAUAAAUAUUUGGCUGAGAAAUCUACUAACUUCGUUUUCUAUUUUUUCUAUGGACCCCUUUCACUAGAUUACUUUACUGACUGAAAUUCAGUCAAAAAGAGUAAAGAAACUUAAGUUUGACAAAAUUAUUUUUAAACUUUUUUGGUUUAGAAACACAUAAAAAGGUCAAUCUAGACAGACAAUACACUUUAUUCAACACAUAUUUACUAUUAAUUUAUAUUUUUGACGGGGGGUUUAAAAUAAAAUAAUGUGAGUUUUAGAGAAAAGAAUGUAAGAAGACAAACAAAGUUUUCUUCAUUUCUUCUAUUUGAUUGAGAUUAAGGAGAAUAAAUAUUUAUUUUUAUAAAAAUGAUACGUUUGUCAUAAACAAAUAUUUCUAUGAAAUAUUAACACAAAAAUUAUUUUUGGGGAAAAAUUGAGGCCCCCUAAAAUUGGGGGCCUAAGGCAUGUUCCUUAUUUUUAUAAGCAGUGAGCCGACACUGAUCACAAGGGUAUUGAUGACUAAACAAAAUCUCUAUGAAAAUUUAUUUUCUCCAAAACUAAAUAAAGAUUUAAUAACUCGGUGAGAUAUACCUUUAAUCUUCAUUCUUUAAUCAUUCAAAACUGAAAAGUACUAGAUAUCAUUUUAUAAUUACAAAAGUUUUAAAAUUUACACUUCAAAAACGACACUUCGUAAAAUAAUUCACAACAAAAUGUAUAAUAGAAUAUCACAAUAAAAGCUUCGAACCCAAAAGUAUUCGACAUGAAAUCAGCAAGAUAACAAAAUCUUCGAAUUCCAAAGUCAUUUAGAAACACCGAUUAAAAAGAAAUAAAGGGUUAUAUACAUGAUCACAUAGAUAUACAUAUAUCUAAAAUGCAUGAAUAAAUUAUAAAAUAGUUGCAACAAUUUGAGUGAAACAAUGGAGAAGCAUUUGAUAAAAAAUAGUUUAAUUGUAAAAGGAAGGAAAGAGUGAGUAGUUCUUGAAUUUCCACCCAAAAAAUAAUUAUCAUGAACUAGUAGUUAAUAUUUUUCUAUGUUUACAAGCUCAGAUAUAAAGAGAAAUGAAGACUGAUACAUAAUUGUGUGUUCUCUCUCUCAAUAUAUAGAGAAAAAUAAAUCUAAUUUAAUGAACGAAUCUAGAAGUUUCUAAAUCUACAUUCAAGAUGAUCGGUCAACGGAAAUUUGUUACAAUUUAUUACGCAAUAAUAAAAUUGUAAGAUAUAUAAUCAUCUUAUUAAAUACUAGUUAAUAAGUAAGGUAUUUAUAAUAAAUGAAACUAGACAUUUAUAAAAAUAUUUUUUUUUGAGUUAUCCUAAUCAUGUUUUUUACAAUCCACCAUAUAGCAAAAGGAACAAUAAUGAAUAGAAAAAAAAGUUUUAGUUGGAUUUUCACAUAUGAAUACAGUGCUUUAGUUCUUGUAGACGCUGAAUCGAACUUAAAUUAAUUUUAUAAAAUAAUUGAUGAAGUUUAGAAUUUGUAUGAAUCAAGAAUUGUUUUAUUCACUCAAAGUUUUAUUAUAUCACAUUAUAUUCACAAUAUUAUUAUUAUCGUUGUCGUGAUUUUUGCACUCUCAAGCUAUACCUGUACAAUGAUAUUCAUGAGUGCUUUAAAAAGAUUAUUAUGAUUUCAUAUAAACAACACAAAUUUACGAAUAUAUAGAUCCAAUCAUCAAAUAUAUUACCUAUACAAGAUAUAAAUUUGAUUAAACGUUUAACACAAUCUUACUUUGCGAUAUAACAUUAAAUUAAACCUAUAAAUAUAGAGGAAAACUAAUUACAAAUUUUCUUAACUUAAUGAAGGUAUUACAAUUUUUCUUAACCUAAUGAAGGUAUAGUUGUUGAUUGCUAAUGUACAAUUCAACUGUGGUGAGUUUUCAGGUACGUAUACAAUGCGUUGAAUUCAGUGUGUUAGACUAUGAACUGUAUCUUGAUAAAGUAAGAUUAAACUUAUAGAAUAAUUGGUGAAGUUAACAACUUUUAUAUGGACCCUCAAUUCUUAUAUAAGAAUAAGAUAUUAUGUCACUCCCUGAUAUUACCCCUAAAUCGGACACGGUACUUAACUAGAGCCACAAGUUACCCCAAACUAGUCUCAUGGUGUGAUGUGACACUAAGAUUAACAUAAAUCAAUAGAAAAUUGAAACAUAAACACGAAAUCUAAAUUUGAUAUAUAUAUAUAUAUAUAUAUAUAUAUAAUGUCCAUAACACAGAGAUAGACUGAUAUAUCUAACCUAAGCUGAAUCUAUAUCGAUAAUGACUGUUUGAAAGCCUUUAGUAAUAUGAGCCGCUAGGAGAAACCUCUAGCUAAUAACUCCAAAUGUCUAAAACUGAAAGUAACAACUGAAAAGAAAGAUAAAAGUACUUUUCUUUGAAGUGACGAUGAGAACUUUCCAACAAUGUUGCUCGAUGAUCAAAGGUAAUAAUAACCACGGACUGGAUACUAAACACCAGAGACCUAUAUUAUCAAAUGAUAGUAUGUUAUCAAUACUUUUUGUUACCUCACGGGGGUGAAUUAACGUAAUGAGAAUAUUACCUUUGGUGAUCAAGAUUAUCAUCAUGUAUGUCCAUUGUUGCCUCCAUUAGAAUUAACAUCAUCAUCAAAAAGGAAAGUCAAAUUGUCAUUCCGCAUAAUCACAUCAGUGACAUCUUUCUUCUUCAAAAUACGUCGAUUAUUUUCUUGAGCGUUAAGCCAGGAACGAAGGGUGAGUUAUUGAAUGAAAAAAUCACAUGCCUUAGCAAGCAAAACAGGCGAUUCAGAAGUGAUCCUUCGGACAUCCUUGUUCGUCUUCAUGAUGUUCUUGAUAUGGUUAGGUGAAACAAGCAGAUUGUUCUUGAAAUUGUCAAUUUUCUCCAUUUCUCUCUCCUGGUCUGUCCAAAACAUCUCCAUAUAUUCUUGCUCAAUCUUUUCAAUGUUAAGAUGAGACAUCGUUGAGUACGCAUCAACGGAUUGAGUUGCAUUCACUGUGGAUUUCUCAGAGUUGUUUUCCAUGGUGAUUUUUUCGUUGUUUACAAGCUCAGACAUGGAGAGAAAUGGAAGAUUGAUGCAUACACACAAUUGGGUUUUCUCUCUCUCUAUAUAUAUAUAUAAAGAGAAAAAUAAAUCUAAUUAUAAAUUUUUAAAUCAUAUUAAAUGAAUGAACCUAGACAUUUUUAAAUCUGUGUUCAAGCUAAGACUAUUAAUGAAAAAUUGUUCCAAUUUAACAUGUCAUAAUAAAAUUGUAAGAAAAUCAUUUUAUUAAAUACUUGUUAGUUCUAGUCAAUAAGGUAUUAAAUAUUAGUUAGUUCUAGUCAAUAAGGUAUUAAAUAAUGAGCGGAGAUAUUAAUAAAAUAAUUUUUUAAAUUUUUAUUUCUAGAAUCCUCCAUAUAUCACAAAAAUCCAAUAAUUGAUAGAAAGAAAUAGAAAAUUUAUUAUAUAUGGGCUUUCAUAUAUGUGUACAAUGCGACUAAGUUUAAUGUUUGGUAGACUAUAAAUCAUACUUUGAUAAAACAAGAUUAAUUUUAUAGAAUAGUUGGUGAAUUCUAAAACUACUAUGAACUAGGAUUUUUUUAUAAACUCAAAGUUUUAUUAUAUCACAUGAUUAUACUUGAAAAAUUAUUAUUGUUAUCACAAUAUUUGUACCAACAUGUCAUAUGUGUAUCCUAAGAUUCAUGAGUGUUUUAAAAUCUAUAGGUUUAAUCAUCAAAUGUAUUAUGCAGAGCAAUACACGACCUAUAAAAUAUAUGAAUUGGAUUAAACGUUUAACUAACAGCAACUUUUGCAUAUAGCAAACAUAAAUUUUAUAUUGGUAUGUCAUAACUAUAGUUUGUCUAAUUGCACUACAUAACAAAUUUUAUAUUUUCUAUGGAGCUUUUGAUUUGUAUAAUUACAAACAUCUAAUUUAAGACAAAUUGCUCAGUUUUGUAUAAAUUUAUUUAUACAUUGUAAUUUGUAUAAUAAAAUCUGUAUUUGUAUAAUUAUAAGUGUAUAAGACACAAAUAUAUGUAUUUGUAUAUACAUUUUUCUCUAGCUUUAUACAAACAUAAAUACAUUUUAUACAUUUAAUAUCGAAAUGUAUAAAAUGACUAAUUGUAUAUAUAAAAAAUGAGUAAUUGUACACAGAAUCAGAUGACAAAAAAGGGAAUGUUUGCUGCAAAUUAAAAUAAGAAUAAACUAUGGAUAUGACAUUUAAUUUGAAUUAAUAAUUUGUUAUUUUAUACAAUGUUCCUUUUAACUAAUUAGCCUCACUAAUUUGUGAUGUAACAUUAUAUCCAGACAUCAUAGGAGGAUAUAUAUAUAUAUAUAUAUAUAAACCUAGUUCAUUUGAUCUCCAAUCAGAUAAUUGAGUCAUGUACAAUCAUUGUUAAUCUUUUCAAAUUGAUAAAAAUCUCACACUCCUCGACGUUUCUUUUUAUCUUUGAAUUGAUCUAUAAAGUGCCUCUUUGAAAUUUUUUGAUUUAAAUUCAACACUUUAAGAACACUAAUAUAUAUAGAAAAUAUUUUUUAUUUUAUCAAUAAUGACGACAAGUGAAUAAAGUAACUUCAGUUUCUUGUUUUCUUUGCGAAAACAUUAGGUUUACAAGUCAAUUUUUUUGCAUUACUAUUACUUUGUUUUUUAAUUUACAAAAGAGAACACAAAGUUUAACGGAUUUUCCUUAUGAAUUAAAAAAAUAGACCUUCUCAAUUUCUCAUGUACAUCAUUUUGUCUACCAUGUUAUUUUGCAACCAAAUAAAGCCUGUUUGGUUAAGCAUAUAUACACAUCAAACUUAUUUUAUUGCGGUGUUGAUAAAUGGUAAUCUAUAAACUUUUCUCUAUUACAACAAAGUAAUUGUUAAAUUCACUCAUAGAUUCAUUAUAUAUGUUGCAAUAGUAUUCAUCAUCAUCGACUGCUCAGAUUUAUUUUUCAUGAAAUGUGAUCAAGGCAAAUUGUUUCUAAAUUAACAUAGACAUAAUUGAAAAUAAGAUAAAUGUUAGUGCUUAUAUAUACAAAGGAGAAAGAAAACUAAUUACAAAUUUGCUAAGCCUAAUGAUAAAUGUUGAUGUUUGAGGUACAAUACAACUACGGUAAUGUAUAAAUAAGAAAAUUGGGGUUAUAUAAUUUGGUGUCUAGGUGUAAUGAUCCGGAAGGUCAUUUUUGGAAAUUUUAAAUAAUUGCUUAACUUGAGUUAACUAAUAGAUGAAUAAUUGUAGAUAAAUGAUUAAAUUAUUAGUUAAUGGUCUAAAGUAAAAAAAAAAUUAAUUAAGACCUUAUACCCUUUAGCCUAUAUUUAAUUAAAAAAAAGAAGGGUUUUUUUUUAGUAUUUGUAAAUCAGAAACUGAUAAAAAUUUGGAAUGAAGAAUGGUAGUGCAGCGAUAAGAAAAAGACCAUAAUUCCCAAGGUAAACCUCAAUUUUUUUCUAUAUCCUUAUAUUGGUAAUUAUAGGUAUGAUCAUAUUAUAUUAUUAUUAUAGAAAUAAGUUGUGGAAAAGUGGUUGUUAGCAGUGUCUUUGGAGAGAAAAUAUUAGUGGGAAAGUAUGGCAUAAUGAUUGUAUGUUGGAGGCAUAAUGAUUGUCCAUGUUGUAUAUCUUUUAAUUAUUAAUUAUAUAUAGUAUUACUCUCAUUAUAAGAUACGUUUUCCUCCUUUGUUCGUCUGCCACUAGUUUCGUAACUAGUGGCCUCAUAUUUUAAUAAUUAUAAUUUAGUUAAUGCAUUAAAAAUUCAAGUUGGAUACAUUAAGAUACAUAUUAAGCAUUAGAUGUAUGGUAUUAUGUGAAUACCAUUGGAAUUAUGCUAUUGAAAAUAAUUUGGGACUUAACCUUAGACUUGGAACUUGAAAAAAAUAUAAUAGUUGAAAUGUUAGUUGGCAUCAAGAAUUACGAACUUGAUUAUAAAUUUGGGGUGAAUUUUUAGGUCAAGAUUAAACACACAAAAGUGUGAGUGUUGUUAGUUCUGAAGCCUUAUUGUGAAUAUAUAUACUUGCAUAGAUUGCAUCUAUUUGGAAGCUCAACGGAAAGGGAAGGCUCAAGUCCCAGAGUGAUUAUUAGAGUGGUUAAGGCAAGUGGAUUUCUAAACCCUUGUUAAGCGUACGAAAUUCGUGUAUUUCCUUGUGUGGUGUUGAGAAUGAUUUGGAGACUUGUUGCUUAAUUGUUGGUAUUGUAUUUCUUGUUGCAAAUUGUGCUUUGUUAUCAAAUGGUUAUCUCCUACUUUUCAUUUGAGCAUGUCAUUUGCAUUGUAUCUAAGACAUGGUUGUGGUAAGAGGAUGUACUAUUUUCGAGGAUCGUAUCGCGCGCCACGAUGGAUAUUAUAUUUCGAGGGACGUAUCGCUCGCCGCGAAGGUUACUAUUAUCGAGGGUCGUAUCGUGCGCCGCGACAGAUGCAUGGAAAGAUAUGUCCCCCAUGGGUCCCGGACUGAGAGACUGCGGGUGUGUAUCGUUAGGGAAGACAUGCAUCACUAUACUUGAUAUUUUAUCUCACGGCAUUACACAUUUUAUUAUUGAUGAACUUGAACACGUGUUUUGUUGAUCUUGUGAGUGUUUCUCUGUGAAGCUUGUGACUGUUGAAUAUUGAGUUUUUAUUGAGAAUGUGUAAACUGAUAGAGUGUGGUUAUUGAGUUGUGUGUUUGGUAAACUGUAAACUAUUAGACUGUAGCGUGGAGGUUAGAUAUGGUGUAAGAAGUGCCCGUAUUUUGUUCACUUAACUUGUGUUUAGAGGUUUUCUUAUUGGGUACCGCGUGGUUUGGUACUCACCCCUUACUUCGACAAAUUUUUGUAGGAUACGAGCCUGGAUCCUCGUGAUACCUGUCAUUCUUUUCGUUUUCGAGGCAUCUUGUGGAGGAUUGUGAGGUAGUUGCUUGUCAUCUCAGCGAACUUUCGUACUCCUGUUUAUGACUUUGUUUUUACUUGAAAGACAACUUCAUUUAGACUUCUAUUUUGUUUCAAUUCUAAUUUUUACAUUAGAGGCUUGUGCACGUGACAAGCUGAUUUUGGGGAUUGGAUUAAUAUGACUUGGCUUCAUAAUAGGAAUUAUUGUUGGAUUGUCAUUUACUUCCGCACUUUGUUAGAUAUUUGGUUUUAGGCUGACUUGUCUUGGUGGGAUAAGACGAGUGCCAUCACACCCAUUUUUGGGUCGUGACAAAAUGGUAUCAGAGCCCCAGGUUAAUAGGUCUCACGUGUAUACAAGCCGAGUCUACGUAGAGUCUCAAGGAUCAGUAUGGAGACGUCUGUACUUAUCUUUGAGAGGCUACAAGGAUUACUAGAAAAACAUCUUUUUGUUCAUUCUUUUUCAUCGUGCGUAGUCACCUUCUUUAGUACUGAGUUGUUGUAUACUCUUUUGACAGAUGACGAGAACUAGAACUAAUGUUACUGGUGGUAUAGGGGAGGCACUUCCCGAGGCAGUUGUUGAGGCCCCAGCUAGAGGUAGGGGUAGAUCUUGAGAUCAAGGUCAUCCUAGUAGUGCGACAGUAGCCAGAGGUCGUGGACGUGGAGAAGCACCAAUGAGAAGUCGUGCUAGAGAGGUCUCUACCGAACCUCAAAUUGAUGACAUAGAGGACCAGGUUCCUCCAGAUCCCGUAGUCACACCUUUGCUUCAGGAUACGCUAUUGAGGGUGUUAAGUGUGCUAGAGGGCUUUUCUCAGGGUGGUGGUGCAACUACCACACCACAUGACUCUCAUACUACAGAGGUGGCUCAGACCCAAGAGCAGCAACAAGCUCCGGUUGUUCAGGAUGCGGUGGGGCAACUACCAGUAGAUCUCGCGGUUCAGAAUGAUAUUGCACCAGCAGUUGGGGGUCAAGUUACAUCGAUGGUUGUUCUGACAGAGGAUGAGCAGCGUAGGUAUGAGAGAUUUCGAAAGAUGGACCCACCUCAGUUUCAGGAUGGAAAGAGCGAGGACGCACAUAAGUUUCUAACUACCUGCCGAGAGUUACUAGAGGUGGUUGGGUUACCCGAGUCACAUGGGGUUCGAUAUGCUACACUCCAACUUUGUGGACCAGCGAAAGACUGGUGGAGGACUUAUUCGGGAUGUUUGCCAGUUGGAUCUCCUCCAGUGACUUGGGAGCAGUUUGCUAGUGCAUUCCAAGAUCGUUUUGUCCCAUGGAGCGUGAGAGAAGAGAGUCGCUUGAGGUUUGAGAGUCUGAUACAGGAUGGUUUAUCAGUUACAGAGUAUGAGGUGCGUUUUUGCCAGUUGUCUAGGCAUGCAUUGGCCAUUAUUCCAAAUGAGACAGAGAGGAUCCGCAGAUUUGUGAGGGGACUAACUUUCUCUAUCAGGUCAGCUAUGUUUCGGGCAUCUAGGGAGGGGGCUUCUUUUCAGUCCAUUGUGAGCGCCGCCAAAGAGGCAGAAUUGAUGGAGAGAGAGAGGAGUUUGGGGAUCCUAAGAGAGCCCGUAUAUCAGGACAGUUUCAUGAUGCCUCCUCUGGAGGUAGGGGAUCACAGAGAGUGAGUGGUUCUUUUCAGCAGCGGGGACCUAUGCCGACAUUUGAGGGUGGCCAGACAUCUAGGGGUUCUUAUCGCUCGGGUCAGAGCUCGUACAGUUCACAGCAGCGACCUACAGGGCGAGGAAAUUAUAGUGGGUUUUCAGGGUCCACACAACAGUUCCCAGGUCAGAGAUUUUGUUUUACUUGUGGAGAUCCCAAUCAUCUAAUGCGGCAAUGUACUUCUCAAAGAGGUCGUGGUGGGCCUCGACCUAAUUCGUCAUUCCAUACUAGACCGCCAGCACCACAGGGUAGAGGUCGUGGAAGAGUUUAGUCAGGUAGAGGUGAUAGAGUUUCUAGUAGUGGUGUUGCAGCUCAGCAGAGUGGGGGUAGAGGUACCACCCAGCAUGGAGGUGGACGAGGAGGCCACUGCUAUGCUUUCCCCGGGAGACCUGAGGCGGAGACCUCAGAUGCUGUUAUUACAGGUAUCAUCCCAGUAUGCCAUCGACCUGCGUCUGUGUUGUUUGAUCCAGGUUCUACAUUCUCUUAUGUGUCUACGUAUUUUGCUGCUAAAUUUGAUAUGAUAUGUGAUAGCAUGACUGUAUCUAUUCGUGUUUCUACACCCGUGGGUAAGCCCUUAGUGGUGGAUUGAGUGUAUCGAUCCUGUCUUGUUUCUUUGGCUGGGUAUGACACUUGGGUAGACUUAAUCAUUCUGGGGAUGGUGGACUUUGAUAUUAUCUUUGGUAUGGAUUGGCUUUCUCCUUACCAUGCUGUCCUUGAUUGUAAUGCUAAGACUGUGACUUUAGAAAUGCCUGGUGUUCCGAGGGUUGAGUGGAAGAGUGUUAGUGGUUCUUAUCCUAGCAAGGUCAUCUCUUUUAUCCGUGCUCAGAGACUGGUGGAGAGGGGGUGUUUGUCUUACUUAGCUUUUAUUCGGGAUACUAGUGUUGAACCACCUCCAAUGGACUCUGUUCCCGUGGUCCAGGAGUUUCUCGAUGUAUUUCCUUCUGAUCUUCCUGGUGUUCCUCCCGACGGGGACAUCGAUUUUGCUAUUGAUUUGGAACCGGUCACUAAACCUAUUUCUAUCCCUCCAUACCAUAUGGCUCCAGCAGAGUUGAAAGAAUUGAAGGAUCAGUUGCAGGAUUUAUUGAGUAAGGGUUUUAUUCGCCCUAGUGUAUCACCUUGGGGUGCCCCUGUAUUAUUUGUGAAGAAGAAUGAUGGGACUAUGAGAAUGUGUAUUGAUUACAGACAUUGAACAAGGUAACAAUGAAGAAUAAGUAUCCUCUUCCGCGUAUUGAUGACUUAUUUGAUCAGUUACAGGGAGCAUUGUUCUCUAAGAUUGAUUUGAGGUUUGGGUAUCAUCAGUUGAAGAAUAGGGCAUCAGAUAUCCCUAAGACAGCUAUUCGGACUCGGUAUGGGCAUUAUGAGUUCCUAGUGAUGUCCUUCGGGUUGACUAAUGCCUCUGCAGCAUUCAUGGAGUUGAUGAAUGGGGUGUUUCGACCAUACCUUGAUUCUUUUGUGAUUGUUUUCAUUGAUGACAUCUUGGUUUACUCCAAGACUAAGGAGGACCAUGUCCGACACUUGAGGAUUGUACUUCAGAGGUUGAGAGUAGAGAAGUUGUAUGCCAAGUUCUCAAAGUGUGAGUUCUGGCUUACUUCUGUGGCAUUCUUAGGACAUGUGGUUUCUAAGGAGGAUAUUAGAGUAGAUCCGGCCAAGAUUGAGGCAGUUAGAGGUUGGACGCGACCUACUUCACCUACUGAGAUCAGGAGAUUUGUGAGAUUGGCAGGCUAUUAUCAAUGAUUUGUUCAGAGUUUCUCUACUAUUGCAGCUCCAUUGACUAGAUUGACUCGACAUGAUGUGAGUUUUCAGUGGUCUGAUGAGUGUGAGGAUAGAUUUCAAAAGAUCAAGACUUUGUUGACUUCUGCUCCUGUGUUGACUCUACCUGAGGAGGGUGUAGACUUUACUGUGUAUUGUGAUGGUUCAGGAGUUGGUUUGGGUGGUUUGUUGAUGCAGAAGGGGAAAGUGAUUUCUUAUGCUUCUAGGCAAUUAAAAUCCCAUGAGAAGAACUACCCUACUCAUGAUUUAGAGUUGGCGGCUGUGGUAUUUGUACUUAAGUAAUGGUGUCAUUAUUUGUAUGGAGUGCAUUGUGAGAUCUUCACUGAUCAUCAGAGUCUCCAGUAUAUCUUUAGUCAGAGAGAUUUGAACUUGAGGCAGCGGAGAUGGCUUGAGUUGCUGAAGGACUAUGAUAUGACCAUUCUGUAUCAUCCGGGGAAGGCCAAUGUUGUGGCCGAUGCUUUAAGUAGAAAGACUCAUAGCAUGGGGAUUCUUGCAUCUCUUAGUGUUGAGGAGACCAUUGGCUAGAGAUGUUCAAUUAUUAGCUUGUCCGAUUACAGAUCUCAGAGGAGAGUGAUGGAAUGAUUGCUUUUAUUGAGGCUCGAUCUUCUUUAGUCGAGAAAAUCCGUGCACACCAAUUUGAUGAUGAAAAAUUAUGUCUCAUUCGAGACAAAGUAUUGAGAGGGGAAGCUAAGGAGGCUGUCCUUGAUUCUGAUGGUGUCUUGCGGAUCGGAGGCAGAAUUUGUGUGCCCAGGACAGGAGAUUUGAUUAGAUUAAUUCUUGAGGAGGCCCAUUGUACUCGGUAUUCCAUCCAUCCGGGAGUGGUGAAGAUGUAUCAUGAUCUGAGUCAGCAUUACUGGUGGUGUGGGAUGAAGAGAGAUAUUUCAGACUUUGUUUCGAGGUGUUUGACUUGCCAGCAAUUCAAGUGUGAGCACUAGCGGCCCGGGGGUGUAUGUCAGAGGAUGCCUAUUCCUACUUGGAAGUGGGAGCGGAUUACUAUGGACUUUGUUGUGGGUUUGCCUACCACAAUGGGUGGUUAUGACUCUAUUUGGGUUGUUGUUGAUAGGCUGACCAUGUCUGCCCACUUCAUCACGAUUCGAGUGAAGUAUACUGCAGAAAAGUUAGCCGAGCUAUAUAUCAGUCAGAUUGUGCGACUACAUGGAGUUCCUGUUUCUAUCAUAUCAGAUCGAGGUUCACUAUUUACUUCUCACUUCUGGAAGGCAUUACAACAUGGUCUGGGUACUCAGUUAGAUAUGAGUACGACAUUUCACCCUCAGACAGAUGGUCAAUCUGAGCGGACCAUUCAGGUUUUGGAAGAUAUGCUUCGAGCGUGUGUGAUCGAUUUUGGUGCAAGAUGGGAUCGACAUUUACCCUUAGCGGAGUUUGCCUAUAAUAACAGUUAUCACUCUAGUAUUCAAAUGGCUCCAUUUGAGGCAUUGUAUGGUAGACGGUGUAGAUCUCCGAUUGGUUGGUUUUAUUCGGCGGAGAUGGACUCUUUGGAUACAGACUUGCUUAGAGAUGCUAUGGAACAAGUUCGUAUGAUUCAGUAUAGACUGUUGACAGCCCAGAGUCGACAGAAGAGUUAUGCAGACCGGAGAGUUACAGCCUUAGUGUUUAUGGAGGGUGAUCAUGUUUGGCUCCGAGUAUCACCAAUGAAGGGUGUGAUGAGGUUUGGAAAGAAGGGCAAGCUUAGCCCUAGGUUCACUGGACCUUUUGAGAUUUUGAGCCGAGUGGGAGAGGUGGCCUAUAAGUUAGCCUUGCCACCUAGUUUGUCGGCAAUUAAUCCUGUUUUCCAUGUCUCUAUACUUCGGUAGUAUAUUCCGGAUGAAUCUCAUGUGAUUUCACUCGAUUCUAUGGAGCUGGUUCCAGACUUGACAUAUAAGGAGGAGCCUAUAGCUAUAUUGGAUAGGCAAAUCCGAAAGCUUAGGACCAAGGAGCUUGUUUCAGUGAAGGUGCAAUGGAAGCACCAUUCAGUAAGAGAAGCAACUUGGGAGACAGAGUCUGACUGCGUGCCAGAUAUCCUCAACUUUUUGAAACAUCAGGUACUUUCUUUUACUUUAUGUUCGAGGACGAACAUGAUUUUAGUGGUGGAUAAUGUAAUGACCCGGAAGGUCACUUUUGGAAAUUUUAAAUAAAUACUUAACUUGAGUUAACUAAUGGAUGAAUAAUUGUAGAUAAAUGAUUAAAUUAAUAGUUAAUGGGCUAAAGUGAAAAAAAAAUAAUUAAUUAAGACCUUAUACCCUUUAGCCUAUAUUUAAUUUUAAAAAAAGAAGGUUUUUUUCUAGUAUUUGUAAAUCAGAAACUGAUGAGGAUUUGGAAUGAAGAACGGUAGUGCAACGAUAAGAAAAAGACCAUAAUUCCCAAGGUAAACCUCAAUUUUUUUCUAUAUCCUUAUAUUGGUAAUUAUAGGUAUGAUCAUAUUAUAUUAUUAUUCUAGAAAUAAGUUGUGGGAAAGUGGUUGUUAGCAGUGUCUUUGGAGAGAAAAUAUUAGUGGAAAAGUAUGGCAUAAUGAUUGUAUGUUGGAGGCGUACUGAUUGGCCAUGUUGUAUAUCUUUUAAUUAUUAAUUAUAUAUAGUAUUACUCUCAUUAUAAGAUACGUUUUCCUCCUUUGUUCGUCUGCCACUGGUUUCGUAACCAGUGGCCGCAUAUUUUAAUAAUUAUAAUUUAGUUAAUGCAUUAAAAAUUCAAGUUGGAUACAUUAAGAUACAUAUUAAGCAUUAGAUGUAUGGUAUUAUGUGAAUACCAUUGGAAUUAUGCUAUUGAAAAUAAUUUGGGACUUAACCUUAGACUUGGAACUUGAAAAAAAUAUAAUAGUUGAAAUGUUAGUUGGCAUCAAGAAUUACGAACAUGAUUAUAAAUUUGGGGUAAAUUUUUAGGUCAAGAUUAAACACACAAAAGUGUGAGUGUUGUUAGUUCUGAAACCUUAUUGUGAAUAUAUAUACUUGCAUAGAUUGCAUCGACUUGAAAGCUCAAUGGAAAGGGAAGGCUCAAGUCCCAGAGUGAUUAUUAGAGUGAUUGAGGCAAGUGGAUUUCUAAACCCUUGUUAAGCGUACGAAAUUCGUGUAUUUCCUUGUGUAAUGUUGAGAAUGAUUUGGAGACUUGUUGCUUAAUUGUUGGUAUUGUAUUUCUUGUUGCAAAUUGUGCUUUGUUAUCAAAUGGUUAUCUCCUCCUUUUCAUUUAAGCAUGUCAUUUGCAUUGUAUCUGAGACAUGGUUGUUGUAAGAGGAUGUACUAUUUUCGAGGGUCGUAUCGCGCGCCGUGAUGGAUAUUAUAUUUCGAGGGACGUAUCGUGCGCCGUGAAGGUUACUAUUAUCGAGGGUCGUGUCGUGCGCUGCGACAGAUGCAUGGACAGAUAUGUCCCCCAUGGGUCCCGGACUGAGAGACAGCGGGUGUGUAUCGUUAGGGAAGACAUGCAUCACUAUACUUGACAUUGCAUCUCAUGGCAUUACACAUUUUAUUAUUGAUGAACUUGAACACGUGUUUUGUUGAUCUUGUAAGUGUUUCUCUUUGAAUCUUGUGACUGUUGAAUGUUGAGUUGUUAUUGAGAAUGUGUAAACUGAUAGAGUGUGGUUAUUGAGUUGUGUGUUUGGUAAACUGUAAACUAUUAGACUGUAGCGUGGAGGUUAGAUAUGGUGUAAGAAGUGCCCGUAUUUUGUUCACUUAACUUGUGUUUAGAGGUUUGCUUAUUGGGUACCGCGUGGUUUGGUACUCACCCCUUGCUUCUACAAAUUUUUGUAGGAUACGAGCCUGGAUCCUCGUGAUACCUGUCAUUCUUUUCGUUUUCGAGGCAUCUUGUAGAGGAUUGUGAGGUAGCUGCUUGUCAUCUCAGCGAACUUUACUACUCCUGUUUAUGACUUUGUUUUUACUUGAAAGACAACUUCAUUUAGUCUUCUAUUUUGUUUCAAUUCUAAUUUUUACAUUAGAGGCUUGUGCACUUGACAAACUGAUUUUGGGGAUUGGAUUAAUAUGACUUGGUUUCAUAAUAGGAAUUGUUGUUGGAUUGUCAUUUACUUCCACACUUUGUUAGAUAUUUGGUUUUAGGCUGACUUGUCUUGGUGGGAUAAGACGAGUGCCAUCACAACCAUUUUUGGGUCGUGACACUAGGAGACAAUGAAUUAUAUCUUCAUAAAGCAAGAUUAAACUUAUAGAAUAAUUGGUGAAGUUUAAAAUUUUUAUGAAUCAAGAAUUUUUUUGUAUGCUUAGGAUCUUAUGUCACGCUCCAAUAUUAUCCAUGCACCCGAGAAGGUGCUUAGAGCCACAAGCAUCCGAAGCUGGCGUGAUAGUAAAAUUAACAUAAAUCAAUAGAAAAUUGAAGCAUAAAUGUAUAACCUAAUUUGAAAUAUCGAUAUAAAGUCCUUAACACUGAGACGUAUUAAUAUAUUUGAAAGAAAUAACACAAACAAAAUUUAUAUUGAUAUGACUGUUGGAAAGCCUUUACUUGUAUGAGCUGCUAGAAUAAACGCCUAACUAAUAACUCCAUCUCUGUGAAAUUGAAAGUAAUAUUGAAAAAAAAGAUCGGGUACUUGUUAUCAAAGUGACGAAGAUUCACCAAUAUUGUUGCUCGCUAAUCAGAAGUACCACUAACCACGAGUAGGUCUAAACAUCAAAAGCUACCUGCAUUAUCAACCAGAGUAUGUUAAUAGUACCUUUUGUAACCCUAUAGGUAUGAACUUAAGGAAAUAAGAAGGUUACAUUUGAUGAUCAAUAUUAUCAGUAUGUAGGCCCAUUGUGCCUUCAGCAACAUAAUACGGAACAACAUGUGGUGUGGAGCCGUCACUAACAUCAGCAUCAUCAUCAAGAAGGAAAUCCAAAAUGUCAGUCUCCAUAAUCACAUCAGUGACGUCAUCCUUCUUCAAAAUACGACGAUGAUUUUUCUCAGUUUUAAACCAGGAACGAAGAGUUAGUUCUUGAAUGAACAACUCACAUGCUUUAGCCAACAAAACAGGUGAUUCAGUAGCAAUCAUUCUGACAUCCUUGUCUGUCUUCAUGAUCUUCUUGAUGCGGUUAAUUGAAGGUAGCAGGUUGCUCUUGAAAUCAAUAACAUUCUCCAUUUCCCUCUGCUUGUCUAUCCAAAACAUCUCUAGCUUUUCUUGCUUUUUCUCAAGGUGAGGCAGCGCCAACAUUGAAUACACAUCAGAUUGACCUGCAUUCACUGCUGAUUUCUCAGAGUUGUUUUCCAUGAUGAUUUUUUCUAUGUUUUCAAGCUCAGACACAGAAAAAUGAAGAUUUAUACAUAUAUGCAAUUGUGUCUAUAUAUAGAGAGAGAGAGAAAAAAAAUAAAUCUAAUUAUAAAUUUUCUAAAUUUAAUUAAAUGAAUGAACCUAGAAAAUUCUAAAUCUACAUUUAGUCUAAGACUAUUAAUGGUAAUUUGUUAAAAUUUAAUAUGUAAUAAUAAAACUGUAAGAAAAUAAUUAUCUUAUUAAAUACUAGCUAAAUUUAGUCAAUAAUGCAUCAAAUACUAGUUAGUUCUAGUCAAUAAGGUAUUAAAAUGAGCUAAGAUAUCAAUAAAAUAAUUAUAUUUGAGUAUUCUAAUAAUUUUUUUCUAGAACCCACUAUAUAUCACACAAAAAAAUUAAAAAUGAAUAGAAAGAAAUAAAAAUUUUGUUACAAGAUAUACGUACAAUGCAUCAAAUUUGAUGUAUUUUAGACUGUGAAUAAUACUUUAAUAAAAUAAGAUUAAUUUUAUAAAAAAGCGGACGAAGUUUAGAAUUUCUAUGUACAAAGAAUUUUUUUAUAAACUCAGAAUUUUAUCAUAUUAUAUAUAUCACAUCAUUAUAUUAACAAAAUCAUUAUUGUCAUCACGAAUUUGGUACUAACAUGUCAUGCGUGUAUUUUGAGAUUCAUGAGUGUUUUAAAAUCUAUCGGUACAAUUAUCAAAUGUACUAUGCAGAGCAAUAUAUGACCUGUACACGAUAUGAAUUUGAUUAAAUGUAUAACUUAGCUUCACUAAUUUGCAAUGUAAACUAUAUUCAGACAUCAUGAGAAGGGGUGACAUAGUUUAAUAAUGCAUAUUAAAUAAUAAUUUUUAUUACAAAUAUGAACCCAAUUAAUAGGAUCUUGAAUCACAUAGUUGGGUUAUGUACUAUCACUGUUAAUAUUUCCAAAUUGAUAAAAAUCUCGCAUUCCUCGACGUUUCUUUUUAUCUUUUAAUUGAUCUAUACUGCACCUCUGUGAAAUUUUUUGAAUUAGGAUUAAUACAUUAAACACUCUAAUGUAUAUAGAGAAUAUUUGUUAUUUUACAAACAAUGACAACAAGUAAACAAAGUAACUUCAUGUUUCUUGUUUUCUUUGUGAGAAAAAUUAGGUUUACAAGUGAGAUUUUGCACUACUUUUACAUUGUUUUAUUUUUACAAAAGAGAACACAAUUAGUUUAAUUAAUUGAUCUGCCUUCUCAAUUUCUCGUGUACCUCAUCUUGUCUAUCAAGUUAUUUUGCAACCAAACAAAGCCUAUUUGGUUAAACAUAUAUACACAUCAAAUUUCUUUUAUUAUGGUGUUGAUAAAUGGUAACAUAUACAUUUUUUUCUAAUACAACAAAGUAAUUGUUAAAUUCACUCAUAACUUCUUUAUAUUUGUUGCCACUGCAUCCGCAAUCGACUAUUCAAAGUUAUUUUUCAGAAAAUUUUGGACAAGAGACGACUUUUUCAAUAUUAACACAGACAACUGAAUGUAAGAUAAAUGUUGGUGUUUAUAUAUACAGAGGAGAAAGAAAUCUAAUUAUAAAUUUGCUAAACCUAAUGAAGAUAUAAGUGUUGAUAAUUCUUGAGGUACAAUGCAAUUUCAGUAAGAAAUAAAUGAGAGAAGUGGUCCACAUACUUAUUUUAAUUAAACGAAAAUCUUAAAAAUAGUGAACAGCUCCAUAGAUAAAAUAUGAAAAAUCACAUCCCCAUAAAUAAAUCAGACACAAUAUUACAAAACAUAAGAUUCAUUUAAAAUCUUAGAAAAUAUAAUUUUAUAUCACAAAAUAUAGCAGAUUGAAAUAAAUUAGAAAAUGUUUUUUUUUCUUUUAAAUUUUGGACAUUAUUUAUGGGCUAAAUUUUUAAUUUUAUAUUGUGGUAACACGUGUUUUAAUUUUCUAAAGGAAAAUCACUUGUCUGUUCAUACAUUUUUCCAUUUCUCUCUCUUUUUCACUUUUAAUGGGAAACUCAUUAUUCUCUCCCUAAAAUAAAAUAUAAUUAUUAGAAUUUUUUUCGUACAAUUCUCAUAAUGCUAUAUCAGUAUUAGUAUUUUCAUUCAAAUAUUUGAUUGAUCAUUUCCUCAUAAAAGUUUGAAUUUUCAUCUACUUUAUUCCAUGUUAAUGGAUUUCUCGAUGUUACUCUCUUGCCAUGUAUAAUACAUGUUUUCAGUCAAUACUAGACAUGUCUUCGAGAAAAAGUAACUUGAAAACAAAUAAUCACAAUUUUUAUCUUGCACUCAACACAAUAAAACAUGAAUCUUAUACAUGCAUGCAUACAUACAUACAUAAAUACAUACAUACAUACAUACAUACAUAUAUAUAUAUAUAUAUAUAUAUAUAUAUAUAUAUAUAUAUAUAUAUAUUAUUUUUAUUAUUUAGAAGAAAGAAGUGGGAGGACGAUCAAGGGCGAAAAUAUAAUUUCACGCUAACAAAAAUCUAUUAAGAAAGAUGGUUAAUAUUUCUAGAAAUAUCUUUCUAUAUAUGAAGUGAAUAAUGAUCAAGGGCAAAAAUGUAAUUUUACGCUAACAAAAAUCUAUCAAGAAUGAUAAUAAAAAAAUUAAAUAAUUCUAGAAACAUCUUAGGUUAUUGUUAUUACCAUUAACUUAUUUUGUUAUUACUUCACUUUCUUUUCUUUUAUGAGUUAUUAUUAUAUCUAUUUUAUUAUUACUCUAUUUUACUAUUACUUUAAUUUAAUUCUUAAUAUUUUUUUAUUCAUUGUGCUUAUAAAAAUGCCUACUUUUAAUAUAAAAAUUUAUCAUGAAUUAAUUAUUUUCAUCUUUAUUUUGGCUCUAAUAAUAUAAUUGAAAAUAAAUAAGUGUGAUCAAAUUAAUAAUAUAUAUUUGAUUGAAAUUAAAGAAAAAGAUGUUGAAAAGUAACUUUACAAAUAAAAAUGAAUAGGAUGAUAUAUUUGUAUUAAGGACGACUAAAAUAUAAUUUUAUUCUAACAAAAAUCUAACAAGAAUAAAUAGUUCUAGAAACAUCUUUAUAUAUAUAUGAAGUGAAUGAUGAUCAAAGGUAAAAAUGUAAUUUCAUGCAAUCAAAAAUCUACCAUGAAUGAUAACAAGAAAAUUAAAUAGUUCUAGAAACAUAUUUACUUAUUAUUAGUAGUAUUACCACACUUUUGUAUUUUUUUCAUUUUUUUAUGAGUUAUUGUGAUAUCUGUUCGUUAUAUGAAAGUAAAUAAAUAAUGAUUACGCUUAGCUUUUAAUAAUUAUAUAUCAAGUAUAAUAUUAGAUAGAAUCAAUCAAAAUUAAAAUUAGAAUUUAUAUGUAUAUUUAAAUUUUGUGUAUUGAAAUAUUUUUAAUUUUCUAAUUUAAAAUAUGCUAUAUAAAUAAAUUAAAAUUCAAAAGUUAAUUUCCUUUUUGAAAUAAAAUAUAACAAUAAGUUCAUAUAAAUAGAAAAGGAGGGAUUCAUAUAUUCAAAAUGAAAUGUACAUGUGUUAUUAUUAAAAUGAGCUUUCAUAUAUUUCUUUAUAAGAAAAUCGCUUGGCUUCUUUCUAUUAAUUUGUGCAUAUAUGUGGAGCUUUAAAGAUUUGAACAUUUUAAUAUAGAAAUAUAAUGAUUUGAAAACUUUAAAUUCUUCUCUUUAACUACUAAUUUUUUACAAAUUUGAAAAUUACAUGUCACGACCCAAAAAUAGACGUGAUGGCACUCGUCUUAUCCCACCAAGACAAGUAAGCCUAAAACUGAACUAUUACAAUAAAAAUGCGGAAAAUUUACUAUCAACUUACAGUAUACCCCAAAACCUAGUUGUCACGUGUACAAGCCUCUAAAGUAUUACAAUCGGAUCAAAAGAAAACAUAAGUCUCAUAUGAUAUUGUUUCUAGAGUAGAACAAAAUCAUAAGAAAGAGUAAGAAGGGAUGCUGAGAUGACCAACAACUACCUCACAAAAUCUCCAGGAAGCAUCGGAAAAGAAGAGAAUAUAUCAUAAAGUCCGGGCUAGUAAACUACAAAAAUUUGUAGAAGCAAGGGGUGAGUACCAAAUCACACGGUACUCAGCAAGUAAACCUCUAAACACAAGCUAAGGGGAUGAAAUACGGGUACUCCUACCACCCCCAACCGAACCUCCACAACUACAACCUACAUAAACAUCAGCCCAACCUAACAAAUCACAGUUUACAUAGAACGUAACUCAACAAAAACAUUUAGACAAAUUACAUAUCCUCCACAACAACACUUUAACAAAUUACAUAUCCUCAACAUCAACACUUAAACAAAUUAGAUAUCCUCAAUAGCAACACUUCCAAAAAUUUACAUAUCCUCAAUAACACACUUCAACAAAUCACAUAUCCUCAACAACAACACUUCAACAAAUUAUAUAUCCUCAAUAACAAGCUCAGUAUUCAACAAUCACAAGUUCUGCAAAAAGGCAAUCAGUAGAUCAGCAAAACACAAUAUCAAGUUCACUAAUGAUAAGUAUGUGCAAUGUAAUGGAAUGCAAUGUCAAGUAUAAUGAUGCAUGUCUGACCUAGUGAUACACACCCGCUGUCUCUCAGUCCGGGACCCAUGGGGGACAUAUCUGUCCAUGCAUCUGUCGCGGCGCACGACACGACCCUCGAUAAUAGUAACCAUCGCGGCGCGCGAUACGUCUCUCGAAAUAUAGUAUUCAUCGCGACGCGCGAUACGUCCCUCGAAAUAUAGUAUCCAUCGCGGCGCGCGAUACGUCCCUCGAAAUGGUACAUCCUCUUAAGUACCCAUUCUUUCUCAAUGCACAUAACACUUGUCACAACCAAUGCCUCAGAAUAAUGCAGAUGACAAGUUCACACAUAUAAUGAGGAGAUGACCAUUUUCAUAACAUCACACAGUUCACAACCACAGAAACAUGAAGUUACAUCAACAAUGAUUCAACAAGCCUUCAACCCUUUCUCAACACAACAGACAUAAACAAUUAAUCACAUUGCCUUUUGUUAUCCCCAUUCUUUUCAUCAUUAGAAUUAAUCAAUGUGGAAAAGUCAACCCAUCACCAAUCCCGUUACUCCCAACAUAUACCACAAGGACAUACACACAUUUCAUACACUUAACAAGAGUUUAGAAAUCCACUUGCCUCAAAUAGUCGAACAAUGACUCCAAAACUUGAGCCUUCCUCUUUUUGUUGACUUCCAAACCAAUAAAAUCUAUUCAAAUAAAUAACCACGAUAUGAUUUCGAAACUAACAACAUUAAUAUUGCUAUAUCUCUAUCUUAGACCCAAAAUUCAUCCAAAUUUAUAAUAAAAUUUCUAAAUCUUUAUUCCAACCAAUUGAUCAAAUCUCAUAUUUUCUAAUUUCAAGUUUAGGGUUAAAUCUUAAUUCUCCGAAUAACAUAAUUAUAAUGAUUUUUAUAUAUCAUAAUGCACCCACUAGUUAACACAUAUCUCAAUAUAUUAAAACUUGAAUCAUAAUAUGAUAAUCAAAUGAAAAUAAUUAAAGCUGAAACUAACUGCCCAACACAUCAAUGGCGGACUACAAAACUAUCUGCUGAAACCACUUAUUUUCAAUGUUCCAAUUCAUAUUUAUCGUUCCACUACUAAUCCUAAUCUUGGAGUAAUCAUUGUCCAAUGAUUAGGACUAAUCAUUGUCCAAUGAUUGAACCAUAAUACUUAUACACAUUUAUAACCCCAAGUUCACAUAUUAGUAUAAAUUAUACACGUUUUAACCUAAAACUCUACUUUUAAUUACAUAAAAACUUAAUAGAAAGGAUGAAAAUAAUUACCUUGACGCCUUGAGAUGAAAAUAUUGAUUUUUCUCCUCCCUUUUCCCUUUUCUUUUCCCCCUUUCUUUUCUUUUCUUCUCUGUUCUUCUUCAAAUCGUUCUUUUUUUUUCUCAUAUAAGCCGUUAGGCUUUUAUAAGUGUAGGGCACUUUGCCCCUUUUCUUUUUAGUUUAUUUUAUUUAUUUAAUUAAUUUAUUUCCUUUUCUUUCUUUUUUUUUUCUUUUUCAUUAUUAUUAGAAAUAAAAUAAUCUUUUACUAAAUCUAAAAUCAUGUCACUCAUUGUUACAAGUCAUAUAAAUUAUUUAUAAAAUCUACUAAAAAGGUUAAUAUAAGAAUAAUAGUUGGAAUUUCUAAAACGACUAAGAGGGUCGUUACAUUAUCCACCACUAAAAAUCAUGUUCGUCCUCGAACAUAAAAUAGGUGAAGGAAGAAUUAUUAACGUUAUCAAAAAUCUAAUGCAUGAUCUUCCAGAGUCGUUGUUCAUCUCUCCAUGAAAGCUUAUCUUUAACACGAUUCUAUCAAGACCAACUACCAAGAACUGAACUAUAGAGAAUUUGAUAGAUCUACAUAUCAGAAGUGAUUGUCAAGCUACAUACUAACCCAUGAACCGAAUCUAAACUGAAACCCCUUGGACAUAACACAAUAAUCAUGACUAAUCCUUUCUUACAAAAUCUUUUCUCACAUAGCAAAGAUAACGUUCCAUUGAUACUAGCUACAACCAGAAGUGAACCUGAACCAAUCAUCACAUACUUAUAGUGCACAAACCAUCACACAUCUUAUAACGAUUCCCUUUUCAGAACACAAUCUUUUUACAAGCUUAAGUUAUAAAAGUUUGAUGUUUAGACAUCGAAUACUCACCAAGGGAUAAUCAAACAUAUCUAAUCCAAAGAAGAACAAGAUCAAGUAUGCACCCUACAAAUGGUACACGCUAGGAUGCAUAACCUUUUACAACACUGUCGGAUAACCGUAACUAUUCUCAAAAGCUCUUUUGUAAGUUCCCAGAAGUAAGGUUGUACAUAUAAAAAUAAUGAUAUAUUUCUAAUUUUUCAAACAACAUCAAAUAUGUCAUAACUGAAGUGAACAAGUCUAACCAAGGAUCCUACCUUAUCAAGAAGAUAUAAGAGGAUCGGUACAUCCGAUCCACCACUAGAAAUCCACCCAUAGAUGUAGAAAAAUACACGAGUAUAUGGAACGAAUCACACUCUAAACCUUUUUUUUUAAACGAAGUAGGUGGUUACAUAAAAAUGUACAAAAUCGAGGCCGGAUAUCAUAAGAUACUCUUUUCAUUGUAAACAUAUCAAACAAUUAUAGUUAAAUGACUCAAUAUCAGAUUUUUUUUAGCUGCCCACAUUCAACUAGCCUGAUAUCAUUACAAUCUUACACAUACUCGAUUGUCAAACUCCACAUACUUCUCACAAUAUUCCAUCGAAGUCAACACUCUUAAUAUCAACAAACAUCAUAACCACAACAUUCAUUUACCUUACUCUCAAACUAUCACUAGUUUCAAAGUCUUCUUAGCAAAUAAAUUAUAACCUCAAAAAAUAUUGAACUAUGACUUUCUCUCUCUCUCUCUUUCCAUUUAAGUAUCACAUGAUAAAUAAGAGUCUCAUCCAAGGGUGAUACCACAAAUUUCAAUCUCCUCAAAUCCUCAUUAAAUUAUGUAAGAGGUCCACACCGUUAAACAUCAAUACGUUACCUAUCAUAAUUUGAACAAUCUAGCUCAACAUAAAUACAUAGAAUCUCUCCUACAUAGUUGUUUGUCACCCAAACAAAAACUCAAUCUUGAGAAAAGUCUAUGAUGAAUUAUUUUUUUUUUAGUAUGUUUGUACUGAACUAGUUCACAUCUCAGAAUUAUACUAAACUCAUAGGCAAAAAUUAAUUAAUCCUUCAAAUAAAAACCAAGAAUUUAUAUGAAAGAUCUUAUUACUUUUUUUUUUAAAUUAUUCCCAUGACACAAAGUUCUAAAUAUCUUGAACUCUUCAAUGCACCAAACUCAUGUUCCUUUGGUUGACUCGCUCACCAAUCUUAUUCUUUGGCCAACAACGCUAGACAUUUUUACCUUGUACACAAAACAAAAUCUUGAAAUGAAACCCUUCCUUAGGUAUUUUGAAAGUCAAGAUAACACACUUUAUGACUCAAAACAUAUACCAAAUUUCCAAAUGCUCAACAUUCACUAUGAUCGAUCAUUUCUUACCUUACCAAUCCACACCUUGAAAAAACAUACUACCAAAAACAUAAAAUCACCAUGAAAAACUUAAAUUUUUAUCCCAACCAUGUGACAUGAUUCUAUUAUCAAUCAAGAUUUGCUCAUACAUUGGAGAUCUUUAUGAAUCCACGUAUCUUAACCUAUCAUUUAUUGCCUCUUCAUUGAUCUUACCAUAUCCUUCUUUAAAAAUUCAACCGUACCAGUUAUCAAACUCAAAAUCAUAAGAUGUUAUCUCCACCCUCGAGUCAAACAUGUAUAGACUUCUUUCUCAAGGCUUACCAAUUGUUUUUAGCCAAUCUGAUGAACUUGUAACACUAUUAUCAUAAGUAGAGCAAAAUAGAUGAAAACAAUGUGUAUCAUAACCCAAUUAUCAACCUCUCUGAAAAUACCUCCUUAGCCCUUGCAAUCAGAAUAAAAUACUUUUGUUCUCACCUCUUUCCGAAGGUUAAAUUACAUCUUACUAAUUCUUUGCAUUUAUGACUUUAAAUUCCUUUCUAUUUUGUUCAAGCGAUGCCUCAACAACUCCUAUAACUUUUCAUGCCAUCAAGAUGCUCACCAAAUAGUAUCAAACCACAACCUUAACUACUCGCAAGUCACUAUUAUAAUACAAAAUUCAUUUAACCAAUAAUUUUUAUUAAAUAGAUGCAUCUCAAUCACAAUCCAUAACGAACUCUUAUUACCAUCAUUCUCAAUUAGCUCUUAUCAUCAUCAUGAAGCCAACAUUUUCAUUAAUGUGACACCUCAAACUCGGUUAUAUUCAUCAAAUCCAAAGGACUAUCCCACUUUUAUAUGCACUUCUUACAAAAAUCUUCAAUUACCUUUACACAAGUAUAUUCUUUGGGACUGUCUUUAUCCAUAAGCUCGAAAUUUUGGUAUCUAUCUAUUCCAUUGGACCUUAAAAAGAAAUCACCGUCCUCAUUUAGGAUUCUUUGAAUACGCUUUUAAUCUUAAAGCAUUAAUAUCGUAUCAACGAUCCACCACUAAAUGCUUCCUUAUAAAUAAUGCUUAACUCAUUCGUGUGUAUUAACAAGCUAUUUGGUUUCUCAAAUCUGAAUACAACAUUGAAUCUUAUUAUAUGAACAUGUGAUUCAAUUGAUAACUCUUUAAGUGGUUUGUAAUCGCACUUGACAUCAACAUAUCCAUUUUCAUGUACCAUUAGUAUCACCUUAUGAAAUCUGUUAAAUCCACCACUAGGACACAUCAUACCUAUCGAGAAUAUUGUACCCAAAUAACCUACACAUUUCUGUCUCAUUAAGAAACUAACAUACACUAUCAAAUCUUUUCGGCCUAUCAUCCAAAGCGAUUUGCAUCCCUUUGUAGAUCAGGUCAAUAACAAAAGUAACACACUCCAUAACUCUAACAAAGUAAGCAUCAAUAUUGUUAUGGUACAAAUUCUAACCUUAAUUGAUGUAUAAUUAUUAUCAUCAUUUUCGAAGCAACUCAUUCAUGUUAUGAUAACUUUAGUAAUUACAGUUUACAAAAUCACAUGUCCAUUAUCAAGCUCUCCCUUUAAUCAUUUAACUUUCAAUAUUUAAACCACUCUAAUUAUUUUACAUACCACACAAGAACUAUUAACUUUACAAGGGUAACUAAUCUCACACAGCCCAUUGAAAUUGUUGAACUUUUUAAAUCUAACCACACAUUUUUUUUUCACAAGUAUAUCAUUUUCACCUUAAUACCAGAGCUAACAUCAAAUCAAUACACGACAUGCCAAUGAUUCACAAAAGGAACUACGCACGAGUCAUCACAUAAAUUAGAGCGAAUGGAGUGAAGCGAUAAGAAUCAAAAUCGGACCAAGUACGCACAAUAGAGAUUCAAGAAAUGAAAAUGUUUCCUAAAAGUCACUACAGCCUCUCGAAGAUAGGUACAGACGUCUCCGUACCGAUCAUCGAGACUCUAUUUAGACUCGACUUGUACACACGUGAGACCUAUGAACCUAGGGCUCUGGUAUCAUUUUGUCACGACCCAAAAAUGGACGUGAUGGCACUCGUCUUAUCCCACCAAGACAAGUAAGCCUAAAACUCAACUAUUACAAUAAAAAUGCGGAAAAUUUACUAUCAACUUACAGUAUACCCCAAAAUCUGGUUGUCACGUGUACAAGCCUCUAAAGUAUUACAAUCGGAUCAAAAGAAAACAUAAGUCUCAUAUGAUAUUGUUUCUAGAGUAGAACAAAAUCAUAAGAAAGAGUAAGGAGGGAUGCUGAGAUGACCAACAACUACCUCACAAAAUCUCCAGGAAGCAUCGGAAAAGAAGAGAAUAUAUCAUAAAGUCCGGGCUAGUAACCUACAAAAAUUUAUAGAAGCAAGGGGUGAGUACCAAACCACACGGUACUCAGCAAGUAAACCUCUAAACACAAGCUAAGGGGAUGAAAUACGGGUACUCCUACCACCCCCAACCGAACCUCCACAACUACAACCUACAUAAACAUCAGCCCAACCUAACAACUCACAGUUUACAUAGAACGUAACUCAACAAAAACAUUUAGAAAAAUUACAUAUCCUCCACAACAACACUUUAACAAAUUACAUAUCCUCAACAUCAACACUUAAACAAAUUAGAUAUCCUCAAUAGCAACACUUCCAAAAAUUUACAUAUCCUCAAUAACACACUUCAACAAAUCACAUAUCCUCAACAACAAAACUUUAACAAAUUAUAUAUCCUCAAUAACAAGCUCAGUAUUCAACAAUCAAAAGUUCCGCAAAAAGGCAACAGUAGAUCAGCAAAACACAAUAUCAAGUUCACUAAUGAUAAGUAUGUGCAAUGUAAUGGAAUGCAAUGUCAAGUAUAAUGAUGCAUGUCUGACCUAGUGAUACACACCCGCUGUCUCUCAGUCUGGGACCCAUGGGGGACAUAUCUGUCCAUGCAUCUAUCGCGGCGCACGACACGACCCUCGAUAAUAGUAACCAUCGCGGCGCGUGAUACGUCCCUCGAAAUAUAGUAUUCAUCGCGGCGAGCGAUACGUCCCUCGAAAUAUAGUAUCCAUCGCGGCGCGCGAUACGUCCCUCGAAAUGGUACAUCCUCUUAAGUACCCAUUCUUUCUCAAUGCACAUAACACUUGUCACAACCAAUGCCUCAGAAUAAUGCAGAUGACAAGUUCACACAUAUAAUGAGGAGAUGACCAUUUUCAUAACAUCACACAGUUCACAACCACACAAAUAUGAAGUUACAUCAACAAUGAUUCAACAAGCCUUCAACCCUUUCUCAACACAACAGACAUAAACAAUUAAUCACAUUGUCUUUCGUUAUCCCCAUUCUUUUCAUCAUUAGAAUUAAUCAAUGUGGACAAGUCAACCCAUCAUCAAUCCCGUUACUCCUAACAUAUACCACAAGGACAUACACACAUUUCAUACACUUAACAAGAGUUUAGAAAUCCACUUGCCUCAAAUAGUCUAACAAUGACUCCAAAACUUGAGCCUUCCUCUUUUUGUUGACUUCCAAACCAAUAAAAUCUAUUCAAAUAAAUAACCACGAUAUGAUUUCGAAACUAACAACAUUAAUAUUGCUAUAUCUCUAUCUUAGACCCAAAAUUCAUCCAAAUUUAUAAUAAAAUUUCUAAAUCUUUAUUCCAACCAAUUGAUCAAAUCUCAUAUUUUCUGAAUUUCAAGUUUAGGGUUAAAUCUUAAUUCUCCGAAUAACAUAAUUAUAAUGAUUUUUAUAUAUCAUAAUGCACCCACUAGUUAACACAUAUCUCAAUAUAUUAAAACUUGAAUCCUAAUAUGAUAAUCAAAUGAAAAUAAUUAAAGCUGAAACUAACUGCCCAACACAUCAAUGGCGGACUACAAAACUAUCUGCUGAAACCACUUAUUUUCAAUGUUUCAAUUCAUAUUUAUCAUUCCACUAAUAAUCCUAAUCUUGGAGUAAUCAUUGUCCAAUGAUUAGGACUAAUCAUUGUCCAAUGAUUGAACCAUAAUACUUAUACACAUUUAUAACCCCAAGUUCACAUAUUAGUAUAAAUUAUACACAUUUUAACCUAAAAAUCUACUUUUAAUUACAUAAAAACUUAAUAGAAAGGAUGAAAAUAAUUACCUUGACGCCUUGAGAUGAAAAUAUUGAUUUUUCUCCUCCCUUUUCCCUUUUCUUUUCCCCCUUUCUUUUCUUUUCUUCUCUGUUCUUCUUCAAAUCGUUCUUUUUUUUUUCUCAUAUAAGCCGUCAGGCUUUUAUAAGUGUAGGGCACUUUGCCCCUUUUCUUUUUAUUUUAUUUUAUUUAUUUAAUUAAUUAAUUUCCUUUUCUUUCUUUUUUUCUUUUUUUUCUUUUUCAUUAUUAUUAGAAAUAAAAUAAUCUUUUACUAAAUCUAAAAUCAUGUCACUCAUUGUUACAAGUCAUAUAAAUUAUUUAUAAAAUCUACUAAAAAGGUUAAUAUAAGAAUAAUAGUUGGAAUUUCUAAAACGACUAAGAGGGUCGUUACAUUACAUUGAAAAACAAAAAAUAAAAUAUAACAAUUUAAGAUAAUUUUAGAAAAACAUAUUUUAAAAAAUGAUAAAAUUUGAAUGACUCCCUUAUUUUUGUCGAAACAAAAAAAAAGUUGCAUAUAUUGUUUGAAAAUAACGUAAGAACUAAAAAGUACUAUCAAUUACAGUAAAAUGACAACUAAAAAUAUGUGAGAAUCAUAUAAGAAAUUUCAUUGACUUUUCUAAUAUCACUUGUAUUAAAUAAAAUAAAACAGAUAUAGUAACAUGUAUUAUUCGAAAAUGACAUAAAAGGUACAUAAAUUCAUAAUUUCAAAUAUUUUUUAUAAAUAUACAUGUAAAAAAUUUAGUUCACUUUUUCAAAUUUCAUUUGUGUCACAUAAAUUGAGAAAAAGAAGAAGCUAAGAUACGUUAGGCCUACGCACCUGAUAUCUAGUAUAUAUAUAUAUGUACACACACCCAUUCUUAGUCUUGAAGAUUUUCAUUCUUGAUUUUUGAGUGAAUUAGGUGUGAAUACUAAUAUUCAUAUCAUCAUCCACUAGCUUUAUUUUCUCUUUUUAAAUAUCAAAUUGAAAAUACUGUUGUUUAGGCAUCGACUAUUUUUAUGAGAUUUUUCGUAUUUCUCUUCUUCUUUUUCUUUCAGAAUUAAGUUCUUAGUUUUUCUUACCAAAAUUUUCAACUAAGACACUGACAUUGAAGUUAUUGAUGUAAUAUUUUAAUAAUUGAUAUAUGAUCAUAAACAUAUUUAAUUAUUGUUGAAGAGAGAGUUGGGCUAUAUGAACUGUGCUUUUUCUUGCUAAAUUUUCUUCGAUCUAUUAAAUCUUUUAUGAGAAAAGUUUUGAAUCUCAAUUUAUAAUUAUAAUUUCAUGUAAAUAUAGAAAUUUGUUCAUAUUAAAUUCAAACACAACAUUAAAUUUAUUUCUGAUUUAGUUAAUUUUGAGUUUCUUACUAAAAGACCACAAGUGAAUAAGGAAAAAAUAUUAGUGUUUUUUUUGUUUUAUUUUUAUUUUUAUUUUUCAAAGAAGAAAACUCAAAAUACUAGUUAUAACCUUUAUUCCUCAUUUUUCAAGAAUGAAGUCCUAAUCUACAUUAAUUUUUUUUUGAUAAUUGGUUGAUAAUAGUACAUAAUACCAGUUGCGUUGGAACAAUUUCUUCGUAUCGUUUAAGCCAAAAAAAAUCACUUGUUUUAAUAAAUAAUUAUCUUGAUAAAUAGGAAAACCAAAUGUAAAAGCGGCGCCGUAAAAAAGAAAAUUCAUUCUAUUUAUAUAAUGAGAUAGAUGAAGGGAAAAAUCAGGAGACUGUGAAAUUUUGCACCUUCAUUUUAGGGGACACAGUCUCAACCUUUGCUGGUACAAUGAUCUCAAUUUCUCUUGUAUCACAUUUGAAUUGGAAUGACCAACCUAUUACGCCAACUGAUAUUUAUUCAAGUAAACUUCUAGUUUACUAUUUGCAUGUUAUUCCAUCACCAUGCUCGUAUUUGUCUACAACAAACAACGGGAAAAAAAAUGAAUAAUCUUAUACGUAAAUAUUUAUUACCCACUUUGAUUCUAGUAAUUGAAGAUAUGAAAUCUUCCCAUAAUUUAUUGUCUCAAUAUAAUAAUUUGUUUUUGAUUCUUCUUAAACUUAAAAAUUUUCUUUUGAGACUUAAUACAACCCCAAUAUUAUGAAUAAUUUUAUUCCUCCAAAUAGUAACAAUAAGCCUUUUCGAAAUUAUGAAUUAAUUUUGUGUACUACCAUAAUUUUCACAAUGUCAUUCUUAUGGUGACCAUCUCCUUCAAGGAGAAAAUUUUUAUUAUUGUCAUGAUUAAAAUUAUUACAUUCAAGACUUAUUUUUUGAUAACCAAUGACAAAUUUGUGUUGCCACACAAUAACAUUUAUUUUGAUCAUGGCCACAACCUUUACAGAAAAGAUUUAUUAUUUCUUUUGUCUCAUUUUAAAAUAUACCACAAUAUUUGUGUAGUAUUCAAAGUAUAUAUAUGACCAAAAUGACUAUUUAUGUCAAAAGAUUUUCUUUCAUCUCUCAAAACCUCCCGUAGAGGUGAGAUGCGACAUCCAUCCAACAAUACAUGAACAUGCUUUUAUCCAUACGAAAACAAGUCACAUUUUCUUUAAAAAAUGGACCAUAAUCAUUUGUACAUGUUCCAUAAGUUUUUAUUAGAGACUCAUUAAUGUUUUGACAUUAUGUAUAUGUAACAUUACGGAAAAUUACAUGUCUAGUGAAGAGCCCAAUAGGGGAUACAUAGACAUUCCAAUGCCCAAUAUUGAGAAAUAUAAGGCAUAAUAUAGAAAAUUGGCUAAGGGGUAUUAGCAAUUUAUAUGAUCCAAUUGGUGAUGUUGAUCUACAACUUCAGUUUCCUGUUGUUCAGUUUUUCCUUGUUGGAUUAGUUCAUGGUUUUGUUUGUUUUAAUUACUUUUUCGAUAGUGUUGACAGUAUUUACAUCCUCAAUCCAACAACAAGAGAAUAUAUCGUCCUUCCUGAGCCACAACGGGUAAGAAAGUGGCCUAAUAUAGUAAGGUAUGGCUUCGGUUUUGAUCCUGUUAAGUUAGAGUACAAAGUGGUUAGAAUCUAUCAAGGGGAAAUUCGCGAUGAUGAUACUAAUGGUCUGAAGUUAUGUUCUGGUUGUUGGAAAAUAGCAUACACAGCGGAAUCAUUCCAGAAUCAUACAUCUUGCAUGAAUAUAAAUAACAAUCACAAAUAGUUAUCACAUACAAAGUAUGCUGAAAAUUAACUCAGGAUUACCUCUUGAAGCGUGUGCAGAUAUCUUGAAGUAAAUCCAACUCCAGUUCUAUUGUCUUCUACAGUGAUCCCAAUCAACAACUGAACUCUCUCAAUACUUGGGUGGGCAAGUAUUGUAUAGAAUUCUCUUAUUGAAUCUAGGUUAGAAAAAUCCCUAUUUAUAGAGAUGUCUUCCUAGUCCAAAGAGGAGAGGAAAAACCAAUUCUUUUUCUUUUAGGAGAUGUCUUCCUAGUCCAAAGAGGAGAGGAAAAAUCAAUUCUUUUUCUUUUAGGAGAACUUGAAAACACACGUUUUCCUCCAAAGAAAAAGAACGCUACUUUUCCAUCUUCUACUAGAAAAUAGGAUUCUGAGUUCUAGUUAAAUUGGGCACUGGAGGGACCACAUAAUUUAUUACUGAGGCUUCCUAUUAUGGAAAUAAUUCUAAAUAAUUAAUUUAAAUUAUUCUUACCAUAAUAAAUUACAAAUCAUUCCACUAAAAAUUUGUAAUUGAACUCCUCUAUUUAUUUCGAAAUUCACCACUAAACACUUAUUUGAUUCCCCAUGUUAAGAUUACCGAUACUAAUCAAUAAAUUAAAUUACUAACUAAUUUAAUUCAAUGAUUAAAUUCUUUUAGAGCAAUACUUAACUUAUUUCAUGUGCCAGAUUCAUAAAUCUACCGGCCGGGUUUACACAUGAAAACUUACAAGCUUCUCAUAAAAGGUGUAUCAUCAAUCUCUAUACUGAGACAUGGAUUUCAUCAACUAACUAAUUAUUUCACCAAUAUAUAUUAUUAUCAUCCAAUUUACCAGGCAUAUUGACCCAUCUCAGAAUCUCACCUUUUAAUAAAUCAAAAUGAUAAAUAAUAUAUACAGAUCAUAAUCGUUAUAUCAAGAUUAAGAAUAUAAGUGCAUUUAAUAGUUUAGAGAAUAUGUUUUUAUCAAUCAGUCUAAAAGAACUAUCUCUGCUUGGUCCCGUUCAAUACAUACCAAAUGCACUAGCACGAGAAGUUAGAAUUAUGCCAUUCUCAUAAUCAAGAUAAAUUACAUUUAAUCUCGUGCUACAAUCUUUCUGAUGAUUUUGUCCAAAUUUCCAUCUAUGAUUGUGAACUAUAAAUUUUAACUUAUAAGAACUGAUGAUUUAAUCUUCUGUGUAUAAGUUUAAACUCUAUACACCAAAUCAUCUACUAUAUAAGUUAAGGACACAUACAUGACAAUUGAUCUAUUUAAUGUAACACUUUAUUGAAUUAAAUAAAUAAAUAAACAAUUGUUCAAUAUUAAUACUACAUCAAAACGCAUGGUUAAUAGUAUAUCCUAACAAUCUCCCACUUAGACUCAUAACCAUGCACCUACAACUCUUACACCCAUUCCUCUUUUUGUACACACAAGACUCAUCAAGACAUUGCCCAAAACCAAAAGACUUGACUGCAGUGUCGAAGCAAGUGUUCCAUGCCCUAGAAGCUUGCUUUAAUCCAUAAAUAGAUCUUUUAAGCUUGCACAACAUGUGUUCUUUUCCUUUUUCUAUGAAACCAUCUGGUUGUCGCAUAAAUAUGCUUUCAUCAAGACUUCCAUUAAGGAAAGCUGUCUUGAUAUCCAUUUGCCAAAUCUCAUAAUCAUAAUGAGCAGCAAUGGAUAAGAGAAUUCUAAUAGACUUAAGCAUGACUACUGGCGAAAAAGUUACCCUUUUGCAACAAGUAUAGCUUUGUAAGUUUGCACUUGUCCAUCUACUCCUCUCUUUUUCUUAUAUAUCCACUUGAAUCCAAUGGGUUUUACUCCAUCUACAAGUGGUUAUACAAGAUCCCAGACUUUGUUAGAGUACAUAGAAUCCAUUUCUGAUUUCAUAGCAACAAUCCAUUUUUCUGCAUCUUUAUCUUGUAGUGCUUCGUCGUAAUUCACAGGUUCGGUAUUUGACUCUUCAGGGAUUCUGUCAAAAGACUCUCCCAAGAGUGCAUACCGAAUGGUUUUCUUAUCACUCUCCCACUACGACGAGACACUACAGUUGCAGGGGUAGGUUCAGAGAGAUUUGCAUUAUUAUGAUCUUGUGGUGGAACCACAUCAUUUUUAGGAUCUUGAGUUUCCAUGUUAUCUUCAGUAUCUUGCGGUGCAGAGAUAUCAACAACUUCUUCCUCUAAUGCAAUCUGCUCACUAUCACUCCCACUACCUUGAUGCAAUGAAUUUUCAAGAUCUUGUACUUGCAGAAUUAUAUGUUUGUUAACAUCUCUCCCACUAUUAUAAUGCAAUGGUAUGUUAACUCUAACAUGUGGGGUUUGAAUUUGGUUUUCAUUAUUUUCAGUAGAUUGAUUUGUUUUCUCUUUGCUCAAUUCCUGUAAAACUAGUUUACUUCUAGGAAUAUGGUUUGUUAAAAAAUCCGUUUCCAGAAACUUGGCAUUGGUAGACACAAUGACCUUCUUUUCUUUAGGAUUAUAAAACAUACCACCUUUCGUUCCUUUAGGGUAUCCAAUAAAAACACAUACUUCUGUUUUAGGUUCCAAUUUUUCUGCCUUCCCUUUUAAUACAUGUGCUGGACAUCCCCAAACCCGAAUAUGUCUCAAACUAGGUUUAUGCCCAGUCCACAGUUCAAUGGGUGUCAAAGGAACAGAUUUAGAAGGAACUAAGUUUAGAAUGUAAUUUGCAGUUUCUAUGGCAUAUCCCCAAAACGAAUGCGGCAUAUCAGAGUAACUCAUCAUUGAUCUAACCAUUUCUAAAAGAGUUCUAUUUCUUCUUUCUGCUACACCAUUUUGUUGUGGCGUUCUAGGUGCAGACAUUUGAGAUGUAAUUCCUUGUUCUAAUAAGUAACUAAUUAAAUCAUUAGAGAGGUACUCGCCACCACGAUCAGAUUGCAAUGACUUGAUAUAUAUUCCAUGUCGUUUCUGUAUUUCAACCUUAAACUCUUUGAAUUUAUCAAAGCAUUCAGACUUACGGCGCAACAAAUAUAUAUAUCCAUAUUUUGAGUAGUCAUCAAUGAAGGUCACGAAGUACUCAUACCCACCUCUUACUUGAAUGUUCAUUGGGCCACACAAAUCUGAAUGAAUUAACUCUAGUUAAUCAUUGACUCUAUUUCCUUUUGAGGGAAAAGGUCUCUUAGUCAUUUUUCUUCUAAACAAGAUUCACAUGUUGGUAGUGCCUCCACUUUUAAUGAACCUAAAGGUCCAUCUCGAACCAACCUUGAAAUCCUAUCUAGAUUUAUAUGACAUAGACGCAAGUGCCAUAGAUAAGUCUCAUUAAAAUCAGAAGAACAUUUUCUUUGACUUGAAAGGUUAACAUUAUUCAAUUCUACGAAUUGUUGCAGUAUUGGAGAGCCAUUAAUAAUAAAAAGACCAUCAAUCAAUGUACCAGCAGAGACAAAAUGUUUAUUAUAACUAAUAACACAACCGUUAUCAGAAAAACUAACAUCAUAACCAUCUCUCAAAACUUUAGAAACUUAAAUCAAAUUUCUUCUAACAGCAAGUGCAUAUAGAAAGUCUUUUAAAAUUAAAACUCUACAACUAUCAGACGAAAAAAUAAUAUUUCCUAAUGCUAAAACUGGAGCUGCAGAGCCAUCUGCUUGAAAAACGCUAACUUCACCUCUAAUCAGCUUGCGCGUUUCUUGAAACCCCUGCAUAGUAGUGCAAAUAUGAUCAGUGGCUCCUGAAUCUACACACCAUGAAGUGGUAGAAACAGCCGCUAAAAAUGUUUCAACGACAAGUGAAAGUGAGUUACCUGGUUUGUUUUUCUUCUUGGCUAAGAAAAUUGGACAAUGUGCCUUCCAAUGACCUGACAUCUUGCAAUGAAAACACUUACCCUUAGACUUUUUCACUCCCCCAGUUGGAGGUGCAGUUGCCUUAUCUUUGUGAGACUUUUUCUUCUUCUGUCCACCUUGCGGUUUAGAAGUAGAACCUUUCUCAACAUUAAGUGUCAUUGAUGGUGCAUGUUUUUUUUGACUAGGGUCUCUGUCGCCUGUAGCUCAUUCAACAAUUGUGCCAAAGAUAAACUCAUCUUAUUCAUAUUAUAAUUUAGGUAAAAUUGUUGAAAACUAUCAGGCAGAGACUACAAUAUCAUCUCAACUUGGGAGUCAUUGUCAAUUUCAGCACCCAAAACCUCUAGUUCAUUCAGAAGACUUAUCAUCUUCAGAACAUGGUCUCUUACAGGAGUGCCUUCAACCAUCUUAGUGUUCAUGAGAGUUCUCAUGGCAGUCUGCUUAGCUGAUCGACCCUGGUCUCCAAACAUUUGUUUGAGAUUCUCCAGAAUUUCAUAAGCAGACAACAUAGCUUGAUGUUGAUGUUGCAAAACAUUUGACAUUGAAGCCAUAAUGUAACAUCGCGCCAUCUCAUCAGCUUUGCGCCAUUUCUGAUAAGCUAACUUAUCCUCAUCACUAGACUGAUCAUUUGGUUUCAAUGGACAUUCCUCAUGAAUCACAAACUUAUAUUCUUCAGCAGUUAACACAAUGUCAAGAUUUCUCCUCCAGUCAACAUAGUUAGAACCCUCUAGUUUGUUUUGACCCAAAAUAGUACUAAUGGGAUUAAAAGGAGACAUGUUGAAUCUGAGAUUGAAGAAAUAGUUACAAUAGAUCAAUAACAUAGUAAUAUAACAUUGAAUAUUUACAUUCAAACUCAUGAUAUACAUAUACAUUCAUGCAUCUUAAAUAGCCAAUCGUUGGGAUUGGAGAACUAUUCAUACAAUAUACAUAUAUAAUGACCGAUUAUUCAAUUUAUAAACUUAUACAUACCUAACUCAGUUGGAGAGUCUACUGUUACUUUAAGUCAAGGGAAAAUCCUCUAGUUGCAUUGAUCCAAUCAUAUAUUACUCAGUUUAGGAGAGUUAAUACAAAUAGUCAAACUAGCGAUUAAAUACGUAAUGACUUGUAUUAAAUUCAUCCAAUGGGGAGGAAGGUCUAAGCCAACACAUAAACUUAAUACUUCAUUAAUAUUUAAUCUUGGUAAAAAAUCUACUCAUCACCAUUUAUUUUCUUCCAAAUUUCAUACAAAAAAAUUUUCAGAAAGAAAAUAUACGCACACCAAAUUUUCGUACAUUCCAUGUACCAUCUCAUAUAUAUUCAAUAAUACACCUUUUGAUUAAAAAAAUUAUGGCUGCCUAUAAUGCGAACAAGAAAACUACAGCCAUACUAUUCUGUUUUAGUCGUACAAAAUCAAAAGUUUCUCUCUAUAUUAAAACAUGUGAGCCAAAAACAAAAAAAAUUAACCUUUUUUUUUAUUAUAUCAAAAAACAUCCAGCCACAUAAUUUAAUUCUUUUUUAUCAUAUCAAAAACAACCACAUAAUCGAGACAUAAAUCACACAUGCAAUCAUGUAUUGCUUCCAUGGCGUGGUAUGCUUCUCUUUGGCCUUGCCAUAACACAAAUCUGAUAUAUACAAUUGCACAUAAGUGCUUCCACAAGACAACAAUAAAAAAAAUUGAUCGGUGCAGCUAUCAAAAUUUCUCUUGAAAUUAUCCAUCGAAGAACACCGUGCAUGACAAUAUGAAAAUAUUAUCAAAUCUUACAAAUCAAUUUUCAUAAGUAACUAUUACCGUAUGCAUUUAACAAAAACAAAUCAAAUCAAGUUUUUAUCCAAUCUGUCCUUUUCGUGAUAAAACAAAAUUCACAACCACGAAUCAUACGUAUAAUUUCACAUAUGCAUAUUUUAGGUUAUGUAUAAAGAUGCAAGUAUGGCUCUGAUACCAAUUGUUGGAAAAUAGCAUACACAGUGGAAGCAUUCCAGAAUCAUACAUCUUGCAUGAAUAUAAAUAACAAUCACAAAUAGUUAUCACAUACAAAGUAUGCUGAAAAUUAACUCAGGAUUACCUCUUGAAGCGUGUGCAGAUAUCUUGAAGUAAAUCCAACUCCUGUUCUAUAGUCUUCUAUAGUGAUCCCAAUCAACAACUGAACUCUCUCAAUACUUGGGUGGGAAAGUAUUGUAUAGAAUUCUCUUAUUGAAUCUAGGUUAGAAAAAUCCCUAUUUAUAGAGAUGUCUUCCUAGUCCAAAGAGGAGAGGAAAAACCAAUUCUUUUUCUUUUAGGAGAUGUCUUCCUAGUCCAAAGAGGAGAGGAAAAAACCAAUUCUUUUUCUUUUAGGAGAACUUGAAAACACACUUUUUCCUCCAAAGAAAAAGAACGCUACUUUUCCAUCUUCUACUAGAAAAUAGGAUUCUGAGUUCUAGUUAAAUUGGGCACUUGAGGGACCACAUAAUUAUUACUGAGGCUUCCUAUUAUGGAAAUAAUUCUAAAUAAUUAAUUUAAAUUAUUCUUACCAUAAUAAAUUACAAAUCAUUCCACCAAAAAUUCGUAAUUGAACUCCUCUAUUUAUUUUGAAAUUCACCACUAAACACUUAUUUGAUUCCCCAUGUUAAGAUUACCGAUACUAAUCAAUAAAUUAAAUUACUGACGAAUUUAAUUCAAUGAUUAAAUUCUUUUAGAGCAAUACUUAACUUAUUUCAUGUGCCAGAUUCAUAAAUCUACCGGCCGGGUUUACACAUGAAAACUUACAAGCUUCUCAUAAAAGGUGUAUCAUCAAUCUCUAUACUGAGACAUGAAUUCCAUCAACUAACUAAUUAUUUCACCAAUAUAUAUUAUUAUCAUCCAAUUUACCAGGCAUAUUGACUCAUCUCAGAAUCUCACCUUUUAAUAAAUCAAAAUGAUAAAUAAUAUAUACAGAUCAUAAUCGCUAUAUCAAGAUUAGGAAUAUAAGUACAUUUAAUAGUUUAGAGAAUAUGUUUUUAUCAAUCAGUCUAAAACAACUAUCUCUGCUUGGUCCCGUUCAAUACAUACCAAAUGCACUAGCACGAGAAGUUAGAACUAUGCCAUUCUCAUAAUCAAGAUAAAUUACAUUUAAUCUCGUGCUACAAUCUUUCUGAUGAUUUUGUCCAAAUUUCCAUCUAUGAUUGUGAACUAUAAAUUUUAACUUAUAAGAACUGAUGAUUUAAUCUUCUGUGUAUAAGCUUAAACUCUAUACACCAAAUCAUCUACUAUAUAAGUUAAGGACACAUAUAUGACAAUUGAUCUAUUUAAUGUAAGACUUUAUUGAAUUGAAUAAAUAAAUAAACAAUUGUUCAAUAUUAAUACUAUAUCAAAACGCAUGGUUAAUAGUAUAUCGUAACACUGGUUUGGAUGUUGGGUACAGGGGUGAAUUUAUAUGGAAAGAUUCAUUGGUUGGUUUCUGAUGCUAAUCGAAAUGAGUUAUCAAACUCUUUAUCUCUCAAGAAUUUUGAAGCAGAGGUAGUAAAUGUCUUUUAGAUAUCUUGUACUGCUAGAGUAUUUUAUAUUUUUAGGUUUGUGUUUUAUAUCCUUGGCUAACAAUAACAUACCAUCAUGUUAUUUGAGGGGAAAGUUGUUUGUACAAAUCUGCAAGUAAUCUGCGUGGACAAUUUGAGCAACAUUGAAAAAAGAGUUGAAAUUUUCAGAAAAUAACAAAGUAAUGCUGAGAGAGAAAUAUUGCAAUGUAAUCAAAGGAGAAUAUUAAAAAGUUAAUGUAAUGAAUGAGUUUUGUUUGUAAGUUGCUAAUAUUCCUUAUUUGGUACUCUUGUUACUUUAGAUUACAAAAAUUACCAAAUAUAUCAUUGACUUUUUAGAGAAUAAAAAACUGAACGAAAUGUCUAUUGGUGCCACUUUCGAAAGAUGAGUUUGGAUCUAACUCAAUUUCAAAAUUAGCUGAUGAAUCUUGAGAAUUACUUAAUCUCAAAAACUAUUUGUAAAUAAUUCUGUUGAUUUAUAUGACCGGCACUAAAUCAAAGUGCACGUUGUUGCCUGUUAUGAAGAUAGAUUUUGGGUAUAACUCAACCUUAAAAGUAAAAAAUAACUUUUCAAAAUUCUCGAAACUCCUAAUGGAAGGAUGGACAAUAUACCAUGGGACUCAACAAUAAAUUGAAAUUACUAUAACUAACUCUCAUACCAAAUAAAUAUAUAGUGCGGAAAACUCAAAUUCAAAUACUAACUCACAAAGAGAAAAAAUAUUCAAAUCCAUCUAACAAGAUCAAUUUUUCAGUCCUCCUUAGGGUGUUAAACUUCUUUAACACCACUUACCUCAAAAAUCAGUAAAAUUAAUAAUGGGGGACAAGUUCUCAUAUCCCACAUGUUGUUCACUGAAUCAGACAAAUAGCUUUGAAAUGUAUUAGGAUGAAUUGGAUUGGAAAUAUCGGAACGAAUAUUCGAUUUUGUUCUAUCGUUCCCAUUAUAUAUCAGAAUGGAAUUGGAAUGAAUCGAAAUGGAACGGGAUGAGAUAAACGGAACGUCACUUUUAGUUAUUUCAAAAUCGAUUAAAAAUUUUAUUUUAGUUAUUUUAAUUUUUUGAAAUACGAAAAUAUGAAUACUUUUUAUUUUUCUAAGUUUAAAUUAUUAGUUUUUAAAUUUAUAACGUAAUUUUUUACUUAAGUUUAUUUUAAAGAUAGUUUUUUUAAAAUUUUUACUUAUUAAGUUUACAAGUUAAGUUAUAAGUUUUCAAGAUUUGAAUCUUUUGAAGUUUAUAAGCUAUUACCUGUUAAUAUAUUAUAACUUAUAGGUUAUAUUUCUAAUUUGUGAUUUAAAUAACUUAAAUUUGUAAUUUUAAAAAAAUUAAAUAAAUAUAAGAAUAAAAGAUUACACAAACUAAAAAAUAUAAAAUAUAAACUGUAAAUAUAUAAUAUAAAUUAAUUAAUAAAUAAUAAUUAAUCGAAAACCGAACAAACACCGAACCGGACCGGCACCUAACCAUACCGGAUCGGGAUCCGAGUAAUUCGAUACGGGUACACCGGUAUCAAAUCACGAUUACAUUUCGUUUCAUGUACCGAUUCAUGGUGUCUCGUUCCGUCUCGUAGGCAAUCGAAUCGGUGCGAACUGAAACAGUAUAGAUCAGUUGCCCAGUCUUACUUAAGAGUAACUUAACAAAAAACUUUCUAUAAAUAAUUAGGUUUAUUUAUAUGACCCAUUGGUGCCAGUUAUGAAUAUGGAUUUUGGAUAUAACUCAAUCUCAAAAAUAAGAAUAAUUUUUCAAAAAUCUGAAGUAUACCUUAAUGGGAGCAUGCACAAUAUACCAUGGAGUUCAAUAAUAAAUCAAAUCGACUUUAACAGCCUUUGAUACCAAGUAAAUAUAUAGAAAAAGAAAAUUUAUCUAAAUACUCUCUCUAUCCCUAUUUACUUGUCCAUAUUUCCUCUUUAAAUGUCCCUAGUUACUUGUCCAUUUUAACAAAUCAAGAAAGGAUUAAAAAAAAUUUCUAUUAUACCCUCAUUUAAACUUCUUGAAAAUUUCUAAGUUUUAAUUCAUCCUUUUUGAAAUAAUAUUUAAUAAGGGUAAACUUAUAAUUUUACCAUGUUAAUUAUUGUUAUCUUAAUAUGUAUGUCUUUUCUAAAGUGCACAAUUAAAUAGGAACAGAGGGAGUAUCUAUAAGGAUAUUAAUUUUCUAUUUUUUUUUAUGUUGCACUUAAUUCUCAUGCCCCACAUGAUGUUCACUAAGUCAAAACAAUUGACUUUGAAAUUUGAUCCAAGUACAGAAAUUUCUCUCUUUUAGGUUUGUGAUUUUUCGACGAAAUUUUAAAAAAAAUUAAGUAGUUGUGAUUUUUCCAACUGGUAUAAGAAAGAGUUGUGGUAUAAUAAAGAGUUUGACUUUUUAGGUGUAUGAUUUCUCGGAAUGGUCAAGAAAAUACUUGUUUACGCAACUCUUUGUUGAUUAUAAGCUAAUUCAUUGGUGAUUCUUAAAAUUUACUUUAACUUUCAUUUAGAUAUUUUAAUUAAAUUUUGUUCAUUUUAUAUAUUUUAUGUAAGUUUUUGCGAUGCUAUUUUGACAUUUUUUGCUUAUAAGGCAUACUGAGUAUCAUACACAUACUUAUUACGUGUAAAAGUCUUAUUCACAAUUUUUUUAUAAGAAAUUCUCCAUUUAAAUCUAUGAUAAAAUAAAUUUAGUAACGUCACAAAUAAAAAAGUAAAUUUUAGCUCAUAAAAUUUUUCAAAAGUUUAAAUUUUAACAUCAUGAAAUAAUAAUCUAAUUAUUUUUCAUGAAUCAUAAGAUUUAAAAAAAAAUUGCACUAUUAAUCAAUAACUUAAAAGUAAAAAAGAAAAUAUUAUACUUUUGUAAGAUAAUUUUUUUCAAACUAAUUAAGUUCUUUUGAAAGUAUCUUUUGAAAAUUUGAUAUGAAUAGAAACAAGACAGAAGUUGGAGUUGGUGGGGGCGAGAAGAGGAUCUGGUGACUGGUGGGGUGCAGGAAUGAUUGCGAUUGGGGUGGAGAGGAAGAUCUGAUGGCUGGUAGGGUGGAAGAGUUGUAGGGGUUGGGGUGGGGGUGAAUGGAGAAGGAAACUGGGUCGGGUGGGGUGAAGAAGACGACGGGGUUGGGUUGGGGUAAUUACUUUAUUCUUAUUGUUUGAGUUUAAAAUGACAUAUGCCAUCAAAUAUGUGUGUGUAUGUGUUGCAUGUUUUUAUUUGAUUCAUCACUUUGACACAUCAUCAACAAUUACAUUAUACACACUUAUAUAUAUUUGGGUAAUUGUAAAAAAGAGUCAAAAUGACGAAAUAGAACCUUAUAUAAAGUGUUUAAAAUGAGCAAAGUCUACUUGUGUCUAAAUAAAAGUUAGUGUCAAUUUUUCGGGGUUAUCAAUGGGUUAGGCCUUGACUAUAAAUAGAGAAGUUUAUCUAUUCUUUUCCAUGCAUUUUAAUUUUUUUAAUUUAAUUAUGAAUAGCCAGAUAACUAUAUUUGAUUUGUGUAAAUACUAAUUUUGGACACGUGCAAUGCACGUGUAUCUCAUACUAAUUUAUAUAGAAGCAUUAGAAUUAAUAAAAUCUAUUUUCUAAUAGAACAAAGUUUUAUAAUUAAUAUAAGGAUAUUAAUUUCCUUUUUUUUUUUUUUAGUGUUGCGCUUAAUUCUCAUGUCCCACAUGAUGUUCACUGAGUCAAACAAAUAACUUUGAAAUUUUAUCCAAAUACAGAUAUUUUAUCUCAAAUAUUGCCACAUAACAUAUCUAGAGUUCCAUUAAACCACUUUAUGCCUAUAAAAAGGAAAACUCCCAAGUGAAAAAAGUUGAAAGUUAUUUUGGUUGAUAAGAACCAAAACAACUUUUCCAGCAAAGAAAAAGUUAGCCCAAAAAACCUAAAAAAGAAAGUAAAAAAAGAGCCAAAACAGAGAGUUUUAGGAAUUUUUCUUUAACAAUGGUGGUUGCCCCUCUCUUGUUUAGCCAAUGAUUUUUAUUUUUAUUUUCAGAAGCAACAAUGUCACGACCCAAAACCAAGCCGCGACUGGCACCCACACUUACCCUCCUGUGUGAGCGAACCAACCAAUCUAAACCUUAACAUUUCAGUAUAAUAUCAACAGAAAGUAAUGCGGAAGACUUAAACUCAUUAAAUAACGGCCAAUUCAUUAACUUCUAAAAUUCAACAUCUAUUAUUCCCCAAAAUCUGGAAGUCAUCACCACAAGAACAUCUAUGCUCAAAUUGCUAAAUUAAGAGUAUUCUAAGAAGCUAAAACAAAUAAAAACUAGUCCAUGCCGGAACUUCAAGGCAUCAAGACAUGAAGAGGAAGAUCCAGUCCAAGCUAGAAGCAUUAGCUCACCCUGAUAUCCGGAGUAAUGAAGACUGGCUAGAGUUACGGUUGAGUCGAAGAUGACGGCACGUUUGCUGCACUCCACAAAUAUAAACAAGAAGAAAACAUAAAAGUAGGGGUCAGUACAAAACACGGGUACUGAGUAGAUAUCAUCGGCCAACUCAAAAUAGAAAACAAUAUAUACCAAGUAAUAUCAUAAAAUCAACUAAUAUCCUUAACAUGCAGCAUUUACAGUUACCAUAACCCUUGGUUACAACACCAAGCACAUUAAUGAGGACUCACGCCUCCUCAUCAUACUCAUUUGGGAAUUAGGUUCAUUAGAUUGAAUAUAUUAUCAUCUUUCAAGAUUCAUUAUCUUUAUUCCUUUUGUGUUGGUACGUGACACCCCUCUCCUCAUAUACUAUCCUAGUGUCGGAACAUGACACUCCGAUCCUUAUUCUAUCCUGGUGUCGGAACGUGACACCCGAUCCAUAUUCUAUCCUGGUACCGGAACGUGGCACCCGAUCCAUAUACUAUCCAGGUGUCGGAACGUGACACUCCGAUCCUCAUAUACUAUCCUGGUACCGGAACAUGGCACCCGAUCCAUAUACUAUCCUGGUGUCGGAAGGUGACACUCCGAUCCUCAUAUACUAUCCUGCUACCCGAACGUGGCACCCGAUCUAUAUACUAUCCUGGUGUCGGAACGUGACAUUCCGAUCCUCAUAUACUAUCCUGGUACCGGAACGUGACACCCAAUUCCCUCAUCUCACUACUUUCGUUCAUCAAGCCUUCUUUUAUACCAAGGCAUCAUCAUUAACAAAGUAGAUUAGGGUUCUUCAAGAUUUAGGAUUCAAUAGCUUCAUCAUGCUUACUUUAUCACAAUUAUAUAAUCACAUUCAUGGAAGCAUACAAUUAAGCAUAUAGAAGGGUUUACAAUACUACCCAUACAUAUCAUUUGCUAUUAAGAAUUUACUACGAAUAGUAUAAAAACCAUAACCUACCUCCACCGAAGAUUAGAAAUCAAGAAAGCAAAUUCCCAAAGCUUUGUUCUUUUUCUCUCCCUGUUUGAUCCUCUCUCUCUUUCGAAUUUCUCUCUCUUUCUCUUGUUCUUUCUAUUCUUUUCUUAUUCAAACCCUCCUUCUUUUACCCUAAUUAACAUGUAAUUAAGUGUAAAAGAUGACAAUAAUAACCCACAAUUUAACUCAAGGUUACCUCUUUUAUCCCCUAAGUAGUUAGACUUAUUAACAUUAACCCACUAACUUUAUAAUUAAAGCAGGAAUAGUCAAAAACGUCCCUUAAAACAUAUCAAGAAAUCCGACCCAGACUGGGAUUACGCAACCUGUGAUGGCCCGUCGUGCCUGCAACAGUCCGUCCUGCAGGUCGUCGCAAGGUUCAGAGACUGGAUUUCCACUGAAGACUCUAUGACGGUCCGUCACGCCUGCCAUUCCGUCACGAAGUUCAGAGAGUCGAUUUUCAGUACCCAAUUUCAGAUUUUCUAAGUGUUUUGAAACGAGAUCCUGCGACGGUCCGUCGUGCCCAUGACGGUCCGUCGUGGGGUCCGUCGCUUCUGCCAGUUUUUCCAGAAUUGAAGUCUGCUGCUCAAAAUGACUAAACAGGUCGUUACAAUAGAUACCAAUUUACCCAUCGUUCGUCCCCGAACGAUCACAAGAAGGAAAACAAGGGCGAAAAGGAGUACCUGAAUCUGUAAACAGGUGUGGGUAUCUUUCUCGCAUAUCGACCUCCUUCUUCCAAGUUGCUUCUUCAACUGGCCGAUUCUUCCAUUGAACUUUGAUGGAUGCAAUCUCCCUUGAUCUCAACUUGCGAAUCUCUCUAUCUAGAAUGGCAACAGGCUCCUCCUCAUAAGACAAAUUCUCAUCAAGCAAAACUGAAUCCCAACGGAUAAUGUAGUUUCCAUCCCCAUGGUAUCUUUUCAACAUAGACACAUGGAAUACCGGAUGUACUCAGGACAGCCCUGGAUGCAAGGCUAACUCAUAAGCCACCUCCCCUUGAAUCGUUCGCUCAGACUGACCAUCGGUCUGAGGAUGGAACACGGUACUAAGGUCCAACCUAGUACCCAAUUCAGCAUGCAAUGUUCUCCAAAACAUGGAAGUAAACUGCGUACCUCUAUCUGAUAUGAUGGAUAGUGGAACCCCGUGCAACCGAACAAUUUCUGAGAUAUAGAUUUUGGCUAACUUCUCUGCAUUAUAAGUCACCUUGACCGGAAUGAAAUGAGCAGACUUAUUUAACCUAUCAACAAUCACCCAGAUGGAAUCGUACUUACCCAUCGUCUUUGGAAGACCAACCACGAAGUCCAUUGCGAUUCUCUCCGAUUUCCAUUCCGGAAUGGGCAUUCUCUGAAGUGUUCCUCCGAGCCUUUGGUGUUCAUACUUUACUUGUUGACAGUUUGGACAUUUGGCAAUAAAAUCCACAAUAUCACGCUUCAUUCUACUCCACCAAAAGUGUUGCUUUAGGUCACGGUACAUCUUGGUUGCACCCGGAUGUAUCGAAUACCUUGAACUAUGAGCCUCUAUCAGAAUAGUGUCGAUCAAAUCAUCGACGCGGGGUACGCAUACCCUUCCCUUGAUCCUCAAAACACCUUCCUCAUCGAUUUGUGCUUCCUUAACCUCCCCUCGCAAUACCUUAUCUUGGAUUCAGCGCAGUUUCUCAUCAUCAGACUGUCUUCCCUUAAUCUUGUCAAGAAAGGAAGAUCUUGCCUCCACAGAAGCCAACAAUCCUCCCUUCUCAUUUAAUUCUAAUAUCAUAAGGUCGUUAGCCAGAAUCUGAACUUCUCUAGCCAAUGGGCGUCUAGAAGCUUGCAAGUGAGCUAGACUCCCCAUGCUUCCCGCCUUUCUACUUAAAGAAUCCGCUACAACAUUCGCCUUCCCCGAAUGAUACAUAAUAGUGAUGUCGUAGUCCUUCAGUAGUUCCAUCCAUCUCCUCUGUCUCAAGUUCAAAUCUUUCUGAGUGAAGACAUACUGAAGGCUACGAUGAUCCGUGUAGACCUCACACUUAGCCCCAUAUAAAUAGUGUCUCCAUUGCUUUAAUGCAAACACUACUGCGGCCAAUUCCAAAACAUAAGUUGGAUAGUUACGUUCAUGCACUUUUAAUUGUCUUGAAGCAUAAGCAAUCACAUUCUUCUCUUGCAUUAGUACUGCACCCAAACCCGAAUAGGAUGCAUCACAAUAGACAGAAAUUCUUACCUUCCACUGGCAAGGUGAGAAUUGGUGCAGUAGUCAACAGAGUCUUGAGCUUCUGAAAGCUUUCCUCACACUCAUCCGACCAUACGAAUGGGACAUUUCGCUUAGUCAGGUUCGACAGUUGGGAAGCAAUAGAAGAGAAUCCCUUGACAAAUCGGCGGUAGUAGCUAGCUAACCCAACAAAGCUCCUUAUUUCUGACACAUUAGUAGGUCUUACCCAAUUCUUUACUGUCUCAAUCUUAGAAGGAUCCACCAUCACUCCAUCCUUAGAAACCACGUUCCCCAAGAAGGACACUGCAUCUAGCCAAAACUCAAACUUAGAGAACUUGGCAUAAAGCUUUUUCUCCCUCAACAUUUCAAAUACCAUUCUCAAAUGCUCCACAUGUUCCUUCUUGCUCUUUGAGUAUAUCAGUAUAUCAUCAAUAAAUACGAUCACGAAGAGGUCCAAAUAUGGCUUAAAAGUCCCGUUCAUCAAGCUCAUGAACGCAACAGGGGCAUUCGUAAGACCAAAAUACAUCACUACAAAUUCGUAAUGCCCAUACCUCGUUCGAAAAGCAGUCUUUGGCACAUUCGUUGCCCGUAUUUUCAAUUGAUGAUAACCGGAUCUCAAGUCAAUCUUAGAGAAGACACAAGCACCAUGUAACUGAUCGAACAAGUCAUCAAUGCGAGGAAGAGGAUACUUGUUCUUUAUGGUUACCUUGUUUAGUUGUCUGUAGUCUAUACACAUUCGAAAACUCCCAUCCUUCUUCUUCACAAACAAAACUGGAGCACCCCAAGGAGAUACACUUGGUCUAAUAAAGCCUUUGUUUAACAACUCUUGAAGUUGGGCUUUUAACUCUCUUAACUCCGCGGGAGCCAUUCUAUAAGGGGGUAUAGAAAUGGGGCGAGUACCCGGUUCAAGGUCAAUACAGAAAUCAAUAUCCCUAUCUGGUGGUAUACCAGGAAGAUCUGCAGGGAACACAUCCUGAAACUCACGGACCACCGAAACCGACUCAAUCGAAGGUACUUGGGUAGUGUCAUCCUUGAGAUGUGCCAAGAAAGAUAAACACCCUUUACUAACCAUUUUCUUAGCACGAAGAAGGGAGAUGAUACGCACCGGAUUGGAAGUGUAGUCACCCUCCAACACUAACGGAUCUGUCCCAGGCUUGGCUAACGUCACCGUUUUAGCAUUACAAUCCAAGAUCGCAAAUUGCGGAGAAAGCCAAGUCAUACCCAGAAUUACAUCAAAAUCAUCCAUUUCUAAGAUAACCAAAUCUACAUAAGUGUUGCUCCCCACAAAGUUCACCAAACAGGACCUAUAUACCUUUUCAACUACCACAGACUCACCCACCGGAGUAGAAACACGAAUAGGCAUAUCAAGUAAUUCACAAUGUAAAUUUAGACCAUUAGUAAAUGAGGAAGAUACAAAAGAAAAUGUGGAUCCAGGAUCAAACAAUACAGAAGCCAUGCAAUCACAAACCAGAAGAUUACCUGUGAUGACAGCAUCAGAUGCCUCCGCUUCAGAUCUCCCAAGGAAAGCGUAGCAAUGGGCCCUCUCACCCGUCUGUCCGUUGCCCCUACCAUGUUGUGAUGUAGUGGCUACAGGUUGCCCAUCACCUCGGCCGUUCUUGUGGCCACCACUACCUCGGACACCACGUCCUCCAGAAUAACGGCCUCUACCAUGACCACCUUUACCUCUAACAUUUGGAGGUCUGUAACUCUGUUUUGGACAAUAUCUCUUAAUAUGUCCAAUCUCCCCACAUCCAUAGCACUCUCUGGGUUCAUGCAUAGGUCUCUCAGAGAAGUGUUGACCGGUCGGAGGUGGACCCCCAACUACAGUCUGUAGUGAAGACUGAAUGGGUCGAACUGAGUAACCUCUGGAAUCUUGUCCUCUAGAGUAAGAACCAUUAAACUCACCUCCCUUUCGAAACCUUUUUGAUGUAGUUGCCAUGGUGAAGUCAUCUGGCUUCACUCCCUCUACCUCUAUUACGAAGUCUACCACUUCUUGAAAAGAUUUCGCUGUAGCCGCUACCUGUAAGGCUGAAAUCGCAACUCUGAUCUCAACCCCUUCACAAAACGACGAAUCCGCUCUUGUGGACUGAAACAAAGUUGGGUGGCAUAUCUGGAUAGUGCACGAAACUUAGCCUCAUAUGCAUUGACCAACAUCCUACCUUGCUCUAGGCUCAAGAACUCAUCCAUUUUCCUAUCCCUCAAAGUCCGGGGGAUAUACUUCUCCAUAAACAAGAGAAUGAGGCCCAAGUCAUAGGUGGUGCCUCUGUUGGUUGACACUCAACAUGUGACCGCCACCACAUUUUGGCGUUCCCUUGAAACUGAUAACUCACGAACUCAACACCAAACCGUUCUACAAUACCCAUCUUGUGUAGUAGCUCAUGACAGUCAACCAGAAAAUCAUAAGCCUCCUCAGAUUCAGCACCGUUGAAGACUGGAGGUUUCAAUUUCAAGAACUUACUGAAAAGUUCAUGCUGAUCAUUUGUCAUUAUAGGCCCAGUAGUCAGACGUGGAAACGUGCCUAUGUCCAAUGAGGCAUCCAUAUGAGGAGCCAUAGUGGCGGCAUGUUGUACCUCUGAAACUGGAGGUGUUGGUGCAGAAAACACUGGAGGGGCCUGACCCUGAUCAGACAACCCACUAAGAUAAGCGAGAACCUGAUUGAUCAUCUCUGUGGUAGGUUGGGGUGGAAAUUCCUCAUUUUGCACUUGUUCAUUCUCCCCUUCCUCACCCUCUCUUACUACUUCCUCAGUCGGUGGAGGAGUCACUGCCCUAGUAUCAGAUGGGCUAGGUGCUUGUCCUCUUCCCCUAGAGGACGUCCUCCCACGACCUCUACCACCGCCUCUUGCCGCUGCUCUUCCUCGAGCUACAGCCUCACUGGCUGGCUCAGACGCACCCUGUCCCGCUGGUGCUGGUGUUGGUGUUGGCGUAGUCGUUGCUCUAGUUCUAACCAUCUGUGAAAUAGAGUGAAGAUGGUCAGAUACCAAUUUGUAUCACCUAGAUACCAAUUGGACCCAAGUAAUAGCACGAAAGAAGAAAGAAAGAGUGGAAUUUUCCUAAAGUCUUAUAGCCUCUCAAAGAAAAGUAAAGGCGUCCCCCUACCGUUCCUUAAGACUCUACUAGACUCGUUCUUGUGUGAUGAGACCAACGAACCUAAUGCUCUGAUACCAAGUUUGUCACGACCCAAAAUCGGGCCGCGAUUGGCACCCACACUUACCCUCCUGUGUGAGCGAACCAACCAAUCUAAACCUUAACAUUUCAGUAUAAUAUCAACAGAAAGUAAUGUGGAAGACUUAAACUCAUUAAAUAAAGGCCAAUUCAUUAACUUCUAAAAUUCAACAUCUAUUAUUCCCCAAAAUCUGGAAGUCAUCACCACAAGAACAUCUAUGCUCAAAUUACUAAACUAAGAGUAUUCUAAGAAGCUAAAACAAAUAAAAGCUAGUACAUGCCGGAACUUCAGGGCAUCAAGACAUGAAGAGGAAGAUCCAAUCCAAGCUAGAAGCAUUAGCUCCCCCUGAUAUCCGGAGUAAUGAAGACUGGCUAGAGUUACGGUUGAGUCGAAGAUGACGGCACGUUUGUUGCACUCCACAAAUAUAAACAAGAAGAAAACAUAAAAGUAGGGGUCAGUACAAAACACAGGUACUGAGUAGAUAUCAUCGGCCAACUCAACAUAGAAACAAUAUAUACCAAGUAAUAUCAUAAAAUAAACUAAUAUCCUUAACAUGCAGCAUUUACAAUUACCAUAACCCUUGGUUACAACACCAAGCACAUCAAUGAGGACUCACGCCUCCCCAUCAUACUCAUUUAGGAAUUAGGUUCAUUAGAUUGAAUAUAUUAUCAUCUUUCAAGAUUCAUUAUCUUUAUUCCUUUUGUGUCGGUACGUGACACCUCGCUCCUCAUAUACUAUCCUGGUGUCAGAACGUGACACUCCGAUCCUCAUUCUAUCCUGGUGUCGGAACGUGACACCCGAUCCAUAUUCUAUCCUGGUACCGAAACGUGGCACCCGAUCCAUAUACUAUCCUGGUGUUAGAACGUGACACUCCGGUCAUCAUAUACUAUCCUGGUACCGGAACUUGGCACCCGAUCCAUAUACUAUCCUGGUGUCGAAACGUGACACUCCGAUCCUCAUAUACUAUCCUGGUACCAGAACGUGGCACCCGAUCCAUAUACUAUCCUGGUGUCGGAACGUGACACUCCGAUCCUCAUAUACUAUCCUGGUACCGAAACGUGGCACCCGAUCCCCUAAUCUCACUACUUUCAUUCAUCAAGCCUUCUUUUAUACCAAGGCAUCAUCAUUAACAAAGUAGAUUAGGGUUCUUCAAGAUUUAGGAUUCAAUAGCUUCAUCAUGCUUACUUUAUCACAAUUAUAUAAUCACAUUCAUGCAAGCAUACAAUUAAGCAUAUAGAAGGGGUUACAAUACUACCCAUGCAUAUCAUUCGCUAUUAAGAGUUUACUACGAAUAGUAUAAAAACCAUAACCUACCUCCACCAAAGAUUAGAAAUCAAGAAAGCAAAUUCCUAAAGCUUUGUUCUUCUUCUCUCCCUGUUCGAUCCUCUCUCUCUUUCGACUUUCUCUCUCUUUCUCUUGUUCUUUCUAUUCUUUUCUUAUUCAAACCCUCCUUCUUUUAACCUAAUUAACAUGUAAUUAAGUGUAAAAGAUGACAAUAAUAACCCACAAUUUAACUCAAGGUUACCUCUUUUAUCCCCCAAGUAAUUAGACUUAUUAACAUUAACCCACUAACUUUAUAAUUAAAGCAGGAAUAGUCAAAAACGUACCUUAAAAAGUAUCAAGAAAUCCGACCCAGACUGGGAUUACGGAACCUGCGACGGCCCGUCGUGCCUGCGACGGUCCGUCCUGCAGGUUGUCGCAAGGUUCAGAGACUGGAUUUCCACUGAAGACGCUGUGACGGUCCGUCACGCCUGUGGCGGUCCAUCCUGCCAUUCCGUCACGAAGUUCAGAGAGUCGAUUUUUAGUACCCAAUUUCAGAUUUUCUAAGUGUUUUGAAACGAGACCCUACGACGGUCCGUCGUGCCCAUGAGUUUAAAGUGACAUAUGUCAUCAAAUUUGUGGCUUUUUUCUACUCAAAAGUCAUUAUUUGAUUUUUUUUGUGUGUGUGCAUGCGUGCGUGCGUGCGUGUGUGUGUCUGUGUGUGUGUUUGUGUGUGAGUGAGUGAGUGUGCGCGCGUGCGUGCGUGCGUGCGCGUGUGUGUUACGUGCCUUUAUUUGAUUCGUCACUUUGACACAUUAUCAACAAGUGUAUUAUAUACACUUGUAUAUUUGGGUGGUUGUAAAAAAAGUGUCAAAAUAACAUAAUAUAGAGAAGUUUAUCUAUUCUUUUUCUUGCAUUUUAUUUUUUUAAAAUUUAAUUAUUGAUAGUCAAAUAACUAUAUUUGAUGUGUAAACAUUAAUUUACGGCACGUGUAUCCCGUACUAAUUUAUAUAGAAUCAUUAGAAUUAAUAAAUAAUUUUCUAAUAGAACAAAGUUUUAUAAUUAAUAGAAAUUUCAUUUUGAUCUAUGAAAGUAUCUUUGCUGAAAAAUAUUUUUCUAGCCUGAAAAUUUAGUUAGAGAACUGAUUGGUUAAAGGCUAUAGGUGGCAAGAAAAUUAAAAAUAAAUAGGCUAAGAAAUCACGUGAAUAUCAAGCAAAAUACAUGCAACAAGGAAUAAAAUUAACAAAAUAUAAAGAUAAUAACAAUGACCUACAUACUUGAUAACAAUUAAUAUGUUCUCUAUACAAAAAAGAAGAUAAAAAUUUAUAAUUAGAAGUAACUGAAUUACUCAAAAUUAUUACUGAUACGGGAAUUUCUUCUUCUACUAUCUAAAUCAAUUUGCAUUAAAAAAUAAAUUACUACACAUUGAGUUUUGGAUUGAAACCCCAUCACAUAUCCAUAUAUGUGAGUUUUUAAUAAGUUAACAUUAAUAAUAAACAAUAAAUAUGUCAAAUCACUUUAUUUGAACUAACUUUUUAGUUUCUCAAAACUUGUUACACUUCCAAAAAAUGUGCAUAAGCAGAAAUAUAUAUUGUAGAUCAUUUAAUGAUAAUAAAUCAAAUAUUGUAAAAUAUAAAUGAAUGUGGAAGUUUGUUAAAAAUAAUUAAUAGAUAAAAAGAAAAAAAAAUUAAAAUAAUUAGUAGUAAUAAUUGAGAUAAUUCAUAUUGUUAUAAAUGAAGUAUUUUAGAGGCAACUCAUAUGUGUAAGUUAUAUUACGUAUACACAUAAUAGUUGAAAAAAUAAAAUUGACUCAUUAAAAAAAAUAUUGUUCAACUUUUCAUUUAUGUAAGAAGUUACUUACAAAAGUACGUAAUGACAGAAUAAAUUAGUUUCACAUACAUAUGGGGAGAAUUGAAUGUGGAGGGUUAAAAUAUAAUUGUUGAGUUUUCAACAUACUAGCUAUUUGUGUUAUUUAAACAUUACUAUUUGAUUUGAUUUUAAUUCAAUGAAGGACCGAAAAUUUUGACCAGUAGUAAACUUGCAUUCAACCUUCAAGUAAUUAAAAUAUGAUUGUAUAAUAUUUAAUUAAAUAUUUUAUGAUAUAUUUAAAUUUAUGUCAAUGAUGACCUUGUAAUUCGAUGUUGAUGAUAAAAACUAAUAUAAUAUGAUAUGAUUAAAUAUAUAAUAACUAAUUAAGUCUUUAAAAAAGGGUAAAAAUAUCUUGCAACUUUCCCUUCACAUUAUCUCGAAUUCUUGGCUAAUAUGGUGAUUUAAUAUAAGUUUUUCUUUACAUAUUAUUACAGUCGUUUACUUUUAUGAACCAUUUUUUAUUCUCGCUCAACUUGCAUUUUUCUAAGGGCAUCAUGGAUAAAUUUGUCACGAUCGGAAUCUAGACCCCAGACAAGACCGGCGUCAUUGACCUCUCAGAGGUCGCAAACAAGCCUACUUACGUCAUUCUUACUUUACAUAGAUUAAUUUUAGCGGAAAAUUUGAAAUUUUUGAUUCCUUAAUCAAAAUUGUUAUACAUUCUUAAUAUUUCGUAAUCGUUCAUCAUCAACCAUCUAACAAAUUUAAAGAUAAUCAACUGAAAGAAAUAAUUCAUUAAGUAUUAAUUGUAUCUCGGUCAAAAUAACCCCAAUACAAAGUCUGAACCAAAGUAGGAAAGAAACGCUAGUGGAACAUGCUCCACUAGCUCAACUCUAAAACUACGCUAGAAUGUAAAACAGUAGCAUCCUCGAAGCAUGAGGACCUACCAAACUCUGGAUGAAUGCCGACGUCCGGAUAGCUGCAAUCACGAACCUGUCGCUCUACCGUCCACCUGUGCCUGCACCUAAAAGUAAAUGUUUGUAUGGAAUUAGUACACACUUGUACUAAGUAUGGGUAUAUGCAAGCACACACCAAGGACAUGCAUGAGAAAGAAUAGCUCUUUCCUAACAACAUGAUUUUUGGAAGUCAAGUCAGUGGACUUGCCAAAUUGAGAUUGAAAAAGUUAUACCAUGAGAGUGACAUGCAUCAUUAUAGUUAUCGUAUGGCACACAACACAUAAUAUCUUCAUAUAACACAUAACAUAUAACACAUAGUUUCUUUCAUAUUAUUCAUUCAUAUACCAUGAGACCUUAUUAUCAUAGACUUAACCUUAAGACUUUUCAAAAUGAGGGCUCAACAUAUGGGACCUCAACUAGGGAGCCUUCUUUAGCAAACACAGAGUCUGUUUCAUUCGUUCGUACGUAUUUCAUUUAAAUUCAUUCAUAGGCCAGUGCGAACACCAGUCAUACCUAGGAUGUAGUUUAAGACUUUCAUCGGGUUUGCUGUGCAAUGAUCAGGAAUAACCUAAUGUCAUUACCUGAAUCUAGCUCACCUCUUGAUUAUCCUAUCCUAACAUCUUCGGUAUCAUUCAUUUCUUUAUAUUAUUCAUUUGAGGCUGACCUCAUUCAUUCAUUGGGAACUUUAACUUUAACCGACAUAGAUCAUGUGAACAUCAUGAAAUACAGUGUCUUCCCCACACCGAAAAGAGGUGGAAUCACCGGCCAAAGCGAUUCAAUAACAUGCUAUCGUAUAUGGGAAUUUAACCCCGCCAGAUCCCUAUAGUGGCAAUAUAGGUUUAAAGACUAGGAGAUGUAUGGAGACCCAUACCCGGCAAGCCGGAUAGUCUCAUCUCAUGAGAGUUACGUGAACCUCCGCCCUUCCCGAAAGAAGGCAUCACCGCUCAUAGCUAGCCUAUCGGUGCUCAGUAUAAAGUUCCAUUACAUUCAACUCAUACAUCAUGGAAGCUGGCUUCUAGUAUGAGGACAUCAUAGCUCAAUAGAUGAUUUCUCAUCUCAUCAUUAGUAUUAAGUGUUUUAAACUCAAUAUUUUUCAUUAGAGUGUUCAUAGAGACUGGUCUCUUCAUUAUCUUACACUCUCAUUGGUGAGUACGUAUUGGUAACAUUUACUUAGGCUCAUUUGAGAUUGCUCUCAUCAUAUACAUUAGUCUCACAUCAUGAUUGUCACCACAUUCUUCAUUAUUAGCACCUUUGUUUUUCAUAGUUAUUCACCUCUUAUUACGUGAGUGUUCAUUUCUUCAUUUCAUAGUUCAUCUCAUCAUAUGCCAAUGCACUUGGCCAUUUAACGUAUCUUACAUUCGUACUUAACCCUCAUAAGAGUCAUCAUUUCAUUACGUACAUCUUAGGUUCACUUAAUUUUUGAACGUAUGUUAGACUUAUGUGUCUAUACAUACAAGCCAUGGGGCUUCAUUCGUAGUUCGUUAAGUGAUUCUUAUUUUCCUAAGAUUAUGUAUUACAAGACUUAUGUAUCUUGUAUAUAUACAAAGAUCUCGAUUCUUGAUCCAAGUAGAUGAGAUUAUUCUUGAAUAUUUUGCUCACGUAUGACUUAUGUAUCAUUACGGAGGUUUGGGUCCGGGAACCCGACUCUUGAAUCACUUGGAUAUCAUUUAUAUUUUUCAUUAAUUUUAUUUCUAAUAUUCAUAACAUUAGAACUCUAAAUUAAAUCUCAACAUCUUCAUGAAAUGAUUUAUUUUCUAUUAUAAUUAAAAUUCCAACUUAAAUCUCAACAUCUUCAUGAAAUAAUGAAUUCUCUACAUUAAUUAGAAUUCUAACUUAAAUUUCAACAUUUACAUGAAAGAAAUAAAUUUUCUAUUUUAAAUAGAAUUCUAAAUUAAAUUCCAAUAUUUACAUGAAAGAAUUAAUAUUCAAUUUUAUUUAAAAUUCUAAUUUAAAUCACAAUAUUCGCAUGAAGGGAUAAAGUUUCUAUUUUAAUUUUUACUAUUAAUUAACCGAAAGGUUGGGGAUUCGAGCCCCAACAACCCCUUUGAUUUUUAGAAUUAAGUUUAUUACAAUAGGGAGGUUGUGGAUUCGAACCCCCACAGCCCUUUUUUUUAUUUUCACUAAAGAGAGGAGGCUGUGUGGUGGUGGGUUCGAACCCCCACGGCCCCUCUAUUUUUAUUUUUAUUUUUCGCUACUACAGUCCCUGAGGUUGUGGGUUCGAUUCCCACGCCUCACAUUUUUUUCCUUAUUUUUCCCCUCUCUCGCGCGCACUUGCAGGUCGUGGGUUCGAAUCCCACGCACCCCAUUUAAUUUACUUAAUUUAAUUCCCUUCUCCUCUUCCCCCAGGUCUCGUGUUCGAUUCCCCCAGCCCCCAUUUCUUGUUCUCCCUUUUUUUUCGCGUGUAGCUGGGGGUCGCGAGUUCGAUCCCCCCCCCCCCCCAGCCCCCUCUUCUUUUCCUUUUCUUUUGUCUUUCGCGGAAGGCAGGGGAGGGUUCGAUCCCCCCUUGCCCAUUUUUUUUAAUUAAAGCCUGCUGCAGGGAGGUCCUGGGUUCGAUCCCUGCAGCCUCCAAAACCCUUUUUUUUAUUUCUUUGACGUCCAAAAAUUUCCAGAUUCUUUUAAAGCCUAAUUCUAAGUUCUGGAAAUUUAUUCCAUGAUUUUUCUGCACUUUUUAUCAACUUUCACAUUAAUUUUUAGGGUGAUUUCAUGGUUUUAUUCAUAAUGUUUUUUGUUACAUUUUUAUAGAUUCGUCUAACCAAGAAUUUCUCCUUCAAUCAAGCCACCUACAUUUCAUAUGAACUUCACGCCUUGCCCCAUUUUAUUCACAAAAAAAUAUACAAUCAUAUUACAUUAAACUUUUGGAGCAUUACAUAGAGAACCUCAUUCACCGUAACAUACUUACACAAAAUUUCAAGAAAAAGAUGGUUACCUUUCAUACGAUUCCAAGUACACAAACAUAAUCAUAUUCAUCGCGAAAAUAUAAUAUACACCUAAAUCUACCAGCAAUCAUACCCAACCUAAAAUUCAUUGGGAGCUACUGACAAGGACAUACAAAAGGGAACAACCCUAGUUUUCGGAAUGAAUAUCUUGAACCUUAAGGGGUCUCUUGGGAAAGGGACCAAGAGAGAAGAAACUCAUACCUUAAUCGAUGUUCAAACUUUGAUGUUGCUGCCCAAAAAACUCCUCCAAGCCACUCCCAAUUCACUUCAACGUACACCUCACUCGACGAACCUCUCUUAGCCUUGACGUUUUGAUUACUUUUUUUCUUUUACUUAAAAAUUUUUGUGAGUUUUUCAAGCGUGAAGAACUGUUGAUAUUUGGCAGAAUAACGUGAGAAAGAUGGAGAACGUGAGAGAGAGAGUUAAGAAGUGUGUGAGAGAGAGAACUAUUAGGAUUAAGAGACUAAUUCAAGAAUUAGUCAAAUAGAAUUUAAAAUAAAUAAUAAUUGCAAAUCUGUUUUUAAUUAUUUAUUCAUUUAUUUAAAACGUGAAAGGACCAUUAUGCCCUUAAAUACCUAUUUAUUCUUAUUUAUAUACUAAUUUUUUUUCCUGAAUCGUUACAAAAUCGCCAUUCAACUUCUUAUAAAUAAUGUUAGGAUGGGCAGAUUCAUUCUAAGAAUCUUUUAAAAAACGAUAGAACAAAGUCUCGACUCGUAAGUUCUUCGAUUACACUAUCACAACCCUAGUAGCCAAGAGUUGAUAUUUCAUUCUAACUUAAGAUUCUUAUGUUUUUUAGUGCAAGAAAAUCAUGAAUUGAGGGUUUUUAUGUCGACUCUUUGAUCUUACAAAAGAAAGGUUAUUUUCUUUCCAACGAUUUUAGUAAGUAUCAUUGGCACAAAUCCAUUUUAUUACGUAAUUUAUUGAUAUUUUUUGUCAUCUUUAAAAUCUCAUUCUAGCCUAAGAUUCUUGUGGUUCUUGAGUGCAUGAGAAACAAGAACAGACUGUUUUUGUCGAUUCGUUGAUCGGAAAAUUAGACAGUGAUUUUCAUUUCUAAUGAUUUUAGUAAGUACUAGUCUUGGACACGUGCAACACACAUGUAUCCUAUACUAAUUUAUAUAAAAUCAUUAGAACUAAUGAUAAAUGUAUUUUCUAAUAGAACAAAGUUGUACAAUUAAUAGAAAUUUCAUUUUGACUUAUGAAAGUUGUCACGACCCAAAAAUGGACGUGAUGGCACUCGUCUUUUCCCACCAAGACAAGUAAGCCUAAAACUCAAAUAUUACAAUAAAAAUGCAGAAAAUUUACUAUCAACUUACAUUAUACCCCAAAACCUGGUUGUCACGUGUACAAGCCUCUAAAGUAUUACAAUUGGAUCAAAAGAAAAUAUAAGUCUCAUAUAAUAUUGUUUCUAGAGUAGAACAAAAUCAUAAACAAGGGUAAGGGGGGAUGCUGAGAUGACCAACAACUACCUCACAAAAUCUCCAGAAAGCCUCGGAAAAGAAGAGAAUAUAUCAUAAAAGUCCGGGCUAGUAACCUACAAAAAUUUGUAGAAGCAAGGAGUGAGUACCAAACCACACGGUACUCAGCAAGUAAACCUCUAAACACAAGCUAAGGGGAUGAAAUACGGGUACUCCUACCACCCCCAACCGAACCUCCGCAACUACAACCUGCAUAAACAUCAGCCCAACCUAACAACUCACAGUUUACAUAGAACGUAACUCAACAAAAACAUUUAGACAAAUUACAUAUCCUCAACAACAACACUUUAACAAAUUAUAUAUCCUCAACAUCAACACUUAAACAAAUUAGAUAUCCUCAAUAGCAACACUUCCACAAAUUUACAUAUCCUCAAUAACACACUUUAACAAAUUACAUAUCCUCAACAACAACACUUCAACAAAUUAUAUAUCCUCAAUAACAAGCUCAGUAUUCAACAAUCACAAGUUCCGCAAAAAGGCAAUCACUAGAUCAGCAAAACACAAUAUCAAGUUCACUAAUGAUAAGUAUGUGCAAUGUAAUGGAAUGCAAUGUCAAGUAUAAUGAUGCAUGUCUGACCUAGUGAUACACACCCGCUGUCUCUCAGUCCGGGACCCAUGUGGGACAUAUCUGUCCAUGCAUCUGUCGCGGCGCACGACACGACCCUCGAUAACAGUAACCAUCGCGGCGCGCGAUACGUCCCUGGAAAUAUAGUAUCCAUCGUGGCGCGCGAUACGUCCCUCGAAAUAUAGUAACCAUUGCGGCGCGCGAUACGUCCCUCGAAAUGGUACAUCCUCUUUAAGUUAUCAUUCUUUCUCAAUGCACAUAACACUUCCACAACCAUGUCUCAGAAUAAUGCAAUGACAUGUUCACACAAAUAAUGUGAAGAUGACCAUUUUCAUAACAUUGCACAGUUCACAACCAUACAAACAUGAAAUCACAUCAACAAUGAUUCAACAAGCCAUCAAACUUUUCUCAACAGAUCACACAUAAAUAAUUAAUCACAUCGCCUUUUGUUAUCCCUUUUAUUUCAUCAUUAGAAUUAAUCAAUGUGGACAAGUCAACCCAUCACCAAUCUCGUUACUCCCAAACAUAUAUCACAAGGAAAUACACGCAUUCCAUACACUUAACAAGAGUUUAGAAAUCCACUUGCCUCAACAACAAUGACUCCAAAACUUGAGCCUUCCUCUUUUUGUUGACUUCCAAACCAAUAAAAUCUAUUCAAAUAAAUAACCACGAUAUGAUUUCGAAACUAACAAUAUUAAUAUUGAUAUAUCUCUAGCUUAGACCCAAAACUCAUCCAAAUUUAUAAUAAAAUUUCUAAAUCUUUAUUCCAACCAAUUGAUCAAAUCUCAUAUUUUCUGAAUUUCAAGUUUAGGGUUAAAUCUUAAUUCUCCGAAUAACAUAAUUAUAAUGAUUUUUAUAUAUCAUAAUGCACCCACUAUUUAACACAUAUCUCAAUAUAUCAAAACUUGAAUCCUAAUAUGAUAAUCAAAUGAAAAUAAUUAAAGUCGAAACUAACUGCCCAACACAUCAAUGGUGGACUACAAAACUAUCUGCUGAAACCACUUAUUUUCAAUGUUCCAAUUCAUAUUUAUCGUUCCACUAUUAGUAAUCCUAAUCUUGGAGUAAUCAUUGUCCAAUGAUUAGGACUAAUCACUGUCCAAUGAUUGAACCAUAAUACUUAUACAUAUUUAUAACCCCAAGUUCACAUAUUAGUAUAAAUUAUACACGUUUUAACCUAAAAAUCUAUUCCUAGUUACACAAAAAUUUAAUAGAAAGGAUAAGAAUAAUUACCUUGAUAUCUCAGAUAAAAAUAUCGUUGUUUCUCCUCCUUUUUCCUUUUCUUUUCUCCUUUUUUUUCUUUUCUUUAUCUGCGUAUUUUUUUUUGUUUCUGUUCGUUCUUUUUCUUCAACGUUAGCCACUUGAGGCUUUUAACCUUUUAGGGAACUUUGCCCUUUUAUUAUUGUUAUUAUUAUUAUUUUAUUUAUUUACUUAAUUUUCUUUUCUAUUUAUUUUUUUUUCUUUUUUUUCCAAUUAUUAUUAGCAACAAAAUAAUCCUUUAUUAAAUCAGAGAAUCAUAUCAGUCACUCUUAUAAGUCAUAAAUUAUUUAUCAAAACUAUUAAAAAGAUUAAUAUAAAAAUAAUAGUUGGAAUUUCUAAAACGACUAAGAGGGUCGUUACAAAAGUAUCCUUGCAAUGAAAAUAUUUUUCUAACCUGAAGUUUUAGUUAGAGAACUGAUUGGUUAAAGGCUAAAGGUGACAAGAAAAUUAAAAAUAUAAUAUGUUAUUAAUUCACGUUAACAUCCAGCGAAAUACAUGCAACAAGUAAUAAAAGUAGAAAAAUAUAAAAAUAACAACAAUGACCUACAUACUUGAUAACAAUCCAUAUGUUCUUUAUAGAAAAAAUAAGAUACAAAUAAGAAAUUAGAAAUAAUUGAGUUAGUAAAAAUUCUUGUCGGUAUAACAAUUUCUUCUUCUGUUAUUCAAAUCACUCCACCUUAAAAAUAAAUUACUAGACAUUGAGUUUUAGAUUGAAAAUCGUCGUACAUUCAUAUAUGUGAGUUUUUUUCUAUGAAUUUACAUUAAUGGUAAAUAAUAAAUAUAUCAAAUCAGUUAAUUGGACUUACUUUUUAGUUUUCCAAAGAACAGUUACACUUUCAAAAAGUGUGCAUGUGCAUGUGCAUGUCCAUGUGCAGAAGAAUUUACUAUAAAUUAUUUAAUGAAAAUAAUCAAAUAUUGUGAAAAUAAAAAGGAAUGUGGAAGGUUGUUAAAAACAAUUAUUAGGUUAGAAGAAGAAAAAUUAAAAUAAUUAAUAUUAAUAAUUAGGUAAUUCAUAUGAUUAUAAAUGAAGUUUUUAGAGGCAAAACAUAUGUAUAAGUUACAUUAAAUAUGCUUAUAAUGGGUGAAAAAACAAAAUUGACUCAUUAAAGAAGGAAUUGUGCUACUUGUCAAUAAAUUAGUUUCACAGAUUUAGGGAGAAUUGAAUGUAGAGGGUUAAAAUAUGAUUGUUGGGAUUUCUAUUUACUCACUAUUUGUUAUUAAAUUUAAUUAUGAUUUAAUGAAGGACCACAAAUUUUGUAAUGUGAUGAUGUUACAUUCAAUCUUUAAGUAAUUAAAAUAUGAUCGUAUAAUAUUUAAUUAAAUAUUUUAUGAUAAUUUGAUUUAUCAUUGUUUAUCGCAAUGGUGAACUUGCAAUCCGACGUUAACGCUAAAAGUUAAUACAAUAUGAUAUGAUUAAAUAAAGUCUUUAAAAAGGGAUAAAAAUGUUAAGUCAAGAACAAAAUAUCAUGUUUGAAUACUUAUUUUUUGAGUUGAACCUUUUUAUGAGUUUUUACAAAAUGAAGUUAAAAUCAAUUAAUUUUAUUUUUAUUUUUAAAAAGAACUAACAAAAUACUAAGGAUUGUUAUAAGUUAAAUAUAAUUUAUGAAAACAAAGAAACACAUGUAAUAGAUAAUGUUUGAUAAAAUGACAAUUUUAUUUAUUUUCUACCUCUAAAUGAUGAAUAAAAACAGAUAUGACAAUUUCACCUAUUUAUUUAUUUUUAAAAAAGUCAUAAAUCAGAAUUAAAAAAUUAUAUUUUGAGCUGAUACUUGUCAUGUUUUUUUAAACAAUUAAAUUAAUCUACUUAAUCAUAAAAAAGAAAAGGACAUAUAAAAAUGUAUUUAUACAAAUAAGGAAAUAUUUAUAGCCAGUAAGUUUGGUUCACUUUUUCUAGUUUUUUCAGUUUGAAUGUAAUAAUUUGUUAGGACAUAUGUAUCUUGAUAGACACAAAUACCUAGUAUAUGAAUAAUCUACUGAAAAGUUAUUGUUGGUUCAAUUAAACAUUUAAAGAAGGGAUAAUGCCUAAGUACCCCCUCAACCUAUGCCCAGAAUCUCAGAGACACACUUAUACUAUACUAAGGUCCUAUUAACCCCCUGAACUUAUUUUAUAAGUAAUUUUCUACCCCUUUUCAGCCUACGUGGCACUAGUUUGAAAAAAAAUCAAACAUCAUUGGGCCACAAGAUAGUGCCAUGUAGGCCGAAAAGGGGUAGAAAAUUAGUUAAAAAAUAAGUUCAUGGGGGUAAUAGGACCUUAGUAUAGUAUAAGUGUGUCUCUGAGAUUUCGAGCAUAGGUUGAGGGGGUACUUGUGCAUUAUCCCUUUAAACAAUGCUAAAGUUAUUAAUACAAGAAAAAAGUGAUUCAAUUAAGAAAAGGUGUAACUAUCUUAUGAAAUAUAUGGUAGAUAAAGACUAAAGUAAUGAAUUUUGAUGCAGUUGGACUUAUGAUUGUAAUAUAUGGGCUAAAAUUUAUGUGUUAAGCUUGAGCCAAUUGUAAGUUAAAGACUUAUAUUACUUAAAAUUUAACCAAAUAUUUAUAUUUUAUUUAUGAACAAUAUCUUUAUAAAUUUUAUUGGUUCGAUUUGAUUAUUUUUGAAGUUAUUUUUUAGUAAAAUCAAAGUCAAAUCAAAUAGUAUCGAUUUUUCAAAUGCAAAAUCAAAUCUAAUCACAUCAAAUCAAAUAUCGUUUAUUUAAAUUGGUUUGAUUCAGAUUGUGAUUUGAUUUCAGUUUUUAACCAUAACCAUGAACAACCCUACCGGUGAAUAUUAACAUAUAUGACAAUUUCAUUUAUUUAUAUAUUUUCUGAAAAUGGCACACAUCCCAAGUAAAUAUAAUGUUGACUUUAUCAUUUAUAUAAUUUUAAAAAAUGAAGUCAAAUUUCAUUUAUCUUUUUGUUUUCUAAAUAAAAUUAUAAAUUAAAAGUAAAAUAAUAUCUUUUUAUUUAAAUUCUGAGUUGAUCCUUUUUAUAUUUAAAAAUAAUGAAGUUUGAAUGAUAAUAAACUUAUGUUCUUAAAUUUGAUCGUAAUUCUCUCUAAUUCUUGGCUAAUCUUUUGGUGUUUAAAUAUAAGUUUUUCUUUACAUAUUAUUAGAGUCGUAUAUUUUUAUGAAACAUUUUUUAUUCUCUCUACAGUUCUCGCUCAACUUGCAUUUUUUAUGGACAUUACAGAUAAAUAACCAUUAAGAUUCUAAUAAAUAAUGUUAGGAUUGGUAGGCUCAUCCUCAUAACUCAAAAAAAAUGACAGAACAAAGUCAUUUGAUUUUGAUAACACAUCUACUCGACUCGUAAGUUCUCCGAUUAUUUCUAUCACAACCUUUAUCUCAUUCUAACUUACGAUUCUAAUGGUUUUUGUGUGCAGGAGAAUCAUGAAUUGAGGCUCUUUGUCGACUCUUUGAUCUUAGAAAGGAAAGAUUAUUUUCUUUCCAAAGUUUUUAGUAAGUAUUAUUGGUACAAAUUCAUUUUAUUAAUUAAUUUAUUGAUAUUUUUAGUCAUAGUUAAAAUCUCAUUCUAACCUAAUAUUCUUGUGGUUUUUGAAUACAUGAGAAACAAAAACGGUAGGUUCUUGUCGAUUCGUUGAUCUUAAAAAUGGACGGUGAUUUUCUUUUCUGAUAAUUUUAGUAAGUACUAGUCUUGGACACGUGCAAUGCACAUAUACCAUACUAAUUUAUAUUGAAUCAUUAGAAUUAAUGAUCAGUGUAUUUUCUGAUAGAAUAAAGUUUUAUAUAUAAUUAAUAGAAAUUUCAUUUUGAUCUAUGAAAGUAUUAUUGCAAUGAAAACAUUUUUCUAUCCUAAAGUUUUAGUUAGAGAACUGAUUGGUUAAAGGCUAAAGGUGACAAUAAAAUUAAAAAUAAAAUAUGCUAAGAAAUCACAUGAACAUCCGGCAAAUAAAUGUAACAAGGAACAAAUAUAGCAAAAUAUAAAGAUAAUAACAGUGACCUACAUACUUGAUAACAGUCUAUAUAUUCAUUAUACAAAAAAGAUAGAAAUAAUUGAGUUAGUCAAAAUUUUUAUUGGUAAAACAAUUUAUUCUUUUGCUAUUCAAAUCACUCCACCAUAAAAAAAGGAAUUACUACACGUUGAGUUUUGGAUUGAAACCCUAUCACGUAUCCAUAUAUGUGAACUUUUUCCAUAAGUUCACAUGAAUAGUAAACAAUAAAUAUAUCAAAUCAGUUUAAUCGGACUAACUUUUUAAUUUCCCUAAAAAUUGUUACACUUCCAAAAAAUUUGCAUGUGAAGAAGCAUUUACUAUAAUAAUUUAAUGAAAAUAAAUGAAAUAUUGUUAAAAUAAUAAGAAAUGCGGAAGGUUGUAAAAAACAACUAAUAGGUGAGAAGAAGAAAAAAUUAAAAUAAUUAGUAGUAAUAAUUGAGGUAAUUCAUAUUGUUAUAAAUGAAGUAUUUUAGAGGCAACCCAUACGUGUAAGUUACAUUACGUAUGCUCAUAACAGGUGAAAAAUAAAAUUGACUCAUUAAAGAUGAAAUUGUGCAACUUCUCAUUUAUGUAAGAAGUUACUUACAAAAGUACGUAACGAGCGAAUAAAUUAGUUUCACACAUAAAGGGAGAAUUGAAUGUGGAGGAUAAAAAUAUGAUUGUUGUUGUAAAACUAAACCAAACUAACAAUAUAAAGAUAAAGAAAAAAAGAAUAUGAGACAAGAGAUAUAGAAGAUGAAAACAAUAGAAAUAAAGAGACAACAGAUGAGGGAUUUUCUUAUUAAUCAAAGUAUUUAUCAAAUCUUCAAGUGUAUACAAUAUGAACUCUUAAGCCUUUAUUUAUAGUGUAACAUAAAGGCAUAUAAAAGGUUAGUCAUGAGCAUGACAUUAACAUGAAUAUAAUGGUGAGAUUAUGAAAGUGAAAUGUUACAAGAAUAAUGAUUAUAAAGGUGGAAGUUAUGGAGGUUAUGAUCAUCUUCAUAAUGAGGAAAAUAAUGGAGAUAAUGGGUGAGUAACUUCUUGGUAUAGUUGACAUCCACACUAUAAUAUUUUAUAACACUCCCCCUUGGAUGUCCAUAGAUAAUAUGCUUCGUUAAAACCUUACUAGGAAAAAAUCUUGUGGGAAAAAAUCAUAGUGAAAGAAAAAUAGUACACAUAUAUUUUAAUACGCUUGAAUGUUGCAUCGUUAAAAACCUUACUAGGAAAACUCAUUUGGGACAAAACCAUGGUUAAGGAAAAGAGUACAACGCGCAUUUUUCUCCCCUGAUAAAAACUUUACAUAAUAUCUCGGAGACGAAGCAUUUCGAUCUUAUAUCACAACUGCUCAAAUAUUGAUGUUGGUAAUCCUUAAUGAAUAAGUUUACAAGAUUGUCACUUGAACGAGCCUUUGAGCGUCUAUCUCAUUGUUUUGUUGAAGAUCGUGUGUGAAAAAGACUUUAGGUGAAAUAUGUUGUGUCUGAUCUCCUUUAGUUGUAUCCUCCAUUCAAUUGAACUAUAAUUAUUUUCGUAUAUGGUGGCUGGAAUAUCCUUUGUCAAAGGAAAAUUUCAUAUUUUCUGAAUAUGAUAGAUUAUGAUUCCAAUCCAACACACCCUUAAAUAACUUCAUUGAUCUAUAUGAUUUGAAAAGGUGGUAACAAAUGUUUGUUGAAUGUCAAGAUAUUGUUGUGCCUCAUAUGUAAGCAAAUAGCUCAUUUGCGAUCGAGCUUUAUGAAGAUCAAAUAAAUAUUUUGCAUCUGCAUAAUCAAACUAUUUUUUACUCAUUGGAGCUUGAUCAAUUUUGUUGAAACUCGUCUUUUCUUCUGAAAGACAGUCAUACAUCUUCUACCAUUUGCAUAACCAACAAUUUGUAAGUGCACUAAUAUAUAACAUUUUAAAUCAUUUUCUUGAGAUUAAAAAGAUCCUUUCUUUGUGUUAAGCAAUCUCAAAAUUAUUGAAUACUCAAUGGAAUUGCUUAAAAAUCUUUUAAAUCUUUUAAGGAUUUUCAUAUAACCUUCAUUGUCUAGUUAGACAUAAUAAUCAUUCAUUAUGCAUAUUCAAGUAUUUCAUCACUUGCCAGACUGAAGCAAGUACCAUUGCAUUCAACAUUGGAGAAUAUAUCUCCAUUUAAUAAUGUCAGGACUUCUGAGAAAAUUUUUUAUGCCCCGCGGCACGAAUAGUACUUUAUAUCUUACGGUUAUACUUUCGCACAAUGAUUCAUUUGUACCCCCAAUGAUAUAUAUUUUGAUCUAUAGACUAUAUUUUCAAAAGUACCACUUUUCUAAGUGAAACAAAAUAUAUUUGAAUAGUGUCAACCAUUUAUCCGUCCAUAUUAUAUGAAAGAUUUGAAUUUAAGAUCCUUGUAACCAUUUAUAGCAUUGAGUGCUACAUCAUAUCAAAUAUAUCGUCGAUUAUCAUUUUGAUUUCAAUUCUAAUACGACAUAACUUAUCGAGAUAUCUUCAAUUUCUAUCAUUUUCAUGUACCUGAAUCUUAGUUAAGGUUUUAUGAAAUGUUAUGUCAUAGUGAUCUUUCAAAGCACUUACCUCAUUAUCAAUGACCAUUUUGAUAAUUUACUCAUCUACUUCCUCAAGAAGUUUUACAUUUGGAAUCGAUUGGUCUAUCACGCUUUUGGUGCACCAUAGACUCGGUCCUUCAAGGACUAUUUAUUGGAGCAUUUGGAGCUUAAUUAAAAUAUUAGGUCAGCAAAUACAUCUGGCAAAUUACUUGCAACAUUUUGCAUAUGAAUUGUCUUUUGAACUUCAAGUUCACAUUUUUUUCAAGGAGGAUCUAGAUAAUUCACCUCACACAUAAUUUUCAGCUGCUACACAUAUCUCCCCCUAAUGUUAAGAAAUCUAACAUUCACUCUCAACCUUAAUUGGGUACCCAUCUUUGUGCAUGGUGGAGCAAUAAAAUCAUAUGUGCACAUGUCAAAUUUUUAGAUGGAAAUUAUUGGUUACUGACCCUGAACCAAUUGUGUUAAGAAAACCUUGUUGGCUUGAUGCAUACAUGUUAAAUAAACAUAUCUCAUACCAAAUUUUAUUUGAGAGAUUUGUUCUCAUAAUCAAUGGUCUAGCAAUAUUGGAGGCAUACAAUUUCUGCUAAACCAAUCAGCAUUAUCAACAUGACUUUAUAGUUUGAAAAUGUGCUCUUAAUAAGUCCAGAAAACAACCUUACAAAAAUGCACAUGUGAUCAUACCAUAGAUGCAUCUAUUAAAUUAUAAUAGUAAACGGUCCACAUGGCAGGUGAACGGGCCCAUAUUCACCUUUUUAUAUGUUCCAAAUAAUUUUAGGGGACAUAGUCUCAACCUUAGCUGGUACAAUGAUCAUUUUAUCACGAGAACAAUCUGUAAAAGAGAAAUCUUGAAGAAUCUUUUAUUUCUUCAACAUAUAGCCACGUGAAUUCUCAAUUUCACUUGUAUCACAUUUGAAUCGGAAUGACCAAUCUAUUAUGCCAACUAAUAUUUAUUCAAGUAAACUUCUAGUUUACUUUUGCAUGUGAUUCCAUCACCAUGCUCGUAUUUGUAUAAAACAAACAACGGGAAAAAAUGAAUAAUCUUAUACAUAAAUAUUUAUUACCCACUUUGAUUGUAGUAAUUGAAGAUAUGAAAUCUUCCCAUAAUUUAUUGUCUCAAUAUAAUAAUUUGUUUUUAAUUCUUCUUAAACUUAAGAAUUUUCUUUUGAGACUUACUACAACCCCAAUAUUAUGAAUAAUUUUAUUCCUCCAAAUCGUAACAAUUAGCCCUUUCGAAAUUAUCAAUUAAUUUUGUGUACUACCAUAAUUUUCACAAUGUCAUUCGUAUGGUGACCAUCUCCUUCAAGGAGAAAAUUUUAUUAUUGUCAUGAUUAAAAUUAUUACAUUCAAGACUUAUUUCUCGAUAACCAAUGACAAAUUUGUGUUGCCACACAACAACAUUUAUUUUGAUCAUGGCCACAACCUUUACAGAAAAGAUUUAUUCUUUCUUUUGUCUCAUUUAAAAUAUACCACAAUAUUUGUGUAGUAUUCAAAGUAUAUAUAUAUGACCAAAAUGACUAUUUAUGUUAAAAUAUUUUCUUUCAUCUCUCAAAACAUCCCGUAGAGGUGAGAUGUGACAUUCAUCCAACAAUACAUGAACAUGUUUUUAUCCAUAUGAAAACAAGUCACAUUUUCUUUAAAAAAAUGGACCAUAAUCAUUUGUACAUGUUCCAUAAGUUUUUAUUAGAGACUCAUUGUCAUGUUUUGACAUUAUGUAUAUGUAACAUUCCGGAAAAUUACAUGUCUAGUGAAGAGCCCAAUAGGUCUUUAAGAAUGCGUAUUAGGGAUACAUAGGCAUUCCAAUGCCCAAUAUUGAGAAAUAUUAGGCAUAAUAUAGAAAAUUGGCUAAGGGGUAUUAGCCAAAUCCAAAUAAGCAAAAUAUUGGGCAUAUUAAAAAAUAUUGGCUUAAAUGGUGUUAGCCAAUUUUUCCAAGUAUUAAUGAGCUUGUUCAAGAAAUGUACAUGCAAUGAAGAUCCUAAGCUAAAAACAUAGAUUUUCCAACAUUUACACAUUAGGUGUGAGACAUUCAUGUGUCAAGCCAAGGCACCAUAGCACAUGACCAAUUAAAAAGGGCAUGUAGAUUAAGUAGUGCCCAAGGACAUAGUGAAAAUCCUUGGGACAAUAAGUACACAUUCCAAAUGAACCAUCAAGAAUAGUUAGUUAGGAAAGUACAAGAAACACAUGUGCAAGCACAUGUGAAAAAACGGCCAAGGGAGGAGACCAUCCUAACCGAAUUCAGUUAAAGUAGUUAGGGGGCAGGCGUGCACAAGGGUUCCACCAUGUGGACCUAGAUCUCUAACAAACUCUACACUCUAACUAACUGACCUAACUAGCUAACUAAACUAGGACAAACAAAAAUAAAUUAUCCAGUACACCCGACAACCUAAGACCUAAUUGGAUUACACUAACCUAGUAACUAGUUAAAGAGACAACCUAGUACCUAAUAACCUAAGAUAGUCCAAAGGGUUAGCUAUGGUCCUAACGACUUAAGGGUACUUUAGUAAUUAACCUAGGUCAAACCAAAAUCCUUAGACUAGACAAGGAACUAACUAAGGAACAUCCUAGUACCUAAUCUAGGAUGGUCCAAAAGGGUUAGUUAUGGUCCCAAUGACUUAGGGGUAUUUUAGUAAUUACCCUAGGUUCCUUAAUUAAUCAAUUUAAGUGAUUAAUUAAUUAAGAAAAAAUUCCAAGUAAGGCUGAAAUUCGAAAUUUCAGAUUUGACUAAUUAAAUAUUUUCCUAUUUCUAGUCAAUCUAGGAGGGGAUUUUUAGUAAUUAACUAAUUAGUUUACUUAAUUAGCCUAAGUCGAAUAAGUCAAGAUCAGUUCCUAUGACAUAGACCAUUCAAACACUAAGAAAUUCAUGACGCAAAACAGUAAACGAACGAAAGAAAAACAGAAAAGUUUCUCUCGAUUUCUCUUAGGCGAUUUCAAGAUUUUCUUUAAAAUUUCGUGCAAGGUGAUAUUCGUAGAUUUAAUUAUACAUAAGGUAUGGAUUUUAUCUCAUUGAAUUCUUUCUCCAAGAGACUUUUCAAACGUUUGAAUUCAUGAACUUCGAAACUAAGGUUGUACCCCAAUGAUAUUGUUGAACAUUCAUCUCCCUGGUUAUCCUUGUUUUUUAUUCUUUAAGUAUAUAGAUGUAUCUUGAACAUGUUGUUGGUAUAUGGCGCUAACUGAUUUUAUAAGUUCUUGAUUUGUUAAUGACGAAUGAGGUCUAUAGAUUGGAUUCAAAUUAUUUGAGUGUUAGUUACAAGAAAUUAAGGAAUGAUAUAAUGCUUACCUGUGUUUCGAGAAUAUGAAGUUACUAUGAAUCGGCUAUGGAAUUUAGUUACUGUUAAAAUCUUAAAUUUUCGAAUGAUUCAUGUUGGGAAUCACUAUAUUACAUUUAUAAUAUUAAUUGAUGUUGUUAGUGAUAACAUAAUGAAUGUUGUUUAAGUGAGUUUGAUUUAUGCCAAUAAAAUGUCUAACAAUGUCUUGCCCAAAAAGUUGAAUGAAAUUGGCUUACAAUAUUACUUUCAAAUAAUGAUGGAAUAGUGGCUAAUGUAAACCCAACUAAGCAUGACUAAUGUAACUUUGAUUUCAUAACCAAGGGUAUGUCAAUCAUUGGGAUAGUCCCAACAUACCCUUUCCAAAUGAACUAUGAACAUAGUAACUACAUUGAACAAAGUUCUUACCGUUUAUAAAGAAUGGUAUAAAGCUACAAAAAUACAUGAAACGAGUUAAGGUAAGUAAUAACAUAAUUAAAAGUCUUUAAAUUGUGAAGGUGACCAGAAUGGGUUAUUAAAAGAAGUGAGACAAGUCUCACUUACACCUAAGAUAACUAUGUUAAAGAUACUCACAAAAGCUGGUGUUAAUAAUCGUAAGACAAGUCUCAUUAAAACCAAGAUGAUAAUGUAAGGUUAAAUUUCACAUUUCAUCAAGUAAAGAAAGGGAUGACCGGUUAUCCAAAGAGUUAAGUAAACAUCAUAACUAGAAGAAAGAUUCCAUAAUGUUUGAUUCAACUCUAAAAGAUGUAAAGAAAAAAAGUUGAGUAAAGCACCGAUAUACUAGCAAUGAGUUUAUACCAGCACAUGUAAGCCUCAUGAGAUGAGGCUACCACCAAAGUGGAUAAGUAGUCUCCAUAUCUCCUAGUCUUCGAACUGUGUCGCCGGCAUAGGAACUAGCCAGUGGAUUCCACCUAAGAGAGAAGGGUAUGAUGCGGUUUCACUUUGGCCGGUGAAAUCACCCCUUUUCAGUGUGGGGCAGACAUUGAAUUUCAUGAAAAUCUCACAUGAUCUGUGUUUAAAUGCUCAAAGAAAGUAUUCUGUUCACUUUAUCCAUGAACCACCUCUUUUCGGUGUGGGAAAGACACUGAACUUGGUUUCACUUUAGCCGGUGAACCACCCCUUUUCGGUGUGGGGAAGACAAUGGAUUUUAUGUUAGCUCACAUGAUCUAGAUUCACUCUUAUCAUUGAAUCACCCCUUUUCGGUGUAGGACAUAUAAUGAAUUUCAUGUUAGCUCGCAUGAUCUUAAUUCUAAAGAUGUACUUAAGAAAGCAAGAAAGAAAGAAGAAGAGAUGUAUGUUCAAAGUGAGAUAAGAAAGUAAGAGCUUAAGAAUAUCAAUCGUCAGUGUUUGAUAAGAAUGAAGUUUUCAGCAAAUAAUAGGCAUAGCCAACUAAAAUUGGCUUAUAAUGACUUCUUAUAUUAUGUCAAUAAAGGGGAAUAAAAUGUAAAAUAUAGGAUCAAAGGAGAUCAUUGGACUACAUAACAAAAAGAAGAAAUGACUGAAAAAAAUAAGUAUAGAAAAAAGUGCUCUCGGGUUUGGGGGAUCAAUUUUUAGAAUUUUCGUUUGAGUUGUUCUAAAAUUAUGUUUCUAAGGUCUUAUGUUCAAAUAGAAAAUGAUUUGUGUGCUUUGAAUGCAUUAAAAUACAUCAUAUUCGUACCACAAUUCACAAAUAGCGAAUUAGAAAACUCUAGUAAUGUCACUUUCCAAAAAUGGCAUGUUGUUAUAGGAAGAGUUUUCCUUGAUCAUGCAUAGUCUUAUCUGUAUGUGUACAUACACCAUAUUUAGUACAAGUGUGUACUAAUCCUUUAUUAUUAUUAUCUUUAUAGGUGGUGGUUAUAGAGAAGGUUUAAGAUUCAUCGAAGCUGUUUGGAUUGUCGAUCUCCAAACUUUGGUAGGUCCUCUUGAUGUUCGAGGAUGCUACACUUAUCUAUCUAGCUUAGUACUUUAGACAUAGAUACUGAAUGUUUUCCCUAGCGUUUCUUUUAUGAUGUUUAUUUCAAAGUUUUGUAUUAAGGACAUUUGGCAAACUAUUACAAAAUAUAUUGAUCUUUUGAUUUGAAUCGAUUCAUCAAUUGUAGAUGGUUGUUUUAAUUUGAGCUUAGUAGAAUAUUAAUCUAUGUAGAAAAUAUAUGAAGUCUAUGUAUACUUAGUUAUGUUUAAAAGUUUAAAAUUUUCUGCAAAUUUAACUAUAUGAAUGUGAUGAAAGCUAAGAUGAGGCUUGUCUGCGACCUCUGAGAGGAUAACAACGCCGAUUGCAUUCGGAUUCCAGAAUUCGGAUGUGACAGUAACUCACCUCAACUAGAUAAAUUGUCAAAGUUGAGUGACUUUUUAAGAUGUUAACUCUUACUAUUAAUGUAAACUUAUGGAAAAAUCUCACAUAUAUGAAUACGUUAUGGGUUUCAAUCCAAAACUCAACGUGUAGUGAUUCAUUUCUUAAGAUAGAGUGAUUUGGAUAGCAGAAGAAGAAAUUGCCGUACCAGUAAGAAUUUUGACUAACUCAAUUAUUUCUAAUUUUUUAUUUUUAUCUUCUUUUUUCUAUAAAAUACAUAUGGAUUGUUAUCAAGUAUGUAGGUAAUUGUUGUUAUAUUUAUAUUUUGCUACUUUUAUUAUUUGUUGCAUGGAUUUCACUGGAUGUUAACGUGAUUUGAUAGCAUAUUUUAUUUUUCAGUUUUCUUGUCACCUUUAGUCUUUAACCAAUCAGUUUUCUAACAAAACUUUAGGCUAGAAAUUUUUUUCAUUGCGAGGAUACCUUCAUAGGUCAAAAUGAAAUUUCUAUUAAUUAUAAUACUUUGUUCUAUUAGAAAAUAUAUUUAUCAUUAAUUCUAAUGAUUCUAUAAAAUUAGUACGGGAUACACGUGUGUUAUACAUGUCCAAGACUAGUACUUAAUAAAAUCAUUAGAAAUGAGAAUCACUGUCCAUUUCUCAUAUCAAUGAAUCGACAAAAACCUUUCGAUCUUGUUUCUCUUGCCCUCAAGAACCACAAGAAUCUUAGGUUAGAAUGAGAUUUUAAAGAUGGCUAAAAUAUCAACAAAUCAAUUAAUAAAAUGGAUUUUUUAAAAGUUACCUAAAUUUAUUAUUAUUUUAAAAAAGAACUAACAAAAUACUAAGGAUUGUUAUUUGUAAAUGUAAUUUAUGAAAACAAAGAAAUUGCAUGUAAUAGAUAAAUGUUUUGAUAAAAUGACAAUUUUAUUUAUUUUCUUCCUCUAAAUGAGGAAUACAAACAUAUAUGACUAUUUCACCUAAUUAUUUAUUUUUAAAUAAAACUUCAUAAAUCAAAAAUUAAAAAAAUAAUAUUUUGAGGUGAUAUUUGUCAUGAUUUUUUUUAAGAAAAAUAAAACUACUUAAUAUUAAAAAAUAAAAGGACAUACAAAAAAUGUAUUUAUGCAAAUAAGGAAAUACUUAUAGCCGGUGAAUAGGGGUGUUCGUGGUUCAGUUUGGAUCGGUUAUUGGUUAAAAUUAAAAUGAAAUUAAUCUAGUCGGUUUUUUAAAAUUUCUAAAAUCAAACCAAAUAUGUCCUUUAACUUGGCUUCGAAUCAUAUUUAUGUCCUUCAAGUUUGGGUGUGCACAAGUAGACAAUUAAACUUGUAUAAAGUUGAACAAAGACACACAUAUCUCGUACAUGUCAUUUUUUGUCUUACGCGGUGUUUUACGCGAUUUUGUCAUGUAGGACUCAUGUGUUUAUUUAUUUAAAAGUUGGAUAGUUAAAGUGUCUGUUUGUGCAUUAUGAAAGUUGGAGGACAAGUUAAAAUUUGAAGCCAAGUUUAUGGUCUAAUAUAUGUAUUAUGCGAAUAAUUUUUGAGGACAUAUGUAUCUUGAUAGACACAAAUACCUAGUAUAUGAAUAAUCCAAUAAAAAGUUAUUGUUGGUUCAUUAAGCAAUUAAACAAUACUAAAAUUAUUAAUACACGAAUAAAGUGUUUCAAUUAAGAGAAGGUGUAAAACUAUCUUUAAAGAAAUGUGAUUUGCCGGAAUAAUCAUGACUUUUCACAUGGUAUACAAAAUAUACUAGUUCAUAGUACUCUUUGUUGACUAUAAACUAUUCUUCUUCUUCUUGCGUUUAAAUUUUUUUUUUGUUAAUUAUAGACAAUCAGAUAAUUAUCUUUGAUUUUGUGUACAUAAGCAAUUGAAAAGUCAAAUAUAAGAGCCAACAACAAAAAUAUCGUGUACUGUUUUAUAACUUAUAAAAAUAAAAAUUAAUUUGUACCAAAAAUAGUUUUAAAAAAUAAAAUAUAGCUACUAUCUUAACAUGUUCAUAUGACAUUCAAACAAUCUGACAUGAAAAAAACGUACAAAACACAUUUGGUUAAAUGACAAGAAAAAUGCACAACAAAUAUCGUCUAUAAGGUAAUAUAUAUAUAUAUAUAUAUAUAUAUAUAUGGAAGGAUUCAUUGGUUGGUUUCUGAUGCUAAUGGAAAGGAGUUAAUAUGUUCGUUUAAUUUGGAGAAUGAGUUGUUUGAAUCAUUCCCAACUUCUCCAGGUUACGAUGAGGAAAAUUGUCCAAAUUUGCGAAGAUUGGGAGUUUUUGGACGUUGUCUAUGUGUGUGUGAUAAUAAUGCAGAUACUCAUUUUGAGGUAUGGGUGAUGAAAGAAUACGGAGUUACUGAUUCAUGGGUUAAACAGAUGGUCAUAAACAUAACUCCUGAAUGCAAUAAUAAUUUGUUGUGCUAUGAAAUUAUUAAUCUGGUGAAAGUUUUGGAUGAUGGAGAGGUGUUGUUCUUGUGGCGUGAUGAUUUCUUGUUCUUGCACCAUCCUGUGAAGAACACAUUGAAAAGGGUUAAUGUCUGUGAUGGCAACUUUGUGGCAUCUGUGUUGUAUCAAACUCUUUAUCUCUCAAGAAUUUUGAAUCAGAGGUUGUAAAUGUCUUUUAGAUAUCUUGUACUACUAGAGAUUGUAUAUUUUUAGCUUUGUGUUUUAUAUCCUUGGCUAACAAUAAUAACAUACCAUCAUGUUAUUUGAGGGGAAAGUUGUUUGUACAAAUUUGCAAGUAAUAUAUGAUAUUUAAUCUAAUCAAAUACAUGACAAAAACAAAAAAUAUCUGAUAGCAACAUCGGGUGCGUGGACAAUUCGAGUAACAUUGAAAAAAGAGUUGGAAUUUUCAGAAAAUAACAAAGUAAGGCUGAGAGAGAAAUAUUGCAAUAUAAUCAAAGGAAAAUAUUUAAAAGGUAAUGUAAUGAAUGAGUUUUGCUUGUAAGUUGCUAAUAUUCUCUCCUUAUUUGGUACUCUUGUUAUGUUAGAUUACAAAAAAUCCCAAAUAUAUCAUUGAGUUUUUAGAAAAAAAAAACUGAACGAAAUGCCUAUUGGUGUCACUUUCGGAAGAUGAGUUUGGAUCUAACUCAAUUUAAACAUUAGCUGAUGAAUCUUGAAAAUUACUUAAUCUCAAAAACUUUUUGUAAAUAAUUAUGCUGAUUUAUGUGACCAGCACUAAAUCAAAGUGCCCGUUGUUGCCAGUUGUGAAGAUAGAUUUUGGGCAUAACUCAAUCUCAAAAGUAUAAAUUAUUUUAUUCAAAAUUGAAAAUGUCACGACCCAAAGCGGUCCGCGGGUGGCACCCACACUUAUCCUACUGUGUGAGCGAACCAACCAAUCUAAACCCCAAAAUUUCAACCAUAAAUAACAUAAUAUAAUGCGGAAGACUUAAACUCAUAAAUAAAAAUCGAUUAAAUAACUUCUAAAAACUCAAACACUUAUUAUUAUCCCCAAAAUCUGGAAGUCAUUAUCACAAGAACAUCUAUCCUCAAAUUACUAAUCCUAAGAGUAUCUAGAAAGCUAGAAUGAAUAAAAAGCUCGUCCAUGCCGGAACUUCAAGGCAUCAUGACAUGAAGAAGAAGAUCCAGUCCAAGCUAGAAGAGUUAGCUCACCCUGAAAUCCGAAGUAAUGAAGACUGGCUAGAGUUGCGGUUGAGUUGAAGACGACGGUACGUUCGCUGUACUCCACAAUAACAAAGAAAGAAACAUACAAGUAGGGGUCAUUACAAACACAAGUACUGAGUAGAUAUCAUCGGCCAACUCAAAAUAGAAAACAGUAUAUAUUAGAUAAUAUCAUAAAAUCAACUACAGUACUCAACAUGCGGCAUUUACAAUUACCAUAACCCUUGGUCACAACACCAAGCACAUCAAUGAGGACUCACGCCUCCCCAUCAUACUCAUUUGGGAAUUAGGUUCAUUAAAUUGAGUAUAUUAACAUCUUUCAAGAUUCAUUAACUUUAUUUCUCUCGUGUCGGUACGUGACACUCCGCUCCAUAUACUAUCCUGGUGCCGGAACGUGACACUCUGAUCCUCAUAUACUAUCCUGGUACCGGAACGUGGCACCCGAUCCAUAAACUACUCUGGUGUCGGAACGUGACACUCCGAUCCUCAUCAUACUAUCCUGGUGCCGGAACGUGACACCCGAUCCUCAUCAUACUAUCCUGGUACCGGAACAUGGCACCAGAUCCAUAUACUAUCCUUGUGUCGGAACGUGACACCCGAUCCUCAUCAAACUAUCCUGGUACCGGAACGUGGCACCCGAUCCCCUAAUUUCACUACUUUCGUUCAUCAAGCCUUCUUUUAUACCAAGGCAUCAUCAAUAACAAAGUAGAUUAGGGUUUUUCAAGAUUUAGGAUUCAAUAGCUUCAUCAUGCUUAUUUUAUCACAAUUAUAUAAUCACAUUCAUGCAAGCAUACAAUUAAGCAUAUAGAAGGGUUUACAACACUACCCAAUACAUAUCAUUCGCUAUUAAGAGUUUACUAUGAAUAGCAUAAACCAUAACCUACCUCCACCGAAGAAUUCGUGAUCAAGAAUCUACUUUUCAAUGAUUUGCUUUCCUCUUUGUUCCCUCCUCUUGAUCGAUCGUUUCUCCCUCUCUCUGUUCUUUCUAUUUUUCUUAUUCAAACCCUUUUUCUUUUACCCUAAUUAGAAUAUAAUUAAGUAUAAAAGAUGACAAAAGUAACCCCCUAAUUAAUUCAAGGUUAUCUCCUUCAACCCCCAAGUAAUUGAAUUAUUAGUAUUACCCACUAACUUUAUAAUUAUAAGCAGGAAUAGUCCAAAACUCCCCUUAAAACAUUUAACAGAAAUCCGACCCAGUCAGGGUUACGUAGCCUGUGACGGGCCGUCGUGCCUGCGACGGUCCUUCCUACUGAGUCGUCACAGAGUUCAGAGACUCACUUUUUAUUUAAGACCCUGUGACAGUCAGUCGUGCCUACGACGGUCCAUCCUGCCAUUUCGUCAUGAAGUUCAGAGAGUCGAUCUUAGUACCCAAAUUUCAGAAUUCUAAGUAUUUUGGAACGAGACACCCUCGACGGUCUGUCAUGCCCAUGACGGUCCGUCGUGGGAUCCGUCGACUCAGACAGUUAUUACCAGAAAAUACUCUACUGCUCAAAACGACUAGACAGGUCGUUAUAAUAGAUACCAAUUUACCCAUCGUUCGUCCUCGAACGAUCACAAGAAGAAAAACAAGGGCGAAAAGGAGUACCUGAAUCUGUAAACAGGUGUGGGUAUUUUUCUUGCAUAUCAGCCUCCUUCUCCCAAGUGGAUUCUUCAACCGCACGAUUCUUCUAUUGAACCUUGAUGGAUGCAAUCUCCCUUGACCUCAACUUGCGGAUUUCUCUAUCUAAAAUAGCAACAGGCUCCUCCUCAUAAGACAAAUUCUCAUCAAGAAGGACCGAAUCCCAACGAAUAAUGUAGUUUCCAUCACCAUGGUAUCUUUUCAACAUAGACACAUGAAAUACUGGGUGCACUCCUGACAGUCCUGGGGGUAAGGACAAUUCAUAAGCUACCUCCCCCACACGCUUCAGAACUUCAAAUGGACCAAUGUACCUUGGACUAAGCUUACCUUGCUUACCAAACCGCAUCACCCCUUUCAUGGGUGAAACCUUCAAUAAGACUUGCUCGCCCUCCAUAAACUCCACGUCCCUAACCUUUCGAUCUGCAUAUUCUUUCUUCCUACUUUGAGCUGCUAAAAGCUUUUCUUGAAUGCAUUUCACUUUAUCUAACGAUUCCCUCAGAAGGUCAGUACCCCAAGGUCUAACCUCAAAUGCAUCAAAACACCCAAUGGGAGAUCUACACCUUCUAUCAUACAGUGCCUCAAAUGGGGCCAUAUCAAUACUUGAGUGAUAGCUAUUAUUGUAUGAAAACUCUGCUAAGGGUAAGAAGUUGUCCCAACGGCCACAGAAUUCUAUCACACAUGCACGAAGCAUAUCCUCCAACACUUGAAUCGUUCGCUCCGAUUGACCAUCGGUCUGAGGGUGAAAUGCAAUACUAAGGUCCAACCUAGUACCUAAUUCAGCAUGCAAUUUUCUCCAAAACAUAGAAGUAAACUGCGUACCUCUAUCUGAUAUGAUGGAAAGUGGAACUCCAUGCAAUCGAACAAUUUCUGAGAUGUACAGUCUGGCUAACUUCUCUGCAUUGUAAGUCACCUUGACCGGAAUGAAGUGAGCAGACUUAGUCAACCUAUCCACAAUUACCCAAAUGGAGUCAAACUUCCCCAAUGUCUUUGGAAGACUAACCACGAAGUCCAUUGCAAUUCUCUCCCACUUCCAUUCAGGAAUGGGCAUUCUCUGAAGUGUCCCUCCAGGCCUCUGGUGUUCAUAAUUUACUUGCUGACAAUUUGGACAUUUGGAAACAAAAUCAACAAUGUCGCGCUUCAUUCUGCUCCACCAAAAGUGUUGCUUUAGGUCACGGUACAUCUUGGUUGCACCAGGAUGUAUAGAAUAUCCGAAACUAUGAGCCUCUGUAAGAAUAGUGUGGAUCAAAUCAUCAACAUGGGGCGCACAUACCCUUCCCUUAAUUCUCAAAACACCUUCCUCAUCGAUUUUUGCUUCUUUAGCCUCUCCUCGCAACACCUUAUCUCGGAUCCGGAUCAGUUUCUCAUCAUUAAAUUGUUUUCCCUUAAUCUUGUCAAGAAAGGAAGAUCUUGCCUCCACACAAGCCAAAAAUCCUCCCUUCUCAUUUACUUCUAGCCUCAUAAAGUCAUUAGCCAAAGUCUGAACUUCUCUAGCCAAUGGGCAUCUAGAAACCUGCAAGUGAGCUAGACUUCCCAUGCUCCCUGCCUUUCUACUUAAAGCAUCUGCCACAACAUUAGCUUUUCCUGGAUGAUACAAGAUAGUGAUGUCAUAGUCUUUCAGUAGUUCCAUCCACCUCCUCUGUCUUAAAUUCAAAUCCUUCUGAGUAAAGACAUACUGUAGGCUACGAUGAUCUGUAUAAACUUCACACUUAACCCCAUAUAGAUAGUGCCUCCAUUGCUUUAAUGCAAACACUUUCGCAGCCAACUUCAAAUCGUGAGUCGGAUAAUUACGUUCAUGCACCUUUAAUUGCCUCGAAGCAUAGGCAAUUACAUUCUUCUCAUGCAUUAGCACUGCACCCAAACCAGAAUAGGAUGCAUCACAAUAAACAAUGAAGUUCUUACCCUCUACCGGCAAGGUAAGGAUAGGUGCAGUAGUCAACAAAGUCUUGAGUUUCUGAAAGCUGUCUUCACAUUCAUCCGACCAUACAAAUUGAACAUUCUGCUUAGUCAAGUUCGUCAAUUGGGAAGCAAUAGAAGAAAAUCCCUUGACAAAUCAACGGUAGUAGAUGGCUAAACCAACAAAGCUCCUUAUUUCUGACACAUUAGUAGGUCUUACCCAAUUUCUCACUGUUUCAAUCUUAGAAAGAUCCACCAUCACCCCAUCCUUAGAAACCACGUGCCCCAAAAAGGACACUGAAUCUAGCCAAAACUCACACUUGGAGAAUUUGGCAUAAAGCCUUUUCUCCCUUAACACUUCCAACACAAUUCUCAAAUGCUCCUCAUGUUCCUUCUUACUCUUGGAGUAUAUCAGUAUAUCAUCAAUAAAUACGAUCACAAAGAGAUCCAGAUAUGGCUUAAAAAUCCCGUUCAUCAAGCUCAUGAAAGCAGCAGGGGCAUUCGUAAGACCAAAAGAUAUUACUACAAAUUCGCAAUGCCCAUACCUAGUUAGAAAAGCAGUCUUUGGCACAUCCGUUUCCCGUAUUUUCAAUUGAUGAUAACUGGAUCUCAAGUCAAUCUUAGAGAAGACACAAGCACCUUGUAACUGAUCGAACAAGUCAUCAAUGUGAGGAAUGGGAUACUUGUUCUUAAUAGUUACCUUGUUCAACUGCCGGUAGUCUGUGCACAUCCAAAAACUCCCAUCCUUCUUCUUCACAAACAAAACGGGAGCACCCCAAGGGGAUGCACUUGGUCUAAUAAAGCCUUUUAUUAACAAUUCUUGAAGUUAGGCCUUUAACUCUCUUAACUUAGCGGGAUCCAUUCUAUAAGGGGGUAUAGAAAUGGGGCGAGUACCCGGCUCCAGAUCAAUGCAAAAGUCAAUAUCCCUAUCCGGUGGCAUACCAGGAAGUCUGCGGGAAACACAUCCAGAAACUCACGGACUAUCGAAACCGACUCAAUUGAAGGUACUUGGGUAGUAUCAUCCCUGAGAUGUGCCAAGAACGCCAAACAACCAUUAUUAACCAUUUUCUUAGCACGAAGAAAGGAGAUGAUACGAACCGGAUUGGAAGUGUAGUCACCCUCCCACACUAACAGAUCUGUCCCAGGCUUCGCUAACGUCACAGUUUUAGCAUUACAAUCUAAGAUUGCAAAGUAUGGAGAAAGACAAGUCAUACCCAGAAUUACAUCGAAAUCAACCAUUUCUAAGAUAACCAGGUCUACAUGAGUAUUGCUCCCCACAAACGUUACAAGACAAGACCUAUACACCUUUUCAACUAUCACAGACUCACCCACCGGAGUGGAAACACAAAUAGGCAUGUCAAGCAAUUCACAAUGUAAAUUAAGACCAGUAGAAAAUGAAGAAGAUAUAUAUGAAAAUGUGGAUCCAGGAUCAAAUAAUACGGAAGCCAUGCAAUCACAAACCAAAAGAUUACCUGUGAUAACAGCAUCGGAUGUUUUCGCUUCCGACCGCCCGAGGAAAGCGUAACAAUGGGCCCUAUCGCCUGUCUACCCCUUGCCCCUACCAUGUUGUGCUGUAGUGGCUCCAGUUUACCCGCCACCCCGGUUGAUUUGCUGACCACCAUUACCUCGGCCACCACGUUCUCCAGAAUAGCGGCCUCUUCCAUGACCACCUCUACCUCUGACUAUUAGGGGUCUGUAACUCUAUUUUGGACAAUAUCUCUUAAUAUGUCCAAUUUCCCCACAUCCAUAACACUCUCUGGGUUCGAUCAUAGGUCUCUGUGAGAACGACGGAGUCUGGGGAUAAUCUCCAAACUCAGAGAAAUGUUGACCGGUCUGCGGUGGACCCCCAGCUAUAGCCUGCAGUGAAGACUGGAUAGGUCGGGCUGUAUAACCUCCAGAACUCUGUCCUCUGGAGUAAGAACCACUAAACUCACCUCCCUUAAGAAACUUCUUAGUAGUUGAUGCCAUGGUGAAAUCAUCUGGCUUCACUCCCUCCACCUCUAUCAGUAAGUGUACCACUUCCUGAAAGGAUUUUGCUGUAGCAGCUACCUGUAAGGCUGAAAUCCGCAACUCUGACCUCAACCCCUUCACAAAACGGCGAAUCCGCUCUUGUGGACUGAAGCAAAGCUGGUUGGCAUAUCUGGAGAGUGCAUGAAACUUAGCCUCAUAAGCAGUAACCGACAUUCUGUCUUGCUCUAGGCUUAGAAACUCAUCUCUCCUCCUAUCCCUCAAAGUACGGGGUAUAUACUUCUCCAUAAAUAAACUAGAGAAUGAUGCCCAAGUCAUAGGUGGGCCUCUGUUGGUUGACACUCCACAUGUGACCGCCACCACAUUUUUGCGUUCCCUUGAAAUUGAUAGGUCACAAACUCGACACCAAAUCGUUCUACUAUACCCAUCUUGUGUAGUAACUCAUGACAGUCAACCAGAAAAUCGUAGGCAUCCGCAGAUUCAGCACCCUUGAAGAUCGGAGGUUUCAAUUUCAAGAACUUACUGAAAAGUUCAUGCUGAUCACUUGUCAUUAUAGGCUUUGUAGUCAAACGAGGAAAUGUGCCUAUUUCAAGUGAGGCAUCCAUGCGGGGAGCCCCAGCAGUGGCAUGUCGUACUCCCGUAACCUGAGGUGCGGGUACAGAAAAUACUGGAGGUGUCUGGCCUUGGUCAGAUAACCCGCUAAGAUAAGCAAAAACCUGAUUAAUCAUCUCUGGGGUAGGUUGGGGGGAUAAUUCCUCAUUCUGCACCUGUUCGCUCUCCCCUUCCUCACCCUCUCUUAAUACUUCCUCAGCCGAUGGAGGAGUCACCGCCCUAGUACUAGAUGGGACAAGUGUUUUUCCUCUUCCUCAAGAGGACGUCCUCCCACGACCUCUACCACGACCCCUUGUCACUGCUUCUCUUCGAGCUACAGGCCCAGUGGCUGGCUCAGACGCACCCGGUCCUGCCGCUGCUGGUGUUGGCGUAGUUGUUGCUCUAGUUCUAACCAUCUGCGAAAUAAAGUAAAGAUGAUCAGAUACCAAUUUGUAUCACCUAGAUACCAAUUGGAUCCAAGUAAUAGCACGAAGAAAGAAAGAAUGGAAUUUUCCUAAAGUCUUAUAGCCUCUCAAAGAAAAGUAAAGGUGUCCCCCUACCGUUCCUUAAGACUCUACUAGACUCGUUCUUGUGUGAUGAGACCAACGAACCUAAUACUCUGAUACCAAGUUUGUCACGACCCAAAGCGGGCGCGAGUGACACCCACACUUAUCCUACUGUGUGAUCGAACCAACCAAUCUAAACCCCAACAUUUCAACCAUAAAUAACAUCAUAUAAUGUGGAAGACUUAAACUCAUUAAUGAAAAUCGAUUAAAUAACUUCUAAAAAUUCAAACACUUAUUAUUAUCCCCAAAAUCUGGAAGUCAUCAUCACAAGAACAUCUAUCCUCAAAUUACUAAUCCUAAGAGUAUCUAGAAAGCUAGAAUGAAUAAAAAGCUGGUCCAUGCCGGAACUUCAAGGCAUCAAGACAUGAAGAAGAAGAUCCAGUCCAAGCUAGAAGAGUUAGUUCACCCUGAAAUCCGAUGUAAUGAAGACUGGCUAGAGUUGAGGUUGAGUUGAAGACGACGGUACGUUCCCUGUACUCCACAAUAACAAAGAAAGAAACAUACAAGUAGGGGUCAGUACAAACACAAGUACUGAGUAGAUAUCAUCGGCAACUCAAAAUAGAAAAUAGUAUAUAUCAGAUAAUAUCAUAAAAUCAACUACAAUACUCAACAUGCGGCAUUUACAAUUACCAUAACCCUUGGUCACAACACCAAGCACAUCAAUGAGGACUCACGCCUCCCCAUCAUACUCAUUUGGGAAUUAGGUUUAUUAAAUUGAGUAUAUUAACAUCUUUCAAGAUUCAUUAACUUUAUUUCUCUCGUGUCGGUACGUGACACUCCGCUCCAUAUACUAUCCUGGUGCCGGAACGUGACACUCUGAUCCUCAUAUACUAUCCUGGUACCGGAACGUGGCACCCGAUCCAUAUACUACCCUGGUGUCGGAACGUGACACUCCGAUCCUCAUCAUACUAUCCUGGUGCCGGAACGUGACACCCGAUCCUCAUCAUACUAUCCUGCUACUGGAACGUGGCACCCGAUCCAUAUACUAUCCUGGUGUCGGAAAGUGACACUCGAUCCUCAUCAAACUAUCCUGGUACUGGAACGUGGCACCUGAUCCCCUAAUCUCACUACUUUCGUUCAUCAAGCCUUCUUUUAUACCAAGGCAUCAUCAUUAACAAAGUAUAUUAGGGUUUUUCAAGAUUUAGGAUUCAAUAGCUUCAUCAUGCUUAUUUUAUCACAAUUAUAUAAUCAUAUUCAUGCAAGCAUACAAUUAAGCAUAUAGAAGGGUUUACAACACUACCCAAUACAUAUCAUUCGCUAUUAAGAGUUUACUACGAAUAGCAUAAACCAUAACCUACCUCCACCGAAGAAUUCGUGAUCAAGAAUCUACUUUUCAAUGCUUUGCUUUCCUCUUCGUUCCCUCCUCUUGAUCGAUCGUUUCUCCCUCUCUCUGUUCUUUCUAUUUUUCUUAUUCAAACCCUUUUUCUUUUACCCUAAUUAGCAUAUAAUUAAGUAUAAAAGAUGACAAAAGUAACCCCCUAAUUAAUUCAAGGUUAUCUCCUUCAACCCCCAAGUAAUUGAAUUAUUAGUUUUACCCACUAACUUUAUAAUUAUAAGCAGGAAUAGUCCAAAACGCCCCUUAAAACAUUUAACAGAAAUCCGACCCAGUCAGGGUUACGUAGCCUGUGACGGGCCGUCGUGCCUGCGACGGUCCGUCCUGCUGAGUCGUCACAGAGUUCAGAGACUCACUUUUUAUUUAAGACCCUGUGACGGUCCGUUGUGCCUACGACGGUCCGUCCUGCCAUUUCGUUGCGAAGUUCAGAGAGUCGAUCUCAGUACCCAAAUUUCAGAAUUCUAAGUGUUUUGGAAAGAGACACCCUCGACGGUCCGUCGUGGGAUCCGUCGACUCAGACAGUUAUUACCAGAAAAUACUCUACUACUCAAAACGACUAGACAGGUCGUUACAAAAUAUUUGUUUUGAAGAGUUUUCAACUUUUAGAAUCGCCACUUAAUUUUUGUGAAAUUUAAGAAAACCUAUUGUUUUCAAAUAACUUAAACAAAAAACCGUUUGAAAACAUUCAGAUGGAGUUCGGGAAUUCCUAUUUAUAUCUUAGGAUAAUUGAAUGGACAGAGGAUAGCACAUAAAUUUGACAGGUAUUAAAUAACAGGGGAGUCACUCUCAAAUAUAUCAUUAAAAAUUAAAGAAUGCCACAACUGUGACAAAUUAAGUAUCAAUAAAUUAUUGAUAAGACAUGCAUGCAAAGAUCUCAUAAGACUAAAUGUUAUAUCAACAUGAAACUGAACACUAAAAACUUAUUUUUGGUUGCUCAUAUGAUAUGCUAAAAUGUCCCAGAAGGGACAAAUAUAUAGACUAGAAGAGCAAAUAAAACUCGAGAUGGAUUUCAAAAAAAAAAAACAUUUAAACUUUGAAAUAACUAAACUAGCGAUCCAGUAAAGGACUGAAACAUGCCAUAAUAGAUUCAAAGUAAGAAUUUCAAAGCGAUAAAAUUAAACAUUUCGAACACUAAAUCGUUGAUAUCUUACAAAGGACAACUUCAUGCUAAAAGUUAACGAUGAGAGACAUACUUUGAAGAAAUUGACAAAAUGUCGAGUAACGAACUAAGGCGUCAACAAUCUAGCAAAAUUAUUGGUUCAAUUGAUUAAAAUUUAAAGACAAAUUAACAACGAGCUUUUUAAUUUUAACGAAAUAAAAUAAUCAACGUAAUUAUAACGUAAUCAGAUGUUAAACUUUUUUAACACCACUUACCUCAAAAAUCAGUAAAAUUAAUAAUGAGGGACAAAUAGCUUUGAAAUUUGAUCGGUAUUGGGAUGACCAGAUUGGAAAUAUCGGAACGAAUAUUUGGUUUUGUUCUAUCCCACUAUGUAUCAGGAUGGAAUGGAAUGAAUCGAAAUGGAACGGGAUGAGAUAAACGGGACGACACUUUUCGUUAUUUCAAAAUUGAUUAAAUUUUCUUUUAGUUAUUUUGAUUUUUUGAAAUACAAAAAUAUGAAUAUUUUUUUAAUUUUCUAAGUUUAAAUUAUUAGUUUUUAAAUUUAUAAUGUAAUUUUUUACUUAAUUUUAUUUUAAAGAUAUUUUUUUAAAAAAAUUUACUUAUUAAGUUUACAAGUUAAGUCCAUAAGUUUUCAACAUUUGAAUCUUUGAAGUUUAUAAGUUAUUACUUAUUGAUUUGUUAUAACUUAUAGGUUAUAUUUAUAACUUGUGAUUUAAAUAACUUAAAUUUGUAAUUUUAAAAAAAAUAAAUAAAAAAUAAAAAUAAAAAAUUACACAAAUUAAAAAAUAUAAAAUACAAAUUACAAUAUAUAAUAUAAAUUAAUUAAUAAAUAAUAAUUAAUCGGAAAUCGAACCGACACCGAACAGGACCGCACCGAACCAGACAAGAUCGGAAUAAAUCGAUACGCGUACACCGGUAUCAAAUUACGAUUAUGUUUUGUUUCGUGUACCGAUUUAUGGUGUCUCGUUUCGUCUCGUAGGCAACCGAAUCGGAACGAACUGAAACGGUAUCAGUCUAUUGCCCAGUCUUACUUAAGAGUAACUUAACAAAAAACUUUCUGUUAAUAAUUAGGUUUAUAUAUAUGACCCAUUGGUGCCACUUAUAGAUAUAAAUUUUGGGUAUAACUAAAUCUCAAAAGUAAGAAUGAUUUUUUAAAAAUCUGAAGUAUUCCUUAACGGGAGCAUGCACAAUAUACCAUGGAGUUCAAUAAUAAAUCAGAACUACUUUAACACACUUUUGUACCAACUAAAUACAUAGAAAAAUAAAAUUUAUCUAAAUACUAUCUCUGCCCUAUUUACUUGUUCAUAUUUUUUCUUUAGAUGUUCCCAUUUACUUGUUCAUUUUGACAAAUUAAGAAAGAACACAAAAAAUUCCUAUUAUACCCUCAUUUAAACUUUUUGAAAAUUUCUAAGUUUUAAUUCAUCUUUUUUGAAAUAAUAUUUAAUAAAGAUAAAAUUAUAACUUUACCAUCUUAAUUAUUGUUAUCUUAAUAUAUAUGUCUAUUAUAAAAUGCACAACUAAAUAGGGACAGAGAAAAUAUAUAUAAGAAUAUCAACUUUCUAUUAUUAUUUUUUAAAUGUUGCACUUAAUUCUCAUGUCCCACAUGAUUUUCACUAAGUCAAACAAAUAACUUUUUUGAAAUUUGAUCCAAAUACAGAUAUUUUCUCUCAAAUACUGCUACGUAGCCAUCUAGAUUCUUCCAUCAAACCAAUUUAUGCAUAUAAAAGGGAAAACUCCCAAGUGAAAAAAGUGGAAAGUUAUUUUGGUUUGAGAAGAACCAAAACAACUUUUUCAGCAAAGAAAAAGUUAGCCUAGAAAACCUAAAAAGGAAAAAAAAGAGGCAAAACAGAGAGUUUUAGGAAUUUUUCUUUAACAAGGGUAGUUGCCCCUCUCUUGUUUAGCCAGUGAUUUUUAUUUUUUAUUUUUCAGAAGCAACAACUCUUGGAUUCAUGUUAAUUUCUUGGAAAUGACUGGAUCAUUCAAAUGGCAAUUAUGCAUAUAUUCCACAACCUUUGGCAAUAAUCUUUUUUUGUGUGUGUCUCUGUUAAUCUAUCUACGGUAUGUAUGUGUGUUGUAUUAGAGGCGAUGAUGAUAAUGAUGAUGAUUUUUUCGAAUUCUGGGCUAACUGGAUUGGGGAUGGAGGCUAUGCGAUCCGUAUCUUGGCUUGGCAAAUCAUCUUGAUUUUGCAGCCAUGGCGUGGUUGCCCUCUCUUUCGUCCUCAUCUCUUUGCAGAUCUGAGCCUCUAAAUUGUUAUCAACAACAUUUGAAUUUCUUGAAAUAAUAAUUCAAAAAUUGUUUUUCAUUUUUUUGAAAAUACAAUAUAUUAUGUUCUUCUAUUAUGUAUCUAUCUGAUUUUUUAUUUAUUUAUUACCUUAAAAUCAUGAUGAACUUGAUGUAGAAAUUUUUAUAUUUUAAGGUUUGUGAUUUUUUGAAGAAAUUUGUAAGUUCUCUUUUUUUAAUAGUUGUGAUUUUUCCCACUGGUAUAAGAAAGAGUUAUGGUAUAAUAAAGAGUUAUGACUUUUUAGGGGUAUGA